rnacentral:lncRNA from 1 species
CUGGCCCAAUGAUGUACCCAAUGGCACCAGCCAAUGGCAUGUUCCCGGUGAUGGGAGACGGCAUGGGGUUCAUCCCCAACGGGUACGCAGGGAUGGUUGUGGUGCCGCCACCACCACCUCCCCAAGGCGGGGUGGGUAUCGUGAGCCCCGGGUCGUCGGACGGGAGGAGCGCCAUGACGCAGGCUGACAUGAUGAACUGCAUGGGCGAUGGAGCGAGGAUGGAGAGUGGCGGCACCCGGAAACGCGGUGCCCCAGAGGAUCAGUCUUGCGAGAGAAGCAUCGAGCGCCGCCACCGCCGCAUGAUUAAGAACCGUGAGUCAGCCGCACGAUCGCGUGCUAGGAAGCAGGUACUUACCUUGCUGCCAAAAUUGUUGGUUUUUAUGCAAUGCCAUUUCUGUAACAGUGGUAACAAUGUUGGUGACACUUACACUACAUGUCUUUCUAAAUCCUACAGGCUUAUACCGUGGAGCUUGAAGCUGAACUGAACCACCUCAAGGAGGAGAACGCUCGUCUGAAAGCUGAGGAGGUACGGGGCUGCUGACCAGUGAAAACCAUGAGAAAAAUCAGUUUUCAUAUGCUUUUCAGUUCUUACCGUUACUAAACUGUUUCAUUGUUUUGUUGCAGAAGACAAUUCUGCUGACCAAGAAACAAAUGGUAUGUACAUUUUACUACCAUCACCUGGCAAUCCUCCUACACUUGCCACCACCUGCCAAUUGCUUGUAACAAUCCACUAUAAUUUCUAAGUCUUAAAAUAGUCAAUGUGUGCAUGCUGAUGGAAACGCCUUGUGGCGGUGAUCUUUUUUUACAGUUGGUGGAGAAUAUGAUAGAACAGUCCAAGGAGAAUGUGAACGCCAAGAAGGGUGGCACCCUCUCGCGGCACUGUGGCAGCUGCAUCUGGUGAAAGGUGACCCGCCAUCCAGCUUCCAUAGCCGUGCUCGCAGGAGCAUGAGGAGGAAUUGUGGUGUUUAUAGCAGUAAAAUUUUCAUUCCGGAGCGGGGUCGUAUACUAAUUUACUAGUAGUACCUAAAACUAUAAGGACCCGGAUGUCAAUGUUAUCUGGUCAAGCAAGUGAACUUCUGUUGUUGUUACUGUUUAUAUGGGUUUGUCAGAACUUCGGACAGAUGGAACAAAAGAAAAUUAGCAAUAUGUUGAUGUGUACUUGCUCUUUAACAUGAUGUGAUGCAACGCAUGUGGUCCAUUUCUGGUGUGUGUGGGGGUGGGGGGUGGGGUUAGAGUUUAGUCACGUGGACGCACUUUAUUGCGUCGGUGAAUUUUGACCCAUUCAAAUAACUCUAAAAUCCAAUGAAAUUUGAGCUAUUCAAACAUGAGAUCCCGUGAGCCUUGACAGGUGGUCACCCAUCGCCAUGCUUGGGUAGUCGAUUCCCUUUCCCCUCCUCCACGGCUCGCUGCUUGAGGGUCCGGUUAGCUUUCAAUUGCGCUCCCUGGUUGGCCAACCAUGACGGCUAUCAUCAACCUUUAUGUUCUUACGGCUGUGUGUAUCGGAGGCGAGGGGUGAUCCUCUUGCCAAUUGCUUGCAAGAACCUAAUGACCAAGUCUUAAAACAGUUAAUGUGUGCGUGUGUGUGCUGAUGGUAACACCCGGUGGUCGUGAUUAUUUUUACAGCUGAUAAAGAAGAUGGAACAGUCAAAGAAGAACGUUAACGCCAAGAAGGGUGACGCCCUAUCACGACGCUACGGUAGCUGCAUCUGAUGAACGGUAACCCGCCAUUUAACUUCCAUAGCCGUGCUGGUAAGAGGAGGAGGACAUGAAAUCUGGUUGUUUUGUGUGUUUGAUGCAACUGCAGCAGCGACAAUUAUGGGGUUGAUUGUAUUUACCUUUUCUACUCAAAGCGGGAUGAUAUAUUAAUUUACUAGUGGUAACUAAAAUCCACAAGGACCCAUAUAUCAGUGUUUAUCUGGUCAAGCAAGUAAACUUGUAUUGUUGUUUCUGUUUAUAGGUGAUGAUGGGUUUGUCAGAAACUUUAGACAAAUGGAACAAAAGAAAAUUAGCAAUAUGUUGAUGUGUACUCCGAAACUUCCCUUCUACUUCUGAGCUCAAUUGAGUUCAGAACGAAUAUUAAUUUCAAAAAAAUGAAAAAUUAAACUUCAAUAAUUUUUGAUUUUUUUGGGUGUAAAAUUUGACAAAUGUUAUCGGUGCUUGCAAAUUUCAUCCAGAAAUAUCAUUCGUGGAAGUCAUGGCAAAAAAACAGCACUCCAAAAUGCUUUCGAAAAUAGCAUUUACGGAGUGUUGAUUUUUUCUUUUUCACCACGACUUCUAAGAAUGUUAUUUCGAGAUAAAAUUUGCAAGCUUUGAGAUCAUUUUUCAAAGUUUGCACCAAAAAAUUCAGGAUUUUUUUCUUUUGUUUCUUUUUUUGAUAUUACUAUUCAUUAGAGAGCACAUGAGCUCGGGGGCAUACUUUGUGUCAUGUGUACUCGCGCUUUAAUAUGAUGCAAUGCUAUGUGUGUGGUCCAUUUUCCGGUGUAUGCUGGAGUCUUUGUGUUUGCUAUCUUCUGAAGAACUGGAGAUGACACAUGAGUUGAGUUUAGUCACGUAGGUGCACUUUAUCGUGUAAGUGAAAAUUGAGCCAUUCAAUAGUUAUUAAAUCCGAUAAAUUUUUAGCUAUUCAAAUCAGUGGUCAGACAAAAUCCCAUGUGAGUUGAUAGUAGUUAGCUUUUCUUUUGGGAGAAGCAUGGUAUAGUCAUUUACUAGUGGUACCUAGAACCCAUAAGGACCCAAAUGCCAGCUUUUAUCUAGUCAAGCAAGUGAACUUGUGUUGUUGUUACUAUUUAUAAAUAGGUGAUGAUGCGUUUAUCAGAAAUAUAAGACAAAUGGAACAAAAGAAAGUCAGCAAUAUGUUGACGUGUACUCGCGCUUUAAUAUGAUGUGAUGCUAUGUGUGUGUCUAUUUUGGAGGUGUGUGUGAGACUCUUCACCUUUUCUCUCUUCUCAAGAAGUGGAGACACACGAGUUGAAUUUAGUCACGUGGCCGCACUUUUCGUGUCGGUGAAAGCUAUUCAAAUAGUUUUUAAACCCAGUGGAAUUUGAGCUAUUCAAAUCAUCGGUCACAUGGGAUUCCAUGAGAUUUGAUGGUGGUCACCCAUCGCAAUGCUUGGGUAGUCAAUCCCCUUUCCUCUCCAUCGCGGCUCAUUGCUUGAGAGUCUGGUUGGCCUUUAGUUGUGCUCCCUGGUUGGCUAACCAUGACGGCGAUCAUCAACCGUCAUACUCUUAUGGCUGUGAGAAUCAGAGGCCAGGAAUGAUCCUCUUUUUCUAAGAAAAAAAACCUUCCUACACUUACCAUCACCUGCCAAUUGCUUGCAACAACCCAAUUGCCAAGUCUUAAAUAGUAAAUGGGUGUGUGUUUAUGGUAACACCCAGUGGUAGUGAUUUUUUUACACCCGGUGUUGAAGAUGAUGGAACAGUCCAAGGAGAAUGUCAAUGCCAAGAAGGGUGGCGCCCUGUCGCAGCACUGCGACAACUCUUCUAGAGGAUGGUGAAACGCCAUUUAGCUUCCAUUGUUAUGCCGGUAGGAGGAUGAAGAGGAACUGCAUACUAGCCAUCUUGUGUGUUUGAUGCAACUACAACGACAAUUAUUGUGUUGAUAGUAGUUACCUUUUCUUACUAGUAGUACCUGAAAACCAUAAGGACCCAAAUGUCAGUGUUUAUCUGGUCAAGCAAGUGAACUUGCAUUGAUGUUACUAUUUAUAGGGGAUGAGGGAUUUGUUAGAAACUUCAGGCAAACGGAAGAAAACAAAAUUAGCAAUAUUUUGAUGUGCACUCGUGCUUUAAUAUGGUCAGAUGCUAUGUGUGUGUGGUCCAAUUUAGAUGUGUGUGAGUGUGUGUGUGGGGGGGUAUCUUCGCCUUUGCUUUCUUCUGAAGAAGUGGAGAUGAUGCACGAGUUAAUAACAUGGUCACACUUUUCCGCGUUGGUGAAAUAUGAGCGUUUAAAUAGUUUUUAAUCUAGUGAAAUUUGAGCUAUUCAAAUCAAUGGUCACGUGGGAUCCCGUGAGACUUGACGGUGGUCACCCAUUCCAAUGCUUGUGUAGUCGAUCCCCUUUCCCUUCGUUGCGGCUCGCUUGAGGGUCCGACUAGCCUUGAGUUGUGCUCCCUGGUAGGCCAACCAUGAGAGCAAUCAUCAACCCUCAUACAAUUAAGGAUGGGUGCGUGUGAGGCCAAAGGUGGUCCUCCUUUUUCUAGGAAAAAAACAUCCUAAGCUUACCAUCAUUUGCCAAUUGCUUACAACAACCUAAUUGGCAAGUAACACCCCGUUGUCGUAUUUUUUUACAGCUGGUGGAGAAGAUGAUUGAACAGUACGUCCAAGGAGAACGUCAACGCCAAGAAGGAUGGCGCCCUGUCGUGGCGCUGCGACAACUGCAUCUGGUGAAUGGUGACCUGCGAUUCAGCUUCCAUAGUCAUGUUGGUAGGAGGAUGAGCAAGACUUGCAUUCUGGCCUUUUUGUGUGUUUGAUGCAGCUACAACGACAUUUGCGGUGUCGAUAGUAUAGUUAUUUAUUCUUUUCGGAGCGGGGUGGUAUAGUAAUUUACUAUAGUAGUAUCUAAAACCCAUAAGGACCCAAAUGUCAGAAAGUGAACUUGUGUUGUUGUUACAUUUUAUAGGUGAUGAUGGGUUUGUUAAAAACUUCAGUCAAACGAAAAAACAAAAUCAGCAAUAUGUUGAUAUGUACUAAUGCUUUAAUAUGAUGGGAUGCUACGUGUGUGUUCCAUUUUGGAUGUGUGUGUGGGACUCUUCACCUUUACUCUCUUCUGAAGAAGUGGAGAUGACACACGAAUUGAGUUAGUCACAUAGGCGCACUGAUACGUCUCUGUCGUAUCUAUAAUUUUUGAUUGUUCCAUGCCAAUAUUCUUCAAUUUUCAUAUACUUUUGGCAAAUUUUUGUACUAUUUUGGGAACUAACAUAUUGAUCCAGUGCCCAGUGCCAGUUCCUGUUUGUUGCAUGUUUUAUGUUUCGCAGAAAUCCAAUAUUGAACGGAGUCCAAAGGGGAUAAAAACGGACGGAGAAUUAUUUUGGAAUAUUUGUGAUUUUUGGGAAGUAAAAUCAACGCGAGACGGUGCCCGAGGGGGCCAGGAGAUAGGGGGGCGCCCUAGGGAGGCAGGCGCGCCCUGGAAUCUACUGGGCCCCCUGUAAGGCGGUUGACGCUCUUCUUUUGCCGCAAGAAAGCUAAUUUUAUGAGAAAAAUCUGGGCGAAAGAUUCACCCCCAUCGGAGUUACGGAUCUCCGGAUAUAAAAGAAACGGUGAAGGGGAAGGAUCUGGGAACGCAGAAACAAAGAGAGACAGAGAGAUAGAUCCAAUCUCGGAGGGGCUCUCGCCCCUCCCAAGCCAUGGGAGCCAAGGACCAGAGGGGAAACCCUUCUCCCAUCGAGGGAGAAGGUCAAGGAAGAAGAAGAAGAAGGUGGGGGGGGGGGUCUCUCUCCCCCUUGCUUCCGGUGGCGCCGAAACACUCCCGGAGGCCAUCAUCAUCACCGCGAUCUACACCAACACCGUCAUCAUCUUCACCAACGUCUCCAUCACCUUCCCCCAUCUAUAUUCAGCGGUCCACUCUCCCCAACCCGCUGUACCCUCUACUUGAACAUGGUGCUUUAUGCUUCAUAUUAUUAUCCAAUUAUGUGUUGCCAUCCUAUGAUGUCUGAGUAGAUUUUCGUUGUCCUACCGGUGAUGGAUGAAUUGCUAUUAUUGGUUUGAAUUGCAUGUUUUAUUAUUGGUGCUGUCCUAUUGUGCCCUCCGUGUCGCGCAAGCGUGAGGGAUUCCCGCUAUAGGGUUUGCAAUAUGUUCAUGAUUUGCUUAUGGUGGGUGGCGUGAGUGACAGAAGCACAGACCCGAGUAAGUAGGUUGUUUGCGUAUGGGAUAAAGGGGACUUGAUACUUUAAUGCUAUGGUUGGGUUUUACCUUAAUGAUCUUUAGUAGUUGCGGAUGCUUGCUAGAGUUCCAACCAUAAGUGCAUAUGAUCCAAGAAGAGAAAGUAUGUUAGCUUAUGCCUCUCCCUCAAAUAGAAUUGCAAUAGUGAUUACCGGUCUAGUAAUGUACUCAAUUGCUCAGGGACAAUUUCACAACUCCUACCAUCACUUUUCCACACUCACUAUAUUUAAUUUAUUGCAUCUUUAUCUAAACAACCCCUACUUUUUAUUUACGUGCUCUUUAUUAUCUUGCAAACCUAUCCUAUCACACUUACAAAGUACUUCUAGUUUCAUACUUGUUCUAGGUAAAGUGAACACUAAGCAUGCGUAGAGUCGUAUCAGUGGCAGAUAGGGCUUGAGAGAAUAUUUGUUCUACCUUUAGCUCCUCGUUGGGUUCGACACUCUUACUUAUCGAAAGAGGCUACAACUAUCCCGUAUACUUGCGGGUUAUCAAGACCAUUUUCUGGCGCCAUUGCCGGGGGGUCAUAGCGUGGGGUGAAUAUUCUCGUGUGUGCUUGUUUGCUUUAUCACUAAGUAAUUUUUAUUUGUUGUUCUUAGUUGUUCUCUAUCUUUAGUUAUGGGUAGGAAACGCAAAAUACCAAAAAAAUUAGUUGUACCUACUGAACCAAUGGUUGAAGAACCACUCAAAAUCUAUCACACUCCUGAAGCUUUUUACUUGGAUCAUCUUCGAUCCCUUUCUGCUCGUGCUGAAACCCCAACUAGCUUAGUUGAGGGCAAAUCUUUAGAUGAGCACGCUUGUUAUGCGUGACACCGUAUAUCUGAAAAAGGGAAACUUUUACUGGAUCAAAUUCAUCAUUUGCAAUGCUAUGCUUGGACUUUAUGUGAAUUAUAUGAUGUUACUUGUUGUGCUUAAAACCCUAAGAAACACCUUCCCUACCAAUGUGAGGUUACUGAUAAUGGAAUCGUAUCUUCGUAUGCUAAGGGUGUUUAUAAUUGCUGUGAUGUUCAACAAAUUGAAGAAUUUGUUGCUUUUAAGGGUGCUUAUGAAAUUGCUUCUUUGAUUGAAAAGUAUGAUGCUACUCUCUACAAAUCUGAAAAUUUUGCCAUACUUGAAUAUUGUUAUGAUAAUUAUGCUUCUAAUGCCUAUGUUAAACCAUAUAUUGAGAAAUUCUCUGUUGUCCAAGAAGAGACUAAUAUUUUGCAGGAAGCUAUGGAAGAAGAAAUUGAUGAAACUGUGAGCUCAUUGGAUGAAAAAUAUGAUGAGGAGAGCAAAGAAGAAAAGGAGGAAGAGCAGAUUAGCUACCCAUGCCCACCUUCUAAUGAGAGUAACUCUUCAACUCAUACCUUGUUUAAUUCCCCUUCAUGCUUACCGAAGGAUGAUUGCUAUGAUGAUUGUUAUGAUCCCGUGGGUUCUCUUGAAAUACCCCUUUUUGAUGAUGCUUGGUAUGCUUGUGGCCAAGAUGCCAAUAUGAAUGAUGCUUAUGGAGAUGAACUUGCUAUAGUUCCUUAUGUUAAACAUUAAAUUUUUUCUAUUGCACCCACGUAUGAUAGUCCUAUUAUCUUUGUGAAUCCUCCAAACUACACUAUAUCAGAGAAGUUUGUGCUUAUUAAGGAUUAUAUUGAUGGGUUGCCUUUUACCAUUGCACAUGAUGAUUUUGAUGAAUGUAAUAUGCAUGUUCUUGCUGCUCCUACUUGCAACUAUUAUUAGAGAGGGAUUAUAUCUCCACUCUCUAUGUUUUCAAUAUAUUAAAUUGCAAGAAACUGUUUAUACUAUGCAUUGGCCUUUACUAUGUGUGCAUGAAUUGUUCUUUUAUGACAUGCCGAUGCAUAGGAAGAGAGUUACACUUUGUUGUUGCAUGAUAUAUGUUACUUUGUGCUCACUACUAAAUUACAAAUCAUUGUUAAUUAAAAUUGGCUUUGAUAUACCUUGGGAUCCGGGUGGAUUCAUUACCUGAGCACUAUAUGCCUAGCUUAAUGGCUAUAAAGAAAGCGCUGCCAGGGAGAUAACCCCGAAGUUUUAGAGAGUCAUUUAUUUAUAUUGAGUGCUUUUAAAUAGUUUAAAAACACAAAAAUAAAGAGGGGAACCCAAAACUUUUCAAAAAGGAAAGUGAAAGUGAGAAAGACAAGCAUUGUCGAAGUGGGAGCUAGCCUUGAACUUUGUUCAUGCUCACGGAAACUUUGUGAAUCCUGAUUACAGAAAAUUUUCAUCAAAAAUAAUUAUCCCCUUGUACAAUUCCAUUGUAUUAUAAAAAUAAUGUGCCAAGGUUUGCCUUUAGGAUGUUUACAAUGCUUGUUGGUUCGCAUGGUGCAGUACAGAAACUUUGGCUGUAGUGCGUGAUUUUACAUUUUUUACUGGAACGCCAAAUGGUUCUGAUUCUUUUUGCACAGUCUUUCUCUACAACCUGUUUAUUUGUCCUAAUUUUGGUAGAAUUUGUGGGGUACCAUAAGUUUGGGGAAUGUUCAGAUUGCUACAGACUGUUCUGUUUUUGACAGAUUCUGUUUUUGAUGCAUAGUUUGCUUGUUUUGAUGAAUCUAUCAAUUUAUACAAGUGGAUUAGGCCAUGAAAAAGUUAUGUUACAGUAGAAAAAAAUGCAAAAACAAAAUAUGAAUUGGUUUGCUACAGUACUUAGAGUGGUGAUUUGCUCUAUUAUACUAACGGAUCUUACCAAGUUUUCUGUUGAAAUUUUGUGUGGAUGAAGUGUUUGAUUGAGGAGGUCUCGAUAUGAGGAAAAGGAAGAGAGGCAAGAGCUCAUGUUUGGGGAUGCCCGAGGCACCCCAAGUAAAUAUUCAAGGAGACUCAAGCGUCUAAGCUUGGGGAUGCCCCGGAAGGCAACCCCUCUUUCUUCAACAAGUAUCGGUAUUUUUUCGUAUUCGUUUCGUUUAUGCGAUAUGUGCAAGUCUUGGAGCGUAAUUUCCAUUUAGUUUUCACUUUUAUUUUAUGCACCAUGCUGGUAUCAGAUAGUCCUUGGUUGAUUUAUAGAAUACUCAUUGCACUUCACUUAAAUCUUUUGAGUAUGGCUUUAUAGAAUGCUUCAUGUGUUUCACUUAUAUCAUUUGAAGUUUGGAUUGCCUGUUUCUCUUCACAUAGAAACCCGCCAUUUGUAGAAUACUCUUUUGCUUCACUUAUAUUUGUUAGAGCGUGGGAAUAUCUUUUGUAGAAAGAAUUAAAUUCUCUUGCUUCACUUAUAUCUAUUUAGAGAGAUGACAUGAAUUGGUCAUUCACAUGGUUAGUCAUAAAAUCCCACAUAAAACUUGUAGAUCACUGAAUAUGAUAUGUUUGAUUCCUUGUAAUAGUUUUGCGAUAUAAAGGUAGUGAUAUUAGAGUCGUGCUAGUUGAGUAAUUGUGAAAUUGAGAAAUACUUUUGUUGAGGUUUGCAAGUCCCGUAGCAUGCACGUAUGGUGAAUCGUUAUGUAACGAAGUUGGAGCAUGAGGUGUUCUUUGAUUGCUUUCCUUAGGAGUGGAGGUCGGGAUCGCGCGAUGGUUAACUCCUACCAACCCUUCCCCUAGGAGCAUGCGUAGUAGUACUUUGCUUCAAGGGCAAGUAGACUUUUGCAAUAAGUAUAUGAGUUCUUUAUGACUAAUGUGAGUCCAUGGAUAUACGCACACUCACCCUUCCACUGUGCUAGCCUCUAUUGUGCCGCGCAACUUUCGCCGGUUUCAUGAACCCAUUAUUUACCUUCCUCAAAAAGCCACCAUACCUACCUAUUAUGGCAUUUCCAAAGCCAUUCUGAGAUAUAUUGCCAUGCAACUUUCCACUGUUCCAUUAUUAUGACACGCUCCAUCAUUGUCAUAUUGCUCUUUGCAUGAUCAUGUAGUUGACUUUAUAUUUGUGGCAAGGCCACCCUCAUAAUUUUCGUACAUGUCACUCUUGAUUCAUUGCAUAUCCCGUACACUGCCGGAGGCAUUCAUAUAAAGUCAUAUCUUUGUUCUAGAUAUCGAGUUGUAAUAUUGAGUUGUAAGUAAAUAAAAGUGUGAUGAUCAUCAUUAUUAGAGCAUUGCCCCAGUGAGGAAAGGAUGAUGGAGACUAUGAUUCCCCCACAAGUCGGGAUGAGACUCCGGACUUAAUGAAAAAAAAGAAAGGCCAAAGAAGCCAAAUAAAAAAAGGGGAGCCAAAGAAGCCCAAACAAAAAAAAAAGAGAAAAUAAAAAAAAUGAGAGAAAAAGAGAGAAGGGGCAAUGUUACUAUCCUUUUAACACACUUGUGCUUCAGAGUAGCACCAUGUUCUUCAUAGAGAGAGUCUCCUAUGCUUUCACUUUCAUAUACUAGUGGGAAUUUUCAUUAUAGAACUUCGCUUGUAUAUUCCGAUGAUGGGCUUCCUGAAAUGCCCUAGGUCUUCGUGAGCAAGCAAGUUGGAUGCAGACCCACUUAGUUUCUUUUGUUGAGCUUUCAUAUAUUUAUAGCUCUAGUGCAUAUGUUGCAUGGCAAUCCCUACUCACUCACAUUGAUAUCUAUUGAUGGGCAUCUCCAUAGCCCGUUGAUACGCCUAGUUGAUGUGAGACUAUCUUCUCCCUUUUUGUCCUCACAACCACCACCAUAUACCACCAUAGUUCUAUGUCCAUGGCUUGCACUCAUGUAUUGCGUAAGAGUUGAAAAAGUUGAAGCACGUUAAAAAGUAUGAACCAAUUGCUUGGAUGAAACCGGGGUUGUGCAUGAUGGGAGUAUUUUGUGUAAUGAAGAUGGAGCAUAGCCAGACUAUAUGAUUUUGUAGGGAUGAGCUUUCUUUGGCUAUGUUAUUUUGAUAAGACAUAAUUGCUUGGUUGGUAUGCUUGAAGUAUUAUUGUUUUUAUGUCAAAUGAUAGACCAUUACCUUGAAUCACUCGUGUCUUAAUAUUCAUGCCAUGAUUAGAUACAUGAUCAAGAUUAUGCUAGGUAGCAUUCCACAUCAAAAAUUAUCUUUUUAUCAUUUACCUACUUGAGGACGAUCAGGAAUUAAGCUUGGGGAUGCUGAUACGUCUCCAUCAUAUCUAUAAUUUUUGAUUGUUCCAUGCCAAUAUUCUUCAACUUUCAUAUACUUUUGGCAACUUUUUAUACUAUUUUUGGGACUAACAUAUUGAUCCAGUGCUGUGACAGUCUGGUUUUUGCCCUCUCUUCUUUUGCCUGGUUUUCAACUGAUUUGGAUUUGAGUUUGGAGUUUUUGAAUCUUUUCAUUUGGACUUAACCACUUGGGUACCCCUUGACUUUCACCCAAGUGCUUCUACUCCUUCUCAAACCACCACUUCACCUCCGGAACAUCUCAAAAUAUCACUUGGAAUUUUUUCUUAAAUGAAAAAUAUUCAUUUUUGCCCUCCAAAACCCUAGCUAGCCCUUCAUGCUCCAAAGCAACCCUAAUUUUUCUUGCCCCUAAAAUCCUGAGAAAAAUCCCAAUUAUUCUUUGAACCCUAGGGCACCUUUCUAAGAAAAAAUAUUUCAUCACUCUUUGGAAUAUUUUGGCUAUAGAAAAUAAUUUCAUUUCUGGACAGAAAUGGUAGUUUCUACACCAACUACCAUUUUACUAGCACCAUUGUAGCUGGUUUUUCUUGUGCCUAUUUACCUUAGUAAGUGUUGGCUGGCCUCCAAAGCCCAGCCCUCAACUCCCAGUGGUUUGACCAUAGUAAACCUCCAAAGUUACUGUCCAGAAACUUACUUGGAGUCCAAAUCCAUUUAUACCGCACUUGGAACCAAGCCCAACCGUGGUAACACUCCAAACUACCAAGGACUACACGCCAGACAUCAAGUUAGCGCUUAGAGUGGCCUGAUGUCACAGUUCACGCGGUGACCGCGUUCGUCCGGGCGUGCUGGCAUGCAAAACACGCGCUCUGAGUGCCGCUUAGCGCUCUGUUGCGUGCGUGCUCGCUGCCCGGCCUGCCCGAGCAUGCCAAACCGCGCCACCAUCCCCGUUUCCACUCCCUUAACUCCUCCCUGUCACUCGCCAACGUCGGAGCUCGCCGCAGUGGGCACAGGCACGGUCAUUCCAAUGACAUAGUGCAUGGCGCACUGUGCUCGUCGUCUUCCCCCUCGCCCUUGUGCUCGUCCGCGCUCGCCAAUAGUUUCCGCAUGAUCUCCGUCCUCUUCCCCCUCGCUCACUGGCACCAUGGACAGGUGUCCUCUGGCGGAGCCCGAACUCCCCUCGUUGCUCGCCUAUAAAUGCCGCCACCCCCAGCUUCCUCGAGCACCCGCAGCCACUCCCACACUCACCACAAGCUAGUAGAAGCUGCAGUCCGGCCGGGCAGGCCGCGGGCUGUCGUCCCCGAGCCCGAGCUCGCCGGCGAUCCCCUUCGGAUCGCCCCCGAAGCUCCAACCCCUCCCAGGCCAGGGCAACCCUGCUAGAGCCUCCGCCACUCUUUGGUGAAGCCGUUCCACCCUGUUGGAGCCCCUGGAGUCGCCCCUAGCUGCCAUCGUCUUCGUCUCCGGCGACCGCUGCCCUCUGCCUCCGCUGGAGAGGUCGUUUCUAACGCCGUCCGACCACCUCUAGCCAUGCUACGGGUAUGGGCAGGUGCGCCAUCUUCUUCUCCUUUGAUUCCCCCUUCUCGUUUGGUCCCAAGAGCCCUCGCCGCCGGCGUGCGCUCCGGCGAAGUUCCACCACUCUUUGUUUCCCUCUCCCCCCUCCUUCUCACCUGACUAGCGGGGCCCGCUAGUCAGCCACUCUGUACGCGCGCGAAGCGGUACGAGUGGUGGCGCCCUGGGCUUUUACGCCUUCGACGUCACCCCCCAGUCUGUUUUAAUUUUAAUUCAAAUUCAUUUAAAUCCAGAAAACUUCAAACAACCAUAACUUUUUAUCAGUAAGUCCAAAUGCAUUAAUUCUUUUUUGCAUUGUGUUCUUUGUCCAAAAAUCUAGCAGCACCCAAAAGAUGGGAUUUUUCUUUGCUGUAUAGAUUUUCUGGUAAUUUUCAGAAGGUUUCUUGAUGUUUUCUUUUUAUGAUUUUAUUUAUUUUCAGAAGAGCAGGCUUGUCUUGAGGAUCACCAGGAGGCUUGUGAACCUCAUCUGCACUAAGGCAAGCCACAUCAACAUUUUCGUAGUGCCACUCCAAUAUUUGUGAUUUUCCUACCUGAACUUAUGAUUAUUCAUGCAUUUAAAUUAUUAUUAUUAUGAUAAUUAUAUUCUGUUAGAUGCUUGUCAUGUUAAAUAUGCUUGAUUUACAUAAAGUUUGAAGUGAAUCUUGUUGAUAAGCCAACAAGAAUUUAGUUAUGAGUAAUGAUAAAAUGAUAUGGUCAUGGAGAUAAAUAAUCAGUAAAAUCAUUUUUGGCAUGAUGAAUGAUGAUAAGAUUGUUAGAAAGGAUUCUGGUUUAAGUGAGGUUUGAUCUUAACCAAAGGGGUAUCAUGAGUUGUUGAUGGCUCCGUGGGAGCCUAGUUGACUUAGUUAUUUUUCAUUGAUAUGUGAUGCAUAUGUUGGUGAUGCAUGUCAUGGCAUUAUGACACCGGUUACUUCCACUUUAUGUUGAACCUGAUAAAUAACUCAACUUGAAUAUGUUGUUGACCGGGUCAUGGUGCCGCUGAAACGAGUUUUUCCUAGUGCAACCACAUUUGCCAGUAUGGGACGGCCUUAAUGCGUUUCAUUGCCGUGCCUCUGGUCGGUAUCUCCAUCUAGGGAAGGUUAUGGGCGUGUUGUACCCUGUCCCGGUAAGCAGGCAUAACCUUGUGAGCCCGUUGUUAAAGUUUUUGGUACCGGGUCCCAGAGUGGAUCGUGGCCACGACGGUGGCCGAUGUGUCUUGAGGUAGACACGGGGCCACCCAGGACUAGCCCGAUGGGGAUUGAGUCGGAGUGGCCGGGAGAGUGUCAUGACAAUGAAGUGGUUUCAUCGGAAUGUCAUUGGUCCACCCGAAUGGGAGUGCGAGGCCAUGGGUUCCGUAGUGUGGGUCCAGUGCGCUACCUCUGCAGAGUGUAUUAAUCUAUCGAUAGCCGAGUCCACAGUUACAGACACGCUCGAAAGUAGGGUACACCAUGGGUCAACACUUAAUAAAUUUGCACACUAAGUUUGCACUGAGGUGAUGGCAGUAAGGCCAUCGUGUUGAGUUGGACCAGGUGUGGUCGGGUUGUGAUCGUCGUAAGGAUCAUGGGCCAUUUAUUGGUCCGAUUGUGAUCGCCGUAAGGAUCACGGGCCAUUUAUUGGUCGGGUUGUGAUCGCCGUAAGGGUCACGAGCCAUUUAUUGGUUGGGUUGUGAUCGCCGUAAGGAUAACGAGUUUGUCUCUGUGUUUCAUCACGUUUGUGGUCUGAUCACGUCCGGUAAGCCAGUCCAUGGGACGAUACCAUUUGAGCAUAGUCACAGCAUGUUGGAUAUAUUGUUGCAUUGUUAUUAAUUGGUUAAAUAUCAUGAUAUUGUUUGUCAUUAUGUUUAUGCUGGUUGUGAGCUUGCAAGUACAUUCAAUGUACUGACCUAGUGUGUCAUGCCAGAUUUCAGGAAAAGUCUCGUUGGAAAGAAGAGCUGUCCGAGUCUAGAUCGUGUCCACAUCGGUGUCCCAGUGCUAUGGAGUCCCGCUACGACGUUGUUCCGCUGCCGCGUAGUUGUCAUGAUCGAGGCCCUUUAUGUUCACUAAAUAAUGUACAUAUUGUUCAGCCGCACCGUGUGCGCCGCUUGGCCUCGCUAACUAUUGUAAUAUAAACUCUUAUCCGCUUGCAUCAAUAAAGUGGUUGUCUUUAUGUACCAAGUUGCUGUGUGGUGCCAGAAGAUAAGGUCUCUGGGCUGGCAAUCCAUGGUAAUCCAGUCGCUCUGAGCCGGGGUGCCACAACGCUUGGUAUCAGAGUCGCGCUAACUGUAGGCCACGCUAGACUACGCUGAGUUAACUGAAUGUUAGAUACGAGUUGUAGUUGAGUGCCGGUAGCUUUUGUAGCUGGUUGUUGCAUUGCAUGCACUGAUUCUUAUUUUUAUGCUAACAUGCUAAUGGUUGUGAGUGUAGAUGGCUCCGGUGCUGUAUCCGUGCCUGUUGCAGCUGAUGCCGUACACGUCGCCGCAUCUCCUUCGUAACGUGUGCCGUCGGCUGUACCCCCACGGUGACGUUCCAGUCUAUCAUGUGUACCGGGAGCGUCUAGCUGACUCAGUGUAUGAGUAUCACGCCGUGGUUACUCUAUGCACCAGUUCCAAUUCCAGCACUUACACUCGUACCUCUCGAAGCGGCUAUGCUUCUACCGCUUCUCAGGCUAUCCAGUUUGCUGCAUUCGAGGUACUUGUUGAGCUCCGCUACAACGAUGUUCGGAUGCAGAACCACCCAGGUUUCCACUACUAUCCUUCUCUCCACAAUAAUGGUCGUGUCCGUUUCCCUGUCAUUGAUCCGGAGUUUGAUAGCGUAGCUAGCCACCUUUCUCUCUAUAUCACUGCUAGCUAUCUUCUGAUCUAUGAGCUGGCUCGCGAGCUGAGUCGUGCACGUAAUACUUUAGCCUCUGCUAGCUCAGUCACUACUCCAGCAUCGGUAGGAUUUACUCCCUAUAUUCCUGCCAGUUCUAGAUCCCAUGUUUCCUCGGUUACUCCUCCGAGUAGCUCAGGCACCGUGACAGUGAGUCUAGUUAGUGCUCCUGCUGAGUGGGUGUCACUUCUCGCCACUCCUGUAGCCCCUAUGAUUCACCCUCCACCUGCCCCAUAGGGAGAGCCCUCGAGGCAGCAUCGUCGUGUCACCCUUAACCCGGAGGUCUCAGUUAACCUCGUUAGUUGAGGAUCCGAGUCCGCUUCAGGAGAGGACCCCGCAGCACCUGCAGAGCAGUAGAGUUUCCGAGUAUUCACAGUCGUCAGGAUGGAGUACGGAUGUAGACGUACGAGUCAUGAUGUUUCGUUUCAUGUAUGAGGGUAGUUGGACCUGGCAUGUUGUUAUCUUUCAUGUAUGAGUCUAUGUAUAAUUAUGUUGGAACUUUAUUUUAUUCGCCGUAUUUUGUUGCCAUUUCGGUUUUUCUCGGGCUUUUGUUGCUGGCUUAUCCCCAGUUUAUUUUGAAUGCUUCUCAUCUCGGUUGCAUUGCGUUGGGAAAAUCAUAUUAGGAUGACGCGGGGAGGCUGCAGUAGCAACGUUCGCGAGGGUUCUCCUGUUCGUCGUUCUGCACGACAGGCAGGACAAUCACCCGGGCCGUACGUUCCACCACCGCCUCCACCGCCAAAUCCGCCCUCUACCGAGCAAAUUCUGCGUAUGUUUGAGGAAAGACGAAAUAAUGAUCUGAUGGAAAUACUAAGAACUAUUCAAGCUGUGGUUGGACAUAAUGGAAAUCAUCCCGGUCAUCACUCCAAGCUAUCAGAUUUUCAAAGGACUAAGCCUCCCAGUUUCAGUCAGGCCAUUGAUCCCUUGGAUGCAGAUGAUUGGUUGAGAACUAUGGAAAAGAAGCUUGAGGUUGCUCAAACUUAUGAAGGGGAUAAGGUUCCAUUUGUAACAAAUUAUCUUGAAGUCGCUGCUACCAUAUGGUGGGAAAAUGAAAAAGCCAUGUGGUUUGCUGAUGAAGAAAUUACCUGGUUAAGAUUCAAGGAACGAUUCCGGAAAUAUCACAUCCUUGAGGGAAUUAUGAAGACUAAGCAGCAUGAAUUUCUCGCGCUCCUCCAAGGAAGUCAGUGUGUGGGAGAAUAUUUGCAGAAAUUCAAUCAUCUGUCACGUUACUCUCAAUAUGACGUGGCUACUGAGGAAAGAAAGAUUGGCAGGUUUCUUGGUGGAUUAAACCCGCAACUCCUGUGUACUCUCAGUAUGUUCGAUUUCCCAGACUUCCAAACCCUGGUGAACAAGGCUUUCAUUGCUAAGAGGGAACACAAGCUUGUAUCGGAUAAUAAAUCUGCCAACAACGAUCACAAGCGCAAGUUUGAGCCAAGAAAGAAAAUGCAACCAGUGUAGAAGGCUCGUACCUGGCAGCUGACUUAGGUAGCAUACAAGCCCAAUUGGCAACAAAAUUUUAACAAGGCCACCACACAAGUCAAGAAUGACGUGCUCAACCCAAUUCUAGAGAAUCAUCUGCGCAGCAAUUCUUGUUACAGUUGUGGGCAAACCGGACAUUAUGCCAAACAGUGUCCCAAGAACAACCGGACAGAUGCUACAUUCAAGCCAUAAGUCCAUUAUAUGGAAGCAUGCCUGAAUCAACACGACAUCACGGGAUACGUUCAUCACAUAUCCGCCGAUGAAGCCCAAGAGAACCCCGAAGUCGUCAUUGGUAUGUUCUCUGUUAAUAACAUACCUGCAGUAAUUUUAUUUGACUCUGGGGCUUCCCACUCUUUUAUUUCUCGGAGUUUUGUUGCCGAAAAAAAAUUUCCUUGUUUGCUUUUGGGCAAGAAUAUGCUGGUACAAACCCCGGGGUCUCUAAUCAGAAGCAAUCUAGUCCGCCGCAAUAAGGAAGUCAAUAUCAACGGAGUCUGUUCUCCAACUUCUUUGAUACUUAUUGAGUCUGAUAAGUUGGAUGUCAUCUUGGGUAUGAAUUGGCUUACCCAGUAUCAAGUGUGCAUAAAUUGUGCGACCCGAUAAGUCAACUUGACCAGCCAAAAGGGACAGACUACAAAUUUUUAUGCUCAUAGAAGCAUACCCUCAAAGGAAAUGGUCUUCACAACAAUGGCUGAAUUGGAAUUAAUUCCGGUGGUCAGCGAGUUUCCUGAUGUAUUUCCAGAAGAACUACCAGGCAUGCCGCCUGAUCGAGAGCUUGAGUUUGCAAUAGAUCUUGUGCCCGGAACCACACCAAUACACAAGAAGUACUACCGAAUGCCGUCAUCAGAAUUAGUGGAGCUAAAGAAACAACUUGAUGAAAUGCUCCAGAAAGGAUAUAUCCGUCCCAGCUCUUCACCAUGGGGAUCACCUGCUAUAUUCAUGGACAAGAAAGAUGGCAGUCUCCGCAUGUGUGUGGAUUACCAUUAGCUGAAUGAUGUCACAAUCAAAAACAAGUACCCUCUUCCAAGAAUUGAUGAUUUGUUUGAUUAGCUCAGUGGGGCCAAGGUAUUUUCCAAGAUUGAUUUACGGACUGGAUACUAUCAGCUCAAAAUUAAAAAGGAGGAUAUUCCCAAGACCGCAUUGACCACUCGCUAUGGUCCUUAUGAAUAUAUAGUUAUGUCUUUUGGGCUCACCAACGCCCCUUCUUUCUUCAUGCACAUGAUGAAUAAAGUAUUCAUGGACUUCCUCGAUAACUUCGUGGUAGUCUUCAUCGAUAAUAUACUCAUUUACUCAAGAAAUGAAGAAGAGCAUAAGGAAAACCUCCGAGCAGUGUUACAACGACUCCGUGAGCAUCAGUUAUACGUAAAUCUGAGAAUGGUUUCAUACCUAAACCAUACUUGAACCAUACCCGUGCAUGUAUCUCUUAAAACCAUACUUGAACCAUACCCGUUCAAUGCCAUUUUCAGCCCAACCAAAACUAAACCCUCUAUUUUUUCCACCCAAACUAAUUUAAACCCAAUACAUAACCGUGGGUUUGAACCCAAUACGUAACUAUGGGUUUGCUUCAAUGUAUAUAUGAUUGCACAAAUCGACAUGUCAAGAAGCAAAUGGCAUAGAAAAGACAUAAGUGCAUCUACAAUAGUUUGGGAACAAAGUUAUCGUUGAGAUAUGAUCAACACACAACAAGUGUCAAAAAGACAACGCCCACGACUGAAAAGCUCACUAACAAGUGCAUUAAAACCAAUUGCUUAGCUAAAGCACAAGCAGACACAUUCAAUUUGCAUGUGUUGUUUCCCCAUAAUACAGAAUUACAAUAGUGCAUCGCAUCAUGUACGCGGAUCAAAGAUACUUGUUGACGAUGCGUCGUUGCUUAUUGCACAUAACCAAUGCCCUAAAACCGGUUUGGACCCAUAGUUUCAUCCGUUAAUAACCAAACUGUUUAAGCCCAUAACCAACUAUACCCAAAUUGGUUUCUUCACAUACCCAAACCAAAACCAAACUAGAAAAGAUUCAGCCCAAUAAAACCUGAACCAAUCAAACCCAAAGUAAGAACCGAACCGUUUCACCCAGUUUUUUAAUAACCAUUCCCAGGUUUAGUCUUAUACGCCAAAUUCAGUAAAUGUGAGUUCUGGCUCUAGCAAGUUGGAUUCCUUGGUCAUGUGCUAUCCACCGAAGGUAUAGCCGUGGACCCGAGCAAAGUAAAGGAUGUACUCGAUUGGUUGCCACCCGCAACCGUAUCUCAGAUCCAGAGUUUUCUUGGAUUAGCUGGCUAUUACCACCGUUUCAUUGAAGGGUUUUCCAAGAUUGCUAAACCCAUGACAGAGCUGCUCAAAAAGGAUAAGAAGUUUGAAUGGACUGAGGACUAUGAGAAAAUUUUCACUGAGUUAAAGAAAUGACUGACAACUGCACCGGUAUUAACACUUCCAGAUAUCUACCGCAGCUUUGAUGUGUAUUGCGACGCUUCCAGGCAAGGACUGGGAUGCGUACUUAUGCAAGAUGGCAAGGUAGUGGCUUACGCCUCAUGAUAGCUACGACCCCACAAAGGGAAUUACCCCACUCAUGAUUUGGAAUUGUCCGCGGUAGUUCAUGCUUUAAAAUUUUGGAGACACUACCUCAUCGGAAAAAGGUGCCAAAUUUUUAUCGAUCACAGAAGCCUCAAAUAUAUAUUUACUCAGCCAGAUUUAAAUAUUCGUCAACGAAGAUGGCUUGAGUUGGUCAAGGAUUAUGACCUUGGAAUAAAUUACCAUCCGGGUAAGGCCAACAUGGUUUCCGAUGCGCUCAGUCAAAAUCCCGUCAGUUUAAAUGUCAUAUUGGAAUCCUUGCCACAUGAACUUAAAGAAGAGAUUGCUCAGCUCAACCUGGUCAUAGUUGAGGCUGGCCUUGCUAAUAUUCUGGAAGUUACCCCUACUCUUGAGGAAGAAAUCGGCAAGGCCUAGCUAGGCGACGCCAAUCUGCAGAAACGUGUCAGGCACUCCGAUUUCUCGAAGGAUCAGUUCGGUAUCCUCCGAUUCAGGGGAAGGAUUUGUGUGCCUAAUCAAGCAGAUUUAAAGCAGAAGAUCCCGUCAGAAGCCCAUGAAUCCUUGUAUUCAAUUCACCCUGGAGGUACAAAAAUUUACGAAGACCUUCGACAAAUAUUUUGGUGGGAUGGAAUGAAGAAAGACAUUGCUUAUUUCAUGGCCUAUUGCGAUAUAUGCAACAAAGUAAAGGCAGAACAUCAGAAGCUAGCCGAACUUCUCCAACCACUGCUGGUGUCACAGGGGAAAUGGGAUGAUGUCUGUAUGGAUUUCAUCACAGGACUACCUAAGGCCCGAUGGGGCAAUGAUGCAAUCUGGGUCAUAGUGGAUACAUUAACCAAGGUAGCCCACUUCCUCCCGAUCAGAACCUCAUAUCGAGCAGAUGAGCUUGCACAACUGUAUGUAUCCAGAAUAGUCAGUCUACAUGGAGUUCCCCGAACCAUCACUUCUGACCGAGGUUCACUUUUUACCUCCGCUUUUUGGUCCCGUCUCCAUCAAGCCUUAGGGACGGAAUUAAAAUACAGUACCGCUUAUCAUCCUCAGACUGAUGGACAGACAUAACGGGUAAACCAAAUACUCGAAGAUAUGCUGCGAGUCUGUGCUUUGGCCCAAGGCCCAAAAUGGGAAGAUUGUUUUCCGUACGCCGAGUUCUCGUAUAACAAUAGCUUCCAAACUAGUCUAAAGAUGUCACCGUAUGAGGCGUUGUAUGGCUGUAAGUGCCGCACUCUACUGAAUUGGUCUCAAACCAGAGAUAGCCAUAUUUUUGGAACGGAUCUCAUGAUGGAAGCCGAGAAGCAAGUCAAGGAAAUCAGAUACAGAUUGCAGUUGGCCAAAUCGCGACAGAAAAUUUAUUAUGAUGCAAAGCACCGACAGAUCAACUUUGAACCCGGAGAACAUGUCUACCUUCGACUCACUCCUAUGAAAGUAUCAAGAGAUUCCAGACUCAUGGAAAAUUGGCACCCAGGUUUAUUGGUCCAUUUCCCGUUAUGACACGAGUGGGUGCUAUGGCAUAUCAGUUGGAGUUACCCCCUAAAUUGUCAGACGUGCACAACGUUUUCCAUGUUUCACAAUUACGACGGUGCAUAUCGCUGCCUGAGAAAAAGACGGAUUUGACAGAAAUAGAGAUGGCAAAGAACUUAACAUAUGAAGAAAGGCCAGUAAAUUUUUUGGAUCAAAUGGAAAGAGUCACUCGCAGUAAAGCAAGGAAGUUUUACAAAGUCCAUUGGAAGAAUCACACAGAGUCAGAAUCAACAUGGGAAUCAGAAGAAUUUCUAAGGGCAUAUUAUCCAAAAUGGUUUUCCCAAGCAACCGAAUCUCGAGGACGAGAUUCAUUCUAAGUGGGGGAGGUUUGUGACAGUCUGGUUUUUGCCCUCUCUUCUUUUGCCUGGUUUUCAACUGAUUUGAAUUUGAGUUUGGAGUUUUUUAAUCUUUUCAUUUGGACUUAACCACUUGGGUACCCCUUGACUUUCACCCAAGUGCUUCUAGUCCUUCUCAAACCACCACUUCACCUCUGGAACUUCUCAAAAUAUCACUUGGAAUAUUUUUCUUAAAUGAAAAAUAUUCAUUUUUCCCUCCAAAACCCUAGCUAGCCCUUUGUGCUCUAAAGCAACCCUAAUUUUUCUUGCCCCUAAAAUCUUGAGAAAAAUCCCAAUUAUUCUUUGAACCCUAGGGCACCUUUCUGAGCAAAAAUAUUUCAUCACUCUUUGGAAUAUUUUGGCUACAGAAAAUAAUUUCAUUUCUGGACAGAAAUGGUAGUUUCUACAGCAACUACCAUUUUACUAGCUCCAUUGUAGCUGGUUUUUCUUGUGCCUAUUUACCUUAGUAAGUGUUGGGUAGCCUCCAAAGCCCAGCCCUCAACUCCCAGUGGCUUGACCACAGUAAACCUCCAAAGUUAUUGUCCAGAAACUUACUUGGAGUCCAAAUCCAUUUCUACCACACCUGGAACCAAGCCCAACCGUGGUAACACUCCAAACUACCAAGGACUACAUGCCAGACAUCAAGUUAGCGCUUAGAGUGGCCUGAUGUCACAGUUCACGCGGUGACCGCAUUUGUCCGGGCGUGCUGGGAUGCAAAACACGUGCUCUGAGUGCCACCUAGCGCUCUGUUGCAUGCGUGCUCGCUGCCCAGCUUGCCCGAGCAUGCCAAACCGCGCCACCAUCCCCGUCUCCACUCCCUUAACUCCUCCCUGGCACUUGCCGAUGCUGGAGCUCGCUGCAGUGGGAAUGGGCACGGUCCGGCCAAUGACACAGUGCACAAUGCACUAUGCUCAUCGUCUUCCCCCCCGUCCCUGUGCUCGUCUGCGCUCGCCAAUAGUUUCCACAUGAUCUCCGUCCUCUUCCCCCUCGCUCACUAGCGCCGUUCAUCGCCGGGCGCCGUGGAUAGGUGUCCUCCGACGGAGCCCGAACCCCCCCUUGCCGCUCUCUUAUAAAUGCCGCCAUCCCCAGCCUCCUCGAGAACCCGCAGCCACUCCCACACUCACCACAAGCUAGUAGAAGCCGCAGCCCGGCCGGGCAGGCCGCGUGUUGCCGUUCCCGAGCCCGAGCUUGCCGGCGAUCCCCUUCGGAUGGUCCCCUCAGCUCCAACCCCUCCCAGGCCAGGGCGACCCUGCUAGGGCCUCCUCCACUCUUCGGUGAAGCCGUUCCGCCCUGUUGGAGCCCCUGGAGCUGCCCCUAGCCGCCGUCAUCUUCGUCUCCGGCGACCGCUGCCCUCUGCCUCUGCUGGAGAGGUUGUUUCCGACGCUGUCCGACCACCUCUAGCCACGCUAUGGGUACGAGCAGCUGCACCAUCUUCUUCUCCUUCGAUUCCCCCCUCUCGUUUGGUCCCAAGAGCGCUUGCUGCCGGCGUGCGCUCCGAUGAAGCUCCGCCAUUCUCAGUUUCCCUCUCCCCCUCCUUCUCACCUGACUAGCAGGGCCCGCUAUUCAGCCACUCUGUAUGCAUGCGAAGCGGUACGAGUGGUGGCGCCUUGGGCUUUUACGCAUUCAACGUCACCCCCAGUCUGUUUUAAUUUGAAUUCAAGUUCAUUUAAAUCCACAAAACUUCAAACAACCAUAACUUUUAAUCUAUAAGUCCAAAUGCAUUGAUUCUUUUUGCAUUGUGUUCUUUGUCCAAAAAUCUAGCAGCACCCAAAAGAUGGGAUUUUUCCUUGCUGUCUAGAUUUUCUGUUAAUUUUCAGAAGGUUUCUUGAUGUUUUCUUUUUGUGGUUUUAUUUAUUUUCAGAAGAGCAGGCUUGUCUUGAGGAUCACCAGGAGGCUUGUGAAACUCAUCUGCACUAAGGCAAGCCACAACAACAUUUUCAUAGUGCCACUCCAAUAUUUGUGAUUUUCCUACUUGAACUUAUGAUUAUUCAUGCAUUUAAAUUAUUAUUAUUAUGAUAAUUAUAUUCUGUUAGAUGUUUGUCAUGUUAAAUAUGCUUGAUUUACAGAAAGUUUGAAGUGAAUCUUGUUGAUAAGCCAACAAGAAUUUAGUUAUGAGUAAUGAUAAAAUGAUAUGGUCAUGGAGAUAAAUAAUUAGUAAAAUCAUUUUUGGCAUGAUGAAUAAUGAUAAGGUUGUUAGAAAGGAUUCUGGUUUAAGUGAGGUUUGAUCUUAACCAAAGGGGUAUCAUGAGUUGAUGCUGGCUCCAUGGGAGCAUAGUUGACUUAGUUAUUUUUCAUUGAUAUGUGAUGCAUAUGUUGGUGAUGCAUGUCAUGGCAUUAUGACACCAGUUACUUUCACUUUAAGUUGAACCUGAUAAAUAACUCAACUUGAAUAUGUUGUUGACCGGGUCAUGGUGCCGCUGAAACGAGUUUUCCCCAGUGCAACCACAUUUGCCGGUAUGGGACGGCCUUAAUGCAUUUCAUUGCCGUGCCUCUGGUCGGUGCCUCCAUCUAGGGAAGGUUAUGGGCGUGUGCUACCUCUUGAGCUAGCGUUGAUUUUCCCCGAAGAGGAGAGGGUGAUGCAGCAAGUGUAGCGUAAGUAUUUCCCUCAGUUUUGAGAACCAAGGUAUCAAUCCAGUAGGAGGCUCCUCAAAAGUCCCACGCACCUACACAAACAAACUGAGAACUCACAACCAACGCAAUAAAGGGGUUGUCAAUCCCUUCACGGCCACUUGCGAAAGUGAGAUCUGAUAGAGAUAGUAUGAUAAGAUAAAUAUAUUUUUGGUAUUUUAUAAUAUAGAUGCAAAAAGUAAAGAUGCAAAUAAAGUAGAUUGAAAGCAAAUAUGAUAAGGGAUAGACCCGGGGGCCAUAGUUUUCACUAGAGGCUUCUCUCAAGAUAGCAUAAGUAUUACGGUGGGUGAACAAAUUACUGUCGAGCAAUUGAUAGAAAAGCCCAUAGUUAUGACAUUAUCUAGGCAUGAUCAUGUAUAUAGGCACCACGUCCAUAACAAGUAGACAGACUCCUACCUGCAUCUACUACUAUUACUCCACACAUCGACCGACUCCUGCCUGCAUCUAGAGUAUUAAGUUCAUAAGAACAGAGUAACGCAUUAAGCAAGAUGACAUGAUGUAGACGGAUAAACUCAUGCAAUAUGAUAUAAACGCCAUCUUGUUAUCCUCGAUGGCAACAAUACAAUACGCGUCUUGCAACCCUUUCUGUCACUGGGUAAGAACACCGCAAGAUUGAACCCAAAGCUAAACACUUCUCCAUGGCAAGAAAGAUCAAUCUAAUAGGCCAAACCAAACUGAUAAUUCGAAGAGACUUGCAAAGAUAACUCAAUCAUACAUAAAAGAAUUCAGAGAAGAUUCAAUUAUUAUCCAUAGAUAAAUCUGAUCAUAAACCCACAAUUCAUCGGAUCUCGACAAACACACCGCAAAAAGAGAUUACAUCGAAUAGAUCUCCACAAGAGAGGGGGAGAACAUUGUAUUGAGAUCCAAAAAGAGAGAAGAAGCCAUCUAGCUAAUAACUAUGGACCCAUAGGUCUGUGAUAAACUACUCACAACUCAUCGGAGGGGCAAGGAUGUUGAUGUAGAAGCCCUCCAUGGUCGAUUUCCCCUCCAGCAGAGUGCCGGCGAAGGCUCCAAGAUGGGAUCUCGCGGAUACAGAAGGUUACGGCGGUGGAAAUUGUGUUUCGUGGUGCUCCUGGAUGUUUUCGGGGUACGUAGGUAUAUAUAGGAGGAAGAAGUACGUCAGUGGCUGCCCGAGGGGCCCACGAGAUAGGGGGCACGCCAUAUAGGGGGGGGGGGCGCCCCCCCUAUCUCAUGGGGUCCUCGGGAGCUUCUUGACUUGCACUCCAAGCUCUUCGGAUCUCGUUCGUUCCAAAAAUCACGCUCCCGAAGGUUUCAUUCCGUUUGGACUCCGUUUGAUAUUCCUUUUCUUUGAAAUACUGAAAUAGGCAAAAAGGAACAGCAAUAUGGGCUGGGCCUCCGGUUAGUAGGUUAGUCCCACAUAAAUGUGUAAAAUAAAGCCCAUAAACAUCCAAAAUUAUAUAUACAUUGGAGACGUAUCAAGCAUCCCCAAGCUUAAUUCCUACUCGUCCUCGAGUAGGUAAAUGAUAAAAAGAGAAUUUUUGAUGUGGAAUGCUACCUAGCAUAAUUCAUAAUGUAAUUUUCUUUAAUGUGGCAUGAAUGUUCAGAUCCAAAUGAUUCAAGAUAAAAGCUUAUAAAACAUAAAAUAAUAAUGCUUCAAAGCAUACGAACAAAUAAUCAUGUCCUAUCAAAAUAACAUAGCCAAAGAAAGCUUAUCCCUACAAAAUCAUAUAGUUAGGCCAUGCUUCAUUUUCAUUACACAAAAUACUCCCAUCAUGCACAACCCCGAUGACGAGCCGAGCAAUUGUUUCAUACUUUUUAACGCGCUUCAGCUUUUUCAGCUCUUACGCAAUACAUGAGCGCAAGCCAUGGACAUAUCACUAUGGUGGUAUAUGGUGGUUGUGAGGACAAAAAGGGAGAAGAUAGUCUCACAUCAACUAGGCGUAUUAACGGGCUGUAUGGAGAUUCCCAUUAAUAGAUAUCAAUGUGAGUGAGUAGGGAUUGCCAUGCAACGGAUGCACUAGAGCUAUAAAUAUAUGAAAGCUCAACAAAAGAAAGUAAGUGGGUGUGCAUCCAACUUGCUUGCUCACGAAGACCUAGGGCACUUUGAGGAAGCCCAUCAUUGGAAUAUACAAGCCAAGUUCUAUAAUGAAAAAUUCCCACUAGUAUAUGAAAGUGACAACAUAUGCGACUCUCUAUGAUGAAGAUCAUGGUGCUAUUUUGAAGCACAAGUGUGGGAAAAAGAGAUAGUAGCAAUUGUCCCUUCUCUCUUUUUCUCUCUUUUUUUCUUCUUUUUUUCUUUUUCUCUCUUUUUUUUAUUUUUCCCUUUUUUUUCUUUUUGGUGGGCAUCUUUGGCCUCUUUAUUUUUAUAAAGUCCGAAGCCUCAUCCCGACUUGUGGGGGAAUCAUAGUCUUCAUCAUCCUUUCCUCACUAGGACAAUGCUCUAAUAAUGAAGAUCAUCACACUUUUAUGGAUUUACAACUCAAAAACUACAACUCAAAGCUAGAACAAGAUAUGACUCUAUGUGAAUGCCUCCGGCGGUGUACCGGGAUAUGCAAUGAAUCAAGAGCGACAUGUAUGAAUAUUAUGAAGGUGGCUUUGCCACAAAUACGAUGUCAACUACAUGAUCAUGCAAAGAGCAAUAUGACAAUGAUGAAACGUGUCAUAAUAAACGGAACGGUGGAAAGUUGCACGGAAAUAUAUCUCGGAAUGGCUAUGGAAAUGCCAUAAUAGGUAUGUAUAGUGGUUGUUUUGAGGAAGGUAAAUAAAGGGUUCAAUACCGGCGAGAGUUGCGCGGUAAUAAUAAAGGCUAGCAAAGUAAAAGGAUAGGUGUGCAUAUCUCCAUGGACUCGCAUUAGUCAAAAAAGAACUCAUAUACUUAUUACAAAAGUCUACUUCACCCUCGAAGCAAAGUACUACUACACAUGCCCCAGGAGGGAUAGAUUGGUAGGAAAAAUUCCAUCGCUCGUCCCCGACUGCCACUCAUAAGGAAGACACUCAAAAGAGCACCUCUUGCAACAAAUUUGUCACACAACUUUUACCAUACGUGCAUGCUAUGGGACUUGCCAACUUCAACAAAAGUAUUUCUCAAUUUCAUAAUUACCCACUAGCAUGACCCUAACAUUACUACCUUUAUAUCUCAAAUCAAUUAUCAAGCAUCAAGUUGAUCAUAGCAUCCAAUUCUUUUCCUAUGAUAGUUUUUAUUAUACCCAACUUGGAUGCUCAUCAUUCUAGGACCAACUUUGUAACCAUAGCAAAUACCAUGCUUUUCUAAGAGACUCUCAAAAUAAUAUAAGUGAAUCAUGAGAGACUAGCAAUUUCUAUAAAAUUAAGACACCACCGUGCUCUAAAAGAUAUAAGUGAAGCACUAGAGCAAAAACUAUCAAGCUCAAAAGAUAUAAGUGAAGCACAUAGAGUAUUCUAGCAAAUUCUAAUCAAAUAGGCUUCUCCAAAAAGGUGUGUACAGCAAGGAUGACUGUGGUAAACUAAAAAUCAAGGACUAAUAUAAUACACGACGCUCCAAGCAAAACACAUAUCAUGUGGCGAAUAAAAAUAUAGCUCCAAGUAAAGUUACCAAUGAACAAAGACGAAAGAGGGGAUGCCUUCCCGGGGCAUCCCCAAGCUUAGGCUUUUGGCUAUUCUUGAAUAUGUUGGGGUGCCUUGGGCAUCCCCAAAGCUUAGGCUCUUGCCACCCUUUAUUCCAUAGUCCAUAAAAGCUUUACCCAAAACUUGAAAACUUCACAACACAAAACUCAACAGGAAAUCUUAUAAGCUCCGUUAGUGAAAGAAAAGAAAACCACCACAUAGGGUACUGCAAUUAACUCAUUAUUUAUUUAUUCUGGUGUUAAACCUGCUGUAUUCCAACUUCCUUAUGGUUUAUAAACUAAUUUACUAGCCAUAGAUGCAUUGAAAUAAGCAAACAACACACGAAAAACAGAAUCUGUCAAAAACAGAACAGUCUGUAGCAAUCUGUAACUAACGCAAACUUAUUAAACUCUAAAAAUCCUACCAAAAUAGGACGUACUGGAAAAUUUGUUUAUCGAUCAGCAGCAAAAAGAAUCAACGCAAAAUCACGUUUCUGUGAUUUAUUGAUUUUUUUCUCGUGAGCGCAAAGUUUCUGUUUUUCAGCAGAAUCAAAUCAACUAUCAUCAUAGUUUAUCCUAUAGGUUCUACUUGGCACAAACACUAAAUAAAAGAUAAAAAAACAUCUAAACAGAGAGUAUAUGCAAUAUUUAUUCCUAAACAGGAGCAAAAACAAAGAACAUAAAGAAAAUUGGGUUGCCUCCCAACUAGCGCUAUCGUUUAACGCCCCUAGCUAGGCAUAAAAGCGAAGAUAGAUCUAACGAGUGUCAUCUUUGGCACUAAAUUCAUAAGUAGAACGCAUGAUAUAUUCAUAAGGUAAUUUGACUUUAUUUCUUGGAAAGUGCACCAUGCCUUUAUUUAAGGGAAAUUGGAAUCUAAUGUUCCCUUCCUUCAUAUCUAUAAUCGCACCAAUCGUUCUAAGGAAAGGUCUACCAAGAAUAAUAGGGCAAGAAAGAUUACAAUAUAUAUCAAGAACAAUAAAAUCUACGGGCACUAAAUUUCUAUUUGCAACAAUAAGAACAUCAUUGAUCCUUCCCAUAGGCUUUUUAAUGGUGGAAUCCGCAAGGUGCAAAUUUAAAGAGCAAUCUUCAAGAUCAUGGAAACCUAGAAUAUCACAUACAGUUUUCGAAAUUGUGGAAACACUAGCACCCAAAUCGCACAAAGCAAAACACUCAUAAUAUUUAAUUCUAAUCUUUAUAGUAGGUUCCCACUCAUCAUUAAGUUUUCUAGGUAUAGAAACUUCCAAAUUAAGUUUUUCAUCAUAAGAUUGCAUCGAGGCAUCAACAAUAUGUUUGGUAAAAGCUUUGUUUUGACUAUAAGCAUGAGGAGAAUUAACAACGGAUUGCAACAAGGAAAUACAACCUUUUAAAGAGCAAUUAUCAUAGUCAAAUUCCUUGAAAUCCGAGAUAGUGGGUUCAACAUUAUUAGAAGUUGAGGAUUCUCUAAUCUCACUUUUACCAAAUUUAGCGUUAAGAUCUAAAGACUCCGAAUUCUUGGGAUGCCUUUUAGGCAAAGUUGAUUCAUCAUCAGUCCCGUAAUCAUCAAAAUUCAUAUUGUAAAACAUAGAUCUAAUAGGAUACACAUCAGUAACUUUAAGAUCCUCAUCAUUAUUUUCAUGGAAACUAGAAGAACACGCUUUUAUAAAGCUUUCUUUUUUAGCACGCAAUCUAGCGGUUCUUUCCUUGCACUCGUCAAUGGAAAUUCUCAUUACUUUGAGAGACUCAUUGAUAUCAUGCUUAGGAGGGAAGAUCUACUUUUAAGAGAAUCAACGUCAAGCGAAAGUCUAUCAAUGUUCCUAGCCAAAUCAUCAACUUUGAGCAAUUUUUCUUCAAGCAAAGCAUUAAAAUUCUUUUGAGAAAUCAUAAAUUCUUUCACACUAUUCUAAAAAUCAGAGGGCAUCUUAUUAAAAUUACCAUAAGAAUUAUUGUAGGAAUUUCCAUAAUUAUUAGAGGAAUUACUAGGGAACGGUCUAGCAUUAAAAUUUCCUCUAUAAGCAUAGUUUCCAAAACUAUUCCUACCAAUAAAAUUCACAUCCAUAGAUUCAUUAUUAUUCUCAAUCAAGGAAGACAAAGGCAUAUCAUUAGGAUCAAGAGGAGUAUUUUUAGUAGCAAACAUCUUCAUAAGUUCAUCCAUCUUUCCACUCAAAACAUUGAUUUCAUCUAUAGCAUGCACUUUUUUACUAGAAGAUCUUUUGGUGUGCCAUUGAGAAUAAUUAGCCAUAAUAUUAUCAAGAAGUUUUGUAGCAUCUCCUAACGUGAUUUACAUAAAGGUGCCUCCCGCGGCCGAAUCUAAGAGAUUUCUAGAAGCAAAGUUCAAACCGGCAUAAAGUUUUUGUAUGAUCAUCCAUAAAUUCAAACCAUGAGUAGGGCAAUUGCGAAGCAUCAAUUUCAUUCUUUCCCAAGAUUGGGCAACAUGCUCAUGAUCAAGCUGUUUAAAAUUCAUAAUAUCGAUCCUAAGAGUGAUGAUCUUAGCGGGAGGAAAAUACUUAGAGAUAAAAGCAUCUUUGCACUUGUUCCAAGAAUCAAUACUAUUUUUAGGCAAAGACAAAAACCAAAUUUUAGCACGAUCUCUAAGUGAAAACGGAAAUAAAUUCAAUUUGACAAUAUUGUUAUCCGUAUCUUUCUUCUUUUGCAUAUCACACAAAUCAACAAAAUUGUUUAGAUGAGUAGCGGCAUCUUCACUAGGAAGGCUGGCGAAUUGAUCUUUCAUAACAAGAUUCAACAAAGCAGCAUUGAUUUCACAAGACUCAACAUCAUUAAGAGGAGCAAUCGGAGUACUAAGAAAAUCAUUAUUAUUGGUAUUCGAGAAAUCACACAAUUUGGUAUUAUCUUGCGCCAUGGAAACAAGUAAUCCAACACACAAGUAAACAGAAAAACCGCAAGCAAAAAAAGAGAGGAGGAGGUUGGGAGAGAGAGGGCGAAUAAAACGACAAGGGUGAACUGGGGGAGAGGAAAACGAGAGGCAAAUGGCAAAUAAUGUAAAUGCGAGGGAGAUGGGUUUGUGAUGGGUACUUGGUAUGUCUUGACUUGAGCAAAGACCUCCCCGGCAAUGGCGCCAGAAAACCUUCUUGCUACAUCUUGAGCUAGCGUUGGUUUUCCCCGAAGAGGAGAGGGUGAUGCAGCAAGUGUAGCGUAAGUAUUUCCCUCAGUUUUGAGAACCAAGGUAUCAAUCUAGUAGGAGGCUCCUCAAAAGUCCCACGCACCCACACAAACAAACUGAGAACUCGCAACCAACACAAUAAAGGGGUUGUCAAUCCCUUCAUGGCCACUUGCGAAAGUGAGAUCUGAUAGAGAUAUUAUGAUAAGAUAAAUAUAUUUUUGGUAUUUUAUAAUAUAGAUGCAAAUAAAGUAGAUUGAAAGCAAAUAUGAUAAGGGAUAGACCCGGGGGCCAUAGGUUUCACUAGAGGCUUCUCUCAAGAUAGCAUAAGUAUUACGGUGGGUGAACAAAUUACUGUCGAGCAAUUGAUAGAAAAGCUCAUAGUUAUGAGAUUAUCUAGGCAUGAUCAUGUAUAUAGGCAUCACGUCCAUAACAAGUAGACCAACUCCUGCCUGCAUCUACUACUAUUACUCCACACAUCGACCGACUCCUGCCUGCAUCUAGAGUAUUAAGUUCAUAAGAACAGAGUAACACAUUAAGCAAGAUGACAUGAUCUAGAGGGAUAAACUCAUGCAAUAUGAUAUAAACCCCAUCUUGUUAUCCUCGAUGGCAACAAUACAAUACGUGUCUUGCAACCCUUUCUGUCACUGGGUAAGAACACCACAAGAUUGAACCCAAAGCUAAACACUUCUCCCAUGGCAAGAAAGAUCAAUCUCGUAGGCCAAACCAAACUGAUAAUUCGAAGAGACUUGCAAAGAUAACUCAAUCAUACAUAAAAGAAUUCAGAGAAGAUUCAAUUAUAAUCCAUAGAUAAAUCUGAUCAUAAACCCACAAUUCAUCGGAUCUCGACAAACACACCGCAAAAAGAGAUUACAUCGAAUAGAUCUCCACAAGAGAGGGGGAGAACAUUGUAUUGAGAUCCAAAAAGAGAGAAGAAGCCAUCUAGCUAAUAAAUAUGGACCCAUAGGUCUGUGAUAAACUACUCACAACUCAUCGGAGGGGCAAGAAUGUUGAUGUAGAAGCCCUCCAUGGUCGAUUCCCUCUCCGGCAGAGUGUUAGCGAAGGCUCCAAGAUGGGAUCUCGCGGAUACAGAAGGUUACGGAGGUGGAAAUUAUGUUUCGUCGUGGUCCUAGAUGUUUUCGGGGUACGUAGGUAUAUAUAGGAGAAAGAAGUAUGUCAGUGGCCGCCCGAGGGGCCCACGAGACAGGGGGCGCGGACCCCUAUCUCAUGGGGUCCUCGGGAGCUUCUUGACUUGCACUCCAAGCUCUCCGGAUCUCGUUCGUUCCAAAAAUCACGCUCCCGAAGGUUUCAUUCCGUUUGGACUCCGUUUGAUAUUCCUUUUCUUCGAAAUACUGAAAUAGGCAAAAAAACAGCAACAUGGGCUGGGCCUCCGGUUAGUAGGUUAGUCCCAAAAAUGAUAUAAAUGUGUAAAAUAAAUCCCAUAAACAUCCAAAAGAGGUAAUAUAAUAGCAUGGAACAAUCAAAAAUUAUAGAUACGUUGGAGACGUAUCAUCGUGUUGUACCCUGGCCUGGUAAGCAGGCAUAACCUUGUGAGCCCGUUGUUAAAGUUUUUGGUACCGGGUCCCAGAAUGGAUCGUGGCCACGAUGGUGGUCGAUGUAUCUUGAGGUAGACACGGGGCCACCCAGGACUAGCCCGAUGGGGAUUGAGUCAGAGUGGCUGGGAGAGUGUCAUGACAAUGAAGUGGUUUCGUCGGAAUGCCGUUGGUCCACCCGAAUGGGAGUGCGAUGCCAUGGGUUCUGUAGUGUGGGUCCAGUGCGCUACCUCUGCAGAGUGUAUUAAUCUAUCAAUAGCUGAGUCCAUGGUUACGGACACGCUCGAAAGUAGGGUACACCAUGGGUCAACACUUAAUAAAUUUGCACACUAAGUUUGCACUGAGGUGAUGGCAGUAAGGCCAUCGUGUUGAGUUGGACCAGGUGUGGUCGGGUUGUGAUCGCCGUAAGGAUCACGGGCCAUUUAUUGGUCGGGUUGUGAUCACCGUAACGAUCACGGGGCAUUUAUUGGUCGGGUUGUGAUCGCCGUAAGGGUCACGAGCCAUUUAUUGGUCGGUUUGCGAUCGCCGUAAGGAUCACGAGUUUGUCUCUAUGUUUCAUCACGUUUGUGGACUGGAAAUGAUCACGUCCGGUAAGCUAGUCCAUGGGAUGAGUAACAUUUUAGCAUAGUCACAGCAUGUUGGAUAUAUUGUUGCAUUGUUAUUAAUUGGUUAAAUAUCAUGAUAUUGCUUGUCAUUAUGUUUAUGCUUGUUGUGAGCUUGCAAGUACAUUAAAUGUACUGACCUGGCGUGUCAUGCCAGAUUUCAGGAAAAGUCUCGUCGGAAAGGAGAGCUGUCCGAGUCUAGAUCGUGUCCACAUUGGUGUCCCUGUGCUAUGGAGUCCCGCUAUGACGUUGUUCCGCUGCCGCGUAGUUGUCAUGAUCGAGGCCCUUUAUGUUCACUAAAUAAUGUACAUAUUGUUCAGCCGCACCGUGUGUGCCGCUUGGCCUCGCUAACUGUUGUAAUAUAAACUCUUAUCCGCUAGCAUCAAUAAAGUGGUUGCCUUUCUGUACCAAGUUGUUGUGUGUUGCCAGAAGACAAGGUCUCUGGGCUGGCAAUGCAUGGUAAACCGGUCGCUCUGAGCCGGGGUGCCACAAGUGCCCAGUGCCAGUUCCUGUUUGUUGCUUGCUUUAUGUUUCACAGAAAUCCAAUAUCAAACGGAGUCCAAACGGGAUAAAACGGACGGAAAAUUAUUUUGGAAUAUUUGUGAUUUUUGGGAAGUAAAUUCAUGCGAGACGGUGCCCGAGAGGGAAAGGAGAUAGGGGGGCGCGCCCUAGGGAGGCAGGCGUGCCCUAGACUCUCCUGGGCCCCCCGUAAGGUGGUUGACACUCUUCUUUUGCCGCAAGAAAGCUAAUUUUAUGAGAAAAAUCUGGGCGAAUGAUUCACCCCAAUCGGAGUUACGGAUCUCCGGAUAUAAAAGAAACGGUGAAGGGGAAGGAUCUAUGAACGUAGAAACAGAGAGAGACAGAGAGAUAGAUCCAAUCUCGGAGGGGCUCUCGCCCCUCCCAAGCCAUGGGAGCCAAGGACUAGAAGGUAAACCCUUCUCCCAUCUAGGGAGAAGGUCAAGGAAGAAGAAGAAGAAGCGGGGGCUCUCUCCCCCUUGCUUCCGGUGGCGCCGGAACCCUGCCGAAGGCCAUCGUCAUCACCGCGAUCUACAGCAACACCUCCAUCAUCUUCACCAUCGUCUCCAUCACCUUCCCCAUCUAUAUUCAGCGGUCCACUCUCCCGCAACCCGAUGUACCCUCUACUUGAAUAUGGUGCUUUAUGCUUCAUAUUAUUAUCCAAUGAUGUGUUGCCAUCCUAUGAUGUCUGAGUAGAUUAUCGUUGUCCUACCAGUGAUUGAUGAAUUGCUAUGAUUGGUUUGAAUUGCAUGUUUUAUUAUUGGUGCUGUCCUAUUGUGCCCUCCGUGUCGCGCAAGCAUGAGGGAUUCCCGUUGUAGGGUUUGCAAUAUGUUCAUGAUUUGCUUAUGGUGGGUGGCGUGAGUGACAGAAGCACAGACCCGAGUAAGUAGGUUGUUUGCGUAUGGGAUAAAGGGGACUUGAUACUUUAAUGCUAUGGUUGGGUUUUACCUUAAUGAUCUUUAGUAGUUGCGGAUGCUUGCUAGAGUUCCCAUCAUAAGUGCAUAUGAUCCAAGAAGAUAAAGUAUGUUAGCUUAUGCCUCUCCCUCAAAUAGAAUUGCAAUAGUAAUUACCGGUCUAGUAACGUAGUCAAUUGCUUAGGGACAAUUUCACAACUCCUACGAGCACUUUUCCACACUCACUAUAUUUACUUUAUUGCAUCUUUAUCUAAACAUCCCCUACUUUUUAUUUACGUGCUCUUUAUUAUCUUGCAAACCUAUCCUAUCACACUUACAAAGUACUUCUAGUUUCAUACUUGUUCUAGGUAAAGCGAACCCUAAGCGUGCGUAGAGUCGUAUGAGUGGCAGAUAGGGCUUGAGAGAAUAUUUGUUCUACCUUUAGCUCCUCAUUGAGUUCGACACUCUUACUUAUCGAAAGAGGCUACAACUAUCCCGUAUACUUGCGGGUUAUCACGCACUUUGCCGCGUGUUUGAAAUUUGAGUUAUUCAAAUAGUUUUUAAAUACAAUGAACUUUGAGCUAUCAAAUUAGCGGUCAUGCGGGAUCCUGUGAUACUUUACGGUGAUCGCCCAUUGUAACGCUUGGGUAGUCGAUACCCUUUCCCCUCCGUCGUGGCUCGCAGAUCAAGGGUUUGACUAGCCUUCACAUGCUCCUUGGUUGGCCAACCAUGACAGCGAUCAUCAACCUGCACACUCAUAUAGUUUUGUGCAUCAGAGGCCAGGGGUGAUCACACUUUUCUAAGAAAAAAACCCCCUACACUUACCAUCAUUUUCCAAUUGCUUGCAAAAACCUAGUUGCCAAGUCUAAAACCAAUUAACGUGUGCGUGCUGGUGGUAACACCCUGUGGUCGUGAUAUUUUUUACAGCUCUUGGAGAAGAUGAUCUAACGGUCCAACGAGAACGUCAGCGCCAAGAAGGGUGGCAUCAUGUCGCGGCAUUGGGGCAACUACAUCUAGUGAACAACGACCCACCUUUGAGCUUCCAUAGCUGUGCUGGCAGGAGGAUGAGGAGGACUUGCAUUCUGGCCAUUUUGUGUGUUUUAUGCAACCGCAACAACAAUUGUGGUGUUGAUAGUAGUGACCAUUUAUUUUCGGAGCGGGAUGGUAUAGUAAUUUUGUAGUAGUACCUAAAACCAGUAAGGACCCGAAUUUCAGUGUUUAUCUGGUCAAGCAAGUGAACUUGAGUUGUUAUUGUUUAUAGGUGAUGAUGGGUUUGUUAGAAACUUCAGAUAUAGGAAGAAAAGAAAAUUAUUAAUAUGUUGAUGUUACUCACGCUUUAGUAUGAUAUGAUGUUAUGUAUGUGAUCCAUUUCAGAUGCAUGUGUGGGAUUCUUCACCUUUGCUCUCUUAUUAAGAAGUGGAGAUGACACACGAGUUGAGUUUAGUCACGUAGGCGCACUUUGUCGCAUCGAUGAAAUUUGAGCAAUCAAUUUUUUUUAAAUCUGGUGAAAUUUGAGGUUUUCAAAUCAAUGGUUAUGUGGGAUCCCAUGAGACUUUACGGUGGUCACGCAUUGCAAUGCUUGGGUGGUCAAUACCCUUUGUCCUUCAUCGUGGCUCACUGCAUGAGGGUCCGGCUAGCCUUCAAUUCGGCUCCUUUGUUUGCCAACCAUGACUCUGAUCAUCAACCCUCAUAUUUUUAUGGCUGUGUGCAUCGGAGUCCCCCUUUUCUCAGAAAAACCCUCCCACACUUACAAUUAUUUGCCAAUCGCUUGCUACAAACAAAUUGCCAAGUCUUAAAAAAAUUAAUGUGAGUGUGCUGAUGGUAACACUCUGUGGUCGUGAUUUUUUUACAGCUAGGGGUGAAGAUGGUGGAAUAUUCCUUGGUGAAAGUAAAUGCCAAGAACGGGUGGUGCCCUGUCGCUCCACUAUGGUAGCUGCAUGUGGUGAACGCUGAACCGUCGUUAAGCUUCCUUAGCUGAUCUGGUAGGAGGAUGAUGAGGACUUGCAUUCUGGCCGUUUUGUGUGUUUGAUGCAUCUACAACGACAAUUGUGGUGUUGAUUGUAGUUACCUCUUCUCUUCGGAGCGGGAUGGUAUAAUAAUUUACUAGUAGUGCCUAAAACCCAUAAGAAGCCAAAUCUCGGUGUUUAUCUCGUCAAGCAAGUGAAGUUGUGCUGUUGUUACUGUUAAUAGGUGAUGAUGGGUUUGUCAGAAACUUCAGAGGAAAGGAGCAAAUAGAAAUUAGCAAUAUGUUGAUGUGUACUGGCACUUUAAUACGUGAUGUUAUGUGUGUGGUCCAUUUCAAAUGUGUGUGUGUGUGGGAGUCUUCUCCUUUGCUCCCUUCUGAAGAAGUGGAAUGACACACAAGUUAAGUUUAGUCACGUAGUCGCACUUUGCCGCAUUGGUGAAAUUUGAGCGAUUCAAAUAUUUUUUAAAUCAAGUGACAUUUGAGUUAUUGCAAUCAACGGUCACGCAAGAUCCCGUUAGAAUUGAUGGUGGUCACCAAUUGCAAUGCUUGGUAGUCGAUCCCCUUUCCCCUCCGUUGCGGCUCAUUGCUUGAGAGUCGGGAUAGCUUUCAGUUGCGCACCCUGGUUGGCAAACCAUGACGGCGGUCAUCGACCCUCAUAAUAUUAUGGAUGUGUGCAUCGAAGGCCAGGGGUGAUCCUCCUUUUCUAAGAAAGAAAAUACACUCCUACACCAAUCACAAUUUGCCAAUUCCUUCCAACAACCUAAUUGCUAUGCUUGCCAAAGUUAAUACAUGCAUGCUGAAGAAAACACCUUCUGGUCAUGUUUUUUCACAACUUGUGGAGAAGAUGAUGGAAUAGUCCAAGGAGAACAUCAACACCAAGAAGGGCGGCGAUCUCUUGCGGAACUGCGGUAGCUGCAUUCGGUGAACAGUGAUCUGGCAUUCAGCUUCUACAGCCGUGCCAGCAGGAGGACCGACAGGACUUGCAUUCUAGCUGUUUUGUGUUUUUGAUGCAGCCGCAACAAUAAUUGUGGUGUUGAUAGUAGUUACCUUUUUUUGGAGCGUGAUGGUAUAGUAAUUUACUAGUAGUACCUAAAACCCAUAAGGAACAAAAUGUCAAUAUUUAUGUGGUCAAGCAAGUGAACUUGUGUUUUAGUUACUGUUAAUAGAUGAUGAUGGGUUUGUUAGAAACUUCGAACAAAUGGAACAAAAGGAAAUUAGCAAUAUGUUGAUGUGUACUUGAGUUUUAAUAUGACGUGAUGCUAUGUGUGUGGUCCAUUUCAGAUAUGUGUGCGGGAGGCUUCACCUUUCCUCUCUUGUGAAGAAGUGGAGAUGACACACGUGUUGAGUUUAGUCAAGUAGGGAUACUUUGUCGCGGCGGUGAAAUUUUAGUCAUUCAAAUAGUUCUUAAAUCUAGUACAAUUUAAGCUAUUCAAAUCAGUGGUCACGUGGGAUCGCAUGAGAUUAGUCGGUGGUCACCCAUCGUAAUGCUUGGGUAGUCGAUCCACUUUCCCCCUCCGUCGUGACUUGCAGCUUGAUGGUCCGACUAGCCAUCAGUUGCGCUCCCUCGUUGGCCAACCAUGAUAGCGAUCAUCAACCCUCAUACUCUUAUGGCUGUGUGCAUCGGAGGCUACGGGUGAUCCUUAUUUUCCAAGAAAAGAACCCUCCCACACUUACCAUAACUUGCCAAUUGCUUGCAACAACAUAAUUGCCUAGUCUUAAAACAGUUAAUGUGAGUGUGCUGAUGGUAACACCUUUUGGUCUUGAUUAUUUCUAUAGCUGGUGGAGAAGAUGAUGGAAUAGUCCAAGGAGAACGUCAACACCAAGAAGGGUGGCACCUUGUCGCGGCGCUGCAGUAGCUGCAUCUUGUGAAUGUUUGGCGCUUUGGCAGCACCCUAUCUAUCCAGUACGAGACGAACUAUAUCAACUCUGUAUCUAUCUAUCUAUAGCUCACCUUUUUCAUCAAUCACAUUAAUUUAAUAGCUAUCUAAUGCUUUAACUAAUGCUUAUCUCUUCCUGCGGUAGACUAUAAAUAGGGUGGCACGGCGCACAAGACUGAAGCACACACCACAAGCAAGAGGGUACGUAAAGACCAUAGUGGAGAGAUAGGAUGACGUCAGAGACAUGAAAGGGCGUGAAGUUCUCCAAGGAAGAAGUCACCUCACACCCGCGCAUUCUCGAAGGUGAGGAGCAGACAGUUGCGCCGACGCUACAGUCUUCGAUCUUCGCGCUGACGCUGGAUGAGCUGCAAUUGUUGGGGAACGUAGUAAUUUCAAAAAAAUUCCUACGCACACGCAAGAUCAUGGUGAUGCAUAGCAACGAGAGGGGAGAGUGUGUCCAGGUAGCCUCGUAGACCGAAAGCGGAAGCGUUAGAACAACGCGGUUGAUGUAGUCGUACGUCUUCACGGCCCGACCGAUCAAGCACCGAAACUACGGCACCUCCGAGUUCUGGCACACGUUCAGCUUGAUGACGUCCCUCGAACUCCGAUCCAGCCGAGUGUGGAGGGAGAGUUCCGUCAGCACGACGGCAUGGUGACGAUCUUGAUGUUCUACCGUCGCAGGGCUUCGCCUAAGCACCGCUACAAUAUUAUCGAGAUGGACUAUGCUGGAGGGGGGCACCGCACACGGUUAAGAGAUCAAUUGUUGUUGUUAGAGGUGCCCCCCUGCCCUCGUAUAUAAAGGAUCAAGGGGGAGGGGGUGGCCGGCCAGGAGGAGGCGCGCCAAGGAGGAGUCCUACUCCCACUGGGAGUAGGAUUCCCCCCCUUCCAAGUAGUAGGAGUAGGAGUCAAGGAAAGGGGGAAGAGAAGAGAAGGAAGGAGGGGGCGCAGCUCCUCCCCCUAGUCCAAUUCGGACUAGGCCUUGGGGGGCGCCCAGCCUCUCCUCUCUCUUUCCCCUAAAGCCCAAUAAGGCUCAUAUACUCCCCGGCGAAUUCCCGUAACUCUCCGGUACUCCGAAAAAUACCCGAAUCACUCGGAACCUUUCCGAACUCCGAAUAUAGUCGUCCAAUAUAUCGAUCUUUACGUCUCAACCAUUCCGAGACUCCUCGUCAUGUCCCCGAUCUCAUCCGGGACUCCAAACUCCUUCGGUACAUCAAAACUCAUAAUAUAACUGUCAUCAAAACCUUAAGCGUGCGGACCCUAUGGGUUUGAGAACAAUGUAGACAUGACCGAGACACGUCUCCGGUCAAUAACCAAUAGCAGAACCUGGAUGCUCAUAUUGGCUCCCACAUAUUCUACGAAGAUCUUUAUCGGUCAAACGGCAUAACAACAUACGUUGUUCCCUUUGUCAUCGGUAUGUUACUUGCUCGAGAUUCGAUCGUCGGUAUCUCAAUACCUAGUUCAUUCUCGUUACCGGCAAGUCUCUUUACUUGUUCUGUAAUACAUCAUCCCGCAACUAACUCAUUAGUUGCAAUGCUUGCAAGGCUUAUAGUGAUGUGCAUUACCGAGUGGGCCCAGAGAUACCUCUCCGACAAUCGGAGUGACAAAUCCAAAUCUCGAAAUACGCCAACCCAACAUGUACCUUCGGAGACACUUGUAGAGCUCCUUUAUAAUCACCCAGUUACGUUGUGACGUUUGGUAGCACACAAAGUGUUCCUCCGGUAAACGGGAGUUGCAUAAUCUCAUAGUCAUAGGAACAUGUAUAAGUCAUGAAGAAAGCAGUAGCAACAUACUAAACGAUCAAGUGCUAAGGCUAACGGAAUGGGUCAAGUCAAUCACAUCAUUCUCCUAAUGAUGUGAUCCCGUUAAUCAAAUGACAACUCUUUUGUCCAUGGCUAGGAAACAUAACCAUCUUUGAUAAACGAGCUAGUCAAGUAGAGGCAUACUAGUGACACUAUGUUUGUCUAUGUAUUCACACAUGUAUUAUAUUUCUGGUUAAUACAAUUCUAGCAUGAAUAAUAAACAUUUAUCAUGAUAUAAGGAAAUAAAUAAUAACUUUAUUAUUGCCUCUAGGGCAUAUUUCCUUCAGCAAUACUCGGUAUGUGAGGCGGGGCACAAUUUUGGGUCCAUGAACAUUGACGAGUUCAUGAGCAACAUAAGGAAUGUCGAGGAGUUCCAAGUGGCUACCGGCAGUGGCUUGGUGGGCAUGGCUGAGGCUCCUUUUGUUGGUGCUAGUGGAAGCGCAGGUGGUGAGGAUGCAGGAGGAAUUGGCCUAUGCUGGCAGGGGUCCUUCUCCCUGCCUUCCCCGCUGUGUUGGAAGACGAUGGAGGAGGUGUGGGCUAAGAUCAACAGGAAGCCCCAACCGGUGCAUGCCCAGCCUUAGGUCGCGCGUCCCUCGUCGUAGCUUCCUAUACAGCCAAUGGUGGGGAAUGUUAGAAAGCCUUUUUGCGCUGUGAUGCUACCUAGCGGAAACAAAUCCGCCAUUGACUGCUCACUAGAAUACACCAUCAAAAUAUACAGGUGGGACUACUUUAUUCUCAUUUUCUGCUAUACACUAGAAUACACCAUCAAAAUAUAGCUAGUGGUCCCCAUUAUUUAUGUUUGGCAUGGAUACAUGGCAGAAAUAUGACAAUGCUCUCUCUCUCUCUCUCUAAAUCCAACAUUUUAUUUCACCUUUACUAAAUUAAAUCGUCCCUAUCUUUUAAACCAAAAAGACCUAUUUGAUUUUUUUAUAUAUUUGAACUCCUGGCGCCAAGGCCUUUUAAACAAGACCGAUCUUAAAUACGUUCGAACACAUUUAAAUUUCAACAUUUCACAUUCCAUAUGUGCACCAAACCUAUAUAACUAGAAAUUUUUUAAUACACUAUUUCCAUAGAAAUAUGUAAAAACCAUCAUAUUUUACUAGAAACCAAUGACUUUUUGAAUUGAGUUAACAUUUUAUUUGAAAAAACAUGCAGUUGAAAUAUAUGUGAUUUUCUUGAAACAGGCCUGUGAAAUGUAACAUGUAAGUUCUAAAUUUUGAAAUAAUCCCUGCGUCCCAAAAUAAGUGACUCAACUUUACAGUAACUUAGUACUAAAUUCAGUACAAAGUUGUGUCACUUAUUUUGCGACCAAGGGAGUAGUAACCACAAAAUGUGAAAUUGAUUUUUCGAAAGAGUGUAAUAUUUUUUUUUCAAAAAUGUGUAACUAAAAUAUAUGUGAUUUUUGUGAAACAUGACAGUGAAAUGUAAAAAAAUGUAGGUUCUGAAUUGUGAAAUACUAACAACAAAAUGUGAAAUUGUAAUGUAUACAUGUGAAACUAAUUAUUUCAAAAGAGUGAAAUAUGUUUUUAAAAAUGUGUAACUAAAAUAUAUGUGAUUUUUGUGAAACAUGUUAGUGAAAUUAAAAAAGCAGGUUCUGAAUUGUGAAAAUGUUAACCACAAAUGUGAAAUUAGAAUGUAUAAAUAUGAAACUGAUUAUUUCAAAAGAGUGAAAUAAGUUUUUUCAAACAUAUGUAAUUGAAAUAUAUGUGAUUUUCCUAAACCAAGCCAGUCUGAAGUGAAAUGUAGGUUCUGAAAUAUGAAAGAGUAACUAUAGAAAGUGAAAUUCUAUUGUGUCGUUUGUCAAACUGAUUGUUUAAACAUGUGUAAUAGUUUAUUUCAAAAGAGUGAAAUAUGUUAUUUGAAAAAUGAGCAAUUUAAUUAGGUGUUUUUUGUGACGCAAGCCCGUAAAUAUUGAAAUGUUGGUUCUGACUUGUGCAAUAGCCACUACAGAAAGUGAAAUUGUAGUGUAUCAUUGUGAAAUAGAUUAUUUUGACAUGUGAAAUAUAUGUUCAAAUUUAAAUAUGUUUAAAAUAUAUUCAAGUUUUAUUUCAUUUUAAAGUUUUUGGCUCACGGAGUUCAAAUAUAAAAAAAGUUUCACAAAUGAAUAUAUGGUUUAAAAGAUAUGAAUGUUUUAAAUUAGCUAAGGAGGAAUAAAUGGUUGGAUUUAUUGUGUGGGAGAAGAAAAAAUGAUUCUGCCACAGUUUCAUGCAUGCAUGUGAAGUACAUUAGUGGGGGCCAAUUGUUGAAGCGUGAGAGUGGAAAUACGAAGAUGGGAAAUCCAGAAAAGAAAUGUAAUACAAAGAUACUUGGCCCACAUAGUGUUAGAUGGCGGCUACCUAUUGGACACCACCUUGCUAGUAGGUAGUGCAACCCCAUAAUUUUGCAUUUCGUGGGGAAUGGCGGUUCUGUUGCUGCCAAUGACCGACAUCAGACGCUCGGAGAGACAAUGCUGUAGCAGUGUGGUCCGUGGAUCUUGCUCCGGUGGACAAGCGCCUGUGCCGGCCAGCAUGGUCCAUGGACAUAUGAACCCAACACAGCAGGGGUAGCAACCUGGCCCAAUGAUGUACCCGAUGGCACUGGCCAACGACAUGUUCUCGGUGAUGGGCGACGAUAUGGGGUUCGGCCCCAACGGGUACGCAAGGAUGGCUGUGGUGCCUCCGCCACCACCUCCUCAAGGUGGGGUGGGUAUUGUGAGCCCCGGGUCAUCGGACGGGCGGAGCGCCAUGACGCAGGCUGACAUGACGAACUACAUGGGCGACGGAGCGAUGAUGGAGAACGUCAACGCCCGGAGGAUCAGUCCUCCAAGAGGAGCAUCGAGCAUUGCCACCGCCGCGUGAUCAAGAGUCGCGAGUCAGCCGCACGAUCGCGUGCUAGGAACAAGUACUUACAUUGCUACCAAAAUUGUUGUUUUUAUGCAAUGCCAUUUCUGCAAUAGUGGUAACAAGGUUGGUGACACUUAUACACUCCCUCUUUGAUAAUCCUACAGGCUUAUACUGUGGAGCUUGAAGCUGAACUGGACUACCUCAAGGAGGAGAAGGCUCGUCUGAAAGCUGAGGAGGUAGGAAGCUGUUGACUAGUGAAAACCAUGAGAAAAUUUAGUUUUCUUAUUCUUUUCAGUUCUUACCAUUACUAAACUCAAUAAUUGUUUCGUUGCAGAAGACGAUUUUGUUGACAAAGAAAAAAUGUUACGUACAUUUUCCCACCAUCGCGUGGCAAUCCUCCUACACUUGCCAACUGCUUGUAACAAUCUAAUUGCUAUGUGUUUAACACUGUUAAUGUGUGCGUGCUGAUAAAGCUACCUUGUGCUCUUGAUCUUUUUUUCUUACAGCUGGUGGAGAAGAUGAUGGAACAGUCCAAGGAGCAAGUGAACGUCAAGAAAGGUGGAGCCCUAUCGCGGUGGAACAGAAGCUGCAUCUUGUGAACGGUGACCCACCAUUCAUCUUCCAUAGCCAUGCUAGCAUGAGGAUGAGAAUGAAUUGUGGUGUUGAUAACAGUUACCUUUCCUUUUCGGAACGGGGUGGUAUAGUAAUAUACUAGUAGUACCUAAAACCCAUAAGGACCCAAAUGUGAGUGUUUAUCUAGUCAAGCAAGUGAACUUGUGUUGUUGUUACUGUUUAUAGGUAUAUGUUUUUGUCACAAGCUUCAAACAAAUGAAAGUUAGGAAUAUGUUGACAUGUACUUGCGCUUUAAUAUGAUGCGAUGCAAUGUGUGUGGUCCAUGUGUGUGUGUAUGGAAGUCUUCGCCUUUCCUCUCUUGUGAAGAAGUGGAUUUGACACACGGUUGAGUUUAGUCACGUAUGCACACUUUUCCUCAUCGGUGAAAUUUUAGUCAUUGAAAUAGUUCUUAAAUCUAGUGAAAUUUGAGCUAUUCAAAUGAGUGGUCACGCAAGAUCCCUUGAGAUUUGUGGGCGGUCACCCAUCAUAAUGCUUGGGUAGUCGAUCCACUUUCCUCCUCUGUCGUGCUUUCUGCUUAAUGGUCUGACCAGCCUUCAGUUGCGCUCCCUCGUUGGACAACCAUGAUAGCCAUCAUCAUCCCUCAUACUCUUAUGGCUAUGUGCAUCGGAGGCCAGGGGUGAUCCUUCUUUUCUAAGAAAAAAACUCUCCCACACUUACCAUAAUUUGCUAGUUGCUUGCAACAAGGUAAAUGCCAAGUCUUAAAUUAGUUAAUGUGAGCGUGCUGAUGGUAACACCUUUUGGUCUUGAUUUUUUUAUAGCUGGUGGAGAAGAUGAUGGAAUAGUCCAAGGAGAACAUCAACACCAAGAAGGGUGGCACCCUGUCGUGGCACUGUGGUAGCUGCAUGUUGUGAACGUUUGGCGCUUUGGCAACACCCUACCUAUCCAGUAUGAGAGAAACUGUCUACUGUGUAUCUAUCUAUCUAUAGCUCACCUUUUUCAUAGAUCACGUGAAUUUAAUAGCUAUCUAAUGCUUUAAUUUAUGCUUAUCUCUUGCAUGCAGUAGGCUAUAAAUAGGGUGCCGCGGCGCACAAGACUGAACCCCACACCACAACCAAGAGCGUACGUUGAGACCAUAGUGGAGAGAAAGAAUGGCAUCAGAGAUGAUCAAGGACGUGAAGGUGAGGAGCAGAUGGUUGCGCCGAUGCCGUAGUCUUCAAUCUUCGCGCUGACGCUAGAUGAGCUGCAUUACUCGGUGUGCGAGGCGGGGCACAAUUUUGGGUCCAUGAACAUGGACGAGUUCAUGAGCAACAUAUGGAAUGUCGAGGAGCUCCAAGCGGCUACCAGUUGUGGCUUGGUGGGCAUGGAGGAGGAUCCUGGUGGGUGCUGGUGGAAGCAGAGGUGCCGGGGAUGCAUGAGGAAGUGGCCUAUGCCGGCAGGGGUCCUUCUCCUUUCCUCCCCCGCUGUGCUGGGAGACAGUGGAGGGGGUGUGGGCUGACAUCAACAGCGAGCCCCAACCGGUGCAUGCCUAGACUGAUGUCGCGCGUCUCUCACCGCAGCUUCUUGUCCAUCCAACCAUGGGGAAUGACAUAAAGUCUUUUUGCGCGGUGAUGCUACCUAGCGGCAAGAAAUCCGCCAUUGAUUGCUCGCGUCAAGAUGUGUGGAGGUGGGACCACUUUAUUCUCCUUUUCUUCUAUACACUAGUACACAUCAUCAAAAUAUAGCUAGUGGUCCCUAUUAUUUGUCUUUGGCAUGGAUGCAUGGCAGAAAUAUGACAGUGCUCUCUCUCUCCGGUUAAAUUCAACCUUUUAUUUCACCUUUACUAAAUUAAAUUUUCCCUAUCUUUUAAACCAUAAGUUCCUAUUUGAAUUUUUAUAUAUAUUUGAACUCCUGGUGCCAAGGCCUUUUAAACAAGACCGAUCAUGAAUACAUUCGAACAUAUUUAAAUUUCAACAUUUCACAUUCCAUAUGUGAACCAAACCUAUAUAACUAGAAAAUUUUUUAAACACUAUUUCCACAGAAAUAUGUAAAACCAUCAUAUUUUACUAGGAACCUACGACUUCUUGAAAUGUGUAACAGUUUAUUUCGAAAGAGUGAAAAUGAUUUUUUUAAAACAUGCAAUUGAAACAUAUGUGAUUUAUGUGAAACAGACCUGUGAAAUGUAACAUGUAGGUUCUGAAUUGUGAAAUAAUCCCUCCGUCCCAAAUAAGUAACUCAACUUUACACUAACUUAGUACUAAAGUCAGUACAAAGUUGCGUCACUUAUUUUGGUACGAAGGAAGUAGUAACCAUAAAAGGUGAAAUUGAUUUUUUGAAAGAGUGGAAUAUUUUUUUUCAAAAAUGUGUAACUAACAUAGAUGUGAUUUUUGUGAAACAUAACAAUGAAAAGUAAAAAUGUAGGUUCUGUAUUGUGAAAUACUAACCACAAAAUGUUAAAUUAUGAUGUAUAAAUGUGAAACUCAUUAUUUCAAAAGAGUUAAAUAUGUUUAAAAAAAUGUGUAACUAAAAUAUAUGUGAUUUUUGUGAAACAUGUUAGUCUAAUGUAAAAACUAGCUUCUGAUUUGUGAAAAUAUUAACCACAAAUGUGAAAUUACAACGUAUAAAUGUGAGACUGAUUAUUUCAAAGGAGUGAAAUAAGUUUUUCCAAACAUAUGCAAUUGAAAUAUAUGUGAUUUUCCUGAACCAAGCCAGUCUGAAGUGAAAUGUAGGUUGUGAAUUAUGAAAGAGUAACUACAAAAAGUGAAUUCUAUUGUGUCGUUUGUGAAACUGAUUGUUUGAACAUGUGUAAUAGUUUAUUUCAAAAGAGUGAAAUAUGUUAUUUGAAAAAUGUGCAAUUUAAUUAGGUGUUUUUUUGUGAAGCAAGCCCGUGAAAAGUGAAAUGUAGGUUCUGAAUUGUGCAAUAGCCACUAUGGAAAGUGAAAUUGUAGUGUAUCAUUGUGAAAUAGAUUAUUCUGACAUGUGAAAUAUAUGUUCAAAUUUAAAUAUGAUUAAAAAAUAUUCAAGUUUGAUCUCAUUUUAAAGGUUUUGGCGCACAUAGUUCAUUUUUUUUUCACAAAUGAAUAUAUGGUUAAAAGAUAUGGAUGUUUUAAAUUAGCUAAGGAGGAAGAAAUGGUUGGAUUUAUUGUGUGGGAGAAGAAAAAGUGAUUGUGCCACACUGUCAUGCAUGCAUGUGAAGUACAUUAGUGGGUUGUUGAAGAGUGAGAGUGGAAAUACGAAGAUGGGAAAUCCAGAAAAGAAAUGUAAUACAAAGAUACUUGGCCCACAUAGUGUUAGAUGGCGGCUCCCUAUUGGACACCACCUUGCUAGUAGGUAGCGCAACCGCGCAAUCUUACAUUUCAUGGGGAAUGGCGGUUCGGUUGCAGCCAACGACCGACAGGGGACGGUCAGAGAGACGAUGCUGUAGCAGUUCCUUGUCAAGGCCAGCAUGGUCCGGGGAUCUUCCGUCGGUGGCUAAGCGCCUGUGCCGGUCGGCAUGGUCCAUGGACAGAUGAACCCCGCACAGUAGGGGCAGUAGCAUGGCCCAAUGAUGUACCCAAUGGCACCGGUCAACGACAUGUUCUCGGUGAUGGGCAAGAACAUGGGGUUCAUCUCCAAUGGGUACGCAGGGAUGGCUGUGGUGCCUCUGCCACCACCUCCUCAAGAUGGGGUGGGUAUCGUGAGCCCCGGGUCAUCGGAUGGGAGGAGCGCCAUGACGCAGGUUGACAUGACGAACUACAUGGGCGACGAAGCGAUGGUGGAGAACAGCGACGCCUCGGAGGAUCAGUCCUCCAAGAGGAGCAUCAAGCAUCGCUACCGCUGCAUGAAUAAGAAUCUUGAGUCAGCCGGACGAUCGCGUGCUAGGAACAGGUACUUACUUGCUGCGAAAAUUGUUGAUUUUUAUGCAAUACCAUUUCUUCAAUAGUGGUAACAAGGUCGGUGACACGUACACACUCCAUCUUUGAUAAUCCUACAGGCUUAUACUGUGGAGCUUGAAGCUGAACUGAACUACCUCAAGGAGGAGAAAGCUCAUUUGAAAGCUGAGGAGGUAGGGAGGUGUUGCCUAGUGAAAACCAUGAGAAAAUUCAGUUUUCUUAUUCUUUUAAGAUCUUACCGUUACUAAACUCUAUCAUUGUUUUGUUGAAGAUGAUGAUUUUGUUGACCAAGAAAAAAAAUGUUACAUACAUUUUCCCACCAUCGCGUGGCAAUCCUCCUACACUUGCCAUAUUCUUUUAACAAUCUAUUUGCUAAGUUUAACACAGUUAAUGUGUGUGUGCUGAUAAAACCACCUUGUGUUCUUGAUCUUUUUUCUUACAACUGGUGGAGAAGAUGAUGGAAUAGUCCAAGGAGAAAGUGAACGUCAAGACAGGUGGAGCCCUACCACGGUGCAACAGAAGCUGCAUCUUAUGAACAAUGACCCGCCAUUCAGCUUCCAUAGCCGUGCUAGCAUGAGGAUGAGAAUGAAUUGUGGUGUUGAUAACAGUUACCCUUCGUUUUCGGAGCGGGGUGGUAUAGUAAUAUACUAGUACUAGCUAAAACCCAUAAGGACCCAAAUGUGAGUGUUUAUCUAGUCAAGCAAGUAAACUUGUGUUGUUGUUACUAUUUAUAGGUAUAUGUGUUUGUGAGAAGCUUCAAACAAAUGGAACAAAAGAAAGUUAGCAAUAUGUUGAUGUGUACUCGCGCUUUAAUAUGACGUGAUUGAGUGUGUGUGGUCCAUGUAUGUGUGGGAGUAUUUGCCAUUCCUCUCUUCUGAAGAAGUGGAGAUGACACACGAGUUGAGUUUAGUCAUGUAGGCACACUUUUCCAUGUCGGUGAAAUCUUAGUCAUUCAAAUAGUUCUUAAAUCUAGUGAAAUUUGAGCUAUUCAAAUCAGUGGUCACGCGGGAUCCCUUGAGACUUGUCAGCGGUCACCCAUCGUAAUGAUUGGGUAGUCGAUCCACUUUCCCCCUCCGCCGUGACUUCCGACUUGAUGGUCUGACUAGCCUUCAGUUGUGCUCCCUCGUUGGCCAACCAUGAUAGCCAUCAUCAACCCUCAUACUCUUAUGGAUGUGUGCAUCCGAGGCCGGGGGUGAUCCUUCUUUUCUAAGAAAAAACCUCCCACACUUACCAUAAUUUGCCAAUUGCUGGCAACAACAUAAACAUAAUUGCCAAGUCUUAAAACAGUUAAUGUGAGCGUGCUGAUGGUAACACCUUUUGGUCUCAAUUUUUUUAUAGCUGGUGGAGAAGAUGAUGGAACAGUCCAAGGAGAAUGUCAACACGAAGAAGGGUGGCGCCCUGUCGCGGCUCUGCGGUAGCUGCAUCUUGUGUGAAUGUUUGGCACUUUGGCAGCACCCUAUCUAUGCAGUACGAGAUGAACUAUACAACAACUCUGUAUAUAUCUAUCUAUAGCUCACCUUUUUCAUCAAUCACAUGAAUUUAAUAGCUAUGUAAUGCAUUAAUUGAUGCUUACCUCUUGCAUGCGACAGGCUAUAAAUAGGGUGGUGCGGCGCACAAGACUUAACCACACAUCACAAGCAAGAGCGUACUUAGAGACCUUAGUGGAGAGAUAGGAUGGCAUCAGAGCUGAGCAAGGACAUGAAGUUCUCCGAGGGAGACGUCACCUCACACCCACGCAUUCUCAAAGGUGAGGAGCAGAUGGUUGUGCCGAUGCUGCAGUCUUUGAUCUUCACGUUGAUGCUGAACCAGUUGCAAUACUCUAUUUGCAAGGUGGGGCGCUAUUUUUGAUCCAUGAACAUGGAUGAGUUCAUGAGCAACAUAUGGAAUGUCAAGGAGUUCCAAUCAGCUACCGGCGGUUGCUUGGUGGGCAUGGAGGAGGCUCCUGUGGUGGGUGCUGGUGGAAGCGGAGGUGGCGGGGAUGAAGGAGGAAGUGGCCAAUGCCGGCAAGGGUCCUUCUCCUUGCCUCCCCCGCUGUGCCGGAAGACGAUGGAGGAGGUGUGGGCUGAGAUCAACUGGGAGCCCCGACCGGUGCAUGCCUAGCCUCAGGUCGCGCGUGCCUCACCACAACUUCCUGUCUAGCCAAUGGUGGGGAAUGGCAUAAAGUCUUUUUGCGCGGUGAUGCUACCUAGUGGCAACAAAUCCGCCAUUGAUUGCUCUCAUUAAGAUGUGUGCAGGUGGGGCCACUUUAUUCUCAUUUUCUUCUAUCCACUAGUAUACAUCAUGAAAAUAUAGCUAGUGGUCUCCAAUAUUUGUCUUUGGCAUGGAUGCAUGGCAGAAAUAUGACAGUGUGCUCUCUCUCUCUCCCUCUCUCUCUUGUUAAAUCCAACCUUUUAUUUCACCUCUACUAAAUUCAAGCCCCUAUCUUUUAAACCAUAAGUUCCCAUUAUAUAUAUAUAUAUAUAUAUAUAUAUAUAUAUAUAUAUAUAUAUAUAUAUAUAUAUAUAUAUGAACUCCUGGCGCUAUGGCCUUUUAAGCAAGACCGAUCAUGAAUACAUUCGAAAACGUUUAAAUUUCAACAUUUCACAUUCCAUAUGUGAACCAAACCUAUAUAACUAGAAAUUUUUUAAAUAACUAUUUCCACAAAAAUAUGUAAAACCAUCAUAUUUUACUAGAAACCGCUUUUUGAAAUGUGUAACAAUUUAGUUCAAAAUAGUGAAAAUGUUUUUUCAAACAUGCAAUUGAAAUAUAUGUGAUUUUUGUGACACACACGUGUGAAAUGUAACAUGUAGGUUUUGAAUUGUGAAAUAGUUCCUCCGUCCCAAAAUAAGCGACUCAACUUUACACUAUCUUAGUAUUAAAGUCAGUACAAAGUUGAGUUAGUUAUUUUGGGAUGAAGGGAGUAGUAACCACGAAAUGUGAAAUUGAUUUUUUGAAAGAGCGCCAUAUGUUAUUCUAAAUGUGUAACUAAAACAGAUGUGAUUUUUGUGAAACAUGACAUUGAAAUGUAAAAAUGUAGGUUCUGAAUUAUGAAAUACUAACCACAAAAUGUGUAAUUAUAAUGUAUAAAUGUGCAAAUGAUUAUUUCAAAAGAGUUAAAUAUGUUUUUAUAAAAUGUGUAACUAAAAUAUAUGCGAUUUUUGUGAAACAUGUUAGUGAAAUGUAAAAAGUAGGUUUUGAAUUGUGAAAAAUAUUAACCACAAAUGUGAAAUUGCAAUAUACAAAUGUGAAACUGCUUAUUUCAAAAGUGUGAAUAAGUUUUUCAAAAUUUUUAAUUUAAAUAUAUGUGAUUUUCCUGAACCAAGCCAGUCUGAAGUGACAUGUAGGUUCUGAAUUAUGAAAGAGUAACUACAGAAAGUAAAAUUCUAUUGUGUCGUUUGUGAAACUGAUUGGUUGAACAUGUGUAAUAGUUUAUUUCAAAAGAGUGAAAUAUGUUAUUCGAAAAAUGUGCAAUUUAAUUAGGUGUUUUUCACGAAGGAAGCCCAUGAAAAGUGAAAUGUAGGUUCUGAAUUGUGCAAUAGCCACUACAAGAAGUGAAAUUGUAGUGUAUCAUUGUGAAACAGAUUAUUUUGACAUGUGAAAUAUUUGUUCAAAUUUAAAUAUGGUUAAAAAAUAUUCAAGUUUGAUCUCAUUUUAAUGAUUUUGGCGUAUGGAGUUCAAAUAUGAAAGAAAAUUCACAAAUGAAUAUAUGGUUUAGAAGAUAUGGAUGUUUUAAAUUAGCUAAGGAGGAAGAAAUUGUUGGAAUUAUUAUGUGGGAGAAGAAAAAGUGAUUCUGCCACACUGUCAUGCAUGCAUGUGAAGUACACUAGUGGGGGCCAACUGUUGAAGAGUGAGAGUGGAAAUACGAAGAUGGGAAAUCCAGAAAAGAAAUGUUAUACAAAGAUACUUGGCCCACAUAGUGUUAGAUGACAACUCCCUAUUGGAAACCACCUUGCUGGUAGGUAUAGCAACUGCGCAAUUCUACAAUUCAUCGGGAAUGGUGGUUCAGUUGCGGCCAACGACCGGUAGGGGACGCUCGGAGAGAGACGCUGUAGCAGUUCCUUGUCAAGGCCAGCAUCGUCUGAGGAUUUGGCGCCGGUGGCCACACGCCUAUGACGGCCGGCAUUUUCCAUGGAUAGAUGAACCCUGUGCAGCAGGGGCAUCUACUUGGCCCAAUGAUGUACCUGAUGGCACCGGCCAACGACAUGUUCUUAGUGGUGGGCAACGACAUGGGUUCGUCCCCAACGGGUACGCAGAGAUGGCUAUGGUGCCUCCACCACCAACACCUCCUCAAGGUGCGGUGGGUAUCAUGAGCCCUGGGUCAUCGGACGGGAGGAGCUCCAUGACACAGGUUGACAUGACGAACUACAUAGGCGACGGAGCGAUGAUGGAGAACGGCGACGCCCUGGGGGAUCAGCCCUCCAAGAGGAGCAUCGAGCAUCACCACCGUCACAUCAUCAAGAAUCGUGAGUCAGCCGAACCAUAGUACCGAAUUGAAAGCUUUGCUUCAGGAGGAAACUUUCAAGGGGUCGAUUUAUUCACACUAAUCUUCUCGACUCUAUUACUUCAACAACUAUAGCUCGUUCUUCUCUGCAACGAAGAUGUACUUCUAUGAAGUUCCUCGAACUCAUCACUAGAGACAACAUUCUCUUCGGUUGUGUAUGGACCCUUUUUUUGUUAUGCACUAGCAAACAAAUCAGUCAAUACCUGUUGAGGUAGUCCUGGAUUAGGGGGUAUCCGGACAGCCGGACUGUAUACAUCGUCUGGACUAUUGAAGCUUGAAGAUACAAGACUCAAGACUUCGGCCCGUGUCUGGAUGGGACUCUCCUUUGCGUGGAAGGCAAGCUUGGCAAUCCAGAUAUUGUGUUUCCUUCCUGGUAACCGACUCCAUGUAAACCCUAGCCCUCUCCGGUGUCUAUAUAAACCGAAGAGGUUGGUCCUUAGAAGGACGAUCACAAUUACAAUCAUACCAUCAUAGGCUAGCUCUUAGGGUUUAGCCUCUACGAUCUCGUGGUAGAUCUAAUCUUGUACUACCCAUAUAUUCAAUAUUAAUCAAGCAUGAAGUAGGGUUUUACCUCCAUCGAGAGGGCCCGAACCUGGGUAAACAUUGUGUCCCUUGCUUCCUGUUACCAUCAGCCUAGACACACAGAUCGGGACCCCCUACCCGAGAUCUGCCGGUUUCGACACCGACAUUGGUGCUUUCAUUGAGAGUUCCUCUGUGUCGUCGCUGCAGGGUCUGAUGGCACCUUCAAUCGUCAACAACACGGUCCAGGGGGAGACUUUUCUCCCCGGACAGAUCUUCGUGUUCGGCGUCUUCGCACUGCGGGCCAAUUCGCUUGGCCAUCUCGAGCAAAUCGACAGCUACGCCCCUAGCCACCAGGUCAGGUUUGGAAACUUGAACUACACGGUAGAUAUUCGCGGAGACUUGAUCUUUGAUGGAUUUGGGCCUGCGCCAGGAGCACCGAAUAGUCACGAUGAGCACGGCUUCGACCUGCCGUCGGACGAUGCUCGGGAUAUCGGCCCUUCAGUAAGAGCCUCGGAUCUAAAUCCGGAGUAGGUUGCGUUGCCUAAGGACGAAGGGGUGGACCCCGCCCCACAGGCCGCACACUCAUCUGCGAUGGAGCCGAGCACAGGUCUCACCUCUGUGGAAGCCUGUAACCCCGGGCCCCUGGACUCGUAUCUGGUUGUUGGUUCCAGUCCGCACACCCUCGAGCCAGCCGAGCUAGGCUGGGCUCCGGUAAUGGAGUUUAUCGCUGCGGAUAUCUUCCAGCACUUGCCCUUUGGCGACAUGCUGAACUCAUUAAAGUCUCUCUUGUUGUCAGGAGGCUGUGGGCCAAACUCUGUCCGGCUUGAGUGGGAACCAGGCGACGAAGGAAUUCGCUGCCCACCCACCACCCACUUCAUUGCCACGGUCGAUGAUGUAACUGACGUGCUUGACUUCGACUCCGAAGACAUCGACGGUAUGGACGACGAUGUAGGAGAAGUACAGGAGCCACCGCUCACAGGGCGAUGGACGGCCACCUCCUCAUACGAUAUAUACAUGGUGGACACUCCGAAGGAAACCAAUGGCGAUGAGGCAACUGAGAAUAACCCCUCAGGGAGAAAAGCAAAGCAUGGGCGUCGUCGGCGCCGCUCCAAGCCCCGCCACAGCAAUACCGGCCCCAGAGAUGAAAGCAAUCCGGAUGGUGCCGAAGAGGAAUACAACCCUGACCAGCCCUCCUUCGAGCAUGCCGAACAGGAAGAUGAGCAGAUCAGCCCAGACGAACAGGCAACUGACGGAUAUCCGGAGGAGGACAACUAUAUUCCCCCCUCCGAAGACGAGAUUAGCCUCGGCGACGACGAGUUCGGCGUGCCCGAGGAUCCCGUGGAGCAGGAGCGCUUCAAGCGCCGUCUUAUUGCCACUACGAGGAGCCUGAAGAAGAAGCAUCAGCAACUCCAGACUGAUCAAGACCUGCUCACAGAUAGAUGGACUGAAGUCCUGGCAGCCGAGGAAUAUGGACUCGAGCGCCAAACGGCCGACCGGCCACCCCGUGGCCGGGAUAAAACGGGAUACCAGCCUGAAUACCAGCCCGCACCCCCACGCCAAUACACUACGGCCCGGGGCAACAGGCAAGACCUGCAAGAUAUACUGGAAAACAAAGCAGGACAGGCAAGAUCGAUCUACGGAUCACAGGGGCGCGCCCCAGCACGCGACGAUGACCGUCACGCCGGAUACACUAUCAACAAGUCUGGUCGGGCCGAACACAGCAACCGAGACCAAUUCGAACUGCGUAGCCACAUAGCCUAGCACAGAGGCGCCGCACACCCCCUCUGCUUCACUGAGGAAGUGAUGGAUAAUGAAUUCCCAGAAGGGUUCAAACCUGUAAACAUCGAAUCAUAUGAUGGCACAACAGACCCCGUAGUGUGGAUCAAAGAUUUCCUUCUCCACAUUCGCAUGGCCCGCGGAGAUGAUCUACACGCCAUCAAGUAUCUUCCCCUUAAGCUCAAAUGACCAGCCCGGCACUGGCUAAACAGCCUGCCAGCAAAUUCCAUUGGCAGUUGGGAAAACCUGGAAGACGCAUUCCUCGACAACUUCCAGGACACAUAUGUGCGACCACCGAAUGCCGAUGAUUUGAGCCACAUUACUCAACAGCCCGGAGAGUCAGCCAAGAAAUUAUGUACCCGGUUCCUAACUAAAAAGAACCAAAUAGUCGACUGUCCGGACGCCGAAGCCCUGGCAGCUUUUAAACAUAAUAUCCGUGACGAGUGGCUCGCUCGACACCUCGGCCAGGAAAAACCCAAGUCCAUGGCAGCUCUCACAACAUUAAUGACCCGCUUUUGUGCGGGCGAGGACAGCUGGUUGGCUCGCAGCGGCACCACGCCACAAUCCGGCACUUCGGAUGACCGUGAUAGUAACGGCAAGCCACGACUCAACAGACAUAAGCGACAGAACAAUGGUGACAACACUGAAGAUACGACAGUAAACGUCGGAUUUAGCGGAUCCAAAUCCGGUCAGCGGAAGAAGCCGUUCAAAAGAAACAAUCAGGGACCGUCCAGUCUGGACUGUAUACUGGAGCGCUUGUGCCAAAUUCAUGGCACCCCGGACAAGCCAGCUAACCACACCAACAUAGAUUGCUGGGUAUUCAAACAUGCCAGCAAAAUAAAUGCCGAAAACAAGGACAAGGUGCUGCACAACAACGAUGACAAGGAGCCCCGACAUCCGAACAUGGGGGGACGGAAGAAAUUCCCCCCAGGUGAAAACGGUCAACAUGAUCUACGCCACUCACAUCCCCAAGCAGGAACGGAAGCGAGCACUACAGGAUGUCUACGCGAUGGAGCCAGUCGCCCCCAAGUUCAACCGAUGGUCAGCUUGUCCGAUCACCUUUGAUCGUAGGGAUCAUCCUACUAGCAUCCGUCACGGCGGCUCAGCCGCAUUGGUCUUAGACCCAAUCAUCGACGGAUUCCACCUCACACGAGUCCUUAUGGACAGCAGCAGCAGCCUGAACCUGCUUUACCAGGACACAGUGCGCAAAAUGGGCAUCGACCCCUCAAGGAUCAAGCCCACCAAAACCACCUUUAAAGGUGUAAUUCCUGGAGUAGAGGCCCGUUGUAUGGGCUCUAUAACAUUGGAAGUGGUCUUCGGAUCUCCGGACAACUUCCAAAGUGAAGAGUUAAUCUUCGAUAUCGUCCCUUUCCGUAGUGGUUACCACGCACUGCUCGGACGAACUGCAUUCGCUAGAUUCAAUGCGGUACCACACUAUGCAUACCUCAAGCUCAAGAUGCCAGGCCCGCGCGGGGUCAUAACAGUCAACGGAAACAUGGACCGCUCUCUCCGUAUAGAAGAGCAUACUGCAGCCCUCGCGGCAGAGGUACAAUGCGGCCUCCUCCGGCAAACCACCAAUCCGGCGACGAGAACCUCAAGCACCGUCAAGCGAGUCCGGAGCACCCCGCAACAGGAUCAUCAGGCACGCCAAGAGCGCGAUUAGCAGUCCCGCCUCCGCUUACACCCCAUUAAAGCAGCAUUCGUGCCACGCGUACACAAUUACGCACUCAAAAUACCAUGGGCACAGGCGGAGGCGCAGCAGCGACUCAGUCAACAGUGCGGUAUCACCGAAACAUACCUUCAUAAUCUUUGCCUUUUACCUUUCAGGACAUUGCUUUAGUGUAACCUCUUCAGAAGAGUCGGAUUGCCGGACUUACAUAGGAGAGAAAACCAAGGAGGCAACAUGCUUUGUGCACAGAAGGAAACACCCAGGUGGAAUCUAUUUACGAUCAUUAUACCUGUUUUAUCUAUCUGUACGUGACCUGCACCUGGAUAAUACAUGUAAAAUAGUCAUAUUCAUCUCCGCUUAAUGCAAUCAUUGUAAACAUACACUUAAACAUAUUAUUCAUCAAUGGGAGAUCACAUACAACGUCAGCUUAUCAGUCCUAUUUGAGCAUUUUUUCUCGCAAAAUGUUUAUUUGAUAUUGCAUCCGUACACCUUGGUACGUUCAGUUUGCCAGGGGCUUCUGAUGGCGCCCCAUAAUAUGGCAAGACAAGUCCGAACACUUUCAACAGUACGGCACCCCGAACUUAUAGCACUAUAUGCAUCAGCUCCGAAUCAUGUCUUGGGUCUACAGUUGGGAUAGCCCGGAUCCCUUGUUUUGGUACCUUACGUUCCGUUAUAUCGGCUAAGGUAGCAUAGGGAGAACUACUGCGAUUGUGUCCCGGUUCUUCCGGACGAGCACCUCAGUAGAGAAAGCCGAAAACUGACCGGCAUGAUGUGGUGAGAGCUGGUCGCUGUUCGAGAGGUCUUAAAAUCUUUAAAGAUUUUUCUGCUUUAGGCGAUAAAUCGGCUUCGUCCGAUCUAGGCGUAUAUAGCGCCCCAAUUUGGCCUUCCGGAUUCUAGGGGCUUCGCCAAAAUUUAAAAUUGUAGACUUCUAUGGCUAAGUGAAAGUUAUAAAGCCGCAUAGUCCGAUUGCCUUGUUCGCUGCCGGACACCUCCUUAAGGGACCAAACAUUUGGAUAAAGAGUGUCCGGGUUUCCAUGAACACCCCAGUACUAGUUACGUGGGGGCGGAAGCUGACGACUGGCCUACUUUCAGAAUUUUAUAAACAGCCGCACAGAAGGUAAUAUUUUAAAUAACAAAAGCACUACAUAGCGCAAGUAACUUUGUCCUUAAAUUACAAACAUGAUGGAAGUGAAUUCAUUCUAAAAUUGUGUCCUUGGUACGUUCAUCGGCCACGAGACAAGCGCCCUUCAUAACACCAUCGUAAUACUUCUUCGGAUUGCGAUGCGCCUUGCCCUCCAGCGGCCCGUCCUUCACCAGCUUCUCCGCAUCCAGCUUGCCCCAAUGCACCUUUGCGUGGGCAAAGGCCCAGCGGGCACCCUCAAUGCAAACGGAUCGCUUGAUGUCUUCGAGCCACGGACAGGCAUUCACCAUCCGCUUGAUUAGGCCGAAGUAGCUAGCCGGCAGGGGCUCACCAGGCCACAUCCGGACUAUGAAAUCUUUCAUAGCCAUUUUGGCCGCCCUAUGGAGUUCAACAAACUGCUUCAGUCGGUCACUCAGAGGCAUUGGAUGUUCGGCCCCAGCAUACUGGGACCAGAAUAGCUUCUCUGUUGAGCUCCCCUCCUGGGCACGGUAGAACUCCGUGGCAGCUGAUACGCUGCGUGGCAGAUCUGCGAAUGCCCCUGGAGAGCUCCGAACUCGAGUAAGUAAAAGAAAUGCCUCCUCCACAUGUUUGCUUUCCAUAAAGAAUUUCUUACCCGCCGCUAUCUUUUUGGCCUCCUGGACUUCCUGCUGUGCCUUCUCAGCUUCGGCCUUGGCGUCUUUUAUACCAGCAAGGGCCUCCGCAAGCUCGGCCUCUUUCGCCUUAAGCUCAUGCUCCAUGGACUCGAAUUUUUUGCCGAGCUCCUGGAGCUCUUGUUGUACCUCGCCCACUCUGGCAUCUUGCUUCUCGCGCUCUAUGCGUUCCAAGGCCGCCUUGUCUUCGGCCUCGGACAACGCUUUCUUCAGAGAGGCCACUUCGGUGGUGGCCACUGUUACAAAAUCACGAUGCUUCGUUGUUAGAAUAACUAAUUUUAUAUACCGUUCAUUAUGUGAGACCGGGGAAUUACUCACCUUUGCUCUCUUCGAGAUGCCUCUUCGUGUGGUCGAGCUCUCCCUGCGCCUACUCCAGAUCCCGUUUUAGUACGGCGAUCUCGGCUGUGCGGAUAGCAGCGGCAUGCAACACAGCCUGCUUAUUCACAUUAACACUUAUUAUUAGACUCCCGCGGAUUAUAAUUGACCCUCCAUUUGGUUUUUCUUUCCGACCACCAAACAGAGUACCAGGGGCUACUAUCUAUUGGGUGGUAAUUUCACAUAUUUUUUACUUACCUCAAUGCUUGUCAGGAGGCUGGUGCAAGCUUCAGUUAGCCCGCUCUUGGUAGACGAAACCUUCUGAAUCACCGCACUCAUAAGAGUAUGAUGCUCUUCAUCCAUGGAAGCGCUGUGAAGCUCUUCCAACAGACAAUCCGGCGCCUCGGGCGCAACGGAAGUCCUCGACACAGACGGCUCUCCCUCCCUAACGAGGGGCUGCCCGCCUGAGUCUGGAACCACUAAAGGCCCCGGAACAGUGUUCGGCUGAGAGCCUGGCCUACUGUGGCUCUCACCGACACGAUCCUCGCGGAUCUUGAACCCCGCGUGUCCGACAUCUAGAAUUCUGCCUCGGGGCGUCUCCAGAAUCACCUCCCCCCGCUCUGGGAGCCUUCGGGACAACACCUUCGUGUCGUCCGCGCGUUGAGGAGUGGUGGCCGUCGGGAGCGAGUUCAUCUCCGAAUCGCUCAGGGAUCCAUCCGAAGAAGAUACCUCGGGAUGAACCCUUGUCGGAGUGGAUAUACGUUCGGCAUUAUAAAAAGACUAUGAAGUAAAGUCAUUACAGGGUGCGGAUACUUACGAUCGCGCUAGGGGCUUCCCCCUGGGCAGCCACCCCUCCUUGCUAUGGGCGGCCGUGGCGGGGUAGUCCGGAAGGGACACCUUUCCCUUCUUGGACGACCCAGCCUCCCCCUCCUGGGCGGCUUUCCUCUUUUUCUCCUCCCUAGUGCGGGGAGGUAGAGUUUCUUCUUGCUUCGCCCCGCCUCCGCGGGAGGAAUCUGUCUCGUCGUCAUCAGACGACGUGGGUAUGACGGCCUUGCGCCGAGGGCCUUUUCCGGCCCCCUGGUCCGCCUUCUUGGGCCCCUCACCCUCUCCGGGUGGGGCGGUCCCUUCUUCUUCUUCCUCCCCUUCGGGGGAGGAGUGUGCCUUGUCGUCUUCGAAUGAGGCUUCUGGUGCAACCUUACGUCGGAGACCCUUUCGGAUCCCCGGGGCUUUCUUAUCGGCCUUCUUCUCCGGCACCUUGUAGGGCGCCGGGACCAGCAUCUCUGUCAGGAGAGCAUUAGCUGGGCUUUCUGGCAGCAGAGCCGGACAGUCAAUCUGCUCCACUGUCUCCACAUAAUCCUGAACAAAUAUGCACAAUUACUGAAGGCUCCCCCAUGAAUAUAUUGGGGAGAACCGAAUCUGGUGGUAGCCUGAGAACUCACCUGACUAGGAGGCCGCGUGGCGUGGAGCCCACGGUCCUCGGAUGUGGGAGGAGGUACUUUGGAGGCCUUAAACAACGCCUUCCACGCAUUUUUGUGCUUCAUGCCGUAGAGCCUCUGAAGCGUCUGGUGUUCGGCCGGGACGAACUCCCACAGAUUGAAUGCCCACCUUUGGCACGACAGAAUCCGGCGAACGAGCAAGACCUGGAUCACGUCGACAAGCUUGAUGUUCUUGUCUUUCAUGCUCUUGAUGCAGUUUUGGAGUCCGGUCAACUCUUUAGAUUCUCCCCAGGACAAGCCCCUCUUUUCCCAGGAGGUGAGCCGCAUGGGGGUUCCGGAUCGGAACUUGGGGGCCACCGCCCAGUUUGUGUCGCGCGGCUCGGUGAUGUAGAACCACCCCGACAGCCACCCCUUCACGGUUUCCGCAAAGGAGCCGUCAAGCCAGGUGACGUAAGGCAUCUUGCCCACCAUGGCUCCUCCGCACUCUGCUUGCCGGCUGCUCACAAUCUUCGGCUUCACGCAGAAGAUUUGCAGCCACAAGCCGAAAUGAGGCUUGAUGCGGAGGAAGGCCUUGCAUACGACGAUGAACGCCAAGAUGUUGAGGACGAAGUUCGGGGCUAGAUCAUGGAAAUAUAGCCUGUAGUAGAACAUGAGCCCGCGGACGAAGGGGUGAAGUGGAAACCCCAGUCCACGGACGAAGUGGGCGAGAAACACGACCCUCUCGUGGAGUCCUGGGGUUGGAAUGACCUGCCCGUCGUCUGGUAGCCGGUGCGCUAUGUCUGCGGCCAAGUAUCCGGCCGCCCGAAGAUUCGCGAUAUUCUUCUCCUUCACGGUGGAAGCCACCCACUUGCCUCCUGCUCCGGACAUGUUUAGCUGUGCGGAGAAAACUUGGACUAGGGCGCUGGGGCUCGAGGGGGCAAGAGUGGGAAUAAGGCGUGGGUAAAAAUGGGGAACUCUUAUCCCCUUAUAGAGGCGACGGAAGCGGUGCGCCUCCCCACUUGCCCGUUGGGUAUCGCUCACCUCCCAAGCGCCAUGAUUGAUGGCAUGGUGGGAUUACCCAUACCCGUAUUGAUGAGAAUCCUGUGAUAAGGGGACACGACCUUUGCUUUGACAAGAUGUGUCAAGGAAAGCGCCUCACAAUAUGCGCUGUGGCUGGUUGUAGAAAAAUGGUUUGAAUAAUGACCCGACCUUGAUGACAUGUCACGCUGUCUAGAAAGUUGCUAGCAGAUUGCAUUUGUGAAAUAUCAUUCUCUCUACGCUGAUAUGUGAGGAUCAUUUUGCGGAUCCGGACACGGUUGAAGUGUUCGAUAAUUACCUUGGAGUAUUCGGAGAAGGAACUCGCCUUGCAAUGCCGAAGACAAGACUGCGCGUUGGACUCAUCGUCAUUGAAGCCUGGUUCAGGGGCUACUAAUGGAGUCCUGGAUUAGGGGGUAUCCAGACAGUCGGACUGUAUACAUCGUCCGGAAUAUUGAAGCGUGAAGAUACAAGACUCAAGACUUCGGCCCGUGUCCGGAUGGGGCUCUCCUUUGCGUGGAAGGGAACCUUGGCGAUCCAGAUAUUGUGUUUCCUUCCUUGUAACUGACUCCAUGUAAACCCUAGCCCUCUCUGAUGUCUAUAUAAACCGGAGAGGUAGGUCCUUAGAAGGACGAUCAUAAUUACAAUCAUACCAUCAUAGGCUAGCUCUUAGGGUUUAUCCUCUACGAUCUCGUGGUAGAUCUACUCCUGUACUACCCAUAUCUUCAAUAUUAAUCAAGCAGGAAUUAGGGUUUUACCUCCAUCGAGAGGGCCCGAACCUGGGUAAACAUUGUGUCCCUUGCUUCCUGUCACCAUCAGCCUAGACGCACAGACCGGGACCCCCUACCCGAGAUCCGCCGGUUUUGACACCAACACCUGUUUCCGUCCACAAUCUCCAAACACAAGUUAGGCAGAUAUUGCACCAACAAAUUCAAUUAUGUUAGCACUGUUGAGAGAUUGCACUAGUGAAAGUAUGAACCCUAUGCCUUGUUUUUAAGUGUUGCAAUACCUUUUGUGCCCACUUUUAUCAUUUUGCUACCUUGUUGUUUUUAUUUAUUCAGAUUAUAAAAAUAUAUUUCUACUAUCCAUACUACACUUGUAUCAUCAUCUCUUUGUCGAACUAGUGCACCUAUACAAUUUGCCAUUGUAUUGGGUGUGUUGGGGACACAAGAAAUUUCUUGUAUUUGCUUGCAGGAUUGUUUGAGAGAGACUAUCUUCAUCGAACACCUCCCACGGAUUGAUAAACCUUAGGUCAUCCACUUGAGGGAAAUUUGCUACCAUUCUGCAAAACUCUGCGCUUGGAGGCCCAACGCGAGUCUACAAGAAUAAAGUUGCAUAGUAGACAUCCCACAACCAUGGGUGUUACCACUGUGAACAAUGUUGCCAUAUGAAUAAUAUCUUUUUGUAAUAAAAAAUAUUGUUUCCAUUUUUCAAGUGCCAGAAAUGAAUUUUCCGUGAAGGAAGUUCGUGGAUCAACUUUUAAAAUUAGGUCUUUUCAUUUUUCAUCCAAAGUAGACCACAUUGUAAGACCAAUGACCAAUUUUCUUGAAUUUCAGAGGAUUAUUGCUAUAUUUCAUUGAUUUACUAGAUUUCUAGUGAAUUUCCUAACUUUCUCAUAUUUGAACUACAAGUGUGAUGUAGUUUGCUCCUGAAAAUUGGCUAGGAUCAUUUUAAGCUUUUAGAUUGGUGGUGUAUGCACUGGGCACAACCAAAGUUGAAAUUCCAAACCAUUUUGUAGGAAUGGUCAACAUUGCAAGUUUGACCCAGAGUUGGAAAAUCAAAGAAAAUGAAAAAGUCUCAAAAAUUAAAAUCCUUGUGCAUGGGGCCCUUUGGUGUCAACUAGUUUGUGAUAAAAAUCAUAAACUUGCCAUACCACAAGUUUAAAAAAACUUCACAAAAAUGGCCUAUCUAGUAUGAACUUGCAUGGAUUUCAAGGCAUAUGCACAUGGACCUAGCCACUACAUAGUCAAUGCUAACAUGUCCAAAUUUGGCACAACCAUGGGUGUUACCAUUGUGUAAAAUAUUGCCAUAGGAAUAUUAUAAUUUUUGUAAUAAAAAAUAUUAUUUCUAUUUUUCAAGUGCGAGAAAUGAAUUUUUUGUGAAGGAAGUGCUAAAUAAGUUGUAAAACCGGGUCUUUUCAUUUUUCAUCCAAAGUAGACCACAUUGGUAACCCAGUAACCAAAUUUCUUGAAUUUCAUAGUAGUAUUACUAUAUUUCAUUUAUUUACUAGAUUUCUAGUGAAUUAUUUGAACUUGCUCAAAUAUGAACUACAAGUGUGAUGUAGUUUGGUCCCAAAAGUUAGCUAAAAUCAUUUUAUGCUUUUGCAUUGGUGGUGUAUGAAUUGGGCACAACCAAAGUUGAAAUUCCAAACCAUUUUGCAUGAAUGGUCAGCAUUGCUAGUUUGACCCCAGAUUGGAAAAAAUCAAUGAAAAUGAAAAAACCUCAAAAAUUAAAAUCCUUGUGCAUGGGGCCCUUUGUGUCAACUAGUUUGCGGGAAACAUCAUAACUUGUAAUACCACAAGUUUUGAAAAUUCAAUAUUACACGUUUGACUCCAAUUUAAGUAAGUUUUGCAUGUUGCUAUUUUUGGUAAGUUUUGUGUGUUGCAAUUUUUGGCAUGUUUUGCAUGUUGCACUCUAUUUGAACAUGCAAAACUCACUCAACGUAGGAAAUCCAGAACAUAACAUACAACUAGUGAUUAGAAACAUUCAAAAAACAUAUUGUUUUCAAUUAAAAGGGAAUCCAAAAUGUCGGAUCCUCAACGGUAGCUAUAAGAAACAGAACAAACUACUUGAUACGCUUAAGAUGGCGAGCCAGGCGGCAGUGGGAGCAUUGAGCAUCCUACUCAAACUGAGUCGAGCACUCAUACUACUCCACCAGUAUUGGGGCAUUCUUGCAGCUAGCCUCCAAGUGCUCCUUGCCAACCAUCUGCUCAUCCUUGUGGUCCUCAUUAAUCGCUAGAUUCAUGUCUGCCUGAGCAGGAUGAGCGAUGAUCUCCAACCUCCCGAUAGCCCUUCUCUCGUGCAUCCUCCUGCUGUGCAAUGAUCUCCAACCCCCGUGAUAGCCCUCCUCUUUGAUAACCCACAAGUAUAGGCGAUAGUUUGUAGCCCUUUUCGAUAAAUAAGAGUGUCAAACCCAACGAGGAGCUAAAGGUAGAACAAAUAUUCCCUCAAGUUCUAUUAAGCACCGAUACAACUCUAUGCACACUAAACGUUUGCUUUACCUAGAACAACUAUGAAACUACUUUGCAAGAAUAAAACUAUGAGUACUUUGCGAGAGUAUGCAAGGUAAUAAAAGUAGAUAGCUUUUGUCAAGAAGAAAGUCAUUUUUCCCUAGGCAAUCAAUAACUAGGCCGGCAAUCAUUCUUGCGAUUUUAUAUGAGGGAGAGGCAUGAGCUAACAUACUUUCUCUAGUUUGAUCGUAUGCACUUAUGGUAGGAACUCGAGCAAGCAUCCGCAACUACUAAAGAUCAUUAAGGUCAUAAAACCCAACCAUAACAUUAAGUAUCAAGUCCUCUUUACUCCCAUACGCAAUAACCCACUUAUCCAUGUUCAGGCUUCAACCACUCCGACAACCGAUAAUAAGCAAAUUAUGAAUGUAUUGCAACACCCUACAGCAGGGACCCCUCAUGUUUGCGCGAGACGGAGGGAACCAUCGGACAGCACCAUAAUAAAUAUACACUCAAACCAACCACGAUCAUCAAUUAACCCAUACGACAAAAUAGAUCUACUCAAACAUCAUAGUGUAACCACAUAUCAUUGGGAAAUAAUAUAUAGUGUUGAGCACCAUGUUUAAGUAGAGAUUACAAUGGGAAAAAGAGAGGUUACACCGCUGCAUAGAGGGGGAGAAAGUUGGUGUUGAUGGUAGCAAGGUUGUUGAUGUAGAUCGCCAUCAUGAUCCUUGUCCCGACGCCACUCCGGCGCCACCAUGAGAGGGGGGGGGGAAGAGAGCCGAUACGUCUCCAACGUAUCUAUAAUUUAUGAAGUAUUCAUGCCAUGUUUAUAAUAUUUUUACAUGUUUUGGUAUUAUUUGAUUAGAACUAACCCGGACUGACGCUGUUUUCAGCAGAACUACCAUGGUGUUGUUUUUGUGCAGAAAUAAAAGUUCUUGGAAUGCGCUGAAAAACAACGGAGAAUAUUUUUGGAAAAUAUAAAAAAUACCAGAACGAAAAGCUACCAGAGGGGAUUCCCGAGGCCACCACGAGGGUGCAGGUGCCCCCCUAGGGUGCGCCCCCAACCUCGUGGACUCCUCGUGGGCCCCCUUGCGUGAAACCGACGCCUACCCCUCCUAUAAAUCAAAAAAAACCCAGAACAGAAGGGAGAUCGGUAGUUCCGUUGCUGCAAGCCUCCAGAACCAUGAGGAAUCAAGCUAGGCCCUCUCCGGCACCCUGCUAGAGGAGGCCAUCAUCACUGGAGGCCAUGGGGGAGGAUCUUUGAGGGGCCAUCAUCGCCAUGAAGUCUAGGGACAAGAGGGAGAACCUCUCCCCAUCCAUGGGGAGGCCAUGGAGGAGGAAGCACAAGGGGGCGAACCUCUCCUCCUCUCUCUCGGUGGCGCCUGAGUGCCAUCGGGAGGGGAAUCAUCGCCACGGUGAUCGUCUUCAUCAACAUCAACAUCGUCAUCACCAUCCUCAUCUCUUUUCAGUGGUCCACUCUCCCCCCUGCUGUAAUCACCUACUUGAACAUGGUGCUUUAUGCCACAUAUUAUGAUCCAAUGAUGUGUUGCCAUCCUAUGAUGUUUUGAGUAGAUUUCCUCUGUCUUUGGGUUUUUUGAUGAUCUAGAUUGGUUUGAGUUGUAUGUUUUAUUUUGGUGCUAUCCUAUGGUGCCUUCCGUGCCGUGAACACAUGAGGGAUUCCUGCUGUAGGGUGUUGCAAUACGUUCAUGAUUUGCUUAUAGUGGGUUGCUAGAGUGACAGAAGCUUAAAAUCGAGUAAGGGGGUUAUUGCGUAUGGGAUAAAGGGGACUUGAUAUGUUAAUGCUAUGGUUGGGUUUUACCUUAAUGAUCUUUAGUAGUUGCGGAUGCUUGCUAGAGUUCCAAUCAUAAGUGCAUAUGAUCCAAGAAGAGAAAGUAUGAUAGCUUAUGCCUAUCCCUCAUAUGAAAUUGCAAUAAUGAUUACCUGUCUUGUUAACAAUUGCCUAGGACAAUUCUGCACACCAACCCAUGAUGAUCCACAAGUAUAUGGGGUCAAUUGUAGCCUUUUCGAUAAGUAAGAGUGUCGAACCCAAUGAGGAGCAAAAGGAAAUGACAAGUGGUUUUCAGCAAGGUAUUGUCUCCAAGUGCCAAGUUUGUAAGUAGCGGAGUAGUUUGACAGCAAGAUAAUUCAUAACGAACAAGUAACAAUAGUAGUAACAAAAUUGCAGCAAGGUAGCCCAAUCCUUUUGAGGAAAAGGACAUGCCAAAACGGUUUCUUAUGAUAAGCAAGUGUUCUUGAGGGUACACGGGAAUUUCACCUACUCACUUUCAUCAUGUUGGCUUAAUCCGUGUUCGGUACUUUGAUAAUUUGAUAUGUGGGUGGACCGGUGCUUAGGUGCUGUUCUUACUUGAACAAACCUCCUACAUAUGAUUAACCCUCUCACAAGCAUCCGCAACUACGAGAUACGUAUUAAGAAUAAAUUCUAACCAUAGCAUUAAACUUUUGGUUCCAAUCGGUCCCUUACGGAAUAACGCAUAAACUGGGGUUUAAGCUUCUGUCACUCUCGCAACCCACCAUCUAAUAACUUCUCCACAAUGCAUUCCCUUACGCCCAAAUAUGGUGAAGUGUCAUGUAGUCGACGUUCACAUGACACCACUAAGAGAAUGGCAACAUACAUACCAUCAAAAUAUCGAACAUAUAUCAAGUUCACAUGAUUACUUGCAACAUGAUUUCUCUCGUGACCUCAAGAACGAAAGUAACUAAUCACAAAUGACAAACAUGCUCAAGAUCAGAGGGGUAUUAAAUAGCAUAAUGGAUCUGAACAUAUAAUCUUCCACCAAAUAAGCCAUAUAGUAAUCAACUACAAGAUGUAAUCAACACUACUAGUCACUCACAAGCACCAAUCUAUAGUUUUGAUACAAAGAUUGAACACAAGAGAUGAACUAGGGUUUGGGAGGAGUUGGUGCUGUGAAUAUGUUGAUGAAUAUAGCCCUCCCCAAGAUGGGAGAGUUGUUGGUGAUGAUGAUGACUAUGAUUUCCCCCUCCGGGAGGGAAGUUCCCCGGGCGGAAUAGCUCUGCCAUGGGACAAAAGUGCUCCUGCCCAAGUUCCACCUCGAGGCGGUGGCGCUUCAUCCCGAAUGUCCUCUCCUAAUUUUUUAUAGGUCAAAAUGACUUAUAUACCAGAAGAUGGGCACCGAAGGUGGGCCGAGGAGGGCAGCACCCACCAGGGCGCACCUGGGCCUCCUGGCGCGCCCAGGUGGGUUGUGCCCACGUGGUGGCUCUCCUCUGGUACUUAUUUGCUCCAAUAUUUAUGAAAUAUUCCAUAAAAAAUCCUUGGGGAGUUUCAGCUCAUUUGGAGUUGUGCAGAAUAGGUAGCUUGACGUAGUUUUUUCUGGUCCAGAUUUCCAGCUGCCAGAAUUCUCCCCCAUGAUGCAUACCUUGCAUAUUAUGAGAGAAAAGGCACUAGAAUUACUCUAAAAGGCAUUAUUAUACAAUAAAACAACAUAAAUAACAGUAGGAAAACACGAUGCAAAAUGGACGUAUCAACUCCCCCAAGCUUAGACCUCGCUUGUCCUCAAGAGAAAACCGAAAUCCGAAAACAUGUCGACAUGCUUAGAGAGAGAAGUGUCGAUAAAAACAAAAAUACGGACAUAGAAGAAUCAUGUGACUUAUUAUAACAACAACAAACUUUAAUAUAAAACUUUUAUCAUAGACUUCUCAUGAAUAAGUGACAAUUCAUCACAACAUCAAAGUAUAAAGCAUAAACUCUAUUGGAAACCGACAAACUAUGUUCUUAGUCAACUUUGCAACUACAAUUCAUUAUCUUUUCAGGAAGUGUCACGUAUUGGAGCCUUUAGGCAAGUCCACAUACUCAACCAUCAUUUAGUCUUAUAAUUGCUAACAUUCACCCCGUACACAUGAGCAAAACGUUUCAAUCGGACACAUAAAAAGAUAGGGGCUUAUAGUUUCGCCUCCCAACACACUCACCUCAAGGGUGAUGUCAACAAUAAUAAAUUAUGCCACCCAUAUUCAACUGAACAUAUGUGCCUAGAUCUUUUCUCACCACAUGAUGCUUGCCAAAGAAGAAGAAUAAAAGGAAUAGAGACAAAAACUUUGACUCUUGCAUAAAAGUAAAUACAUGAAAGUAAAAGAUGGGCCCUUCAUAGAGGGAAGCAGAGGUUGCCAUGCACUUUUUGUUUGUAUUAUCAACCCCUUAGUGCAUGAGAACGUCAUGUUUUAUUGCCCCUUGUGAUGGAAACCUUUAUUAUGCAGUCUGUCGCUUUUAUUCUUCACCAUCACAAGUUCAUACAACGCUCAAUUUUACCUUACACUAAAUGAUCUCACAUUUUUAUAAGCAAUUUUUAUUGCCCUUUUUGCACAGAUGACAACUUACUUGAAGGAUCUUACUCAAUCCAUAGGUAGGUAUGGUGGACUCUCAAACAAGAUAGGGUUCAAAGGUUUUGGAUGCACAAGUAGUAUCUCUACUUAGUGCGGAAUUUUUGGCUAGCAAAGAUAGGGGCAAGCACCACAUGUUGAAGGAUCUAUGACAAUAUGACUUCUAUGUGAAUAUGAACAAACAUAAAUCAUUCAGUUGUCUUCCUUGUCCAACGUCAACAAAUUUUGGCAUAUAAUAUUUUGAUGGGUGCUCACAAUCACAAAAGAUUUCCAUGAUAGUGUAUUUAUAUGUGAAUCUUCUCUUCCCUUAUUAAUUCUUUCAUGUGUUGCAUCAUUGACCAAUGCUAUGUUUGUCAAUCUACAAUAAAAUUUUCUACUUAUACUUUCCCUUGUGUAAUGUCAUCACUUACCAUAAGAUUAGCAUAUGAUCUUUUUAUUUUAUUUCCUUUCUUUUUAUUGCAGCAAGAAAGUAAAGAAGGCAUAACUCAGACAAACUUUAUUAUAUCUCGCACACGAUUACAAGGAUUGAUCACUAAGGAAACUCAUAAAAAGAAAGGCUCGAACUAAACUUUUAUUCAUCUAAUAGAAAAAGAUAGCCAUUGAUCGAACUAAGAAAGUAAAGGCAAAAGAUAGUGGAGAUUGAUACGAUACUGGGGCACCUCCCCCAAGCUUGGCGAAAGCCAAUGGGAGUGCCCAUACCCAAUACUCAGUUUUGUUAUGAUGGUGAUGAAGAAGAUGGUGGUGAUGAAGUAGAUGGUGGUGGUGCAAAAGUAGAGGGUUUGCCCUUUGCUUCCUCCAGCUUCUAGCGGAGAAUAAAAUUAUCUAUCCUCAACUCAUCGUUAUCUAUCUCGAAUUUUAUUAUCCUCUUGCAUAACACCUCCAUGCUUUCGUUUUUGAACCAGGGAGGAACCGAGUCAUCUUCAUCUUCUUCGGAGGUCCAGUUAUAGUGCCUCUCAUCCUCUGAAUCUUGGUACGACAUAAUUUCAGACCUGACAGAAAACAACGAGGAAAGAAAACAGGAGAUUUCUCCGCGAUACGGAGGUUAACAGGUUUGGGAGGUAUAUAUAGGUUUUUUUUAUCUUGGGGAACAACCAGAACGGAAGAAAAAUAGAGACCGAAAAGUACCCGAGGUGGGCACAAACCACCUAGGCGCGCCAGGCAUGCCUGGCGCACCCUGGUGUAUCGUGCCCGCCGGGUUCACUUUCCUAGAAAUUUCUUAUCUUCCUAGUUUUCUAAAUAUUCCAAAACUGACAAAAAAUAUUUUUGCAGAUUUUUCGGAGUUCGUUUACUUACCGUAUCACAUACCUCCUUAUUUUCACGAUUCCGGAGUGUUCCGAAAGGACUCUUUUAUGUGUUCUUCUGGUGUCAAAGUUUGGAUAACAUUGCUUUCAACAUUAAUGAGCGUACCUGAGAUAUAGUGUUCUAUUCGUUGCCCAUUGACAACCUUUGGGUUAGUCCCUUCGGUAUUAUUUAUUUUCAUGGCUCCGGAUCGAUAGACAUAGGGUCCUUCCCAUUUGGAGAGGAGCUUUCCUGCAAAGAAUCUAAAAUGAGAGUUGUACAAAAGAACAUAUUCUCCUACUUUGAACUCACGCUUUUGGAUUCUUUUGUCAUGCCAUCUUUUAACUUUUUCUUUGAAUAACUCAGCAUUUCCUUAAGCCUGGGUUCUCCAUUCAUCUAAUGAGCUAAUAUCAAAUAACCCCUUUUCUCCAGCAAGUUUGAAAUCAUAAUUGAGUUCUUUUAUUUCCCAAAAUGCUUUGUGUUCUAACUCAAGAAGUAAAUGACAAGCUUUUCCGUAAACAAUUUUAUAUGGAGACAUACCCAUAGGAUUUUUGUAAGCUGUUCUAAAGCCCAAAGUGCAUAAUCUAAUUUCUUAGACCAAUUCUUCCGGGACCUAUUGACAGUAUUUUUUAAGAUUAGUUUUAUUUCUCUAUUGCUAAGUUCAACUUGACCACUAGACUAAGGAUGAUAAGGUGACACAAUUCUAUGGUUAACAUCAUACUUAACAAGCAUUUUAUGGAAAGCAUCAUGAAUAAAGUGUGAACCACCAUCAGUCAUUAAAUAUGUAGGAACUCCAAACCUUGGUAAAAUAACUUCCUUAAGCAUUUUAAUAGAGGUGUUGUGAUCAGCACUACUGGUUGGAAUAGCUUCUACCCACUUAGUAACAUAAUCAACAGCAACCAAAAUAUGUGUAUACCCAUUAUAUUAGAGGAAGGAAAAGGUCCCAUAAAGUCAAAUCCCCAGACAUCAAAUGGUUCAAUAGCAAGUGAAUUCAUAGGCAUUUCUUGACGCUUACCGAUAUUACCUAUUCUUUGGCAUUCAUCACAUGAUGAGACAAACUUACAGGCAUCCUUGAAGAGAGUAGGCCAAUAAAAACCAGAUUGCAAUACCUUAUGAGCGGUUCUGUCUCCCGCGUGAUGUCCUCCAUAAGCUUCAGAGUGACAUUUCCGUAGGAUUUGUUCCUGUUCAUGCUCAGGUACACAACGUCUAAUAAUACCAUAUGCUCCUUCUUUAUAAAGAUGUUGGUCAUCCCAAAAGUAAUGUCUUAAAUCAUAGAAGAAUUUUUUUCUUCUGUUGGUAUGUGAAGCUAGGUGGUAUGUAUUUAGCAACAAUAUAAUUAGCAUAGUCAGCAUACUAAGGUGUACUAUGAGAAAUAUUUAUUGCAGCUAGUUGCUCAUCAGGGAAGCUAUCAUUAAUAGGUUGUGGGUCACCAAGAAUAUUUUCAAGUCUAGCCAAGUUAUCAGCUAUGGGGUUCUCUGCUCCUUUCCUAUCAGUGAUAUGAAAAUCAAAUUCUUGUAGUAGUUGAAACCACCUAACGAGUGUAAGUUUAGUAUCUUUAUUUUCCAUAAGAUAUUUUAUAGCAGCAUGAUCGGUGUGAAUAGUUACUUUAGAAUCAACAAUGCAAGAUCUGAAUUUAUCGCAAGCAAACACCACUGCUAAGAAUUCUUUUUCAGUAGUAGUAUAUUUCGUUGAGCACUGUCUAGUGUUUUACUAGCAUAAUGAAUAACAUUUAAUUUAUUAUCAACUCUUUGUCCUAGAACUACACCAGCAGCAUAAUCACUAGCAUCACACAUAAUAUCAAAAGGCAAGUUCCAAUCAGGUGGUUGAACAACAGGUGCAGUAAUUAAGGCUUUCUUUAGUGUUUCAAAAGCUUCCAUGAAAUCAUCAUCAAACAUAAAGGGAAUAUCGUUUUGCAAAAGAUUAGUAAGAGGCCUAGAAGUUUUAGAAAAGUCUUUCGUAAACCUCCUAUAGAAACUAGCAUGACCAAGGAAACUACGAAUACCUUUGAUAUCUUUAGGAGAUGGCAUUUUCUCAAUUGCAUCAACCUUGGCUUUGUCCAUUGCUACCUCUUGAGCUUGCGUUGGUUUUCCCUUGAAGAGGAAAGAGUGAUGCAGCAAAGUAGUGUAAGUAUUUCCCUCAGUUUUGAGAACCAAGGUAUCAAUCCAGUAGGAGACGACGCACAAGUCACCGAAUACCUGCACAAACAAUCAAGAACUUGCAACCAACGCGAUAAAGGGGUUGUCAAUCCCUUCACGGUCACUCGCAAAAGUGAGAUCUGCUAGAGAUGAUAAAGUAAAUAUUUUUGGUAUUUUUUAUGUAUAGAUUGGAAAGUAAAGAUUGCAAAAUAAUAGAUUGGAAACUAGCAAGAUGUAAAUGAGAUUUAAUAAUAUGGAAAAGAGACCCGGGGGCCAUAGGUUUCACUGGCUUCUCUCGAGAUAGCAUAUAUUACGGUGGGUGAACAAAUUACUGCCGAGCAAUUGAUAGAAAAGCGCAUAAUUAUGAUGACAUCUAAGGCAAUGAUCAUGAACAUAUGCAUCACAUCUGUGUCAAGUAGACCGACUCCUACCUGCAUCUACUACUAUUACUCCACAUAUCCACCGCUAUCCAGCAUGCAUCUAGAGUAUUAAGUUCAUAAAGAACGGAGUAACGCAUUAAGCAAGAUGACAUGAUGUUGAGGAAUUAACUGAAGCAAUAUGAUGAAAACCCCAUCUUUAUAUCCUCGAUGACAACAAUACAAUACGUGCCUUGCUGCGGUGGUGGAAAAGUGUUUUCGUGGAUCCCCCUGAUGUCUUUAGGGUAUAAUAGUAUAUAUAAGCGAAAGAACUAGGUCGGUGGAGCUACAAGGGGCCCACGAGGGUGGGGGCACGCCUACCCCCAUGGGCGUGCCCUCUUGCCUCGUGGACGCCUCGUUGCGUCUCCGACUUCAUAUCUAAGCCUUCUGGUUUGCUUUCGGUCCAAGAAGGAUCAUCGCGAAAGUUUCAUUCCAUUUGGACUCCGUUUGGUAUUCCUUUUCUGUGAAACUCUAAAAUAGAAAAAAAACUGGAACUGGGCCCUCGGUGUCGGCUUCCUGGAUAUGGGGGUAUCCAGACUUGCCUGUCUGCAGCCCACCGCGUGGCACCAUCAAAGGCCUGGUACAACCCACCUUCGACAUCAACAACUCAAGACCCUCGCGAGGGGCCAAGCCACGCGAGGCGGACAAUGCCAAGACCCCCAAGGGGAUCGGCCCCUUCAGGCUAGCUCCCAAGGGGUGGAGAGUUCUAUGCAGGUUGCUCCUCAUGAGCCAUGACGAUCAAGGUCAGGAGGGCGCCAGCGGGCGCAGAGCGCCAAUUUCCUCUUCGGUGCAAGGGAGGCAAGCCGCAGGCACGGAGUCCCGAGUUAUCAGCCAAAUGUUUCCAUUCUGGUGCAACAAGACCAAGACUGCCAGGACGGCAGGACGGAGGUCAUCACCGAGCCCACCACAGCGUCACGACCAGGGGCUUUUCGCAAGCGAAGACUACUUUUUAAGGAUAAGUUGUACUUGUCAGCGUUCUGGGAACGGGGGUCCCCAGACUUGCCUGCCUGCGGCCUGCAGUGUGGCUCAGCAGUGGCCCAGUACGACCCAUCUUCAUCAACAAACACUCAAGACCCUCGCGAAGGGCCAAGCCUCGCGGGGCGGACGACACAAGGCCUCCUCAGGGGAGGCCUCACCAGGCAUGCUCGCGAGGAGGCGGAGAUAUCAAGGCGAGGGGUACCUUGCGAGGUGCUCGUGACGCAAGCCAUGACGAUCAAGACCAGGAGGGCGCCAGGCGGUGUAGUGUCCUCGUUUCCUCUUUCGUGCAAAGGGGGCAAGCGCAGGUGCAGAGUACCGAGGCAUCAAACAAAGGUUUCCAUAUCAGUGCAACAAGACCAAGACCGGCAGGACGGCAGGACGGAGGUCACCUGGAGCCCAAGACAACGUCAUCACCAGAGCCUUUGGCAGUCGAAGGCCACCUUUAGUCAGGAUAGCUUGUAUUAGCUGUCCCCUUUCGAAAUGGCCGUUCUUGGCUCCCUUCCCGCUCAAUAUUUGGGAAGAGGACCAGGGCCUCUAUAUAUAGAGAUAGCCACCACAGUAGAGAGGUAUCUCAUCUAGAUCUCACCGAAACUAGAACAAGUAGGACACCACACCAGCUCAAGAACACCUCUCGCGAGGCUGUUCUUCCUCUGUAUUGUUCAUCAUCAGCCCAAGAGGCAAUCCACCACACCACACACAUGAGUAGGGUAUUACACCACAAUGGUGGCCCGGACCUGUAUAAAUCUUGUGUCUCUUGUGUUGUGCAUCGCGUUAGCUUAGAUUCAUGGCGAGGUUUUGGGGUGUGGAUCGGUAGGGAGAAGAUCUUCGUGCGCACCAGGUAGGGGUGCGCCGGAGCUCUCCGAGAGUUCGAGCCUUAAGGGUUUUGCCGGAACUCGAUAUCCGACAUUUGGCGCGCCAGGUAGGGGUGCGCCGGAGCUCUCCCUUCUGUCGGCUCGCUCCCCACCAACAUAGCGCUUCGCCCUCAUGGCGGACAACGCGCCACUGGCUCCAGCGACCGACGCAAAUGCUAUGGCUAGGGGGCUCCGAGCCUUGGCCCCCGCCUUGCAGCAGGUGCAGUGGCCACACAAGUUCAAGCCAGAAAUGCCGCCGCGCUACAACAGUGCGGCGGACCCACUGGCUUUCCUGCUGGCAUACGAGGAGGCCGUCCUCAAGGCCGGGGGCGACGAUAAGGUCAUGGCCAACUGGUUUCCCAUGGCCCUCACCGGCGUCCCGCGUAUUUGGCUGCUCCACCUGCCAACAUCUUUUGUGGCCUCCUCGGAGGAGCUGUGCAACCUCUUCCUCACCCACUAUGCUGCGCCGGCACCCCCGGUCAUCGCAGCUCUCCUGGGAGGCUCGCAGGUGCCACCUUUGGGCCGCCACGUCAAGCCGUUCGUCCACCAGAUCGGCGCCGCCCUCACGCGGCAUGGAGCUCCUCCGGGCUGGGCGGCUCCCAAGGCCGACCUGACCUUCAACUCGGACGAUCACCCCGUCCACAACGCCUGCUCGGGUGCGCUCCCAAUGCUUUGCACGCCCACCAUCUACUAGGUGGCUGUCACUAGGACCCUCAUCGACGACAGUGCCAGCCUCAACGUGCUCUCGGUGGAGGCCUUCAGCCUCUUCCAUGUGCCGCUGGAAUGACUCCAACCCAGCAAGCCCUUCUCGGGCGUCGGAGGCGGUUCCUCCAGUUCCCUGGGGCAGAUCUACCUCCCCGUGACCUUCGGCACCCACGACAACUUCCGCACGGAACUGGUCAACUUUGACAUCGCCCACAUAGCCCUCCCAUACAAAGCCAUCCUCGGGUACUGCUACGUCUUGAGCUAGCAUUGGUUUUCCCCGAAGAGGAGAGGGUGAUGCAGCAAGUGUAGCGUAAGUAUUUCCCUCAGUUUUUGAGAACCAAGGUAUCAAUCCAGUAGGAGGCUCCUCAAAAGUCCCACGCACCUACACAAACAAACUGAGAACUCGAAACCAAUGCAAUAAAGGGGUUGUCAAUCCCUUCACGGCCACUUGCGAAAGUGAGAUCUGAUAGAGAUAGUAUGAUAAGAUAAAUAUAUUUUUGGUAUUUUAUAAUAUAGAUGCAAGAAAGUAAAGAUGCAAAUAAAAGUAGAUUGAAAGCAAAUAUGACAAGAGAUAGACCCGGGGGCCAUAGGUUUCACUAGAGGCUUCUCUUGAGAGCAUAAGUAUUACGGUGGGUGAACAAAUUACUGUCGAGCAAUUGAUAGAAAAGCGAAUAAUUAUGACGUUAUCUAGGCAUGAUCAUGUAUAUAGGCAUCACGUCCAUAACAAGUAGACCGACUCCUGCCUGCAUCUACUACUAUUACUCCACACAUUGACCGCUAUCCAGCAUGCAUCUAGAGUAUUAAGUUCAUAAGAACAGAGUAACGCAUUAAGCAAGAUGACAUGAUGUAGAGGGAUAAACUCAUGCAAUAUGAUAUAAACCCCAUCUUGUUAUCCUCGAUGGCAACAAUACAAUACGUGUCUUGCAACCCUUUCUGUCACUGGGUAAGAACACCGCAAGAUUGAACCCAAAGCUAAGCACUUCUCCCAUGACAAGAAAGAUCAAUCUAGUAGGCUAAACCAAACCGAUAAUUCGAAGAGACUUGCAAAGAUAACUCAAUCAUACAUAAAAGAAUUCAGAUAAGAUUCAAUUAAUAUCCAUAGAUAAAUCUGAUAAUAAACCCACAAUUCAUCGGAUCUCGACAAACACACUGCAAAAAGAGAUUACAUCAAAUAGAUAUCCACAAGAGAGGGGGAGAACAUUGUAUUGAGAUCCAAAAAGAGAGAAGAAGCCAUCUAGCUAAUAAUAAUGGACCUGUAGAUCUGUGGUAAACUACUCACAACUCAUAGGAGGGGCAAGGAUGUUGAUGUAGAGGCCCUCCAUGGUCGAUUCCCCCUCCCGCAGAGUGCUGGCGAAGGCUCCAAGAUGGGAUCUCGCGGAUACAGAAGGUUACAGUGGUGGAAAUUGUGUUUCGUGGUGCCCCUGGAUGUUUUCGGGGUCCGUGGAUAUAUAUAGGAAGAAGAAGUACGUCAGUGGACGCCCGAGGGGCCCACGAGACAGGGGGCGCCCUACACGAGGGGGGGGGGAGGGGGGCGCCUCCUAUCUUGUGGGGCCCUCGGAGCUUUCUUGACUUGCACUCCAGGCACUCCGGAUCAGAUCUGUUCCAAAAAUAACGCUCCCGAAGGUUUCAUUCCGUUUGGACUCCGUUUGAUAUUCCUUUUCUUCGAAAUACUGAAAUAGGCAAAAAAAACAGCAAUAUGGGCUGGGCCUCCAGUUAGUAGGUUAGUCCCAAAAAUGAUAUAAAUGUGUAGAAUAAAGCCCAUAAACAUCCAAAACAGGUAAUAUAAUAGCAUGGAACAAUCAAAAAUUAUAGAUACGUUGGAGACGUAUCAAGCAUCCCCAAGCUUAAUUCAUGCUCGUCCUCGAGUAGGUAAAUGAUAAAAAGAGAAUUUUUGAUGUGGAGUGCUACCUAGCAUAAUUCAUAAUGAAAUUUUGUUUCAUUGUGGCACGAAUGUUCAGAUCCAAAUAAUACAAAAUAAAAGUUCAUAUUGACAUAAGAAAUAGUAAUACUUCAAGCAUACUAAGCAAGUAAUCAUGUCUUCUCAAAAUACCAUGGCCAAAAGAAAGUGAUCCCUACAAAAUCAUGUAGUCUAGCUAUGCUUCAUCUUCAGCACACAAAGUAUUUAAUCAUGCACAACCCCGAUGACGAGCCAAGAAAUUGUUUCAUACUUUAAUAAUCUCAAACUCUUUCAACUUUCAUGCAAUACAUGAGCGUGAGCCAUGGACAUAACACUAUAUGUGGAAUAUAAUGGUGGUUGCGGAGAAGACAAAAAAAGGGGGAAGAUAGUCUCACAUCAACUAGGCGUAUCAACGGGAUAUGGAGAUGCCCAUUAAUAGAUAUCAAUGUGAGUGAGUAGGGAUUGCCAUGCAACGGAUGCACUAGAGCUAUAAAUAUAUGAAAGCUCAACAAAAGAAAACUAGUGGGGGUGCAUCCAACUUGCUUGCUCACGAAGACCUAGGGCAUUUUGAGGAAGCCCAUCAUUGGAAUAUACAAGCCAAGUUCUACAAUGAAAAAUUCCCACUAGUAUAUGAAAGUGACAACAUAUGAGACUCUCUAUCAUGAAGAUCAUUGUGCUAUUUUGAAGCACAAUUGUGGAAAAAGAGAUAGUAGCAUUGUCCCUUCUCUCUUUUUCUCUCAUUCUUUUUUUCUUUUCUUUUUUUUCUUUUCUUUUUAGCCUUAUUUUUUCUUUUCUUUUUGGCCUUUCUCUUUUUUUUUCUUUUUUUAUAAAGUCCGAAGUCUCAUCCCGACUUGUGGGGGAAUCAUAGUCUUCAUCAUCCCUUCCUCACUGGGACAAUGCUCUAAUAAUGAAGAUCAUCACACUUUUAUGGAUUUACAACUCGAAGCUAGAACAAGAUAUGACUCUAUGUGAAUGCCUCCAGCGGUAUACCAGGAUAUGCAAUGAAUCAAGAGUGACAUGUAUGAAGAUUAUGAUGGUGGCUUUGCCACAAAUACGAUGUCAACUACAAGAUCAUGCAAAGAGCAAUAUGACAAUGAUGGAACGUGUCAUAAUAAACGGAACGGUGGAAAGUUGCAUGGCAAUAUAUCUCAGAAUGGCUAUGGAAAUGCCAUAAUAGGUAGGUAUGGUGGCUGUUUUGAGGAAGGUAUAUGGUGGGUGUAUGGUACCGGCGAAAAUUGCACGAUACAAGAGAGGCUUGCAAUAAUGGAGGGGUGAAAGGGUGCGUAUAAUCCAUGGACUCAACAUUAGUCAAAAGAACUCAUAUACUUGUUGUAAAAAUAUAGAAGUCAUCAAAAACCAAAGCACUACGCGCAUGCUCCUAGGGGGAUAGAUUGGUAGGAAAAGACCAUCGCUCAUCCCCGACUGCCACUCAUAAGGAAGACAUUCAAUAAAUAAAAUUGUGCUCCAACUUCAUCACAAAGCGGUUCACCAUACGUGCAUGCUACGGGAAGCACAAACCUCAACACAAGCAUUCUUUAAAUCCAUAAUUACCCAACUAGCAUGACUUUAAUAUUACUACCUCCAUAUCUCAAAACAAUUAUCAAGCAUCAAAUUGAUCAUAGCAUCCAAUUCACUUUCUAUGAUAGUUUUUAUUAUACCCAACUUGGAUGCUCAUCAUUCUAGGACCAAAUUAAAACCAUAGAAAAUACCACGCUGUUCUAAAAGACUCUAAAAAUAAUAUAAAUGAAGCAUGAGAGACUAGCAAUUUCUAUAAAAUUAAUCCACCACCAUGCUCUAAAAGAUAUAAGUGAAGCACUAGAGCAAAAACUAUCAAGCUCAAAAGAUAUAAGUGAAGCACAUAGAGUAUUCUAGCAAAUUCUAAUCAAAUAGGCUUCUCCUGAAAGGUGUGUUACAGCAAGGAUGAUUGUGGUAAACUGACAAUCAAAUACCAAUAUAAUACACGAGCUCCAAGCAAAACGCAUAUCAUGUGGCGAAUAAAAAUAUAGCUCCAAGUAAAGUUACCAAUGAACGAAGACGAAAGAGGGGAUGCCUUCCCGGGGCAUCCCCAAGCUUAGGCUUUUGGCUAUUCUUGAAUAUCGUGGGGUGCCUUGGGCAUCCCCAAGCUUAGGCUUUUUCCACUCCUUAUUCCAUGGUCCAUCAAAGCUUUACCCAAAACUUGAAAACUUCACAACACAAAACUCAACAGGAAAUCUUAUAAUAUCCGUUAGUGAAAGAAAACAAAACCACCACAUAAGGUACUGUAAUGAACUCAUUCUUUAUUUAUUUUGGUGUUAAACCUACUGUAUUCCAACUUCCUUAUGGUUUAUAAACUAAUUUAUUAGCCAUAGAUGCAUUGAAUUAAGAAAACAACACACGAAAAACAGAAUCUGUCAAAAACAGAACAGUCUGUAGCAAUCUGUAACUAACGCAAACUUCUGGAACUCGAAAAAUCCUACAAAAAUAGGACGUACUGGACAAUUUAUUUAUUGAUCAGAGGCAAAAAGAAUCAAUGCAAAAUCUCGUUUCUCUGAUAUAUUGAUUUUUUUCUCGUGAGCGCAAAGUUUCUGUUUUUCAGCAGAAUCAAAUCAACCAUCAUCAUAGUUUAUCCUAUAGGUUCUACUUGGCACAAACACUAAACAAAAGAUAAAAACACAACUAAACAAAAAGUAGAAACGAAAUUUAACACUAAUAAGGAACAAAAACAAAGAACAUAAAGAAAAUUGGGUUGCCUCCCAACUAGCGCUAUCGUUUAACGCCCCUAGCUAGGCAUAAAAGCAAGGAUAGAUCUAACUAGUGCCAUCUUUGGCACUCGUCUUUUUAAUGGGGUUAUGCUCAAGUCCGGGAGGCUCUUUGCAUUUCCCUUCAAGUUCAGAGAUCCUAAGAUCUAAGUCAUCCAACUGCUUAUUGUAAAGUGUGAUCAAAUUAUUCAUGCGGUUGAUACUUGCAACAAUAUUCUUAAAAGGUUCAACAAGUUUUUGCAAUUCAAGAAGUUUCUCUAAAAUUUCGGUUCCUUCAAAAGAUAAAGAUGAUCUUUCUUGUCGGGGAAGUAUUCCUACUAUCCCCUAUAAAAUUUCAUAAGCGGAACUAGGAUCAAUCUCAAUAAAUUCCCCUUCUACGACAACAUCAAGGAGUUGUUUGUGGGGUAAGGUUAACCCAAUGUAAAAAUUGUGAAUUAAAAUCUUGAAAUCUCCUUCUAGGGCACAACUACGAUAAGAUUCUAACGUCCUAAACCAAGCAUCUUUUAAAUUUUCACCUUGUCUUUGUUUGAAGUGGAGAACUUCAAAGUAGGGAGACUAAGGGAUAAAAACUGAGCUAGCCAUAAUGACGAGGUAAACGAUCAAACACACGGACAACGGAAAAAGGCAAGAGAAAAGAGAGGAGGAGAUUGGGAAAGAGAGGGCGAAUAAAAUGGCAAGGUUGAAGUGGGGGGGAGAGGAAAACGAGAGGCAAAGGGCAAAUAAUGUAAAUGCGAGGGGGAUGAGUUUGUGAUGGGUACUUGGUAUGUCUUAACUUGAGCGAAGACCUCCCCGGCAACGGCGCCAGAAAUCCUCCUUGCUACAUCUUGAGCUAGCGUUGGUUUUCCCCGAAGAGGAGAGGGUGAUGCAGCAAGUGUAGCGUAAGUAUUUCCCUCAGUUUUUGAGAACCAAGGUAUCAAUCCAGUAGGAGGCUCAUCAAAAGUCCCACGCACCUACAUAAACAAACUUAGAAAUCGCAACCAACACAAGAAAGGGGUUGUCAAUCCCUUCACGGCCACUUGCGAAAGUGAGAUCUGAUAGAGAUAGUAUGAUAAGAUAAAUAUAUUUUGGUAUUUUAUAAUAUAGAUGCAAGAAAGUAAAGGUGCAAAUAAAAGUAGAUUGAAAGAAAAUAUGAUAAGAGAUAGAUCCGGGGGCCAUAGGUUUCACUAGAGGCUUCUCUCGAGAGCAUAAGUAUUACGUUGGGUGAACAAAUUACUUUCGAGCAAUUGAGAGAAAAGCGAAUAAUUAUGACGUUAUCUAGGCAUGAUCAUGUAUAUAGGCAUCACGUCCAUAACAAGUAGACCGACUCCUUCCUGCAUCUACUACUAUUACUCCACACAUCGACCGCUAUCCAACAUGCAUCUAGAGUAUUAAGUUCAUAAGAAUAGAGUAACGCAUUAAGCAAGAUGGCAUGAUGUAGAGGGAUAAACUCAUGCAAUAUGAUAUAAACCCCAUCUUGUUAUCCUCGAUGGCAACAAUACAAUACAUGUCUUGCAACCCUUUCUGUCACUGGGUAAGAACACCGCAAGAUUGAACCCAAAGCUAAGCACUUCUCCCAUGGCAAGAAAGAUCAAUCUAGUAGGCCAAACCAACCGAUAAUUCGAAGAGACUUUUAAAGAUAACUCAAUCAUACAUAAAAGAAUUCAGAGCAGAUUCAAUUAAUAUGCAUAGAUAAAUCUGAUCAUAAACCCACAAUUCAUCGGAUCUCGACAAACACACCGCAAAAAGAGAUUACAUCGAAUAGAUCUCCACAAGAGAGGGGGGAACAUUGUAUUGAGAUCAAAAAAGAGAGAAGAAGCCAUCUAGCUAAUAACUAUGGACCCAUAGGUCUGUGGUAAACUACUCACAACUCAUAGGAGUUGCAAGGAUGUUGAUGUAGAGGCCCUCCAUGGUCGAUUCCCCCUCCGGCAGAGUGUCGGCGAAGGCUCCAAGAUGGGAUCUCGUAGAUACAGAAGGUUACGGUGGUGAAAAUUGUGUUUCGUGGUGCCCCUGGAUGUUUUCAUGGUCCGUGGAUAUAUAUAGGAAGAAGAAGUACGUCGGUGGACGCCCGAGGGGCCCACAAGACAAGGGGCGUGCCCUACAGGGGGGGCGCGCCCUCCUAUCUUGUGGGGCCCUUGGAUCUUUCUUGACUUGCACUCCAGGCUCUCCGGAUCAAAUUUGUUCCAAAAAUAACGCUCCCGAAGGUUUCAUUCCGUUUGGACUCCGUUUGAUAUUCCUUUUCUUCGAAAUACUGAAAUAGGCAAAAAAACAGCAAUAUGGGCCGGGCCUCCGGUUAGUAGGUUAGUCCCAAAAAUGAUAUAAAUGUGUAGAAUAAAUGCCAUAAACAUCCAAAAUACAUAAUAUAAUAGCAUGGAACAAUCAAAAAUUAUAGAUACAUUGGAGACGUAUCAGGUACCCCGCCCUUGCUCAGUUCAUGGUAGCGACCCAUCCGGCCUACAACCUCAUGAAGAUGCCCGGGAGCAGCAGCGUCCUCACCGUAGCUGGGGAUACCAAGGAUGCUCUGCUCGCUCUCAAGACAGCCGCAGCAGCGCAGCCUGCCGGCACAGACACCCCCGAGGCCAAGGAGGCUGCGCCGACCAAGAAGAAGCAGAUGUUCACCCAGGACAAGGCGAAAACCAAGUAGGUACCAGUUGAGGAGGAUGGGUCCUCCGGUGCCACCUUCACCAUAGGUGCCAAUCUCAACCCCGACCAAGAGGAGGCGCUGGUAAAAUUCCUGCGCUCGAACAAGGAAGUGUUCGCAUGGGAACCUAAGCAGCUGGCGGGGGUCCCGAGGCAGGUGAUUGAGCAUCACCUGAAUAUGUGCCCCAAUGUACGCCCCAUGAAGUGGAAAGCAAGGCGGCAGUUCGCUGAGAAGCAGGCCUUCAUCAUCCAAGAAAUCUGCAAGCUAGAGGCAGCAAGUGUUAUUCACGACGUUCGCUACCCCGAAUGGCUGGCAAACCCUGUUGUCGUGCCAAAAAAGGAAGGGAAGGAGCGCAUGUGUGUCGACUUCACCAACCUCAACAAGGCCUGCCCCCAAGAUCCAUUCCCACUCCCUCGCGUGGACCAAAUCGUCGACUCCACCGCCGAGUGCGACCUGCUGUGUUUCCUGGAUGCAUUUUCGGGCUAUCACCAAAUCAAGAUGGCCAUAGAAGACGUGGAGAAGACGGACUUCCUGACCCCAUGUGGGGUGUACUGCUACACUUGCAUGCCAUUCGGGUUGCGCAACAUGGACGAAACCUUCCAGCGGGUGAUGCACAUCGCCUUAGGCCGGCAGCUCGGGAAAAACGCAGAGGCAUACAUCGAUGACAUUGUGGUGAAGUCUCGGGAGGCGAAGACCCUGAUCCAGGACCUGGAAGAAACCUUUGCAAGCCUCCGUGAAGUGGACCUACGACUCAACUCGGAGAAGUGUGUGUUUGGCAUUCCUUCUGGCAAGCUUCUGGGCUUCCUCGUGUCCCACAGAGGGAUCGAGUCCAACCCGGAGAAGGUCAAGGCAAUCGAAGACAUGAGUCCACCGCAAACCCUUAGAGAAAUACAGAAGCUCGUUGGACGCGUAACUGCUUUAGGACGCUUCAUCUCCAAGCUGGGGGAGUGCACCUAGCCUUUCUUCAAGAUGAUGAAGAAGAAGGGCCCGUUCGAAUGGACGCAGGAGGCCGACCAAGCGUUUGAAGACCUCAAGAAGUACCUGACCAACCCUCCUGUGAUGGUGGCGCCACGCCCUCGGGAGCCCCUAGUGCUCUACCUCGCCACCACAACCAACUCCGCCAGUGCAGCCCUAGUGGCGGUUCGGGAAGAGCACCAGACCAAGGCUGCGUCACGACCAGCCAUGGCCCCGGCUGCGGCAGCACAAGACCGAGAAGGCAUCGCGAAGACCAUGGUCUCGACAGAUGGAGACCAGCCUCAAUAGGAAGACGCCCCUGGGGCUGAAGAGGCCUCACCAGACUUCUAGGUGCUGGGGGCUCCAUCAUCUCAGGAGGUGCCUAACCCUCCAGAGGGCACGGACCUCAUCAGCACCCUCACCCUCGUCGAGCAUCCGGUGUAUUUCUGUAGGGGAACGUAGCAGAAAUUCAAAAUUUUCCUACGAGUCACCAAGAUCUAUCUAUGGAGAGACUAGCAACAAGAGAGAGGAGUGCAUCUACAUCCCCUUGUAGAUCGUGAGCGGAAGAGUUCAAGAGAAUGGGGUUGAGGGAGUCCUACUUGUCGUUAUCCAAAUCACCGAAGAUCCUAGUGCCGAACGGACGGCACCUCCGCGUUCAACACACGUGCCACCCGGUGACGUCUCCCACUCCUUGAUCCAGAAAGGAGAGAGGGAGAGGUUGGGUAAGACUCCGUCCAGCAGCAACACAACGUCUUGGUGGUGAUGGAGGAGUGUGGCUCUCCAGCAGGGCUUCGGCAAGCACUGCGAGAGAUGAGGAGGGAGAGAGGUAGGGCUGCGCCUUUGGAGAGAAUAACUCAUGUGUUGGGCAGCCCCUAGACCUCAACUAUAUAUAGGGGGAAGGGAGGGGGCUGCGCCCCCUCUAGGGUUCCCACCCCAAGGGGUGCGGCAGCCCCUAGAUCCCAUCUAGGGCGGCGGCCAAAGGGGGAGAGGGGGAGGCGCACCUGGGGUGGGCCUUAGGGCCCAUCUGCCCUAGGGUUUGCCCCCCUCUUCUCUUGAGGCGGCUUGGGCCUUGGUGAGGGGAGCCCCAGCCCACCUAGGGGCUGGUCCCCUCCCACACUUGGCCUACGCAGCCCUCUGGGGCUGUUGGCCCCACCUGGUGGACCCCCAGGACCCUCCCGGUGGUCCCGGUACGUUACCGAUAGCACCCGAAACUUUUCCGGUGACCAAAACAGGACAUCCCAUAUAUAAAUAUUUACCUCCGGACCAUUACAGAACUCCUCGUGACGUCCGGGGUCUCAUCCGGAACUCUGAACAACAUUCAGUAACCACGUAUAUCUAUUCCCUAUAACCCUAGCGUCAUCGAACCUUAAGUGUGUAGACCCUACGGGUUCGGGAACCAUGUAGACAUGACCGAGACAACUCUCCUGCCAAUAACCAACAGCAGGAUCUGGAUACCCAUGUUGGCUCCCACAUGUUCCAUGAUGAUCUCAUAGGACGAACCACGAUGUCAAGGAUUCAAUCAAUCCCAUAUACAAUUCCCUUUGUCUAGCGGUAUAGUACAUGCCCGAGAUUCAAUCGUCGGUAUCCCGAUACCUUGUUCAAUCUCAUUACCGGCAAGUCUCUUUACUCGUUCCGUAACACAUCAUCCCGCGAUCAACUCCUUGAUCACAUUGUGCACAUUGUGAUGAAUCCUACCGAGUGGGCCCAGAGAUACCUCUCCGUCACACGGAGUGACAAAUCCCAGUCUCGAUUCGUGCCAACCCAACAGUUACUUUCAGAGAUACCCGUAGUGCACCUUAAUAGCCACCCAAUUACGUUGUGACGUUUGGCACACCCAAAGCAUUCCUACGAUGUCCGGGAGUUGCACAAUCUCAUGGUCUAAGGAAAAGAUACUUGACAUUUAGAAAAGCUUUAGCAUACGAACUACAUGAUCUUGUGCUAGGCUUAGGAUUGGGUCUUGUCCAUCACAUCAUUCUCCUAAUGAUGUGAUCCCGUUAUCAACGACAUCCAAUGUCCCGUGUCAGGAAACCAUGACCAUCUGUUGAUCAACGAGCUAGUCAACUAGAGGCUCACUAGGGACAUGUUGUGGUCUAUGUAUUCACACAUGUAUUGCGGUUUCCGGUCAAUACAAUUAUAGCAUGAAUAAUAGACAAUUAUCAUGAACAAGGAAAUACAAUAAUAACCAUUUUAUUAUUGCCUCUAGGGCAUAUUUCCAACAGUCUCCCACUUGCACUAGAGUCAAUAAUCUAGUUUACAUUACUAUGUGAUUGUAGUGAAUCGACACCCAUGGGGUUUGAUCAUAUCUCGCUUGUGAGAGAGGUUAUUAGUCAACGGAUCUGAACCUUUCAGAUCCGUGUGUGCUUUGCAAAUCUCUAUGUCAUCUCCUAGAUACAGCUACCAUGCUCUAUUUGGAGCUAUUCCAAAUAACUGUUCUACUAUACGAAUCCGGUUUACUACUCAGAAUAAUACGGAUUGGUGUCAAAGUAUGCAUCGGCGCAACCCUUUACGACGAACUCUUUUACCACCUCCGUAAUUGAGAAAAAUUCCUUAGUCUACUAGUUACUAAGGGUAAGUUGGACCGCUGUCCUGUGUUCCAUUCCUGGAUCACCCUUGUACCCCUUGACUGACUCAUUGCAAGGCACACUUCCGGUGCAGUACAUAGCAUAGCAUACUAUAGAGCCUACAUCUGAAGCAUAGGGGAUGACCUUCGUCCUUUCUCUCUCUUCUGCCGUGGUCAUGUCUUGAGUCUUACUCAAUACUCACACCAUAUAACACAGCCAAGAACUCCUUCUUUGCUGAUCUAUUUUUGAACUCCUUCAAAAUCUUGUCACGGUAUGUGUUUAUUUGAAAGUACUAUUAAGCGUUUUGAUCUAUCCUUAUAGAUCUUGAUGCUCAAUGUUCAAGUAGCUUAAUCCAGGUUUUCCAUUGAAAAACACUUUUCAAAUAACUCUAUAUGCUUUCCAGAAAUUCUACAUCAUUUCCGAUCAACAAUAUGUCAACAACAUAUACUCAUCAGAGAUGCUAUAGUGCUCCCACUCACUUCUUUGGAAAUACAAGUUUCUCAUAAACUUUGUAUAAACCCAAAAUCUUUGAUCAUCUCAUCAAAGCAUAUAUUCCAACUCCGAGAUGCUUACUCCAGUCCCUACAAGGAUUGCUGGAGCUUUGUACACUUGUUAGCAUCUUUCAGGAUUGACAAAACCUUCUGGUUGUAUCACAUACAACCUUUCCUCAAGAAUAUCGUCGAGGAAACAAUGUUUUUGACAUCCUAUCUGCAAGAUUUCAUAAAUCAUGCAGUAAUUGCUAAUAUAAUUCCAACAGACUCUUAGCAUCGCUACGAAUGAGAAAGUCUCAUCGCAGUCAACUCCUUGAACUUGUCUGAAAACAUCUUAACGACAAGUCGAGCUUUCUUAAUGGUGAUACUUACCAUCAUUGUCCGUCUUUCUUUUAAAAUCCAUCUGUACCCAACAGCCUUACGACCAUCAAGUAGUUCUUCCAAAGUCUAUACUUUGUUUUCAUACAUGGAUCCUCUCUCGGAUUUUAUGGCCUCGUGCCAUUCGUCGGAAUAGGGGCCCACCAUCGCUUCUUCAUAGCUCAUAGGUUCAUUGUUGUCUAGCAACAUGACCUCCAAGACAGGAUUACGUACCACUCUAAAGUAGUAUAUAUCCUUGUCAACCUACGAGUUUUGGUAGUGAAUUGAUCCGAAGUUUCAUGAUCAAUAUCAUCAGCUUCCACUUCAAUUGGUGUAGGCGCCACAUGAACAACUUCCUGUGCCUUGCUACACACUAGUUGAAGUGACGGUUCAACAACCUCAUCAAGUCUCCCCCAUCCUCCCACUCAAUUCUUUUGAGAGAAAUUUUUCCUCGAGAAAGGACCCGUUUGUAGAAACAAUCACUUUUGCUUCCGGGUCUGAAUUAGGAGGUAUACCCAACAGUUUUGGGUGUCCUAUGAAGAUGUAUUUAUCCACUUUGGGUUCGAGCUUAUCAGGAUGAAACUUUUUCACAUAAGCGUCGCAGCCCCAAACUUUCAAGAAACGACAACUUAGGUUUCUCUAAACCAUAGUUCAUACGGUGUCAUCUCAACGGAAUUACGUGGUGCCAUAUUUAAAGUGAAUGCGGUUGUCUCUAAUGCCUAACCCAUGAACGAUAGUGGUAAUUUGAUAAGAGACAUCAUGGUAUGCACCAUAUCCAAUAGGGUGCAACUAUGAUGUUUGGACACACCAUCACACUAUGGUGUUCCAGGCGGUAUUACUUGUGAAACAAUUUCCACAAGGUCUUGAUUGUGUACCAAACUCGUAACUCAGAUAUUCAUCUCUAUGAUCAUAUCAUAGACAUUUUAUCCUCUUGUCACGAUGAUCUUCAACUUCACUCUGAAAUUACUUGAACCUUUCAAUAAUUCAGACUUGUGUUUCAUCAAGUAAAUAUACUCAGCAUCUACUCAAGUCAUCUGUGAAGUAAGAACAGAACAAUAUCCACUGCGUGCCUCGGCAUUCAUCGGACAGCACACAUCAAAAUGUAUUACUUCCAACAAGUUGCUCUCUUGUUCCAUCUUACUGAAAAAUGAGGCUUUUCAGUCAUCUUGCCCAUGUGGUAUGAUCUGCAUGUCUCAAGUGAUUUAGAAUCAAGUGAGUCCAAACGAUCCAUCUACAUGGAGUUUCUUCAUGCGCACAUACCAAUAGACAUGGUUCGCAUGUCUCAAACUUUUCAAAAACGAGUGAGUCCAAAGAUCCAUCAACAUGGAGCUUCUUCAUGCGUUUUAUACUAAUAUGACUCAAAUGGCAGUGCCACAAGUAUGUGGUACUAUCAUCACUAUCUUAUAUCUUUUGGCAUGAACAUGUGUAUCACUACGAUCGAGAUUCAAUGAACCAUUCAUUUUAGGUAAGACCAUUGAAGGUAUUAUUCAAAUAAACAGAGUAACUAUUAUUCUCCUUAAAUGAAUGACCGUAUUGCGAUAGACAUAAUCCAAUCAUGUAUAUGCUCAACGCAAACACCAAAUAACAAUUAUUUAGGUUUAUCACCCAUCUCGAUGGUAGAGGGAGUAUGCGAUGCUUGAUCUCAUCAAGCUUGGAAACACUUCCAACACAUAUUGUCAUCUCACCUUUAGCUAGUCUCUGUUUAUUCCGCAGCUUUUAUUUCAAGUUACCAACACUUAGCAACCGAACCGGUAUCUAAUACCCUGGUGCUACCAGGAGUACAAGUAAAGUACACAUUUAAUAUAAUGUAUAUCCAAUAUACUUCUGUCAACCCUGCCAGCCUUCUCAUCUACCAAGUAUCUAGGGUAGUUAUGCUUCAGUGACUGUUCCCUCAUUACAGAAGCACUUAGUCUCGGGUUUGGGUUUGACCUUGGGUUUCUUCACUAGAGCAGCAACUGAUUUGCCAUUUCAUGAAGUAUCCCUCCUUGCGCUUCUUGAAACUAGUGGUUUCACUAACCAUCAACAAUUUAUGCUCCUUCUUGAUUUCUGCUUUCGCGGUGUCAAACAUCGCGAAUAUUUCAAGGAUCACCAUAUAUAUCCCUGAUAUGUUAUAGUUCAUCACGAAGCUCUAGCAGCUUGGUGGCAAUGACUUUGGAGAAACAUCACUAUCUCAUUCGGAAGAUUAACUCCCACUCGAUUCAAGUGAUUGUUGUACUCAGACAAUCUGAGCACAAGCUCAAUGAUUGAGCUUUUCUCCCUUCAUUUGCAGGCUAAGAAACUCGUCAGAGGUCUUAUACCUCUUGACGUGGGCACGAGCCUGAAAUCCCAAUUUCAGCCGUCGAAACAUCUCAUAUGUUCUGCGACAUUUCGAAAUCGUCUUCGGUGCCUCAAUUCUAAACCAUUUAACAUUACUGAACUAUCACGUAGUUAUCAAAACGUGUAUGUCAGAUGUUUGCAACAUCCACAGACGAUGUUCGAGGUUCAACACACCGAGGGUUGCAUUAAGGACAUAAGCCUUCUACGCAGCAAUGAGGACAAUCCUCAGUUUACGGACCCCGUCCGCAUAAUUGCUACUAUCAACUUCCAACUAAAUUUUCUCUAGGAGCAUAUCUAAAACAGUAGAACUAAAGUGCGAGCUACGACAUAAUUUGCAAAAACCUUUUGACUAUGUUCAGGAUAAAUAAGUUCAUCUAAUGAACUCCCACUUAGAUAGACAUCCCUCUAGUCAUCUAAGUGAUACAUGAUCCGAGUCAACUAGGCUGUGUCCGAUCAUCAAGUGAGACGGACUAGUCAUCAUCGGUGAACAUCUUCAUGUUGAUCAUAUCCACUAUACGACUCAUGUUCGACCUUUCGGUCUGUUGUGUUCCGAGGCCAUGUCUGUACAUGCUAGGCUCGUCAAGUCAACCUAAGUGUUCCACGUGUGUAAAUCUGGCUUACACCCGUUUUAUGUGAACGUUAGAAUCUAUCACACCCGAUCAUCACGUGGUGCUUCGAAACAACGAACUUUCGCAACGGUGCACGGUUAGGGGGAACACUUUCUUGAAAUUAUUAUGAGGGAUCAUCUUAUUUACUACCGUCGUUCUAAGCAAAUAAGAUGCAUAAACAUGAUAAACAUCACAUGCAAUCAAAUAGUGACAUGAUAUGGCCAAUAUCAUUUUGCUCCUUUUGAUCUCCAUCUUCGGGGUUCCAUGAUCAUCAUCGUCACUGGCAUGACACCAUGAUCUCCAUCAUCGUGUCUCCAUGAAGUUGUCUCGCCAACUUAUUACUUCUACUACUAUGGCUAACGGUUUAGAAAUGAAGUAAAGUAAUUACAUGGCGUUAUUCAGUGACACGCAGGUCAUACAAUAAAUAAAGACAACUCCUAUGGCUCCUGCCGGUUGUCAUACUCAUUGACAUGCAAGUCGUGAUUCCUAUUACAAGAACAUUAUCAAUCUCAUACAUCACAUAUCAUUCAUCACAUUCUUGUUGGCCAUAUCACAUCACAUAGCAUACCAUGCAAAAACAAGUUAGACGUCCUCUAAUUGUUGUUUGCAUGUUUUAUGUGGCUGCUAUGGGUUUCUAGCAAGAACGUUUCUUACCUACGCAAAAGCCACAACGUGAUAUGCCAAUUGUUAUUUACCCUUCAUAAGGACCCUUUUCAUCGAAUCCGAUCCGACUAAAGUGGGAGAGACUGGCACCCGCUAGCCACCUUAUGCAACAAGUGCAUGUCAGUCGGUGGAACCUGUCUCACGUAAGUGUACGUGUAAGGUCGGUCCGGGCCGCUUCAUCCCACAAUACCGUCGAAACAAGAUAGGACUAGUAACGGCAAGUAAAUUGACAAAAUCGACGCCCACAACAACUUGUGUUCUACUCGUGCAUAGAAACUACGCAUAGACCUAGCUCAUGAUGCCACUGUAGGGGAAUGUAGCAGAAAUUCAAAAUUUUCCUACGAGUCACCAAGAUCUAUCUAUGGAGAGACUAGCAACAAGAGAGAGGAGUGCAUCUACAUACCGUUGUAGAUCGCGAGCAGAAGCAUUCAAGACAACGGGGUUGAGUGAGUCGUACUCGUCGUGAUCCAAAUCACCGAAGAUCCUAGUGCCGAACGGACGGCACCUCCGCGUUCAACACACGUGCAGCCCGGUGACGUCUACCACACCUUGAUCCAGCAAGGAGAGAUGGAGAGGUUGGGGAAGACUCCGUCCAGCAGCAGCACAACGGCUUGGUGGUGAUGGAGGAGCGUGGCUCUCCAGCAGGGCUUCGCCAAGCACUGCGAGAGAUGAGGAGGGAGAGAGGUAGGGCUGCGCCUUUGGAGAGAAUAACUCAUGUGUUGGACAGCCCCUAGACCUCAACUAUAUAUAGGGGGAAGGGAGGGGGCUGCGCCCCCUCUAGGGUUCCCACCCCAAGGGGUGCGGCAGCCCCUAGAUCCCAUCUAGGGCGGCGGCCAAAGGGGGAGAGGGGGAGGCGCACCUGGGGUGGGCCUUAGGGCCCAUCUGCCCUAGGGUUUCCCCCCCCUCUUCUCUUGAGGUGCCUUGGGCCUUGGUGGGGGGUGCUCCAUCCCACCUAGGGGCUGGUCCCCUCCCACACUUGGCCUACGCAGCCCUCUGGGGCAGUUGGCCCCACCUGGUGCACCCCCGGGACCCUCUCGGUGGUCCCGGUACGUUACCGAUAGCACCCGAAACUUUUCCGGUGACCAAAACAGGACUUCCCAUAUAUAAAUCUUUACCGCUGAACCAUUCCGGAACUCCUCGUGAUGUCCUGGAUCUCAUCCGGGACUCCGAACAACAUUCGAUAACCAUGUAUAUCUAUUCCCUAUAACCCUAGCAUCAUCGAACCUUAAGUGCGUAGACCCUACGGGUUCGGGAACCAUGCAGACAUGACUGAGACAACUCUCUUGCCAAUAACCAACAGCGGGAUCUGGAUACCCAUGUUGGCUCCCACAUGUUCCACGAUGAUCUCAUCGGAUGAACCACGAUGUCAAGGAUUCAAUCAAUCCCGUAUACAAUUCCCUUUGUCUAGCGGUAUAGUACUUGCCCGAGAUUCGAUUGUCGGUAUUCCGAUACCUUGUUCAAUCUCGUUACCAGCAAGUCUCUUUACUCGUUUCGUAACACAUCAACCCGCGAUCAACUCCUUGAUCACAUUGUGCACAUUAUGAUGAUGUCCUACCGAGUUGGCCCAGAGAUACCUCUCCAUCACACGGAGUGACAAAUCCCAGUCUCGAUUCGUGCCAACCCAACAGAUGCUUUCGGAGAUACCCGUGGUGCACCUUUAUAGCCACCCAGUUACGUUGUGAUGUUUGGCACACCCAAAGCAUUCCUACGGUGUCCGGGAGUUGCACAAUCUCAUGGUCUAAGGAAAAGAUCCUUGACAUUUAGAAAAGCUUUAGCAUACGAACUACAUGAUCUUGUGCUAGGCUUAGGAUUGGAUCUUGUCCAUCACAUCAUUCUCCUAAUGAUGUGAUCCCAUUAUCAAUGACAUCCAAUGUCCAUGGUCAAGAAACCAAGACCAUCUGUUGAUCAACGAGCUAGUCAACUAGAGGCUCACUAGGGACAUGUUGUGGUCUAUGUAUUCACACAUGGAUUACGAUUUCCGGUCAAUACAAUUAUAGCAUGAAUAAUAGAAAAUUAUCAUGAACAAGGAAAUACAAUAAUAACCAUUUUAUUAUUGCCUCUAGGGCAUAUUUCCAACAAUUUCAUCUGCAUGGUGCUGAGGGAUGCAAGGGCACGAUACCCCAUUCCUUAGAAGCUCUUGCUUGCACUGUUGGUGGCCUCGCGUAAGAUGCGGAAUUACUUUCAUGGUCACCCCAUCCAGGUUGUCUCUGGCUACCCAUUGGGAAGAGUACUCAGGAGCCCCAACUCCGCUGGAAGGGUCGCCGAGUGGAACAUUGAGCUGCAAGCAUUUCAGUUGGAAUUCAGCACAACCAGGGUCGUAAAGGCAGCCGCACUUGCAGAUUUUGUGGAAGAAUGGAUAGAGGCGCCAGGGCUUGAAGCAGGCGAAGAUCGAUCACUUUCCCCAGGAAGCGAUGCACCAGACGGCUGGGCCAUGUACUUUGAUGGAGCAUUCUCACGACAUGGUGUAGGGGCUGGCAUAGUGCUUAUAUCCCCCACUCAGGACAAGCUCUAUUACGCCGUGCAGCUCUGUUUCCAGCAUGGCGAUAAGGUAUUCAACAACAUAGCAGAAUACGAGGGCCUCAUAGCGGGCUUGAAAGCUGCAGCAGCACUGGGGGUGAAGCACCUCAUCAUCAAGGGUGACUCACAACUCCUCGUCAACUUCUCGAACAAAGUGUAUGAGCCAAAGGACGAGCACAUGGAGGUAUAUCUUGCGGAGGUGCGCAGGAUGGAAAAACAAUUUUGGGGGCUGGAUCUGCAACGUGUGCCCCGCGACACCAACCAAGAGGCUGAUGACAUCGCCAGGAGGGCAUCCAGGCGGCUGCCUCAGGAGCCUGGCAUUUUCGAGGAAUGGCUCUUCAAGCCCUUGGCAGCACUGUCACUAUCAAAGCAUAGCGCAACCUCGGGAGAAACUCCCUCAACCACUUGCCACAGGAGCCCCGGCAUAUGGCCCAACCUCGGGAGAACGCUUGCUCCUGGCGCUGAAGCCUCAGGUGGGAUGUUGGACUACAGAAUUCAAGGACUACCUGAUGCAAGGGACUCUACCAAAGAAGGAGGAUGACGCAGAAUGUGUGGCCCGGCAGGCGAUGUAUCCAAGACGGAGAGCUCUACCGGAAGCGACCAAAUGAUGUUUCCCUAUGUUGCAUCUCCAGGGAACAGGGAAGGAGUUACUGGCUGACAUACACGGUGGAGAUUGCGGACACCACUCGUUGUCGUGGACCCUCGUUGGCAAGGUGUUUCGCAGCGGAUUCUACUGGGCUACGGAACUCAACAACACAAUCACACUGGUGAAGCCUUGCGAAGCCUGCCAAUUCCAUGCCAAGCAGAUCCAUCAGCCAGCUCAGGGCCUGCAGACCAUCCCACUCUCGUGGUCGUUCGUGGUCUAGGGACUGGAUAUCUUGGGCCCGAUUCCUCGAGCGCCAGGGGGCUAUCGCUACCUUUACAUCGCCAUCGACAAGUUCACCAAGUGGGCAGAGGUGGAAGCCGUCCGCACCAUCCCAGCUGGCUCCGCAGUCAAGUUCAUCAAGGGCCUCGUGAGCCGAUUCGGGGUCCCUAAUCGCAUCAUCACCGACAACGGUUCGCAGUUCACCAGCAAUCUCUUCAAAACAUAAUGUGCUAACCUUGGAACGCAUAUAUGCUAUGCUUCGGUGGCACACCCCCGGAGUAACGGCCAGGCCGAAUGCGGCAACGCAGAGGUCCUGAAAGGCCUCAAAACUAGGACCUUCAAGAAGAAGCUGGAGGCCUGUGGCAGGGGCUGGUACGACGAGCUCCAGUCCGUGUUGUGGUCCAUCCGCACUACCGCCACCAAGUCGAUGAUACGUCUCCAACAUAUCUAUAAUUUUUGAUUGUUCCAUGCUAUUAUAUUACCCCUUUUGGAUGUUUAUGGGCUUUAUUUUACACAUUUAUAUCAUUUUUGGGACUAACCUACUAACCGGAGGCCCAUCCCGUAUUGCUGUUUUUUUUGCCUAUUUCAGUAUUUCGAAGAAAAGGAAUAUCAAACGAAGUCCAAACGAAAUGAAACCUUCGGGAGCGUGAUUUUUGGAACGAACGUGAUCCAGAGGACUUGGAGUGCAAGUCAAGAAGCAAUCGAGGCAGCCAGGAGAUAGGAGGGUGCGCCCACCCCUCCUGGGCGCUCCCCCUGUCUCCUAGGCCCCUCGAGCGGCCACCGACGUACUUCUUCCUCCUAUAUAUACCUACGUACCCCGAAAACAUCCAGGGAGCCAACGAGAAAAAAUUUCCACCGCCGUAACCUUCUGUAUCCAUGGAGGGCUUCUACAUCAACACCAUAUCCCCUCCGAUGAGUUGUGAGUAGUUUACCACAAACCUUCGGGUCCAUAGUUAUUAGCUAGAUGGCUUCUUCUCUCUUUUUGUAUCUCAAUACAAUGUUCUCCCCCUCUCUUGUCAAGAUCUAUUUGACGUAAACUCUUUUUGCGGUGUGUUUGUCGAGAUCCAAUGAAUUAUGGGUUUAUGAUCAAGUUUAUCUAUGAGAAAUAUUUGAAUCAUCUCUGAAUUCUUUUAUGUAUGAUUGAGUUAUCUUUGCAAGUCUCUUUGAAUUAUCAGUUUGGUUUGGCCUACUAGAUUGAUCUUUCUUGCCAUGGGAGAAGUGCUUAGCUUUGGAUUCAAUCUUGUGGUGUCCUUACCCAGUGACAGAAAGGGUUGCAAGGCACAUAUUGUAUUGUUGCCAUCGAGGAUAAAAAGAUGGGGUUUAUAUCAUAUUGCAUGACUUUAUCCCUCUACAUAAUGUCAUCUUUCUUUAUGCGUUACUCUGUUCUUAUGAACUUAAUAAUCUAGAUGCAUGCUGGAUAGUGGUCGAUGUGUGGAGUAAUAGUAGUAGAUGCAGGAAGGAGUCGGUCUACUUGUCACGGACGUGAUGCCUAUAUACAUGAUCAUGCCUAGAUAAUCUCAUAAUUAUUCGCUUUUCUGUCAAUUGCUCGACAGUAAUUUGUUCACCCACCGUAGUACUUAUGCUAUCUCGAGAGAAGCCGCUAGUGAAACCUAUGGCCCCCGGGUCUAUCUUUUAUCAUAUAAGCUUUCAAUCUACUUUUAUUUGCGUCUUUAAUUUUUGCAUCUAUAUUAUUAAAUACCAAAAAUAUAUUUAUCUUAUCAUACUAUCUCUAUCAGAUCUCACUUUCGCAAGUGGUCGUGAAGGGAUUGACAACCCCUUUAUUGCGUUGGUUGCGAGUUCUUUGUUUGUUUGUGUAGGUGCGUGGGACUUUUGAGGAGCCUCCUACUGGAUUGAUGCCUUGGUUCUCAAAAACUGAGGGAAAUACUUACGCUACUAUUGCUGCAUCACCCUUUCCUCUUCAAGGAAAACCAACGCAAGCUCAAGACGUAGCAAGAAGGAUGUCUAGCGCCGUUGCUAGGGAGGUCUUCACUCAAGUCAAGACAUACCAAGUACCCAUCACAAACUCAUCUCCCUCGCAUUUACAUUAUUUGCCAUUUGCCUCUCGUUUUCCUCUCCCCCACUUCACCCUUGCCGUUUUAUUUGCCCUCUCUUUCCCAAUCUUCUAUGCUCUUUUUUGCUUGCCUUUUUUCCGUUUGCUUGUGUGUUGGAUUACUUGUUGCCAUGGCGCAAGAUAAUACCAAAUUGUGUGAUUUCUCCAAUACCAAUAAUAAUGAUUUCCUUAGUACUCCGAUUGCUCCUCUUAAUGAUGUUUAGUCUUGUGAAAUCAAUACUGCUUUGCUGAAUCUUGUUAUGAAAGAUCAAUUCGCCGGCCUUCCUAAUGAAUAUGCCGCUACUCAUGUAAACAACUUUGUUAAUUUGUGUGAUAUGCAAAACAAGAAAGACAUGGAUAAAGAUAUUGUUAAAUUGAAGUUAUUUCCGUUUUCACUUAGAGAUCGUGCUAAAAUUUGCUUUUCGUCUUUGCCUAAAAAUAGUAUUGAUUCUUGGAACAAGUGCAAAGAUGCUUUUAUCUCUAAGUAUUUUCCUCCCGCUAAGAUCAUCACUCUUAGGAACGAUAUUAUGAAUUUUAAACAACUUGAUCAUGAGCAUGUUGCCCAAUCUUGGGAAAGGAUGAAAUUGAUGAUUCGCAAUUGCCCUACUCAUGGUUUGAAUUUAUGGAUGAUAAUACAAAAAAUUUAUGCCGGUUUGAACUUUGCUUCUAGAAAUCUUUUAGAUUCGCCCGUGGGAGGCACGUUUAUGGAAAUCACGUUAGGAGAUGCUACAAAACUUCUUGAUAAUAUUAUGGAUAAUUAUGCUCAAUGGCACACCAAAAGAUCUUCUAGUAAAAAAGUGCAUGCUAUAGAAGAAAUCAAUGUUUUGAGUGGAAAUAUGGAUGAACUUAUGAAGUUGUUUGCUACUAAAAAUACUCUUCUUGAUCCCAAUCAUAUGCCUUUGUCUACUUUGAUUGAGAAUAAUAAUGAAUCUAUGGAUGUGAAUUUUGUUGGUAAGAAUAGUUUUGGAAACAAUGCUUAUACAGGAAACUUUAAUUCUAGACCGUUCCCUAGUAAUUCCUCUAAUAAUUAUGGAAAUUCCUACAAUAAUUCUUAUGGUAAUUUUAAUAAGAUGCCCUCUCAUUUUGAGAAUAGCGUGAAAGAAUUUAUGAUCUCUCAAAAGAAUUUUAAUGCUUUGCUUGAAGAAAAAUUGCUCAAAGUUGAUGAUUUGGCUAGGAACGUUGAUAGACUUUCGCUUGACGUUGAUUCUCUUAAACUUAGAUCUAAUCCUCCUAAGCAUGAUAUCAAUGAGUCUCUCAAAGCAAUGAGAAUUUCCAUCGAUGAGUGCAAAGAAAGAACCGCUAGAUUGCGUGCUAAGAAAGAUUGCUUUGUAAAGGCGUGUUCUUCUAGUUUCCAUGAAAAUAAUGAUGAAGAUCUUAAAGUUAUUGAUGUGUCCCCUAUUAGAUCUUUGUUUUGCAAUAUGAAUCUUGAUAAUAAUGGGACUAGAGAUGAGUCAACUUUAGUUAGAAGGCGUCCCAGUAAUUCGGAGUUUUUAGAUCUUGAUGCUAAAUUUGGUUAAAGUGGGAUUGGUGAGGUCAUGACUUUAAAUAGCAUUGAACCCACUAUCUCGGAUUUCAAGGAAUUUGAUUAUGAUAAUUGUUCUUUAGAAGGUUGUAUUUCCUUGUUGCAAUCCGUUGUUCAUUCUCCUCAUGCUUAUAGUCAAAAUAAAGCUUUUACCAAACAUAUCGUUGAUGCCUUGAUGCAAUCUUAUGAUGAAAAACUUAAUUUGGAAGUUUCUAUACGUAGAAAACAUAUUGAUGAGUGGUAACCUACUAUAAAUAUUAAAAUUAAAGAUCAUGAGUGUUUUGCUUUGUGUGAUUUGGGUGCUAGUGUUUCCACGAUUCCGAAAACUUUAUGUGAUAUUCUAGGUUUCCAUGAUCUUGAUGAUUGCUCUUUAAAUUUGCACCUUGCGGAUUCCACCAUUAAAAAGCCAAUGGGAAGGAUCAAUGAUGUUCUCAUUGUUGCAAAUAGAAUUUGGUGCCCGUAGAUUUUAUCGUUCUUCAUAUAGAUUGCAAUCUUUCUUGCCCUAUUAUUCUUGGUAGACCUUUCCUUAGAAUGAUUGGCGCGAUUAUUGGUAUGAAGGAAGGGAAUAUUAGAUUCCAAUUUCCAUUAAGGAAAGGCAUGGAGCACUUUCUAAGAAAGAAAAUUAAAUUACCUUAUGAAUCUAUCAUGCAGGCUACUUAUGAAUUGAGUGCCAAAGAUGGCACUACUUAGAUCUAUCUUCGCUUUUAUGCCUAGCUACGGGCGUUAAACAAUAGCGCUAGUUGGGAGGCAACCCUAUUUUAUUUAUGUUUUUGUUUUCGUUUAUGUUUAGUAAUAAAUUUUGCAUCUAUCUUCUGUUUGGAUGUGUUUUUAUGUUUUAAUUAGUGUUUGUGCCAAGUAGAACCUAUAGGAUAACCUAUGAUGAUAGUUAAUUUGAUUCUGCUGAAAAACAGAAACUUUGCGCGCAUGAAAUUAGUUUUGUUAAAUCACAUAAACGUGCUUUUGCGUUGAUUCUUUUGCUGCUGAAGAAUAGAUAAAUUUUCCAGGACUUCUUAUUUUGGUAGGAUUUUUAGAGUUCCAGAAGUUUGUGUUAGUUGCAGAUUGCUACAGACUGUUCUGUUUUUGACAGAUUCUUCCUUUCGUGUGUUGUUUGCUUAUUUUGAUGCAUCUAUGGCUAGUAAAAUAGUUUAUAAACCAUAUAGAAGUUGGAAUACAGCAGGUUUAACACCAAAAUAAAUAAAUAAUGAGUUCAUUACAGUACCUUAUGUGGUGGUUUUGUUUUCUUUCACAAACGGAGCUUAUAAGAUUUCCUGUUGAGUUUUGUGUUGUGAAGUUUUCAAGUUUUGGGUAAAGAUUUGAUGGACCAUGGAAUAAGGAGUGGAAAAAGCCUAAGCUUGGGGAUGCCCAAGGCACCCCAAGAUAUUCCAGAGUAUCCAAAAUUCUAAUCUUGGGGAUGCCCCGGGAAGGCAUCCCCUCUUUCGUCUUCGUUCAUUGGUAACUUUACUUGGAGCUAUAUUUUUAUUCGCCACAUGAUAUGUGUUUUGCUUGGAGCAUCGUGUAUUAUAUUAUUCUUUGCUUUUUAGUUUACCACAAUCAUUCUUGCUGUACACACCUUUUGGGAGAAGCCUACUUGGUUGAAAUUUAUUAGAAUAUGCUAUGUGCUUCACUUAUAUUUUUUGAGCUAGAUAGUUUUUGCUCUAGUGCUUCACUUAUAUAUUUUAGAGCACGACGGUGGCUUAAUUUUUUAGAAAUUGCUAGUCUCUCAUGCUUCACUUAUAUUAUUUUGAGAGUCUUUUAGAACAGCAAGGUAUUUACUAUGGGACUGAUCACGUCUUCCACGUCAUCCUCCGUCCCUGGCACUUGCGGAGGGCCCUGAGGCGGCACGCCCCCUCUCGGAAGGGGGCUGGGGGCUGGCGCCCCCGUAAUUGCCGGACGGGCCCCGCCAGGGAUCCAGCCUGGCGUCGGUUCGUCCCCCGAGGAGGAACUCAAGAUCGACCUCAGCCGGUCGCCAUCCACGACUAGGGGAGGAGCUAGUCGCCAUCGUGUAUUAUAAAAUUUGUCCUAGAAUGGUAGGCAUCCAAGUUGGGUAUAAUAAAAACUAUCAUAGGAAGUGAAUUGGAUGCUAUGAUCAAUUUGAUACUUGAUAAUUGUUUUGAGAUAUGGAGGUAGUGAUAUUAAAGUCAUGCUAGUUGGGUGAUUAUGAAUUUAAAGAAUGCUUGCGUUGAAGUUAGCAAGUCCCGUAGCAUGCACGUAUGGUUAAAGUUGUGUAAAAAAUUUGAAGCAUGAAGUGUACCUGGAUUGUGCAUCAUUAUGAGUGGCGGUCGGGGACGAGCGAUGGUCUUUUCCUACUCAAGGAGCAUGCGCGUAGUGCUUGGUUUUUGAUGAAUUCUAAAUUUUUGCAAUAAGUAUAUGAGUUCUUAUGACUAAUGUUGAGUCCAUGGAUUAUACGCACUUUUACCUUUCCACCAUUGCUAGCCUCUUCUGUACCGUGCAUUGCCCUUUCUCACCUUGAGAGUUGGUGCAAACUUCGCCGGUGCAUCCAAACCCCGUGAUAUGAUACGCUCUAUCACACAUAAACCUCCUUAUAUCUUCCUCAAAACAUCCACCAUACCUACCUAUUAUGGCAUUUCCAUAGCCAUUUUGAGAUAUAUUUCCAUGCAACUUUCCACCGUUCCGUUUAUCAUCAUGACAUACAUUACUUUUUUCAUAUUGCCAUUGCAUGAUCUUGUAGUUUACAUCGUAUUUGUGGCGAAGCCACCAUGCAUAAUUUUUCAUACAUGUCACUCUUGAUUCAUUGCACCAUCUCAGUACACCGCCGGAGGCAUUCAUAUAGAGUCAUAUCUUGUUCUAGUUUCGAGUUGUAAUUCAUGUGUUGUAAUCAAUAAAAGUGUGAUGAUCAUCAUUAUUUGAGCAUUGUCCCAAAGAAAAAAAAGAAAGGCCAAAGAACAAAAGGGCCAAAGAAAAAAAAGAAAAAAAGAAAAAACGAAAAAAAUAAAAAAAGGAAAUGUUACUAUCUCUUUUUCCACACUUGUGCUUCAAAGUAGCACCAUGCCCUUCAUAUAGCGAGUCUCAUAUAUUGUGCUUCAAAGUAGCACCAUGUUUUUCAUAUAGAGAGUCUCAUAUGUUGUCACUUUCAUAUACUAGUGGGAAUUUUUCAUUAUAGAACUUGGCUUGUAUAUUCCUACGAUGGGCUUCCUCAAAUGCCCUAGGUCUUCGUGAGCAAGCAAGUUGGAUGCACACCCACUAGUUUUCUUUUGUUGAGAUUUCAUUCAUUUAUAGCUCUAGUGCAUCCGUUGCAUGGCAAUCCCUACUCCUCAUGUUGACAUCAAUUGAUGGGAAUCUCCAUAGCCCAUUGAUUAUCCUCGUCAAUGUGAGAGUUUCUCCUUUUUUUGUCUUCUCCACACAAUCCCCAUCAUCAUAUUCUAUUCCACCCAUAGUGCUAUAUCCAUAGCUCAUGCCAUGUAUUGCGUGAAAGUUGAAGAAGUUUGAGAUUAUUCAAGUACGAAACAUUUGCUUGGCUUGUCAUCGGGGGUGUAGAAUUUGGGAACAUUUUUGUGUGACGAAAAUGAAGCAUAGCCUAACUAUAUGAUUUUGUAGGGAUGAACUUUUUUUAGCCAUGUUAUUUUGAGAAGACAUGAAUGCUUUUAUUGGUAUGCUUGAAGUGUUACUAUUUCUUAUGUCAAUAUGAAAUUUUAUUUUGAAUCAUUUUGAUCUGAACAUUCAUGCCACAAUAAAGAAAAUUACAUUGAGAAUUAUGCUAGGUAGCCUUCCACAUCAAAAAUUCUGUUUUUAUCAUUUACCUACUAGAGGACGAGCAUGAAUUAAGCUUGGGGAUGCUUGAUACAUCUCCAACGUAUCUAUAAUUUUUGAUUGUUCCAUGCUAUUAUAUUACCCCUUUUGGAUGUUUAUGGGCUUUAUUUUACACAUUUAUAUCAUUUUUGGGACUAACCUACUAACCGGAGGCCCAACCUGUAUUGCUGUUUUUUGCCUAUUUCAGUAUUUCGAAGAAAAGGAAUAUCAAACGGAGUCCAAAUGGAAUGAAACCUUCGGGUGUGUGAUUUUUGGAAUGAACGUGAUCCACAGGACUUGGAGUGCAAGUCAAGAAGCAAUCGAGGCGGCCAGGAGAUAGGAGGGCGCGCCCACCCCUCCUGGACGCGCCCCUGUCUCCUGGGCCCCUCGAGCGGCCACCGACGUACUUCUUCUUCCUAUAUAUACCUACGUACCCCGAAAACAUCCAGGGAGGCAACGAAAAACAAUUUCCACCGCCAUAACCUUCUGUAUCCGCGAGAUCCCAUCUUGGAACCUUUGCCGGCGCUCCGCCGGAGGGGGAAUCGACCAUGGAGAGCUUCUACAUCAACACCAUAGCCCCUCCUAUGAGUUGUGAGUAGUUUACCAUAGAACUUCGGGUCCAUAGUUAUUAGCUAGAUGGCUUAUUCUCUCUUUUUGGAUCUCAAUACAAUGUUCUCCCCCUCCCUUGUGGAGAUCUAUUCGAUGUAAACUCUUUUUGCGGUGUGUUUGUCGAGAUCCGAUGAAAUGUGGGUUUAUGAUCAAGAUUAUCUAUGAGAAAUAUUUGAAUCUUCUCUGAAUUCUUUUAUGUAUGAUUGAGUUAUUUUUGCAAGUCUCUUUGAAUUAUCAGUUUGGUUUGGCCUACUAGAUUGAUCUUUCUUGCCAUGGGAGAAGUGCUUAGCUUUGGGUUCGAUCGUGUGUUGUCCUUACCCAGUGACAGAAAGGUUUGCAAGGCACAUAUUGUAUUGUUGCCAUCGAGGAUAAAAAGAUGGGGUUUAUAUCAUAUUGCAUGAGUUUAUCCCUCUACAUCAUGUCAUCUUUCUUAAUGGGUUACUCUGUUCUUAUGAACUUAAUACUCUAGAUGCAUGCUGGAUAGCGGUUGAUGUGUGGAGUAAUAGUAGUAGAUGUAGGCAGGAGUCGGUCUACUUGUCACAGACGUGAUGCCUAUAUACAUGAUCAUGCCUAGAUAAUCUCAUAAUUAUUCGCUUUUCUAUCUAUUGCUCGACAGUAAUUUGUUCACCCACCAUAAUACUUAUGCUAUCUUGAGAGAAGCCACUAGUGAUACCUAUGGCCCCCGGGUAUAUCUUUUAUCAUAUAAGCUUUCCAUCUACUUUUAUUUGCAUCUAUAUUAUAAAAUACCAAAAAUAUAUUUAUCUUAUCAUACUAUCUCUAUCAGAUCUCACUUUCGCAAGUGGCCGUGAAGGGAUUGACAACCCCUUUAUUGCGUUGAUUGCGAGUUCUUUGUUUGUUUGUGUAGGUGCGUGGGACUUUUGACGAGCCUCCUACUAGAUUGAUACCUUGGUUCUCAAAAACUGAGGGAAAUACUUACGCUACUAUUGCUGCAUCAGCCUUUCCUCUUCAAGGAAAACCAAUGCAAGCUCAAGACGUAGCAGUCGACUGGCGAGACCCUGUUCUUCCUUGUCUAUAGAGCACAUGCAGUCCUCCCUCACGAGGUCAAGCGUCACUCCGCACGGGUCCUAGCGUUUGAUGAAGCGCGACAGGACGCCAUGUGGGGGAUGGACCUCGUGCUGGGGGAGGAGCACCAUCGAGAAGCCGCGCUACGAGCAGCAAGGUACCAGCAGUCACUGUGGUGGUAUCAUUGCCGCAACAUCCACCCCAGGACUCUUGAGGUAGGUGACCUCGUACUUAGUCGGGUUCUCUCCAGGGAAGGGCUGCACAAGCUCUCGCCCAUGUGGGAGGGCCCGUUCAAGGUUGUUCAUGUUUCCAGGCCUGGCGCCGCGCGCCUGGAGACUUACGAGGGGGUGCCCAUCCCAAACGCUUGGAACAUUCAGCACCUCCAGAAGUUCUAUCCUUGAAGAAGGCCUAGUGCCUGUGAAGAAAAGCCCGGUUCCUGUGAAGAAGGCCCAGUGCCUGUGAAAAAGGCCCAGUGCGUGUGAAGAGGGCCCAGUGCCUGUGAAGAAGGCCCAGUUCCUGUGAAGCUCGCCGCCCCAAGAAAGGCCUGGUGCCUGUGAAGAAGGCCCAGUGCCUGUGAAGCUCGCCGCCCCAAGAAAGGCCCGGUGCCUGUGAAGAAGGCCCAGUGCCUGUGAAGCUCUCCGCCCGUGACACUCUCACGUAAUAAUGAGUUGGGGUUGUACAUGCUCCGGAGUCUCCGGAGUGCCGCCCUUGGGCCUCGGGGCUCCCCCGCACGCCCAGUGGCAGCACUUAGCUCCGCCCUGGUGAGAAGACGUCGAAGACUAGACUAGGUGCCGGACACGGCUUUUCAUUUGCUUUCUGCAGUUGGCUUGUUCUCCCCUAUUUGAACCCUUAUUGGAGUUGCUUCUAGUGUUGUUUGCCGUCCUCUGCCCCUGUUCCCUGUUUUCGGCUUCUGUUUGGCUUGCUCUAUCUCUUGCAAGCCUCGCGAAGGGGCUGCGUGGGCUCCCUCGUGAGCCCUUCCUCGCCUGUUUUUCGCGAGGCUCCCUCGUUCAAGUUCACAGCGAGAGCACCCCUCCCGGUCCGUGCAACAUGGGCAUCGUGACACAAAGCGCCGAGCCUAAGCCGGCAACCCUCACGACCAACGUUCAGAAACUAUCCUCCCAACCGAUCUUUACAGGUCUUAAGAUGCCCGGCGAGGCCUCAAGCGGGUACCUCGCGAGGCGAAAACUACUGCAAACAUCCCGAGCUCAGUUGUUCCCAUGCGCAGGCAGAUAACCACAACACCAUAACACAGCACAGCGAUGAUAAAUAUAGCACGAUAAUUGGGGAUAAUAGUCUGUUGUACGCCCCCACGGGGCUCCAUACUUCUCUCUCUCGAUGCAGGGAAAGGAGGAAAACAAAAUAAAAACGGCGCGCGCCUUGCGAAAGCUCGCGAGAAGGGAUCCGCAUCGUCCUCCCGAGCUCAAUCGGACUCCGCCUCGCGCUUCACUAGGGCGCGGCGACGAGACAUCCCGCUACCGCCCUCGAAGUGGGCGCGGCGACGUGGUCGCUAAUCGCGGCCACCGCUGGAAGAGCUGUCACCAGAGGAGGAGCUGCUGAAGCUCGGCGAGCUGCGGACGCCGCCAGGAGGGGGCUCGCCUUCGCCCUCGUCACGACCGUCACCAAGUACAAGCACCUCAUUGCCAUCAUCGUCUUCAGGGCAGAACCCAACACGGCGGCCAUCUUGUCCGAACACCCUCACAUAGAGGGUCGCGUUGCCAUCAAACUUGAAGUGGAGGGUGCACCGCCGGCCCAGGCCACGCGCGCGAGCAAGCGUAUGCCAGCCCCGGGCCAGGGCCAUGUUCCCGGCGACGGAGAUUUCCACCGCGACCCAGGAGGCCCUGCUGCAGCAGCCAUCCGCCUGCAGCCAGAGCUCGCCAGGGCCAGCGGUCGGCAAAUCACUGGCGAAGAAGCGAGGGAGCUGGAGCCAGUUGCCGGCCGGGUUGUUCGACCACACAACAAACUCCGGCAACACCUCUGCCGAAUGGAAGCGCGGCCAGGGAGGCCGCGUAGCCACGGCACGCCUUCCUUCACCAACUGGGCUGCCUCGAUACGGGCGGCCACCACCACACGAAGGUCCACCGCCGCGGCCGCAAGGAGCCACGACAGGGGUCGCUGGAUGCUUGCGGGGGCGGCCGUGACCGCGCUUGGGCGGGGGAGAGCCAGGUCCAUCCUGGCAAUCCUUCCCCUUCUCCGCGGCCGAAAACCUCUUCACGGGUGCCAUGGGAUGCUGCAAGCAAUCGGAGCGAGGAAGGAGAAGAAGCAGGCGGAGUAGGAAGAGAUGGACAACAGGGGAGGCCAACCGCCAGCCUCCACGAUCACAGGUAAUGGUGACUCUUUUUGCAUGCAGCAGUGACUCGUCAAAUUGGGCAGUUGCCGAGGCAGCAUGGGGAAGCGGAGACGCCCACGUCCAAUCAACCGCCAUGCAGCGACAAAGGCCGCAGGCUGUAGGGGCCCACGGCGCUCCGUACUUUCCCUUUGGCUUCGCUGCUAAGCCAAGUCCGAGCUUUCCUUGGGCCCGGGGGCUACUGUCGGCGUUCUGGGAAUGGCGGUCCCCAGACUUGCCUGCUUGCGGCCUGCAGCGUGGCUCAGCAGUGGCCCAGUACGGCAUGUCUUCAUCGACAAACACUCAAGACCCUCGCGAAGGGCCAAGCCUCGCGGGGUGGACGAAACAAGGCCUCCUCAGGGGUGGCCUCACCAGGCAGGCUCGCGAGGAGGCGGAGACAUCAAGGCGAGGGGUACCUUGUGAGGUGCUCGUGACGCAAGCCAUGACGACCAAGACCAGACGGGCGCCAGCCUGCGCAGUGUCCUCGUUUCCUCUUUGGUGCAAAGGGGGCAAGUGCAGGUGCGGAGUACCGAGGCAUCAAGCAAAGGUUUCCAUAUCAGUGCAACGAGACCAAGACCGGCAGGACGGCAGGAUGGAGGUCACCGUGGAGCCCAAGACGGCAUCAUCACCAGAGCCUUUGGCAGUCGAAGACCACCUUUAGUCAGGAUAGCUUGUACUAGCUGUCCCAUUUCGAAAUGGCCGUUGUUGGCUCCCUUUCCGCUCAAUAUUUGGGAAAAGGACCAGGGCCUCUAUAUAUAGAGAUGGCCACCACAGUAGAGAGGCAUCUCAUCUAGAUCUCAUCGAAACUAGAACAAGUAGGACACCACACCAUCUCAAGAACACCUCUCGCGAGGCUGUUCUUCCUCUGUACUGUUCAUCAUCAGCCUAAGAGGCAAUCCACCACAUCACACACAGGAGUAGGGUAUUACACCACAACGACGGCCCGAACCUAUAUAAAUCUUGUGUCUCUUGUGUUGUUCAUCGCGUUAGCUUAGAUUCAUAGUGAGGUUUUGGGGCGUGGAUCGGUAGGGAGAAGAUCUUUGUGCGCACCCCAGAGUUCGAACCUUAAGGGAUUUGCCAGAACCCGAUAUCCGACAGUACUACUUGUCCCCUUUGAAAUCCGGCCGUUGUGGGAUGCCUUCCCACCUACAUUUGGGAAGAGGACCAAGGCCACUAUAAAUAGGACUUAGCCACCGCCACAGAGAGGGAUCUAGAUCGAGUCCAAGAGGAUCCAUUCUCAUUGGACCACCUCACCAGCUCUCUUGAGCUCAAGAACACCUCACCUCCUGAGGCCAGUUCAUCCAUUGUACUAGUUCAUCCUCAGCCCUUCGAGGCAAUCCACCAAAAUGCUGGAGUAGGGCAUUACACCUCAAGGUGGCCCGAACUAGGAUAAACUGAUGUGUCCCUUUGUCCCUUCGAGCUUGGAGCGCUAGGCUCAGGAGGAUCGCGAGUAGGCAGGCUGGGUAGGUUGAGAUCUCCGCACGCACCCCAGAGUUCGAACCUCUCAAGGGUUUGCGGAUCUCGUAAUCCGACAUUUGGCGCACCAGGUAGGGGCGCGUCAGAUCUUCUCUUCCGUCGAUCGAUCCACCGUCACUCCGACACCUCCAUGGCUAACGCACAUCGAGCUCGCGCCGAGCGCCGGGCCACAGUCGCCGCUCGCUUUGCUCAGACGGCUCCGGAGGGCGAUGGUUGUGCUCGUGGUGCUCCGUCUCCGGUGGCCAACGCCACCAUGGGCCCUUUCGGCCACGAGCAGCAAGCUUCUUCACUGCACCCGUCGGUGCGCCGUGUCGGGCGCAUCGCCACUCCAUCACUGACUCCAGCAGCUUCGUCCUCCCACGCACGUCACGGCCCGGCGAAUGCGCAGGCUGCUCUGCUCAUGGCGGGGGAGCUCAUUCGCUACAGCCCGAUCGACGACUUCUACGAGGAGUGGCUUGAGUGGAUCGCUGGGCUCGUCAGCGCGCCCGGGGGCUCCGCCGCUCCGGCCCGCUCACUACCUCAGCAGCUGCCUGCCACGGGCGAUGUGGCUCACGGGGCUCCUCCACCACCUCCAACCCAGGGUGUCAUCAUUGAGCCAAGACGUGUGGCGCCACAACGCGACGCACCGUGCUAGGCACCUGCGCGGGAAGAAGUGAGCUUCCAGGUAGUGCAGCGACCUCAAGGAGAGUCGCACAUACUUCCUGCACCCUUGCGUCAGGCCCGCGUGACGCCAUAGGAGGUGGCGGCACGCAUGCACCAGGACCAAGUUCUACUUCCACGACGGGCCCUAGUGGCCACAGUAGGAUGCCGCACCUUCACCACGGAGCUCCGCAACAUCAUAUGGCCAAGCAAGUUCAAGCCUGACCUGCCCCCAUGCUACGACGGCACCGCCGACCCCGCUGAGUUCCUACAGCUCUACGAGCUGAGCAUCGAGGCGGCCAGCGGUAAUGAGAAGAUCAUGGCAAACUGGUUCCCAAUGGCCCUCAAGGAUGGCACAUUAUCUUGGCACCUGAACCUUCCAGAGGGAUCGGUGUCUUCCUGGGAGGAGAUGCGCUGCCGCUUCAUCGCCAAUUCCAGGGCACCUGCGACUGCCCGCCGGCUGCGGGUGACCUGCGUCGCAUCAAGCAGUAGCCUGGAGAGACCCUGCAGAAGUACAUCUAGCGCUUCAACAACGUUCUCCUCAAGAUCCCCAAGGUGUCGGACGAGGCCAUCAUCUCAGAGUUCACUGAUGGUGUCCGCGAUGUCAAGAUGAAGGAGGAUCUCGCCAUCCAUGAGGACCUCUGCACGGCCCUGGAAAUGUUUAACAUGGCAAACAAGUGCGCAGGGGAUGAGUAGGGACGCAUCUUCCUCCUCGAGCUCCCCGAUGCUGACCCAUAAGACAAGAAGGUCAAGGCCAAUGACGUGAAGCGCAAGGGGCCGGCUAUGCUCGCGGCCGAGCCAGAGAUGAAGCGCGGCCGCGACCACCCUGAGUCGUCCAAGAGCAACCGACCAUUCUGCGUCUUCCACAACGUCCACAUCCACAACACCAACGACUGCCAGGAGCUCAGGGCCCUCCACGACGGUUGCCUCGGACGACGCCCUGAGCACAAUGAUCGAGGCUACAUCCAUGGAGGUGGCCGAGAUGGAGGACGAUGGGAUGGGCGUGACCAUCGCUAGGAGUGGCGCGACCAUCCUCGGGAGGACCGUUGGCAGGGACAACCUCGCAAGGGUGCUUAGAGGGAGCAGCCUCGUGAGGAGCGCCCUCAGGGCAAUACUGGUCUGCCUCCACUGCCUCCAUCGCCAAGAAGGAACGAAGAGCAUCACCAGGACGAGGGGGCUGGGGGCUUCCAAGAGCCUUGAGCCAUUGCCUGCAUCCUGGGCGGCUCACAGGCCCCAGCUUCUCACCGCAUCUUCAAGCAGUUCGCGUGCGAGGUGAAUGCAGCGCUCCCCAAGCCCGAAGCAACUCGCCCUCUCAGGUGGUCCAAGUGUGCCAUCACCUUCAGCUCCUCCGACCAACUCAAGUGCGCGGCUGAUACGUCUCCAAUGUAUCUAUAAUUUUUGAUUGUUCCAUGCUAUUAUAUUAUCUGUUUUGGAUGUUUAAUGGGCUUUAUUAUAUACUUUUAUACUAUUUUUGGGACUAACCUAUUAACCGGAGGCCUAGUCCAAAUUGCUGUUUUUUUGCCUAUUUCAGUGUUUCGCCGAAAAGGAAUAUCAAACGGAGUCCAAACGGAAUGAAACCUUUGGGAGAGUCAUUUUUGGAACAAACGCAAUCCAGGAGACUUGGAGUGGACGCCAAGGAAGCAACGAGGAGGCCACGAGGCAGGGAGGAGCGCCUAGGGGGGUAGGUGCGCCCCACCCUCGUGGACCCCUCAUGGCUCCCCUGACCGACUUCUUUUGCCUAUAUAUACUCAUAUACCCUGAAAACAUCCUAGAGCACCACGAAACCCUAUUUCCACUGCCACAACCUUCUGUUCCCAUGAGAUCCCAUCUUGGGGCCUUUUUUGGCGCUCAGCCGGAGGGCAAAUCGAUCGUGGAGAGCUUCUACAUCAACACCAUAGCCUCUCCGACGAAGUGUGAUUAGUUUACCUCAGACCUUCGAGUCCAUAGUUAUUAGCUAGAUGGCUUCUUCUCUCUCUUUGGAUGUCAAUACAAAGUUCUCCUCGAUCUUCUCGGAGAUCUAUUCGAUGUAAUUCUUUUUGCAGUGUGUUUGUCGAGAUCCGAUGAAUUGUGUGUUUAUGAUAAAUAUUAUCUAAUGAACAAUAUUUGACUCUCCUCUGAAUUCUUUUAUGUAUGAUUUGUUAUCUUUGCAAUUCUCUUCGAAUUAUCAGUUUUGUUUGGCCUACUAGAUUGAUCUUUCUUGCAAUGGGAGAAGUGCUUAGAUUUGGGUUCAAUCUUGUGGUGUCCUUUCCUAGUGACAGCAGGGGCAGCAAGGCACUUAUUGUAUUGUUGCCAUCGAGGAUAAAAAGAUGGGGUUUAUAUCAUAUUGCUUGAGUUUAUCCCUCUACAUCAUGUCAUCUUGCCUAAUGCGUUACUCUGUUCUUAUGAACUUAAUACUCUAGAUGCAUGCUGGAUAGCAGUCGAUGUGUGGAGUAAUAGUAGUAGAUACAUAAUCGUUUCGAUCUAAUUGUCGCGGACGUGAUGCCUAUAUACAUGAUCAGGCCUAGAUAUUCUCAUAACUAUGCACUGCCCCAUCAAUUGCUCGAUAGUAAUUUGUUCACCCACCGUAAUACUUAUGCUAUCUUGAGAGAAGCCACUAGUGAAACCUAUGGCCCCCGCGUCUAUUUUCCAUCAUAUAAGUUUCCGAUCUAUUUUAUUUCGCAAUCUUUACUUUCCAAUCUAUAUCAUAAAAAUACCAAAAAUAUUUAUCUUAUUAUCUCUAUCAGAUCUCACUUUUGCAAGUGGCCGUGAAGGGAUUGACAACCACUUUAUCGUGUUGGUUGCAAGGUUCUUAUUUGUUUGUGCAGGUACGAGGGAUUUGAGUGUAGCCUCCUACUGGAUUGAUACCUUGGUUCUCCAAAACUGAGGGAAAUACUUAUGCUACUUUGCUGCAUCACCCUUUCCUCUUCAAGGGAAAACCAACACAUGCUCAAGAGGUAGCAGCGGCCACUGCCGGUGCACUCCCCAUGCUCUACUCUCCCUUCAUCAGCAACGUGGUCGUCACCAAGACCCUCAUUGAUGGUGGAGCAGGGCUCAAUGUCCUAUCUAUUCAAAGGUUCGACAGACUCCAAGUACCGUACUACCAACUUCAGUGAACCAAGCCAUUUUCAGGAGUGACCGAUUGUUCCACACACCCGAUAGGGCAGAUCCGCCUCCCUGUCACCUUCGGCGAGCGCAACAACUACCACACUGAGCUCAUUGACUUCGAUGUUGCCGACAUCCACCUUCCCUACAACGCCAUACUAGGUACCCAACACUGGCAAGUUCAUGGAAGCAACGCACCACGGCUACAAUGUCCUCAAGAUGCCGGGAGGUGGCGGCGGCAUCACGAUCGCAUGUCAAGAGAAGGAGACGGUAUGCUCCCUCGAGCACGCCUUCCAGGCUGUAGCAUUCGAGAACUGAUGUCUACUACACAACCUUGUUCUUGUAGAUGUUGUUGGGCCUGCAAGUGCAUAGGUUUGUAGGACAGUAGCAAAUUUCCCUCAAGUGGAUGACCUAAGGUUUAUCAAUCCGUAGGAGGCGUAGGAUGAAGAUGGUCUCUCUCAAACAACCCUGCAACCAAAUAAAAAAGAGUCUCUUGUGUCCCCAACACACCCAAUACAAUGGUAAAUUGUAUAGGUGCACUAGUUCGGCGAAGAGAUGGUGAUACAAGUGCAAAAUAGAUAGUAGAUAAAGGUAAUUGUAAUAUGAAAUUAUAUAAAAAAACAAGGUAGCAAGCGAUAAAAGUGAGCGUAAACGGUAUUGCAAUGAUAGGAAACAAGGCCUAGGGUUCAUACUUUCACUAGUGCAAGUUCUCUCAACAAUAAUAACAUAGAUAGAUCAUGUAACAAGCCCUCAACAUGCAACAAAGAGUCACUCCAAAGACACUAAUAGCGGAGAACGAACGAAGAGAUUAUGGUAGGGUACGAAACCACCUCAAAGUUAUUCUUUCGGAUCGAUCUAGUCAAGAGUUCGUACUAGAAUAACACCUUAAGCCACAAAUCAACCAAAACCCUAAUGUCACCUAGAUACUCCAUUGUCACCUCAAGUAUCCGUGGGCAUGAUUAUACGAUAUGCAUCACACAAUCUCAAAUUCAUCUAUUCAACCAACACAAAGUACUUUAAAGAGUGCCCCAAAGUUUCUACCGGAGAGUCAAGAACGUGUGCCAACCUCUAUGCAUAGGUUCAUUGGUGGAACCCGCAAGUUGGUCACCAAAACAUACAUCAAGAGGCACAUGAUAUCCCAUUGUCACCACAGAUAAACACGACAAGACAUACAUCAAGUGUUCUCAUAAAAGACUCAAUCGGAUAAGAUAACUUCAAAGGAGAAACUCAAUUCAUCACAAGAGAGGAGAGGGGGAGAAACAUCAUAAGAUCCAACUAUAAUAACAAAGCUCGGGAUACAUCAAGAUCGUGCCAUAGAGGGAACACAUGAGAGAACACGAGAAAGAGAGAUCAAACACAUAGCUACUGGUACAUACCCUCAGCCCCGAGGGUGAACUACUCCCUCCUUGUCAUGAAGAGCGUCGGGAUGAUGAAGAUGGCCACCCGUGAUGGAUCCCCCCUCCAGCAGGGUGCCGGGAAGGGCUCCCGAGAGGUUUUUGGUGGCUACAGAGGCUUGCGGCGACGGAACUCCCGAUCUAUCUUCUCCGUGGAUGUUUUUAGGGUACGUGGGACUAUAUAGGCGAAAGAAGUCGGUCAGGGGGUGCUCGAGGGAUCCACAAGACAGGGGGGCGCGCCCUAUAGGGGGCGCGCCCUCCUAUCUCGUGGGCUCCUCGAGGAUUGAGGGAGUCCUGGAUUAGGGGGUGUCCGGAUAGCCGGACUACCAUCAUCAGCCGAACUGUCAUCGGCCGGACUAUCAUCAUCGACCGGACUCCAAGACUAUGAAGAUACAAGAUUGAAGACUUCGUCCCGUGUCCGGAUGGGACUUUCCUUGGCGUGGAAGGCAAGCUUGGCGAUACAGAUAUGUAGAUCUCCUACCAUUGUAACCGACUCUAUGUAACCCUAGCCCUCUCCGGCGUCUAUAUAAACCGGAUGGCUCUAGUCCGUAGGACAACGACAACAACCAUUACAAUCAUACCAUAGGCUAGCUUCUAGGGUUUAGCCUCCUUGAUCUCGUGGUAGAUCCACUCUUGUAAACAUCCACAAUAUCAAUAUCAAUCAAGCAGGACGUAGGGUUUUACCUCCAUCAAGAGGGCCCGAACCUGGGUAAAACAUCGUGUCCCUUGUCUCCUGUUACCAUCUGCCUAGACGCACAGUUCGGGACCCCCUACACGAGAUCCGCCGGUUUUGACACCGACAUUGGUGCUUUCAUUGAGAGUUCCUCUGUGUCAUCACCGAUAGGCUUGAUGGGCUCUUCAAUUGACAACGACGCAGUCCUGGGUGAGACUUUUCUCCCCGGAACGAUCUUCCUAUUCGGCGGCUUUGCACUGCGGGCCAACUCACUUGGCCAUCUGGAGCAGAUCGAAAGCAACGCCCCUGGCCGUCAGGUCAGGUUUGGAAGCCUAAACUUCAUGGCCAAUAUCCGCGGGGACUUGAUCUUCGAUGGAUCUGAGCCACAGCCGCGCGUGCCAUGCUGUCACGAUGGGCAUGACCUAACUCUGCCGCCGGACAGCACCUUGGAGGCUGCACACAAAUCCGCUCUGACCCAUAGUCCGGAGCCGAUCGCUCAGAUCAAGGACGGAUGGAUGGACACCGCCUCGGGAGCCGCAACUUCUACGGCGAUGGAGCCGAACACUUACCUUGUCCCGCAUAAAGCUCAUGACUCCGAGGUGCCGGACUCUCUGCCGGACUCCGAACCUCCUGCGCCCCUGCCAGUCGAACCCGACUGGGCGCCGAUCAUGGAAUUCACCACUGCGGACAUCUUUCAGCACUCACCCUUCGGUGAUAUCUUAAAUUCGCUGAAGCAUCUCUCGCUAUCCGGAGAGCCCUGGCCGAACUAUGGCCAGGAUGGUUGGGAUGCGGACGGCGAAGAAAUUCAGAGCCCACCCACCACCCACUUCGUAGCCACCGUCGACGAUCUAACCGACGUACUCGACUACGACUCCGAAGACAUCGACAGUAUGGACGACGAUGCCGAUGACUAUCAAGAACCAGUGCCUACAGGACACUAGAAGACCACCUCGUCAUACGACAUAUAUAUGGUGGACACCCCAAAAGAUGGGGACGGUGAAGAUGCAACGGAGGCCGAUUCCUUAAAGAAACAGCCCAAGCGCCGACGUCAGCGGCGCCGCUCUAAACCCCGCCACAACAAGAAUGGAGAUUCCGGCACAGGAGAUAAUAACACCCCAGAAAGUGCCGAAGACAACCCCCUCCAGCACGAUCCAGCGCAGGAGGAGGCAGAUGCCAGCCCUCACGAGAGGGGGGCAGACGAAGAGGUCGAGGAUGAUAAUUACUUACCUCCCUCCGGAGACGAGGCAAGCCUCGACGACGAAUUCAUCGUGCCUGAGGAUCCCGUCGAACAAGCGCGUUUCAGGCGCAGGCUAAUGGCCACGGCAAACAGCCUAAAGAAAAAGCAGCAACAGCUUCAAGCUGAUCAAGACCUACUGUCCGACAGAUGGACCGAGGUCCUCGCGGCCGAAGAGUAUGAACUCAAAUGCCCCUCCAGAAGUUACCCAAAACGCUGGUUGCUCCCCCGACUAGAGGAGGAAGCAUACAAACCUGCAUCACCAGUGCACAAUACGGCAGACCGACCACCUCGUGGCCACGACAGAGAGGCGUGCAAGCCCUCCACCAAAACCGUACCCCGGCAUCGCUCAAAAAGCAUAAAGCCACGGGGGAACGCGCCGGACUUGCGGGAUAUAUUGGAGGACAAGGCAAGACAAUCCAGAUCUAUCUAUGGAUCACAUGGGCACCCCAAGACCCACGACGAAUACCGUCGCGCCAGAUACAACUACUCCGGCCGGGCCGAACACAGCAGACGACGCUCUCUCGAGCUACGUCGCGAUAUUGCUCAAUACAGAGGCGCCGCACACCCACUAUGCUUCACUAACGAAGUAAUGGAUCAUCAAAUCCCUGAAGGGUUUAAACCCAUUAAUAUCGAAUCCUACGAUGGCACAACAGACCCCGCGGUUUGGAUUGAGGAUUAUCUCCUCCAUAUACAUAUGGCCCUCGGCGACGAUCUUCACGCCAUCAAAUAUCUCCCGCUCAAGCUUAAAGGACCAGCUCGGCAUUGGCUUAACAGCCUGCCUGCAGAGUCAAAUGGAUGCCGGGAAGACCUGGAAGCCGCAUUCCUCGACAACUUCCAGGGCACGUAUGUGCGACCACCGGACGCAGAUGACCUAAGCCACAUAAUCCAGCAGCCAGACGAAUCGGCCAGGCAAUUCUGGACACGGUUCUUAACAAAGAAAAAUCAAAUCGUCGACUGUCCGGAUGCAGAGGCCCUCGCUGCCUUCAAACAUAACAUCCGCGACAAGUGGCUGGCCCGGCACCUAGGACAGGAGAAGCCGAAAUCCAUGGCAUCCCUCACAUCACUCAUGACCCGCUUCUGUGCGGGAGAGGAUAGCUGGCUAGCUUGCAGCAACAACCUCAGCAAAAACGCUGGCAGUCCGGAUACCAAGGACCGCAAUGGCAGGUUGCGUCGAAACAAAAACAAACGCCGCAUUAACGGCGACAGCAAUGAGGAUACGGCAGUCAACGCCGGAUUCCGAGGCUCCAAGCCCGGUCAACGGAAGAAGCCAUUCAAAAGAACCACUCCGGGCCCGUCCAAUUUGGACCGAAUACUCGACCGCUCCUGUCAAAUACAUGGAACCCCCGAAAAGCCAGCUAACCACACCAACAAAGAUUGUUGGGUAUUCAAGCAGGCAGGCAAAUUAAUCGGAAAAAACAAUGACAAGGGGCUACACAGCGAUAACGAGGAAGAGACCUGGCCGCCGAACAACAGAGGACAGAAGGGAUCCCCCCCCAAGUUCGGAUGGUAAACAUGAUAUACGCAACGCAUAUACCCAAGACGGAGCGGAAGCGUGCACUAAGGGACGUAUACGCGAUGGAGCCAGUCGCCCCAAAAUUCAACCCAUGGUCCUCUUGCCCGAUCACUUUCGAUCGAAAAGACCAUCCGACCAGUAUCCGCCAUGGCGGAUUCGCCGCAUUGGUUUUAGACCCAAUCGUCGAUGGAUUUCACCUCACGAGAGUCCUGAUGGACGGCGGCAGCAGCCUGAACCUGCUUUAUCAGGAUACAGUGCGCAAGAUGGGCAUAGACCCUUCAAGGAUUAAACCUACAAAGACGACCUUCAAAGGCGUCAUACCAGGUGUCGAGGCCAGUUGUACAGGCUCAGUUACACUGGAAGUGGUCUUUGGAUCCCCGGAUAAUUUCCGAAGCGAGGAGUUAAUCUUCGACAUAGUCCCAUUCCGCAGUGGCUAUCACGCUCUGCUCGGACGAACCGCGUUCGCAAAAUUCAACGCGUUGCCGCAUUAUGCAUACCUUAAGCUCAAUAUGACAGGCCCUUGUGGAGUCAUCACGGUCAAUGGAAACACGGAACGCUCCCUCCGAACGGAGGAACAUACAGUGGCUCUCGCGGCAGAAGUAUAGAGCAGCCUUUUGAGGCAAUUUUCGAGUCCGGCUGUUAAUUGACCGGACACGGCCAAACGCGCCAGGAGCAACAUCAACCAAGACCACCUGGCGCGUUCUGAGCACGCGUAGCAAUGCGGCCUCAACCCCAGCCCUCGCACAAUUGUGAGACAAACUCUCCGCGUACAUAAUUACGCCCUGGAGAUACCAUGGGCAUAGGGGGAGAGGCACAACCACAACAGACCCAGAGUGCGGUUCAACCACACCAGGGGCUCCCAAGUGUGUCGCUCUUUUUUAUCUUUUAUUUCUUUCUUUUUUAUACAGAACUCUGUCCGGCGGCGAACCUGCCGAACUCAUGAAGCAACAGCCAGGGAGGGACAAAGGCUGCGACGAACACUCAGGAGGUCUCCAUUACGAGCAUUAAAUUUGUUAAAUACACCAUUCCGUGGCCUACCUCUAGAGGGAAACGCCUUUAAUUCUUCCAAUCCCUUGCUUUCCGCACUAUUUGUGUCAUUCCGCACUCAUAGCACAUCUUCUCGAAUAAAAUGCAGCACUUUUUGCCCAUAAUUGCAUUACCUUAUAUAUAUAUAUGUUCAUUUGCAACAUGUUGCAUCCGUACAUUUUGGUACGGCUAAAUACACCAGGGGCUUAUGUUCCCCGCAUUAUGGUGUGAUAAAGUCCGAACACUUUCACAAGUGCGGCACCCCGAACUUAUAGCAUUAUAUGAAUCGGCUCCGAAUCAUGUCUUGGGUCAAUAGUUGGGUUUGCCCGGCUCCCAUGUUUGGCACCUUACGUUUCCGUUCUAUCGGCUAAGGUAGCACUGGGAGAACCACUGCGAUUGCGCCCCGGUUGAGCCGGGUUAACGCCUCAGUGGAGAAAGCUAAAACUGACUGUCAUGAUAAGGCGAGAGACUGGUCGCUGUUCGAGAGGUCUUUUCGGGUCCUUAAAGACCUAUGCCGCUUCGAGCGAAGUUCCGGAUAAUGUACGACGAAGGCGUGGAUAGCGCUCCUAAUUCGGUCUUCCGAAUACUAGGGGCUUCGCCGAAAUUUAAAAUUAUAGAAUUCUAUGGCUAAGUGAGAGUGUUCAAGCACUAUAAGUCCGGUUGCCUUGUUCGUUGUGUUGAGCGCCUCCCUAGAUGGACCCAAAAAUGGGAACAAGAGUGCUCAAGUUUAUCCCGAACACCCCAGCACUCGUGGCAUGGGGGCUGAAGCCGACGACUUGCCAUCUCUCAGAUUUAAUAAACGGCCGCACAGAAGGUAAUAUUUUAAAUUAACAAGCAUUGCUUAGCGCAUAUGAACAAAGUUUUCAGCGCACAGGAUAACACAUUGUGAAUUUACUCAAUAAUUACAUCCCUGGGGCACUCAUCCGCAAUCUUGCGGGCACCCUUCAGGACAGUCUUAUAGUACAUCUCGGGCGUACGAUAUUCCUUGCCCGCUGGUGGCGCGUCAGUGAUUAGCUUCUCCGCAUCCAGCUUGCCCCAAUGCACCUUUGCGCGGGCAAGGGCCUGACGAGCACCUUCAAUACAGGCGGAGCGCUUGAUAACCUCCACCCAGGGGCACGCAUCCACCAACCAUCGCACGAGGCCGAAGUAGCUCCCAGGCAUGGCCUCUCCAGGCCACAGCCGGACUAUGAGGCCCUUCAUGGCCUGCUCGGCCGCCUUGUGGAGCUCGACCAGCUGCUUCAGCUGGUCGCUAGGGGGCACCGGAUGGCCGGCCUUAGCAUACUGAGACCAGAAGACCUUCUCCGUUGAGCUCCCCUCCACGGCUCUAUAGAAUGCGGCGGCAUCAGACACACUUCGAGGCAGAUCUGCAAAUGCCCCUGGAGAGCUCCGAAUACGGGUAAGUAACACGUAAUUUACAUUCACAUGCUUGCUUUGCAUGACAAAUGCCUUACCCGCCGCUAUCUUCCUCACCAACUCAAUCUCCUGAAGGGACUUAUGGGCAUCGGCCUUGGCAGUUUUGGCACUUUCGAGAGCCAAGGCAAGCUCGGACUCUCGAGUAUUUGAGUCACGCUCCAAGCUCUCAUGCUUUUCCAUGAGAGCCUGGAGCUCUUGCCGAACCACCGCCACCUACGCCUCCUGCUUUUCUCGCUCUGCCCUCUUUGCGGCCGCAUUGCGUUCGACCGCGGACACGGCCUCCUUCAGGGUCGCCACCUCGUUCGUGGCCCCUGCAGUACCCAUGUUAUCCUUGUUAUUUUUUGUUGCAACCUAAAUCCUUUUCUGUAAGGUACAAGUUCAAAGUGGUGUUACUCACCUUCUUUGUCCUGGAGCUGCUUCUUGGCGCGGCCGAGCUCUUGCUCGGACCGCUCGAGCUCCUGCUCCAAAGCACUGACCUCCGCAGUCAGUGCGGCAGAGGUCAGCAGCGCAGCCUGCAACCCAUAUUGACAUAAUUUUUUAGCCACCCUACGUAUAUCUUCUUUUUUUCAGAUCCUUAGUCCGGCUUUUCUUACCGAACACCGAACCGAGCAUCAGGAGCUACUGUCUAUGCGGUAUUACAUUGCAUAUUUUUAACUUCUUACCUCAAAGCCUAAUAGAAGGCUACUGCAGGCUUCGGUCAGCCCGCUCUUGGCGAGCUGUACCUUCUGAAUCACCGCACUCAUAAUAGUGCGGUGUUCUUCCUCGAUGGAAGCGCUCUAGAGCGCCUCCAACAAAUUGCCCGGUGCCUCCGGUUGGACGGAAGCCGCCGGCGUCAUGGUCUUGCCCUUCGUGCGAAGGGGCCGCCGGCCAGACUCCGGAACCACUGCGGGUUCUGAUAUGGAGUCCGGCGCAAAGUCUGGGAGGACGCCUUGUGGCACCUCCGGAGCCUCCCCCUGAUGGGUCCCUUCUUGGGAUCCCACCUCGGCGUCCUCGGUGUCGCGAGGGGUGGAGGCGGUCGGGAUGGAGUCUACAUCCGACGGAGCCAACGACCCGCUCGAUGAAGCGGGGAGAUCAUCAUUGGCCGGACUACAGGUAGCAUGCGGCAUCAGAAUGACACUAUGUGACGCAGAAAAAGAAAUUAUACAUCAUUCAGGAGUCUGGAUACUUACGAUCUCGCCGGAGGCCUGGCCCUUGAAGGCCAUUCUUGCUCGCCAACGUUGAUGUUGGCGGAGCUGUCCGGGGGAAUAGUCCUUCCCCUCUUGGACCCUUCGGCCUCCCCUGUUGGGGAAGCCUUCCUCUUCCUCUCUCCCUCCUCUGGGAGAGAGUCCUCUUUCUCCUCCUCGUUUUCGGGGGAGGAGUCCGCCCCGGAGUCGUCGGACACCUGAAGACGGGAACUUUUUCGAGCACCCGUGGCCUCCUUCUUGGCCUUCUUCUCCGGCACCACGUGCGGUGCCGGAACCAGCAGCCUCGCUAGACGGGCGUCUACUGGGUUUUCUGGCAUAGGAGCCGGGCAGAUAAUCUGCUCCGCCUUCCUCAUCUAGUCCUGUCAAAGGAAAAGGGGAAAUUAAAACCCGCAUAGAGUCAAACUAUGAAAAGCAAGUGUCCCGUAAAGGGGUAUAAUCACUUACCUCGUCGGCUUGGCGCUGCGAGCGAAAUCCGCGAUCUUCAGUCGCGGAUGCGGGGGCUUCGGCGCCCUUAAACAGCACCCUCCAGGCGCCUUCGUAUGUCGUGUCGAAGAGCCUGCUCAGUGCCUGAUGCUGUUCCAGAUUGAACUCCCACAGAUUGAAUGCCCGCUCUUGGCAUGGGAGAAUCCGCGGACGAGCAUGACCUGGACCAUGUUAACCAGCCUGAGCUUCUUCACCAGCUUCUGGAUAUAGGCUUGGAGUCCCGUCAGCUCCUCCGAACUACCCCAUAGCAAGCCCUUCUCUUUCCAGGAGGUGAGCUGCGUGGGGAUACCAGAUCUGAACUCGGGGGCCGCCGCCCACUUAGGGUCGCGCGGCUCGGUGAUAUAGAACCACCCUGAUUGCCACCCCUUGACGGAUUCCACGAAGGCCCCUUCGAACCAAAGGACGUUGGGCAUCUUGCCCAACAUGGUGCCUCCGCACUCCGCUUGAGUGCCCUUCACUACCUUCGGCUUGACAUUGAAGGUCUUGAGCCACAAGCCGAAGUGGGGCUGGAUGCAGAGAAUGCCUCGCACACGACGAUAAAUGCCGAGAUGUUGAGGAUGAAGUUCGGCGCCAGAUCAUGGAAAUCCUGGCCAUAGUAGAACAUGAGCCCCCGGACAAAGGGGUGAAGUGGAAAGCCCAGUCCGCGGAGGAAGUGGGGGAGAAAAACGACCCUCUCAUGGGGCCUAGGGGUAGGGAUGAGCUGCCCCUCGUCGGUCAGCCGGUGCGCGAUGUCGUCGGACAGGUAGCCGGCGCUGCGCAGUCUUUCGAUGUGCUCCUCCGUAACGGAGGAGGUCAUCCACUUGCCUCCCGCUCUGGACAUAACUAGGGAAGGUUGAGACGAGAUGUGCGUGCUUGGGCGCUGGAGCUCGAGUGCGCGGACAUGGAUAAGCAAAGGAGGAAGAAGGCGUAGGUGAAAAGGUGAAUCCUUAUCCCUUAUAUGGGCGGGCGAAGUCUACGCGUCCCCCACCGGCCGGGUAAAACUCGCUUAUCCCCCAAGCGUCACCAUCAAUGGAGCGGUUGGGUUACCCACGUCCGUAUUGAUGAGAAUCCCGGAUUAAGGGGGAACACGAUCUCUGCUUUGACAAGACGUGCCAAGGAAACCGCUUCGCUAAAUGCGCCGAGGUGGUAGAGUAAAAAACGAUUCAAGUAAUGGCUUGGUAGUGGCGUGACGUCAUGCCGCAAAAAACGUCAGCAGAUUGAACUUGUGGAUAUAUUAUUCUCUCUACGGUGGAAUGUGGAAUUUAUUUUGCAGAGCCGGACACUAUCCUGGUGUUCACAAUCUUCUAUCAUUCGGAGGAGGAACCCACCUUGCAAUGCCAAGCAAUAUACGCGCCGGACUUAUCGUCAUUGAAGCCUGGUUCAGGGGCUACUGAGGGAGUCCUGGAUUAGGGGGUGUCCGGAUAGCCGGACUACCAUCAUCAGCCGAACUGUCAUCGGCCGGACUAUCAUCAUCGACCGGACUCCAAGACUAUGAAGAUACAAGAUUGAAGACUUUGUCCCGUGUCCGGAUGGGACUUUCCUUGGCGUGGAAGGCAAGCUUGGCGAUACAGAUAUGUAGAUCUCCUACCAUUGUAACCGACUCUAUGUAACCCUAGCCCUCUCCGGUGUCUAUAUAAACCGGAUGGCUCUAGUCCGUGGGACAACGACAACAACCAUUACAAUCAUACCAUAGGCUAGCUUCUAGGGUUUAGCCUCCUUGAUCUCGUGGUAGAUCCAAUCUUGUAAACAUCCACAAUAUCAAUAUCAAUCAAGCAGGACGUAGGGUUUUACCUCCAUCAAGAGGCCCCGAACCUUGGUAAAACAUCGUAUUCCUUGUCUCCUGUUACCAUCCGCCUAGACGCACAGUUCGGGACCCCCUACCUGAGAUGCGCCGGUUUUGACACCGACAAGGAUCUUCUGACUUCCUCUCCAAGCCUCCAGGAUGAUAAUCUUCCAAAAAAUCACGAUGCCGAAGGUUUCAUUCCGUUUGGACUCCGUUUGAUAUUCCUUUUCUUCGAAAUACUGAAACAGACAAUAAAAUAGCAAUAUGGGAUGGGCCUCCGGUUAAUAGGUAACUCCAAAAAGUAAUAUAAAAGUGUAUAAUAAAGCCCAUAAUCAUUCAAAAUAGAUAAUAUAAUAGCAUGGAACAAUCAAAAAUUAUAGAUACGUUGGAGACGUAUCAAGCAUCCCCAAGCUUAAUUCCUGCUCGUCCUCGAGUAGGUAAAUGAUAAAAACAGAAUUUUUGAUGUGGAAUGCUACCUAGCAUGAUUCUCAAAGUAAUUUUCAUUAUUGUGGCAUGAAUGUUCAGAUCCAGAUGAUUCAAAAUAAAACUUCAUAUUGACAUAAGAAAUAGUAAUACUUCAAGCAUACCAAGCAAGUAAUCAUGUCUUUUCAAAAUAGCAUGGCCAAAAUAAAGUUAUCCCUACAAAAUCAUAUAGUCUGGCUGUUGCUCUAUCUUCAUCACACAAAGUAUUUAAUCAUGCACAACCCCGAUGACGAGCCAAGCAAUUGUUUCAUACUUUAAUAAUCUCAAACUCUUUCAACUUUCACACAAUAAAUGAGCGUGAGCCAUGGACAUAGCACUAUAUGUGGAAUAGAAUGGUGGUUGUGGAGAAGACAAAAAAGGAGAAGAUAGUCUCACAUCAACUAGGCGUAUCAACGCGCUAUGGAGAUGCCCAUUAAUAGAUAUCAUUAUGAGUGAGUAGGGAUUGCCAUGCAACGGAUGCACUAUAGCUAUAAAUAUAUGAAAGCUCAACAAAAGAAACUAAGUGGUGUGCAUCCAACUUGCUUGCUCACGAAGACCUAGGGCAUUUUGAGGAAGCCCAUCAUCAGAAUAUACAAGCCAAGUUCUAUAAUGACCACUAGUAAAUGAAAGUGACAACAUAUGAGACUCUCUAUCAUGAAGAUCAUGGUGCUAUUUUGAAGCACAAGUGUGGAAAAAGAGAUAGUAGCAUUGUCCCUUCUCUCUUCUUCUCUCAUUUUUUUAUUGGGCCUUUUCUCUCUCUUUUUUUAUGGCCACCUUUUUUUUAUAUUUCGUCCGGAGUCUCAUCCCGACUUAUGGGGGAAUCAUAGUCUCCAUCAUCCUUUCCUCACUGGGACAAUGCUCUAAUAAUGAUGAUCAUGACACUUUUAUUUUUUACAACUCAGCAAUUACAACUCGAUACUUAGAACAAAAUAUGACUCUAUAUGAAUGCCUCCGGCGGUAUACCGGGAUAUGCAAUGAAUCAAGAGCGACAUGUAUGAAGAAUAUGAUGGUGGCUUUACCACAAAUACGAUGUCAACUACAUGAUCAUGCAAAGAGCAAUAUGACAAAAGUAAUGUGUGUCAUAUGAAUGGGACGGUGGAAAGUUGCAUGGCAAUAUAUCUCAGAAUGGCUAUGGAAAUGCCAUAAUAGGUAGGUAUGGUGGCUGUUUUGAGGAAGGAGUAAGUUGGGUGUAUGGUACCGGCGAAAGUUGCACGAUACAAGAGAGGAUAGCAAUAAUCCAUGGACUCGACAUUAAUCAAAAGAACUCAUAUACUUGUUGUAAAAAUUUAGAAGUCAUCAAAAACCAUAGCUCUACAUGCAUGCUCCUAGGGGGAUAGAUUGGUAGGAAAAGACCAUCGCUCGUCCCCGACUGCCACUCAUAAGGAAGACAAUCAAUAAAUUAAAUUGUGCUCCAACUUCAUAACAAAGCGGUUCACCAUACGUGCAUGCUACAGGAAUCACAAACUUCAACACAAGCAUUCUUUAAAUCCAUAAUCACCCAACUAGCAUGACUUUAAUAUUACUACCUCCAUAUAUCAAAACAAUUAUCAAGCAUCAAAUUGAUCAUAGCAUCCAAUUCACUUUCUAUGAUAGUUUUCAUUCAUAUAACCGUGCUAUUUAAGACUCUGAAAAUAAUAUAAGUGAAGCAUGAGUGUCUAGCAAUUUCUUCAAAAUGUAACCACUGCCGUGCUCUAAAAGAUAUAAGUGACGUACUAGAGCAAACAACAAACUACUCCGAAAGAUAUAAGUGAAGAUCAAAGUGUAGCUAAAUAAUUAUGCAACUAUGAAAAGACUCUCUCUCAUUAAAGAAUUUCAGGUCUUGGUAUCUUAUUCAAACAGAAAGCAAAGCAAAAUAAAAUGACAAUGCAAGGAUAGCACAACUCAUGUCAAGAAGCAAAAACUUAGGCUCAAUUGAUACUAACCGAUAGUGAUUGAAGAAGAAAGGUGGGAUGCCUAUCGGGGCAUCCCCAAGCUUAGAUGCUUGAGAUUUCUUGAAAUAUUAUCUUGGGGUGCCUUGGGCAUCCCCAAGCUUAAGCUUUUAUGUCUCCUUAAUUCCUCUCAUAUCAUGGUUUCUCUUCUUUUUAUCAAAAGCUUCAUUCACAACAAACUCAACAAGAACUCGUGAGAUAGGUUAGUAUAAACCAAUGCAAAACCAUAACAUCACUUGGGGGCUAAUCAUAUCCGAAUCUAGCAUGACCCAUUUGAUCCGGCUUACGAUCGUAUUCGAAUCUAGCAGUUAAAACCUUAUGAUCACUUGGGGCUUCCUGUUCAAACAUAGGUCAUAUUCGAACCAAAGAGAACAUAGCUGUCGGUACCCUUUUGAUUGGCACACUGCCGAGCUCACUAGGGGGCUUCUUGAUUGUAUUCAGAUCAUAGCUCAACCCCUUUAUGGAACCGACUUUGAUUGUAUUCGAAUUAGAGUCGUUAAAAAACUCUCAAAGUCAUUAGGGGGCUUCCUGUUCAAACAUAGGUCGUAUUCGAACCAAAGAGAACAUAGCUGUCAGUACCCUCUUGAUCGACACAACGCCAAAUCCACUUGGGGGCUACAUGAUCAUAUUCGAAUCCUAGCGUAACCCCUUUGGAAUGGUUUACUGAUCGUAUUCGAAUUAGAAGCCUUAACUUUUCUAUAUUCUAUUUGGUUUAAGUUUUCUUUGAAAGCAGCCUUUAUUUGACUUGAGACUUUUUUGAGGUUUAAAAAGUACAAGUGUGGUUAAUUUUAACCCGGCUUGAUAUUGGCUGAUAAGUCGCCAAUAUAUGAGAAUCAUUAUACCUUUGGAAAUAUUGGUUUCCGAAGAUUGGAUUAUCACCCUUAAUGUCCGGGUCAUAUAAGCCGGCAGUGCAAAUUCAAAAAGGUCACAAGUAUAAGAUUAUAGUUGUGUUUCAAACAUUAUAUGUUACAACAGGAUUAUCUAUGAUUCUUUUUUUUAUCUUAAAAAAAUCAAGUUAUUAUGACCCACCUUACGGUUAAUCCGCCAAGGGAUCUUGUGAUCUAUUUUUAUGUGCAGGACAGUUAGAAGACUUGGUCAAAGCAUAAGGAAAACAGAUGAAAAGUAUAACACGGGUGAAUAUAACAUGGCGGCUUAAUAGUACUAAGAACCAAAAACAUGCACGAUGGCAUGGCCAAAUCAAAGUUAUUUCUAUUCUAUUACAUGACUCCCCGAGUCCAAAUGAUUCAUGUUGUUUUUUCAGCACACCACAGGAAUGAGCCGCCACGGUAGAUUAACUCUCAUGUUGGCCUGAAGCGUCCUGGUUAGCCCUCUCCGCUUCUUCGCCAUGUUCCCUUUCCUGGAAGGUUGAUGAUAACCAGUCAAUGUUGUUCAAAGCUUCAAAUUCAGCUUCAUCAUCAACUAGUCCAGCCGGGUCAACUUCAGGGGCGAAGGUAUGCUUACGGAGUGGGGGGAUCAGACUGGUCACUUUAUAGUGAGGCGUUGGAAUUCUCCGGUUCUCUGCGUCAUAACCCACCUGGUACUUGGUGAGAUCCACUUCGUCAGCUAUCAGGGUGGCCAUGGGGCGUACCUCCUUCACACAAGCGGCAAAGUCUUCCUGUUCAAAGGAAGUACCAUCCUCCUUCAGGCUUGGAUAAACAAUAGAGAUGUCGUCCGGGUCUAAUUCUGGUAGCCAAGCUUUGGCCUGGCUUAAAGCAUUCACUGCUCCGGCUCUCAUAGCUGACCGCCUUAGUUCAUGGAACCGAUGGGGUAGCACAGAAAGCUUCUUUAGUACAUCCGACAGCAGGGUGGGCACUUCAUUUGACAAAGGCACUGUGGCUAAGGCAUGCUGAGAUCCGGUGUACAGUUGUUCCACUAGCGUGUAAACUGCGUUCAACUUGAUCAACAUAUCUUGGUUCAGAUUUGAACUCCUGGGGCCUGCAUAAAUUUUGUCAAGUGAGUCAGUUCCAAUUGGUAUGAUCAAUUGAAAGGUUCAAGAAUUUAACACUUGUAGGGCGACUUACCAAAGAUCGCUGAGACCAUCUGAGAGACAUAGGGUUUUAACCCGGACAAUUCACUGGGUGCUUCUUCAAGAGCCGCCUCUGCCAUCUCAGCUCGAUUAAUCAACACAAUUUUUUUGUUAGCCCGGGCCAUUUUCUCCAUUUCAAAUUCUUUCUUCAGCUUUUCUUGUUCAGAAAUGCUGGAUUUAAAUCUGGAGUCGGCUCUUUGAGUUUCCUUCUCUUGGGCCUCAAGGCGGUUCUUCAGAUCAGACACUUCUGAUUCAAGUUGACUCGUGGCGGCCUAUACAAAUACAGGGUCAAGAAUUAGGACAAACAUGAUGCAAUAUUAAGUCCUAAGCCUUUUGCAAGCAACAACGCUUGGCACUUGGGGGCUAAUGGCUACUGAAGAAUUUUACUUAAUGUGGCCGUUCAUGACAGUAAAGCCCAAGCACUUUGCAUGCAAGAGUACUUGGCACUUGGGGGCUAAUGCAUAUUGUUGUUUAAAAGUUUCAAAUGUUUUAUUCAAUACAACCAAAUGAAGGACUGGUUCAACCAUACUGGUUAAGCUGCCCCUUGGGGACUAUGGAGUAAGCCGGAUUUCUUAUACAUCUUGUCCAUAUAUGUUACUAAAGUCUACAUCGUAUUCAUCAUAAGCAAUAGACUUGGGGGCUGGCAUAGUAAAGAUAAGUAAGUAUAGAGAGAGGGUUGUACCUCAAAUUUCUGAUGCAUCUGCUUAACCAUGUUAAUUUCAACGUCACGGCUGCUGUGCACUUCACUCAUAUAGCCGGAAAAGACCUCUUCAAUACUCAGGUGAGUAUAGUCAGUGACAUCAAGUUUGACCCGGCGGUGUUCCAUAAGCUCUUCCUCGGCGGAGCACUUGGCCAGCACAGUUGGCCUUCCCGGCUCAACAAAGCCGGUUCUGGUGAUCUCGACAUCAGUAUUUUGAGGAUUAUCCGUCCUGACCGGGCUAGGAGCUUCCGGGUUUUCUAAGCCAUCAACGGCUCGUUCAGCAGACGGGUCAGCAGUUGGAGUGGGUAGAUCUUGAGCUGGUUGAGGUGGCGGCUCAGGAGUUGACGAUUCAGGUGCGGCUAUUCCAAGUACUGGCUCAGUCACCACCGUAUCUUCAGCCGGCUUGGUCUUCCUGACCCUUGUGCUGGGCUUGGCUUGUCCACAACAUAAAAUCAAAAGGUUAGUGCAAAUGCAAUGAAUUGAGAUGAAUAUAGGAUAAGCAGGUUAUCAUUACCCUGGUGCGGUCUUGAAAGCUGGUAUAUUGGACUGCAUUGAGUCGCCGGAGGAAGGGGAAGUUUCCUGAUAAUCCGAGUCAAAAUAAUUGAGUGGUUGACGAGUGAAACCUUCCAAAGGAUAAAAGAGAUUUAAAUUGGAGGUGACCUCGUUCCGGCGUUUCUUUGGGGUGUUUGGCAAGCUGGAGGAGAGCUCCGCAUCCUUGUUAGUCCAGGUCUGCCUUCGGCUCUCAUGAAUCUGCCGCUUCAAAAGAAAUUGAGGAUCUUGAUAAGCUAAGGGAUGCGAAAAUCUUACUUUCCGAGUUACUCUGCAGAUUUUCUGUCUUGGCAAAGGCUCGGAGUCAGAGGAAAUGAUAGUUACCUCUUCAGCAUUGUUACAACUUGCUCUCUGUGUCCUCCUGCUGGUAAUCAGUGUUAAUAAGAUGGUUAAAAAAGGAGCCAAGAGAGUCAAGGGCUACCUCCGAUUCAGAAGAAUCUUCUAGCCGAAGCAAGUCACAGGUGGUGGCUUUCUUGCCCUUCUUCUUGGUAGCCUCUUUCCUGGCAGCUUUCUUCUCCUUCCUAGCUCUCUUGGCAACCUCAUGGUCAUAUUUGAACUUCCAGAAUUUAUCACCCACCUGUGAGUGUUAGCAGAGGUAUAAGUAUGGGUGAAACAUCGAAAACUCAGAGUAAUUUAUUCAUAUGGGUGGCUUACCUUUGGAGCCGGGUUAGCUUUGCAGAAGGGGGUUAAGCCCACCUUACCACAAUCUGCCAAGCUCUCAUUCAAAAGGGACUUUGCCAUAUCGUUGAUGACAUCUUCAGGCAAGUCAUCAGGGCUGUGCUGCAGAGGGUCAUCCUUUUUGCCUGUAUAGGUGCACAUCAAGCCGGGGUGGCGGCUCAAUGGAAUAACCCGCCAGGCGAGCCAAACCCGGACCAAGUCGAUGCCAGUUAACCUGUUCCCACAGAAUAGCUUUGAUCUUAGCUAAAGUGGGGGAGAGUGUUUUGCGUUUGGCGGUUGUAAUCUUGUCAGGAAGCUGGUGUUGGGCCCAAGACGUAGGGCACGAAAACCGGGAAGAGGGUUCUCAGCAGCCGGAGAGGUGUCUUGGUAGUAAAACCAUGUCUGAUUCCAGUCUUUGGGAUGACUCGGCAGGUUGGCAUAAGGAAAGAUUACGUCCCUAGGAUGCUGAAUCGAGACGCCACCAAGCUCCAAGCUCUGGUCGUUGGCGCAUUCAUUCUGGCGGUUUAAAUUGAAUAGUUCUCUGAAGAGUAAGAUGUUGGGUUCUUCUCCAAGAUACACUUCACUGAAUACUUGGAAGUUGCAGAUGUUAGACACGAAAUUGGGUCUGAUGUCUUGUGGGCGAAGGUCAAAGAAGUGCAACACAUCUCUAAAGAAUUUUGAGCCGGGUGGAGAGAAUCCCCGGUUCAUGUGAUCCGUAAAAACAAUAACUUCCCCCGUUUUAGGCUGAGGAAAUUCCUCCUCCGGGUUAGGAGCAUGAUAGGACAUGAUUUCUUUCUUCGACAAAUAGCCGGUCUUCACAAAGUCGUCAAGUGUGUUGUCUGUGACAAUGGAUUUGACCCAGUUGCAGGAAGUGGGUGCUUUCGGUGCCAUUGUGAUGAAAGCCUAAGACAGAGUAAAAAGUACUGGUUCAAAUUUAAGCCAGAGAGGAAAAACAUUACAGUGCAUAUUCACGAUGGCGACUUAUGAAGGGGCCUAAUGGUAUAAGGAUAAUUAUGUCCAAAUUAUUUAAGCCACCAUAGGCUCUAUAAGCCGCUAAAGUUGUUUCUUUAAAGCCGGUGAUAAGAGUCGCCAUGGCUAGAUGGAUCUAACAAGUACAAAUUUUUGCCUAUGUGUUGCAUAAAAAAGUUUCCCAAACUACGGCUAUUAUUUUGGAUCAAAUUGUUGUUCAGAAAAGAAAAAUUUCUAGACCUAAAACAUGGUACAGAGGAGUUCAUGCGUUCUAAUGAGGAUUCUUUGCAAAGAAAGAGGAUCUACUGAUGCCUAAAAUGGAUGUGGAACAGCUACCAGAUGAGAUCUAUGCAACUGUUGGAUGAAAAGAAGCCACGGUAGAAGAAACAUGAAGAACUGAGAUGAACUACAAACUGUACAAGGAACUCGCUAACCCUAGCAUGGAUCUAAGAUGCAGAAAGGGGAAAACUUACAGUGGUAGAUCUGUUGCGGAGGGGCGCCGUCGUUCUCUGGACGGAUUCAGGUUGAUGCAGCGCCCAAAGUCGACGGAAACGAAGGUGCGUUGCGGCGACGGCGGAGCUUGAGCGACAGUAGGGGGCGAGAGGAAGAAGAUGAGGAAAGGGAAGAAUGAAGAAAGACCUGGCUAGGUCUAUUUAUAAGGAAGGACCACUAAAAGAGCGUGAAAAAUGAGGAGGCUGAAAACAUAAGUUAUCCAACUACAAGGAUGCCUCGAUUUUCGGUAUGGUCAUUAAGAUAAAGAUCUGUUGGGAUACAUUGAACAAAACAUGCAUUUAUGGCAGGUGACUUCAUGGCGGGUUACCACAAGUCCAUACGAUGACAUCAUGACGGGUUACAAAAAUUUCAUAAGUAAAGGGCAGAAGAUUUUUCUUAAGUGUUGAAGAUUGACAUGAACCAGUCUAAAUCAAUCUGGGGCCUAAUGUUGGGGAUAUAACUAUUGGUAUGACCCCCCUAGCAGGGGUCAAGUUAUACUUACAAGUAUUCUUGAACCCCAAGACCAAGGUUGGAGAUGGCGGUUCAGUUAAGGGCCCAAAGCCCAGAGGCGACUUAAGCGUCGUAGUGAUAAACCCCCAUAUGUACGUGACUUGUAUUGUAAGGCAAGAAUAGUUAAGAGACCAAGUCGGACACUGUUUAUGAGCCGUCCGGCACUCUGUGAGCUGUUGGGCGUCGACCUCUGUAUAUAAAGGGACGACCCGGCGACGGUUCAGGGCAAGUAACAUCAGAUCGAGAUCUAGGUCAAGCAAUUCCGCUCCCUAAUUAUCGAGUCAUAAGCAAUCCCACUCAAAACUGGAUCGUAGGCUUUUACCUUCACCGUAAGGGGCUAAACCAGUAUAAACCUCGUGUCCUUUGUCCCGAUUAACCCCUUUAAGCUUCCUAGUUACGAUGGCUCCACGACUAAGUCAUUUCACUAGGACAUCUGACGUGACAAUUCCAUGACACCAUCUACGCGUCAUGAAGACGUCUCCGAGGGCACCACCUCGACCUCAGCCCCGGUGGCCAGACUGGAGCAUCCAGCGUACUGCAGCCACAACUCAACCGGCCCCCUCGGAGGCAGCUCGCUGGUGAAGAACCUCGGGAGUCGGAUCCAGGAGUCGGGAGGCAUCUCCGCCCGCACCACGAACUCAUGCGAGCUACCCUUGGUGUGAGUCCAUGGCAUGGUAGGUAAGGCAAUGGCGGCCCGACUACCAUCAUUGGGGACUGCUCGACGGCACACAUAUUCAUCCUGAGCGCGAGCGUACAUGGGGAGGGGGAAGCCAAGCGGAGGCCUCAAUUGCCAAUUCCUGGCUGCCUCUCGCCCCACGCCGGCGUCAUGAGGGAGGCGGAGUCGGUUCUUCGGCGGGAGAGGAUCAGCCCCUCCCUGGGGGCCUUCCCCUUUUCGGCCGCAGAGAACCUCCUGGUCGGCGCCAUGGAAGCAAGGUGAAGGAGAAGAAGAAGCGGGCGACAGCAAGACGAAGGAGAGAUGAGCGGCAGGUUCUGCCACUCCCCCUCAUUUAUAGCCAAGGAAGGCCAACCAUCGGCCUCCACGACCUCGCACCAUGAUGAUCUUCUGCAUGCCGCAUCGUUUCGUCAAGUCGAACAGUUGCUGAGGCGGCGUGUGGAAGUGGAGAUGCCCAAGCCCCAUCAAUCACCACACGUCAUCAAGGCCGCAGGCAGUUAGGGCCCGCGGCGCUCCACACUUGCCCUUUGGCUUCGCCUGGAAGCCAUGUGCGAGUGCGCCUUGGGCCCGGGGGCUACUGUCGGCAUCCUGCAUAUGGGGGUAUCUAGACUUGCCUGCCUGCGGCUCACCGUGUGGCACCAUCAAAGGCCUGGUACGGCCCAGCUUUGACAUCAACAACUAUAGACCGUCGUGAGGGGCCAAGCCUCGCGAGGCGGAUGACCCAAGGAAUCAGCCAAAGGUUUCCACUCUGGUGCAACAAGACCAAGACCGCUAGGACAGCAGGACGGAGGUCAUCACCGAGCAUACCACAGCGUCACGACCAGGGGCUUUUCGCAGGCGAAGAGUACUUUUGUCGGGAUAAGUUGUACUACUUACCCCCUUUGAAAUCCAGCCGUUGUGGGAUCCCUUCCCGCCUACAUUUGGGAAGAGGACCAAGGCCACUAUAAAUAGGACUUAGCCACCACCAUAGAGAGGGAUCUAGAUCGAGUCCAAGAGGAUACAUUCUCAUCGGACCACCUCACCAGCUCUCUUGAGCUCAAGAACACCUCACCUCAUGAGGCCAGUUUAUCCACCGUACUAGUUCGUCCUCAGCCCUUCGAGGCAAUCCACCAAAAUGCUGGAGUAGGGUAUUACACCGCAAGGUGGCUCGAACCAGGAUAAACUAUUGUGUCCCUUUGUCCCUUUGAGCUCGGUGCGCUAGGCUAGGAGGAUCGCGAGUAGGUAGGCUGGGUAGGUUGAGAUCUCCGCAUGCACCCCAGAGUUUGAACCUCUCAAGGGUUUACGGAUCCCGUAAUACGACACUCGGUUAAUAGGUUAGUCCCAAAAAAUAAUAUAAAAGAGCAUAGUAAAGCCCAUUAAACAUCCAAAACAUAUAAUAUAAUAGCAUGGAACAAUAAAAAAUUAUAGAUACGUAGAGACGUAUCAUCCACCUCAAUGCCUCUUUCAGAAAUUUUGUGGCCGUAGACAAUACCUUCAUUAUCGAUAAAGUGGCACUUCUCCCAAUUCAAGACGAGAUUUGUUUGUUCACAUCUCCGCAAGACUCGAUCAAGAUUGCUUAAACAAUCAUCAAAAGACUUCCCAUAAACAGAAAAGUCAUCCAUGAAAACCUCAACAAUCUUUUCACAAAAAUUAGAGAAUAUAGCAGUCAUACAUCUUUGAAAGGUACCACGUGCAUUACAUAAACCAAAAGGCAUACGUCUAUAAGCAAAUGUACCAAAAGGACAAGUAAAAGUGGUCUUUUCUUGAUCAGAUUGUAAAACAUGUAUUUGUGAAAAGCCAGAGUAUCCAUCAAGGAAGCGAAAAUGUGUGUGCUUAGAUAAUCUUUCUAACAUUUGAUCGAUAAAAGGCGGAGGGUAAUGAUCUUUUCUAGUAGCUUUAUUUAAUUUUCUAUAAUCAAUUACCAUUCUAUAGCCUAUGACAAUUCUUUGUGGAAUAAGCUCAUUCCUAUCAUUAGGAACAGCAGUAAUACCUCCCUUCUUAGGGACACAAUGAACAGGACUUACCCAUCUACUAUCAGCUAUAGGAUAGAUUAUACCUACUUCUACAAGUUUCAAUAUUUCCGUUCUUACCACUUCUUUCAUUUUCAGGUUUAACCGAUGUUGGUGAUCAACAAUGGGUUUAGCAUCAGGUUCCAUAUUAAUCUUGUGCUGACAUAGAGUGGGACUAAUGCCCUAAAGAUCAUCAAGAGUAUAUCCAAAUAGCAGCCAUGUGCUGCCUUAGAACUUUCAAUAAUCUUUCUUCUUCAUGCUCUGAAAGGUUAGCACUAAUAAUGACAGGAUAUAUCUUCUUUCACCAAGAUAAGCAUAUUUCAGAGUAUCUGGCAAUUGUUUUAGUUCAAACACAGGACCACCUUUAGGUGGAGGAGGACCUCCUAGAGUUUGAAUAGGCAAAUUGUGUUUAAGCAGAGGUGGUUGUUGGAAAAAGAUUCUACCUAUUUCAUUUCUUUCACGCAUAUGCAAAUCAUUUUCAUGGUCUAGCAAAUAUUGUUCCAAAGGAUCAGUUGGAGGCACAACUAUAGAAGCAAGACCAAUAAUUUCAUCCUUACUAGGCAAAUAUUUCUUAUGAGGUUGUUUACUAAACUUGGAAAAAUUCAACUCAUGAGAUUCAUCACCAAAGCUAACACCAACAGUUUGUUUCUCACAAUCUAUUUUAGCAUUGACGGUGUUCAAGAAAGGUCUACCAAAAAUAAUGGGGCAAAAGUCAUCUUGUGGGGUGCUAAGAACAAGAAAAUCAGUAGGGUAUUUUAUUUUCCAACACAAGACUUCAACAUCUCUAAGAAUUCCAAUUGGUGAUAUAGUAUCUCUAUUAGCAAGUUUAAUAAUGACAUAUAUGUCUUCUAUUUCACCAAGUGCUAUUUCAUCCUUAAUUUCUUGAUAUAACGAGAAAGGAAUAGCACUCACACUAGCACCUAGGUCACAUAACCCAUGAUAACAGUGAUCUCCUAUCUUAACUAAGACAAUAUGCAUGCCAACAACUGGUCUAUGUUUAUCUUUUCCUUCAGGUUUGGCAAUUCUAGAGCUUCACUAUAGAAGUAGAUAACAUGCCCAUCAAUAUUACCAACUAAGAGAUCUUUAACCAUAGCAACACUAGGUUCAACUUUGAUUUGUUCAGAUGGUUUGGGUGUUCUAACAUAACUUUUGUUAACCACAGUUGAAACUUUAGUGUGUUCCUUCAUCCUAACAGGAAAAGGUGGUUUUUCAAUAUAAGGAGUGGGAACAACUGGAUCAACAUUGUAAAUGAUAGCUUCUUCUUUAGCUUUUACCGGUUCUUUAAUUUCUCCUUUAAUUGGUGGGUGAUAUUUAAACCAAUUCUCCUUAGGGAGAUUAACAUGAGUAGCAAAAGAUUCACAAAAGGAAGCUACUAUCUCAGAGUCAAGUCCAUAUUUAGUGCUAAACUUUUGAAAAGCAUCGGUAUUCAUAAAAGAUUUAACACAAUCAAACUUAGGUUCAAUACCUGACUCUUUACCUUCAUCUAGUUCCCAAUCUUCAGAGUUGCGUUUAAUUCUUUCUAAAAAGUCCCACCAGAAUUCAAUAGUCUUCUUCAUAAAAGAACCAGUACAAGAAGUAUCGAGCAUGGAUUGAUCAUUACGAGAAAGUCGAGCAUAAAAAUUCUGAAUAAUAAUUUCUCUUGGGAGCUCAUGAUUGGGGCAUGAAUAUAACAUUGACUUAAGCCUCCCCCCAGCUAGAGCGACACUUCCUACUUCACGAGGCCAAACAUUAUAUAUAUAUAUAUACAUAUAUAUAUAUAUAUAUAUAUAUAUAUAUAUAAUUCCGAUCACGAUGAACUAGAUGCAUAGGAUAAAAUAUCUGAUGAAAUUCCAAUUUCAAAUGGUUCCAGUUCCAAGAUCCAAUAUCAUCGCAUAGCCUAUACCAUGUCAAUGCUUUUCCCUUCAAAGAAAAAGGGAAAAGAUUCUUCUUAGCUUCAUCUCCGGGCAAACCUGCAAGCUUAAAUAAUCCACAAAUUUCAUCCACAUAUAUCAUGUGCAUAUAAGGAUGUUCUGUUCCAUCUCCUGCAUAAGGAUUAGCUAGCAGUUGCUCUAACAUACCUGAAGGAAUUUCAUAUUCAAUAUUUUCAAUAGGUGCGGUGGGUUGAGGGGUAACUGAGGGAGUCCUGGAUUAGGGGGUGUCCGGAUAGCCGAACUAUCAUCAUUGGCCGGACUCCAAGACUAUGAAGAUACAAGAUUGAAGACUUCGUCCCGUGUCCGGAUGGGACUUUCCUUGGCGUGGAAGGCAAGCUUGGCAAUAUGGAUAUGUAGAUCUCCUACCAUUGUAACCGACUCUGUGUAACCCUAGCCCUCUCCGGUGUCUAUAUAAACCGGAUGGCUUUAGUCCAUAGGACGAACAACAAUCAUACCAUGGGCUAGCUUCUAGGGUUUAGCCUCCUUGAUCUCGUGGUAGAUCUCGUCUUGUAAUACCCACAUCAUCAAUAUCAAUCAAGCAGGACGUAGGGUUUUACCUCCAUCAAGAGGGCCCGAACCUGGGUAAAACAUCGUGUCCCUUGUCUCCUGUUACCAUCUGCCUAGACGCACAGUUCGGGACCCCCUACCCGAGAUCCGCUGGUUUUGACACUAACAUUGGUGCUUUCAUUGAGAGUUCCUCUGUGUCGUCGCAAUCAGGAGGUAUGCCUUUUCCCGUCUUUAAAGACGGCGCCGUCGUCAAGGGAGCUUUGGCCACCGACCAAACUAUCCGGCUAGGCGGUUUUCUUAUGACCGCCUGUUCGGCCGCCGCUCCGACAAUGACCUCUCAGGUUAUCAAAAGCGAUCUUCACGUCAACUCAGAAUUCUCCAAGCAGCUAGAUCCGAUGGAGCUCUCCUCCGUAAAUGAGCUCUUGGAUCGCAUCGCCGCCCUGGGAGUCGCCACAGACUAUGAUCAGAUUGGGCUUAAAACCGAUCUGAGAGAAAUUAACUCUCCCCAGGCCACCCACCACGUUGUCGUGGUAGAGGAACAACGUGGUGACUCUCCUUCUGUGUUAAAAACCAGUUAUGUCCGGAUUCCCGAUCCCUUCAUGCCGGAUUCCUGCGGAGGGACGGAUGUGAAUCAAGUACUAAACCUAAAGUCAGGCAUCGGACCAGAUUUGUUGGAUAACAUCCAGCAAUCCAAGCUUCCAAAUCGGGAAACUUCUCGUCCUUUGAGCCUCAGAUUGGGCGAGGUUCCGAAUUUAAUUCCGCCCGCCCACCCAAACAUAAGCGAUCUAUCUCAAAUACGGCAAGAUCCCAAUGAAACAGUACAUCAUUACUGGGCCAGAUUCCUCCUGGUCAUGGACAGGAUAAAAGACUGCCGUGAGGAAAGCGCAAUCUCAAUUUUCUACAACAAUUGCACGGACAAGGGAAUCAUGAAUGCCAUAAGUCAUCGCGAAGUUACACGCUUCACCGACCUAGCAACCAUAGUACAAAAAUACUGUGCGAUGGAGAGUGCCUGGAAAACCGAAACCAGGUUUUGGGACAAUCCGGCCCUGAAUACAACCCUAGUUCGAAACAAAAGGGUGCGUCAUACUCAAGCACCUGGGUUAAAAACCAAAAAGCAAAAAACCCCUAAAGGGCAAAGAACCGUACUGGAGGGAUGGCUCAACGGACCCUGUAAAAUCCACAGUACAAAGGGCGCCACUCCAACACAUAGCCUUCGAGCAUGUUGGAUACUACGGCAGGUGGCCAAAAUUGGCGAAGGCUUUCUAGGCCCGGGUAACCAACCCAACACUACCAGUACGGUAUUAACAGUCUUCGAGACUUUCGCAUCAAAUAACAUGCGGAAACGAACAAUCCGCAGCCUUGCCGAAGUCUACCAAGUAGCAACAACAAAUCCAUGGAGCGACACGGCUAUCACCUUCAAUUCUAGCGACGAACCUAAAUUCCGAACAGCCCGAGCACCAGCCGCAUUGGUCCUCAGUCCGAUAGUGGGCGGCUUUCGUCUUACUAAGGUACUCAUGGAUGGCGGCAGCGGAUUAAACCUCAUCUACAAGGAAACCCUCAAAAAAAUGGAAAUUGACUAGAGCCGCAUUGAGCGAAGCAGCACAACCUUCAGGGGAAUAAUCCCUAGUCGAGAAGUACGCUGCACAGGAAAAAUCACACUGGAUGUAGUGUUCUGGCUCGCCGGACAAUUACAGGUCCGAGGAGGUCACGUUCCAAGUGGCCCCGUUCGGUAGCGGAUAUCACGCCUUGUUAGGGCGAGAGGCAUUCACAAUCUUCCAAGUUAUACCCCAUUACGGGUACAUGAAGCUCAAAAUGCCCGGGCCCAAUGGAAUAAUCACUCUUGUCAGUGAUCCAGAUGUAGCACUCCACGCUGAAAAUAAGACAGCCGCACUGGCCCUAGAGGCAUUAUCCGAAGCCCUAGCGGCAGAGGAACUCACUGCGCUGCGCUCCACGGUGGACAGGGACGAUGUGAUACUCGAUAAAAGGUCUAAGUCCACAUCUUUUAAACCAGCAGACGAAAUAGUCAAAUUCGAGGUCCAUCCAACGGACCACACAAAGACGGCCUCCAUUGGGGCACAAUUAAAUCCUGAUGUAGAAGCCGCACUACGAGAAUUCCUUCGGGAAAAUUGGGACAUUUUUGACGGGCACCCUUCAGAUAUGCCAGGAAUCCCACGCAGGCUGGCAGAACACAGCCUAAAUAUCCUAAAAGGAUUCAAGCCAGUCAAACAGGCUCUUCGGCGAUUUUCCGAACCCAAAAGACAGGCAAUGGGAGAGGAGCUAGCCAAACUCUUAGAAGCCGGAUUCAUCAGAGAUAUAAAACAUCCGGACUGGCUAGCCAACCUGGUAAUGGUACCAAAAAAGGACAAAUCCUGGCGCCUUUGUGUCGAUUUCAAAGACCUUAACAAGGCCUGUCCAAAGGACCCUUUCCCUCUCCCUCGCAUCGACCAAAUCAUCGAUGCUACCGCAAGACACGAUUCAUUGUGCUUCCUCGAUGCAUACUCUGGAUACCAUCAAAUCAAGAUGGCAGAAAAAGACCAGGCCACAACGGCAUUCAUUACUCCAUACGGACCAUUCUGCUUCAACACAAUGCCCUUCGGACUCAAAAACGCCGGCGCAACAUAUCAGCGCAUGAUUCAGACAUGUCUGGCUACCCAGAUAGGCAAAAUAGUGGAGGCAUACGUAGACGAUGUGGUCGUUAAGACCAGACACGUCGAAACUCUAGUAGAUGAUUUGAGGCUUACAUUCGACAAUCUCCGAGCAUACGACAUUAAGCUCAACCCGAAAAAAUGUGUUUUCGGCGUACCAGCCGGAAAGCUCUUGGGCUUCAUUGUAUCCGGUAGAGGAAUUGAAGCAAACCCAGCCAAUAUCCGGGCUCUGUCACAAUUGGAUAUCCCAAAAGACAUCAAGCAAAUACAAAAACUAACUGGAUGCGUGGCGGCUCUAAGCCGCUUCAUCUCCCAUUUGGGAGAAAAGGCGCUGCCCCUCUAUCGCCUCCUCCGGCGCACCGAACACUUUGAAUGGACAGAUGCUGCCACGGCCGGACUCGAAGAAAUUAAGGCCAUAUUGGCAACAAAUCCGGUCCUGGCCGUGCCCAACCUGGGCGAACCUAUGUUAUUAUAUAUCGCGGCAACACAUCAAGUUGUCAGCGCCGUACUCGUCGUUGAACGAGAAACAAAAGGGCACAAAUUCCCUCUUCAAAAACCAGUGUACUACGUAUCCACUGUCUUAACUCCAUGCAAGUCCCGGUACCCACAUUAUCAAAAGAUAGCGUAUGCGGUGUUCAUGGCAUCCCGGAAGCUGCGACACUACUUUCAAGAGUGUUCCAUAACGGUGGCCUCCAAAGUACCUCUCAACGAUAUUAUAAACAAUCGCGACGCGACGGGCAGGAUUGCAAAAUGGGCCAUUGAGCUCUUACCAUUUGACAUAACCUACAAACCACGGCGAGCUAUAAAGUCGCAAGUUUUGGCUGACUUCAUCGCCGAAUGGACCAAAGCCGAACUCCCCAAGGAGUACGGCGCAUUCUCCAAUUGGAUGAUGCAUUUCGACGGCUCCAAAAUGUUGGAUGGCUUGGGGGCUAGCGUCGUCUUGACAUCCCCAACCGGAGACACAGUCCCAUACGUACUUAAAAUAAUGUACACGGACUCCAACAACGCAGCCGAAUACGAGGCCCUUCUACAUGGUCUCCGGAUGGCAAUCUCCAUGGGUAUUCAACGCCUAGAGGUGCGCGGGGAUUCAAACCUCGCAAUAUCCCAAGUAAAUGGAGACUUUGACGCCAAGGAUCCGAAAAUGGCAGCCUACCGUAACGCCGUCCUAAAAAUGUCAGCUCGGUUCGAAGGACUCGAAUUCCACCAUGUAGCCCGGGAUAAUAACCAGGCAGCAGACCUGUUAGCAUGCAUCGGCACAAAAUGCGACGCCGUCCCUCCAAACAUCUUCCUGGAGCGGCUCUUUAAGCCAUCCGUAUUAUGGGAAGAGGAGUUCGGAAAUAACAACCCAGAACCAACUGCACCACCCAACCCAGAACAUUCUGACACAAUCGGUGGCUCAGCCAAUGAAAUAACACCUUUAGCCCACGAAAUAAUGGCAGUAAUUGCCCCGUGGACGGAACCAUUCCUAGCCUACUUAAUCAGGCAGGAACUUCCCGCAGACCAAAAUGAGGCCCGCUACAUAGUUCGGCGAUCUAAAGCCUACAAGGUCCAUGAGGGAGAACUUUAUAAGAAAAGCACAACCGGAGUCCUUCAAAGGUGUAUCUCCGAAGAGGAAGGGCGAAAUCUCCUGGCUGAAAUUCACGCCGGACUCGGCGGGCACCACGCUGCAGCCCGGGCCCUUGUAGGCAAGGCCUUCCGUACAGGAUUUUAUUGGCCGAUAGCCCGGGCAAAUGCUCAGGACUUAGUCCAAUGAGGCGUCGGUUGCCAGCUCUUUGCUAAUCAAAGCCACAUGCCACCCACCGCCCUCAAAACUAUACCCAUCACUGGGCCGUUUGCGGUCUGGGGGCUUGACAUGGUGGGACCCCUUAAAGGGGGAAACCACAAGCACAAAUACUUAUUGGUCAUGGUGGACAAAUUCACCAAAUGGAUAGAGGCCAAGCCGGUUAAAACGGCAGAAUCCGGACUCGUGAUAGACUUCAUAUCCGGGGUAGUACACCGUUUUGGCGUCCCCCACAACAUCAUCACUAAUAAUGGCACGAAUAUCACGGCCGACAAGGUUAAACUCGGGUGCAAAAACAUGGGCAUCAAGCUCAACUACGCUUCAGUCUAUCACCCUCAAACUAACGGUCAAGUGGAACGGGCAAAUGGUCUAAUCAUGAGCGGCAUUAAACCCAGAUUAGUGCGGUCCCUCAUGGAAUCUAACACGCACUUUGUCGAGGAGCUAAACUCCGUACUCUGGGGGCUGCGGACCACGCCAAACCGCACAACCGGAUUCACACCAUUUUUUAUGGUAUACGACGCUGAGGCAGUUUUGCUCUGCGAUAUAAUUCAUGACUCACCUCGCGUGCGCAUGUACGAAGAAAGAGAAGCCGAGUUGGAUCGGCAGGACAGUUUGGACGCCUUAGAGGAGGAGCGCGACGUGGCAAAAUCCCGUUCCGCAUUCUAUCAGCAGCAGGCUCGAAGAUAUCAAAGCAGAGAAGUACGGGCUAAAACUUACAAUGUUGGCGAACUAGUUCUACGCCUGCCGGACAAGAAAAAGGACAAACUUAAGCCCAAAUGGGAAGGUCCCUUCAUCAUCGACCAAGUCCUUACCGGCGGUGCAUACCGUCUACGCAACGCAUCUAACAACCGACUCGAGCCAAACCCAUGGAACGCAGCCCGUCUCCGAAGAUUCUACGCCUAGCGCCGGACUCAGAGUUCGUCUCCUUCCUCCGUCCACCUUUCAUAUUUUUUCGCUGUCUUUGUUUUCCCUCCUUUUUCCUGCCUCUUUCAGUGCAAGCCUCUUGAGGGCUGAUCUGCGUUUUGUUCGCACUCACUUGAUGUGCUACUCGCACUCGAUAUACCUGGGGGCUUCUUUAACAGAAGCUUAUCUAUACGGGCUUCAUGCCCAACACAUGUGUCAUACUUCCGCAUGUACCUUUUACUCACCAUUAUAUGCAUCGAUAUGACUUAAGUUUUGGCCAAGCUGGGUUGCCUGGCUCCUGUGCUUACCCCUACGUUCCCGAUUAUUCGGCUAGGAGGUAAAGGGAGCACCUCUGCGAUUGUUACUGCCGGAUCAGCCGGAUGUGUACCUCAGACUGGGUGAAGCCGAAAGCUAGCGUUCUUAAGGGAAUAUUCGGUCGGUGACCUGAAAGAUGAUUUAUUACUUAUUUAUUUCUCUGCCCCCAGAUGCUUUUCUGCUCUUUCGCAGUCUGGGCAAGCACUUUAGGGCAUGCCUCCCAGGGAAAGGAACCCCUAACGGAACUAUUCUCCCUGGAAGAUGUUUCUUACUAACCAUGUAAUAUAACAUAGCUAGUUGGGCACUUGUCUGAUAAAGCACUUAUGACCCCUACGCCUUGUCUCCAUGCAUGCUCCGGUUUUUGUAUAACCAUCAGGGUAUUCGGACACACUCCGGACUGUUGGGUCCCGUGGUUGAAGCGAAAUGGUCCGCAAAGACAAACGAUCUACAAUCCGGCUAGAAGGCAUUUUACAUGUCAUUUUAAAUUACAUCGUCAAACUGACUGAUUGUACUCCUCUUCAAUCCCCUCUAACAGGCUGUCUAAUUUACAGUCCCGCUGGGAAUAUUUCGCGGCCAACUCUACUUGGCCGUACAUCGGGCUCACAGGGAUCUCCUUCCCAUCGGGCCCCACAGGUCCGACCUCGGCCAUGUGGUUUGGAUCAGCCCUCGUGUACCGCGUCUUCACCAUGGCCCAGGCCUCCCUGGCGCCUUGACGGCAGGCCGAUAUCUUCCACAGACGGAAACGCUGCUGUACUCCCUGAAGCUUCUCAGCAAGCCCUCCAAGACCCUCGGGUGGGGAGACGGAAGGCCAUAAGGCCUGAAAGACACCGCUCAUCGCCUGCCGAACACGUUCGUGCAGUUGUAGCAGCUCGGGAAGAGGGUCUCCCGUAGAACCAGGCAUCUCCUCCGCCGGACGACCCGUGAGCACACCUACACACACAUUUCUGUCAAUCGACUUCCUCGCCAAACUCUUCUUUUCAAAAGAGUUUGCUCAAGCACUUACUGUAAAUGCUGCAACGAAGCCGUCGGUUCUCCUUUACGGAGUUAGACAGCUGGACCCGAACACCUUUUAGUUCUUCGCCCAGCUGGGUGUUGGCAUCUUGGAGUUUGUUCCUCUCCUGCUGCACCCUUGUAAGCACCUUCUCGUCGGCCUUAAGCUGGCGCAGCAGAUGUUGCUUGUCCGGAUCUAGUCCAGCACCCUCUGCAAUAUUAUUGUCAGAUCAUACACACACGCCGCACUUCAUAAACUACUUCUCUUUUCAAAAAUAUGAAUUACCAGAGGGGGUCUCUGUGGCUCCCCGGCCAGCGGCUAGCGCGGCCUCAAGUUGGGCCUUGCAUUCUUGAAGCUCCUGGGACAGGUGGGUAUUCUUCUCCGUAAGAUCCUGCAUAACAAAUGAUCCUUAAAUCAGUUAGUUUAACUAUUUUAAGUCUCGAGGGCUACUGGCAUAUAUAACCGUUAAAAUUCCUCACCCGUAUGUCUUUUACAUACUUCUCCGUGGCUCUGGUUAAACCAUCUUGAGCAGCACGGAGGUGCGCGUCUCCCGCAUUAAAGGCAUUCAACGCCUCUGGCGAGAAAACGCGUCACGAAGAACUGUCCGGCGGCGCCUGUGAUUCAUGGCGCUCUCCACCUUAGACCUGGUGGCGGACAACCUGUCGGCAUCCUCCGUUGGAGGAGCAUCCGGCUCGCGCCUUGCCUCGCCUCCCCCUCCGGACCAGGCGUUGGCGCCUGGCUGGUGGAGGCUUGGUUGGCAACCUCUCCAGGCUCAGUCCAGCGAGCGCUCUUUCUCCUGGAAGAAUCAUGAGCAUUAAUGUACCUCCCAGGAGCCUUUCCCUUAAAGGACAAGGGUGCGCCAUACCUUUGCGGCGAUGUUUCGAUUCGCGUCGCACUCCUCUUCCGCCUGUUGGGCCGCAUCGACCCUGGUUGGUCAGUCGCCGCGGGCUCGGCUUCCCGCCGUAAAGGCACCUCCUGCGAAGCACCGUUGGUACACGGUGAUCAGAAAUAAGCAUUAAAAAAGUAAGGGUGUCAGGACUUCGGUCGUACUCACCUGGGAAACCAGAGAUAAACCGGGGUAGUUAGCCGUAAUGGCGACUACAGCAUUGUCUAUGCUGAGCUGGUGGAACACCCCGUCAAUCAGUUCCACCAUUAUGUCCGGAUCCUCUCCGGAGGCCGGAUCAAGGGAUCUUCCCAGAUCCUCGGCUUGAGGAGUCGGGCUUUCUAUGCCCUCCACAUCCCGGCGCAGUUCCUGCGUCGAAAUCAUAAAGUAAGACACUUAUCUUUGAAAGCACGGAUCAGAUAUAUAAACGUCCGCUCACCCAGCUUCGAGGGUUAUUCAUGGACAAUCCAUUCGAUGAACUCGUGCGGAGGAAGUCCUCCUUCUCCCCCUUGUACAAGCCGGACAGGAUCUUCACCAGAUCGGCGGCCGAUCCCGGCCCCUUGCGGCCAUGACGGGUGGCGUCAUUCUGCCCGUUGAAAUCCCACAUGGGGUGGCCCCUAUAUUGGAGCGGCUGCACCCCUCGCAUAAUGCAUAUGGCCAUGACUCCAAUCAUGGUUAAUUCGGAAUGGGCCAGUAACUGUAUCCGGCCCAUCAGAUAUUGGACGCUCCUAUCAUCUUCCCGUUUUGGGCUCCACGGGCGCCAGCUCAGGCGUUUCUUCAGAGGAGCGUUGCUAAACUCCGGGAGGCCAAUCCGAACUGGGUCCGGCAACGGGGCGUCUUCCAUAUAGAACCACUCCGAAGGCCAUUCUUCGGACGCCUUCUUCGGGGUUCCGGAUAGAUAUCCGGUCCCGGCGAUGCGCCAUAUUUUGGCUCCGCCCACUUGAUAUAUCGACCCCUCGUGAGAAUGGGGUAUGAGGCAAAACAGUCUCUUCAAAGUGCAAAAUGGGGCUCAAUGCCCAAGAACAGCUCGCAAAGCGCUACAAAGCCCGCGAUAUGUAAAACGGAGGCAGGUGUGAGGUGGUGAAGUUGGAUUCCAUAGAACUCCAGAAGCCCCCGGAGAAACGGAUGUAUAGGAAAUCCGAGUCCCUUUAUUAAGUAGGAGACAAAACAUACCCGCUCUCCUUUGGAGCGAUUGGGGAUGCUCUCCGCCUGCUUCCCACCCUUGUAGGUGGCCAGUCAGGCUCGAACCUGAACCAUAAAGGCCGGGGGAAGGUAUCCCUCUGCUUGGAGCGUCACUAACUCGCUAUGCGGGACUGAGCAUCUCCUCCAGUCUCCUGGCUGAGGACUAGGAGUGCGAGAAGAGGAGCCGCGUCGACUGUCCAUGUUUGAAUGGAUUUUUGUCAGAUGCGCUUCGAUGAGUACUUGCGGGAGGAGGAUGGUGUGAUUCGGAUCUGGAUCCCCGCCUCUCUUAUAGGCAGCUUAUUCGCGCAGCUGGGGGAGGUAAAAUGUAAAAAUACCCUGGCUUUUCGCAUUCAUACGACACGUGGAAGAGGGCCAUUAUUGGACGUGGAAGCCAAGGAGCGCGACAUUUAUGAAGAAACCGGAUACUAUUUGGCAAACACAUGGAGCAUGGAGGGGAACCCGCCUUGCAAACGCCGAAGACAACAUACGCGCCGGACUCGUCGUCAUUGAAGCCUGGUUCGGGGGCUAUUGAGGGAGUCCUGGAUUAGGGGGUGUCCGGAUAGCCGAACUAUUAUCAUCGCCGGACUCCAAGACUAUGAAGAUACAAGAUUGAAGACUUUGUCUCGUGUCCGGAUGGGACUUCCCUUGGAGUGGAAGGCAAGCUUGGCAAUAUGGAUAUGUAGAUCUCCUACCAUUGUAACCGACUCUGUGUAACCCUAGCCCUCUCCUGUGUCUAUAUAAACUGGAUGGCUUCAGUCCAUAGGACGAACAACAAUCAUACCAUAGGCUAGCUUCUAGGGUUUAGCCUCCUUGAUCUCGUGGUAGAUCUACUCUUGUAAUACCCACAUCAUGAAUAUCAAUCAAGCAGGACGUAGGGUUUUACCUCCAUCAAGAGGGCCCGAACCUGGGUAAAACACCGUGUCCCUUGUCUCUUGUUACCAUCCGCCUGGACGCACAGUUCGGGACCCCCUACCCGAGAUCCGCCGGUUUUGACACCGACAGUAACUUAUUGUUGUUCUGGUCGAGGUGAAGAUAUCCCGAACAAACCCCUCAAAGGAUUAUUUUCCAUAGUAGCAAGUGACAAUAAAUUUCAGCACGUAGUAAUAAUGUUUCCUUACCAAGAGCGCUUCACUCCCCGAAAACGGUGCUAGAAAAUGGCCUUUAUGACCCACAAGUAUAUGGGGUCAAUUGUAGCCUUUUUGACAAGUAAGAGUGUCUAACCCAACGAGGAGCAGAAUGAAAUGACAAGUGGUUUUCAGCAAGGUAUUGUCGGCAAGUGCCAAGAUUGUAAGUAGCGGAGUAGUUUGAUAGCAAGAUAAUUUCUAACGAACAAGUAACAAUAGUAGUAACAAAAGUGCAGCAAGGUAGCCCAAUCCUUUUGAGGCAAAGGACAUGCCAAAAUGGUUUCUUAUGAUAAGCAAAGUGUUCUUGAGGGUACAUGGGAAAUUCAUCUAGUCACUUUCAUCAUGUUCGCUUAAUUCGUGUUCGGUACUUUGAUAAUUUGAUAUGUGGGUGAACUGGUGCUUUGGUGAUGUUCUUACUUGAACAAACCUCCUACUUAUGAUUAACCCUCUCGCAAGCAUCCGCAACUACGAGAUAAGCAUUAAGAAUAAAUUCUAACCAUAGAAUUAAACUUUUGGAUCCAAUCGGUCCCUUACGGAAUAGCGCAUAAACUAGGGUUUAAGCUUCUGUCACUCUCGCAACCCACCAUCCAAUAACUAAUCCAAAAUGCAUUGCCAUAGGCCCAAAUAUGGUGAAGGGUCAUGUAGUCAAUGUUCACAUGACACCACUAAGAGAAUGUUAACAUACAUACCAUCAAAAUAUCGAACACAUAUCAAGUUCACAUGAUUACUUGCAACAUGAUUUCUCCCGUGACCUCAAGAACGAAAGUAACUACUCACAAAUGAUAAACAUGCUCAAGAUCAGAGGGGUAUUAAAUAGCAUAAUCGAUCUGAACAUAUAAUCUUCCACCAAAUAAACCAUAUAGUAAUCAACUACAAGAUGUAAUCAACACUACUAGUCACCCACAAGCACCAACCUAUAGUUUUGAUACAAAGAUUGAACACAAGAGAUGUACUAGGGUUUGGGAGGAGUUGGUUAUGUGAAUAUGUUGAUGAAGAUAUCCCUCCCCAAGAUGGGAGAGUUGUUGGUGAUGAUGAUGACAAUGAUUUCCCCCUCCGGGAGGGAAGUUCCCCUGGCGGAAUCACUCCGUCGAAGGGAAAACAUGCUCCUUCCCAAGUUCCGCCUCGAGGCGGCGGCUCUUCAUCCCGAAUGUCCUCUCCUUAUUUUUUCUAGGUCAAAAUGACUUAUAUACCAGAAGAUGGCCACCGUAGGUGGGCCGAGGAGGGCAGCACCCACCAGGGUGCGCCUGGGCCUCCUGGCGCGCCCAGGUGGGUUGUGCCCACCUGGUGGCCCUCCUCUGGUUCUUAUUUUCUCCACAUUUAUUAAAUAUUCCAUAAAAAACCUCGGGGAGUUUCAGCUCAUUUGGAGUUGUGCAGAAUUGGUAGCUUGAUGUAGCUUUUUCAGGUCUAGAUUUCCAGCUGCCACAAUUCUCCCCCUUGAUGUAUACCUUGCAUAUUAUGAGAGAAAAGGCAUUAGAAUUAGUCCAAAAAGCAUUAUUAUACAAUGAAACAACAUAAAUAUCAGUAGGAAAACAAGAUGCAAAAUGGACGUAUCAACCCACCAUUAUUACACACUCGCUAUUUAUAGUAUUUAGUAGUAUAAUCUAACUUUAUGAUGACAACACCUACUUUUAUAUUUUAGCUCUCCGAUACCAUGCAAAGUUAUCCUCUUCAUACCCACAACAUAGUUUUAUUUCUCGUUUCUAGUUGGAAGCAAACGUUCGGUGUACGUAAAGUCGUCUCGGUGGAAGAUAGGACUUGAGAGAAUACUGAUCUUACCUUUAGCUCCUUGUGGGUUCGACACUCCAUACUUAUCACUUCCACCUUUGGAAAUUUCUAUGAUGAUUCCCUGCACUUGGGGAUUAUCAAGCUCUUUUCUGGCGCCGUUGCCGGGGAGCAAUAGCGUGGGGUGGAUAUUCUUGUGUGUGCUUGUUUGCUUUCUUCACUAAGUAGUUUUUGUUUUCCCUUUUUGUUUUGCUUAUUUGUGGGUGAAACAUAAAAAAAAUUAAAAAAAUUAAAUACAAAAAAAAUUACUAGACUCUUAUGCCUAAAAACUUUUUUCAAAAAGAGAAGUGAUUGGAAAGUUAUGCAUUGGAGAAGUGAGGGUCGACCUGGAACACUUGCGUUCAUGCUCGUGGAAACAAUGUAGAAUUUUUCCUGGAAGUUUCUCUGAAAAUAAUUAUCCACUUUUAUAUAUCCAUUUUAAUAUAAAAAUAAUGUGCCAAGCUUUGGUUUUAGGAUGAUUAGAUUGCUUGUUUGCUAUGUUCGAUGCAAAAAUAGAAACUUUGGCUGUAGCGCGUGAAUUUAUAUUUUUGUACUAGAAUGUCAAAUGCUUCUGAAACUUUUUGCACAAUACUUAUAUACAUUUUUUUAGAUUGUCCUAAUUUUUUAGAAUUUUUGGAGUUACAGAAGUAUACGAAGUUUCCAUAUUACUACAGAUUGUCCUGUUUUUGAUGGAUUCUGUUUUCUAUGUGUUGUUCACUUAUUUUGAUGAAUCUAUGGGUAGUAUCGGGGGGAAUGGACCAUGGUGAAGUUGGAAUACAGUAGAUAAUGAUAAUAUGAAAUUGGAAUGAGUUUACAACAGUACCUAAAGGUAGUGAUUUGCUUUAUUAUACUAACGGAUCUCAUAAAGUUUUUGUUAAGUUUUGUGUGGAUGAAGUGUUCGAAGAAUGAGGAGUUACCAGUGUGAGAAGAAUAAAGAGAGGCAAGAGUUCAAUCUUGGGUAUGCCCAAGGCACCCCAAGUAAAUAUUUCAAGGAUACUCAAGCAUCUAAGCUUGGGGAUGCCCCGGUUGGCAUCCCAUCUUUCUUCUUCAACAAUUAUCAGUAUACCUCGGUUUUUGUCUUGUUCACUUUAUUUCUGUCCUUUGUAUUUUUCUUUUUCUUUAAGAACCAUGCUAGUAUGCGAUAGCCCUUCACUGAUUUAUAGAAUGAUUCAUGUGCUUCACUUAUAUCUUUUGAGUGUGACCUUAUUGAAUGCUCUUUGUGCUUCACUUAAAUCUUUUGAGUAUGGUUUUAUAGAAUGCUUCAUGUGCUUCACUUAUAUAUUUUUAUCUUACAUAUUGGUUAAUCUAUAUUAUAUGUAGAAUGCUCCAUGAGCUUCACUUAAAUCCUUUGGAGUAUGAAUAAGACUAUCAUCAAAAGUGGGUUUGGAAGAGUGUCAACUUUAGGAAGUAAUGAUCCCACUAUUUUUGUGGGUGUUGAACCUUAGUAUGAUAUUUAUAAAAAUGGAUUUGGAGAGGUCUUGACUUUAGUUAGUAAUGAUUCCACUAUAUCAGAAGAGGUUCCAAUUGAUUAUGAGAACAAUUUUGCUAUCUACGAUGAUUAUUUUGGUGACAUGUAUGCUAUAAAGAAUAUUGUUAACCAUGAAACUUGUCGUCGUGAUUUUAAUUUUCAAUUGGAGUAUGCCUCACAUGAUAGGUAUUUUGUUGAGUUUGCUCCCACUAUUCCGAAUGAGAAGAGUUUUUCUUGUGUCGAGAGUAGUAAAAUUUCUAUGCUUGUAGAUCAUGAAAAGAAUGCUUUUAUGUGAUGGUUAUAUUGUUGAAUUUAUUCAUGAUGCUACCAAAAAUUAUUAUGUGCACUACAAAAAAAUACACUUCCGUGAUGAUACGUGUUUGUCACAGUAGGUCACGUUUUUUUCAUGCAUGUACAUCCAUGACGAUUUUAUGACAUAAUCAAAAUAGUCAUACCCGUGCUGUCGUAGAAAGUGUUCCAUGACAUUACCAAAAUUAGCAUCACGGAAGAGUCCACUUCCAUGAUGACUAAUCGCGCGUCACAGAAGUGCUUUCGUCAAGGGUGACCGACACGUGUCAUCCACCGUAACGGAAUGUCGUUAAGCUAUCCGGUCUAGUUUUGGAUCUGAUAACCCAUUAGCAGCCCGGACCAAUGGGGAAUUUCCACGUGUAAAAUUCUGAUUGGUCGGAGGGAACACCUGUCAGCUCGUUAGUGGGCCAGAUGUCGCCCGUCCAUUAGAGGAGACAUGCCUAUGAUACGUCGACACGUUGCUGGGCCCAACAUAGGCCCAUAUAGGUUAAAAAGGUUGGCCCAGUCAAAGGCCCAUAGUACUUAAUUAGGUACUAGUGGGCCAGCCAAAUAAUGGCCUUCUUAAUAAAGGCCCAUUUAUAGCCUGAAGCCAGAUCUGGCACGUUAAUUGUUCACCCAAUAUUUGGGCCCAUUUACUGCCCGAAGCCAGAUCUGGCCCAUUAAUUGUUUGCCCAAUAUUUGGGCCCAUUUAUGGCCCGAAGCCAGAUCUGGCCCGUUAAUUGUUUGCCGAAUAUUUGGGCCCAACUACAGCCCAGUGACUUUCGGCCUGUUAGAGGCCCGAUGUAGACAUGGGCCCAUUUCAGCCCAAUGUGACUUUUGGCCUGGGAAUGGCCCAUGCUGCCCAUGGGCCAUAUAUGAUCCGACAGGACAUCAGGCCCACUAACAGCCUGUGCUAAAGGUGGCAACAGUUAAGCCCAACGUGACUUUGGGCCUGUUAAAGGCUUGUCGCGUAAUUCGGCCCGUUGAUGCGUGUACUAAGCUUGCGGCCUCUUAAAGGCCCAUGAUAUCAGUGGGCCAACUAAGUCCCGAGAUAUGUUUUGGCCUGGUAACGGCCCAUGAGCUAACUGGGCCCAAAAAGGCCCGGUCUACAUUUCAGCCUGCUGAAGGCCCGUCGACGACUAGUGAAAAUUGAGGCCCAACAUGCAUUUCGGCCUGCUAAAGGCCCGUGGUUUCAUCUAGGCCGUAACAGGCCAGUACAAUAUUCAGCCUGUUAAUGGCCCAACGCUACCUGGGCCAAACUAAGCGCUCGGUCGACAAAAGGCCCAACUAAAAUAUAGGCCAGUGUAAGUUGUGGGCCUAGUGCAAUGUGUGAAGGCUCCAAUCAUUCGGGCCCAAGAAAGAUGCAGGCCGGCCCAAUUGUGGCCCGGUAAAAACCAGGCCCAUUAGAGUUGAAUGUUUUGGCCCGGUCGACUACAUCUGCUUUUUUUCAGAUAGCGAAUGAUGACAGUAACUAGUAGGAAUUAAAAAAAACCUACUCUAUACAAUAAAGAAAUUACGGCAUAGUAACUAAGGCCGCGUUUGGAUUCCCUCCGCUCCACGGCUCCGCGCCGGAGCGAAGCGGCAAUCCAGUUGAUUAACACCGUAAUUUGCGGUGUUGGUUAAAGCCCACUCCGCACGCUCCGCCCCGCAGAUGACUGCCGAACGCGGCCUAAGAAUAAACCUACACUAUACAAUAAAGGAUUUAAGGUAUAUUACAUCCACUGGGCAUCGAAGUUCGCCACCAGUGAUCAUAAAGCACAACGAAGAAGCAGAUUACAAAAACUGGGCACCAUUGCAGCAUAACAAAGUAAUACUGAACCGAGACUAGUCCCAAGACAGUUCAAGAAAGGUUAGCCUUGCAGGGGAACUACUGCACAAGCUACUGAGCAAGGCUGUGAGACCGACCUAGCAUGUCGAUCAUAGCUUACAGGUGUAGAUGUUUAGCGAUGAGGUUCUCAUUGGUGUUCUCCACAAUCUUUCUUAGAGAUAGGACUUCAAGUCCAAGUUGAGUUGUAGAAUGCCUUUCUACUAGAACUUGGGACUGAAGAAGUCGAACUAAUUCAGACAACGAAUUAUGUGAGCUUGUCUGACUGCUAGUCCCAAGUAACUUGAACACUGUCUCACUAUCUUCAAGAUGUUUUGCCUUCUUUGCUGCAAUAUAUGUUGGGUUUGUCUCGCAGCCUUCAGUAGACUUGUGCAUGCCAUCAGGCAUAUCACCCUGAAACAAAGCAGAGAGAUGACAGGUUUUCCACGUGUAUAAACAAAGAUGAUAACUGUGUUGUCAAUUCCAUCCAAUUUAAAAUUAGAAAAUAAAGGGUAAGUUCAAAAUAUCAAUAGCAUAAUUUGGCAUUGUUCAUAAUGCGGGGAGCUUCACCACACUACUGGAUUACCAUGUCAACAUAACUAGCAUAGAUGAAGGGCAACAAAAAUCAUUGUAUCUAUUUUGGUUAAUAUGCAUGGCAUGUUGUUCAUAUCAUCAGCCACAUCAGUAAGAUAAAACAGGAGAUGACAAGGUGCAAACGUGGGCUGCUUCACCAUGCACUGGAUUAUAGAUCCACAAAACAAGCAUACAUAUAGGGAGUAUUAAGUAAUGUGCAUGGUAUGAAUAAGGAAUUUGGUUUUACAACUAAAACUUAGAACUUACGAUUUUUGCGAACAUGCAUUUUGGUAGAAACAGCAAACUAAAUAGCAGUAAACGAUAGGGAGUAUGAGCAAAUUAAACAGCAGUUGAGGAUAAAGAAUUUAGUAUUGACUUACAUUAACAGUUAACACCGGCUUUAUAAUGCCCUUCUCCAUGUCAAGGGAAGGAUAACUCAAGAAUUUCAGCACAUAAUUUUCUUCAUAAGCAUUGCCUGUACUCUACAUUUUGUAAAGAGUAAUUAUAGAUAUGAUAAUACUGGAAGGGAUAGAGGAUAAUGAAGAUAAGAUGCAGGUUGAUGCUACAUAAUCAACUACCAAUCCCUGGAAGUACAAGCGUUACAAGACAAAAUGUACUGACAAGAGCAAUGGGCUACACUUCUGCACUGGCAUUGUCUGUGUAUUCUACUUGUUGGUAAGAUUAAAUAUAGAUCUGAUCUUUUUUAGUGAAUCGUGGGCGAGGGAGAUAAGAUGCAGAAUGCUACGCAAUGAACCAAUCCCUCCUCCCAUAAUACAAGAGUGUUUUGAUCACUGGUGUACUAUACAAAAUGUUCUUAUAUUAUGGGACGGAGGGAGUAGCUGUUAAUGUAAGUACAUUGAUAGACCACGUUCAGUCCUUACAAGAGGACUGCAGAGCUAAACCUCUUCAAAAGCAUUGGGUUGAUUCUAAAUUUAUGUAAGAGUCCAUACGGAUCUUAUAAUGUCCACCAAAUGGACGAUUAUGAGGCUAACAUGUGCAGUGAUGCUACAUAAUCAAACAGCUAUGAAAGUAAGUAUGGUCAUACAGGGCAAGAGGUACUCACAAGAGCAAUGUAGUGUGCAGUAUAGUUGCGAGAUUUUGUGGUCCCUUGAGAACGAAUGUUCUUCUGCUAAUAGUUUUCGUACAAGUGAGACAUUAAGGCAAAUGCAGAAAUGUAGUUCAAAUUGUGAUGUGAUAUCAUAGAUGGCAAUGUGUAACAAGAUUAUUCCAGUCACCGUCGGAUAAAUGUAGCACCGGAGACUUUACGGAAAUUUCGUUCAGAGGCUUGCCAUCGAAGUGCGCUUGCCUCAGGUAGGAACGAUACUUCAUCAACGAGUGCUUGAAAAGUGCAACCAACCCUUGCUCGUCUUCACAAUCCAGUUUGCUCCUCGCCUAUUUAAAAGAAUGAAAUAUUGUGUCUUCUGUCAGCAGAAACAUAUGCAGUAAUUACCAUGAAUAACAUUAGUACAUUACUUACGCAUAAGUUGCGGAGGAAGACUGGAAAUUGUCCCGUGUCUCCGGUAUAAUCUUUCCAUCAAGGAAAGAUGCGCACAAAGUUCCUGACAACAACAUAAGCUUCAUCUUCAACUGGCACAAUCAUACUGUUUGCUGCAGUUGGGGUCUACUGAGUUGGGACAUCAGAAAUGACCAGUGUCGUAGGGCUAGAGUUUGCUAGAGUUGGGGUGUUUUGUGGGUCAGGUGAUAUUGCAACUACACCUAAUGGGCUAUUUGAUUUAUCAGGUGCCACUACCUUUUCCAAAUACUUUGCUUGUGCUCCUCCACGAUCAGCAACCGCCCUCUUCCUUUUGAACGUCUAAUACACAAGAACAUCAUUUGAAUGGAUAAAUAUGGUAUGAUGACAGAUGGAAUAUGUACUGAAAAUGGAUAGGCAGGGCGUAUUCACAUACACAAUGUGUAAACUAAGCUAAUGGCAGUUCAACAAAGUAGAAGCAAUGAAAAGCAUCAGUUGCAAGAUAUGUGCGACCAAUAUAAUCUUGGAAAGUUAGAGCAAGCACCUUGAUGGGUGAAUAGGAUAGGGCAUCUUCCUCUGACUCCUCCACUAGGGAGCUACAUUGACUUAGGUCUCCCUCUAGCUCAGAAUCAUGGUUAGGAUCAUAUUCUGAGCAUGAAUCUGUAGGUGGAGAGAGUUUGCAUUGCAUUGCAUCCAGACUUGAUUUCAGUCCCUUAAUGCCAAGUUUGACAGCCAUGGCAUUGUUCUGCUUUAUUCUUUUCAUGCGCGCAAGCUCAUAAUCAUUAUGAUGUCGUUUAGAAUCUGAGAUUCAUGAAAACAUAAAAAGUAGUCAGAUUAUCUAUGGAAUGCAUUGCGGAUUCAAGUCAAAGAGUGUCUCCCUAUAAACCCCUGCAUAUGCAAAGUUCACCCCCCAACCGUGCUGACCAGACCACACACAGAAAUACAAACCCCUUACGUCUCUAUAACAGGCAGACACACAUUUCAAAACUAAAGUAGGAACAUUAGAAUCAUACGAAAUUCAUAUUUGAACAAAUGAACUAAGGAAUUAUGAGUGGCAUAAUGUUUAGCUUCAAGGGUGGAGUGUUGGUAGUGCGACACAAAGCAAGUAGGCAGAUUUUAUUCCAUGUAAAAGAUCAAAACCUAUGUAAAAGCUGGAAAUGACACUUUCUUUCUAUACAAUGUAGUGUUUGUUGCUCACACAUGAUGGAAGAGAUCACAUAGAGCAAUACUAUUCACUCAUGUCUACGGUUCCAGUAUUUAGAAACAGGGUGGUCCACCCUAAAAGAAUAUUGACAAUAAAUAUGACAAGGCAAGCAUAGAUGUAGUGAAUCAAUCAUUUACUUGUGAGCUUACUAGGACAAGUAUGCAGAAUUGUAACUGCAGUAAGAGACCGUCCAAAAUCUAAAUGAAGAAGUAUGUCUAGCACUUAUUGUUUGCAACUAAUCGACGUGAAUAAUUGGAUAUUAUAUCGAAUGAGUAAGAAAGACAAUUAAAAUUGUCAACAAACCCGGCUUGUAGUAGUAAUCUGGGUCAAUGUCACUACGACCAACAAUCCAAAAUGACUAGUGUCUGUUCCGAGGGCCGGAAUUUUGAAAACCCUGUGAACUUUAGAGGUACUAAAGAUUACCGAAAUACAUCUGAACCAUUAAGUGUAGGUAGCACUGAGCACACAACAAACCCUAAUGACAGUCCUGCCUAAUGAGUAAUGAAUCAAUUAGAAAAUGGGUGAUGAGGAGUGACUGCUGAGUGUUGAGGACGUAUCUUAGGAUAAAUCAGGUUGGCUUGGUGGGUGCUGCACGCCUGAGCCCUGAAUGGACUGGGAAGGUAGACACGGCGGCACGCCCGGGCAGUGGUGACGCUGUUGGGCGAGCGGCUCCUGACCUCCUGUUAGUCCGGCGUCUCCUCCUAGAGUCAUGUCGUCCGGGGACGGCAAGUCACCGGCGAGGCAGACGGCUGGGGGCGAGUAGAGAUCGGAAGCGCGCAGCAGAAUAGAGGGGAAUCGGGGCCUGGGACGACCCAAAAUCCCAUGGUGGGCCGGCCCACCAUGGGCACCCUGUAUAGAUACACACCCGAGCAGCGAACAUGCAUUUUCGAAACUAAUUUAGGAACAUUUAGCUGACCAAUUAAACGACUCUAUUUUAAUAAUAUCAGAUUCGUAUUUGAACAACUAAGUUUGUUUAGCUUGAUGGGUGGAGCAGUGUUAUUAUGACACGAAGCACGUAUUCUAAUCAUAUAGUGAUCAUAAAAGGGGGAAACUCUAAGCAUAUUUUUAGCAAAAUAGGGUUUCCUCUCUGAUUUCUAUUAAAGAAACCACGACGGAACCAACAUGAUCAAUUAAACCCUAAGCAUGAUCAAUUACACCGUAUUAUGACUGUGCCAUGGCAGAUUUGAAGCUGCAAACUGGAGAAAUGAUAUUUAGCAUCCAUUGUUUGCUUCGAACUAAGAACUAAAUUCUAAGAGCUGAAAAGAAAGUAGAGUAACCAAGUUAAUAUCUAUUUUCUGGUUGAGAUCAAAAAGUUGAGGAGAUAUGAAGCACCACCUCUCUUGUGGCGCCGUGUAGGCAUCUGGGGUGCGAUGGCUGUCGGUGGCGUUGAAGUAGAUCUGCGAUGGUAGAGGGGUGCAUCGGGGGAUAAGUCCCGUUGCGGUGGAAGAGAAGGUCGUGUGAGCGGCCCCGGCAAAGAGGAUGACGGUGCCGAUGAAGCAAGAGGAUGCGAUGCAAGGCUACUGGUUCAUCGCCGUUUAUGAGAAACGUCCAUCUCUAGCAGUGGGCGACGCGGUCUUGGUAGGUGCUCCGGCAUGGUGGAGGACGGUGGCGAUGGAUAUGGUGGAGGAUGGUGGCGAUGGAUGGGGAGGCGGACGGAGGCUGGUACGGGGAUGGUGAAUGGGAAAAUGGAGGGAGAGGUAUGGGGAACCAUGUUUUUGGGACGCGCCUGUCUGAAAUAUGGGAAAGUUACGAACUUAGCCCCCGUUUAAAAUUUGGACGUCUCGUCAGUUCGGGAUAGGACGAUAAUCUCGCAUCUCGCCAAUAUUUGCCCAGAGCGGUUUUGGGCGAGGAGAGGGUGGUUGGCACCCAUGGUUGGCGCCCACGGUGUAUGAACGGGGCUGAUAGUUAGGGUGGUUGUGUCACGUCUGAGUGAAGUUACAAACCUGCCCCUAUUGAAAAUAUUUGCCUACAUCGAUUUCGGCCGAGUCGAGUUUGUUUUGCCGCCCACCGUGUAUGAAUGGGGAAUGGAGGGAGAAACAGAGGUCUUUCAGACAACCUUGAAUCAAAUGUGUUUUGCCGCCAUGGUUGACACCCACCGUGUCGGAAUGGGCUCAGAGGCCGUCGUGUCACAUCUAAUUGAAGUUACUAACCUACUCCUAUUUGGAGUAGUGGAAAUCAGGCCGAUGGAUUGUCCGUCUAAUGGGUAGAUAAUAAUUUCCAUCUCCCAAACACUUGGCUUCGGGCAACCGACGUGGGAGUGGACAUUUUGCCACUUCUUUCGAAUUUUGGGACAAUAAGCAUCCACGUUUACCCUGGCAACUAAAUUCGAAUCCAUUGUGUAUUCCUAUAGAAUCUUUAUAAAUCAUUCUAUGUGUUUUUAUAUAUCUUCAAAAGGACGAGAAAGAUGUAUUCCACUGUCAUAUAUGAAUAUGGUUACAAAUGUCGAUACUCAAAUUCAGAAGCUAGAAUCCAGUUUAAGGUGAAUUUGAAUAUUUGGAACACUUCAUGUCCAACUGAAAUGUCACACGCAGCAUAAUGUGUACUCCCAUUUAGAUAUGUACACAAGUGAUUUAUCAAGAUUCAAAUACCGAGUCAAUCAACCAAAAUGUACAGAACUAACAAACAUCUAAACACUUAUAGAGUAUAUGGAUCAAUAAUAUCAACUAACAUACAUAAGCCAGGCCGCUGUACUUCUUUUGGCUACAACAACAUCCUUUUUUUAGCCAGCAUCUUUGCCCAUUCCGAUGCGUGCCACUUAUGGUCCAUCUAUACUACUAUUAUUGUUGAAUGCACAUUCAGCCCAAUUGGCAUAUUUGUAGGUCUGGCACAACAAUCCAAAUGAAAUGUCUCCGAGUCUUAUCAAUUAAUACAGACUUGUGCUCAAAUAAAAUUACAAACCCAAAAAAUGAAAAAACAAAAAAUAAUUAUUACAUGAUCUCUAAAACAAAUGGUUUGAUUGAUUACAUGAACAGACAACACAAAGGUUAUUCAACGAUGGAAAGAACAUUUCACCUAUGAUUUACCUAGUAGGAAUUUAAUUUCCUUUUUCCCUUCAGGACCUUAACAAUCUGGUCAGUCUCAACUUUCUUCGUUUUGAAACCCACCAAAUAUUUAAUGGUUGUCUUGGGUACUCCUUGUGAUUUUGCUGUUUGCUUCCUCAACAUGUCAACUUCAUCUCUAAGUGGAGAAGCAGAAUCUCUUUCUACCACUAGUUUAGCCUCUGGAGCAUCAGCAGUUGGCAAUUCAUAAUGCACGAUUAGGCCGGUGCCACUACUGUGGUAUGAUGCAACGUCCAUGGGGGGCUCGCUCUUUGAUCUUGGGCUAACCUAUUUUGCCAUUAAAGUUUCGAUUGGAUUCAGAAAAGUUGAAGUUAGCAAAACAUCUCAACUGGGAGUUAUAACAGCAAACCAGUUAAAAAAACAAGGAAUUAAAGAGUUUCAGUUGGAUGCUGAAAAGUAGUUACUAACAUCAUUGUAACCCGCUGUUGUACCAGCAAAGUAGUUAAACAAACAAGUAGCUAUUUGAGUUAAGGCAAACAGGUAAUUCUUAAUAGUAAGUAUCAAACACAUAGAUUGGCGCAGUCUACAAUAGGAUUAACAGGUUGUGGCAUUAUGUAAUCAGUAGCAAACUAAAUUAAGCCAAGCAACAUAAUUGAACAAUUUUGCAAUAAGUGACUAACUAAAAUUCUGAGAAGCAGCUAACUGAACUUAUGCUAGUUCUUUGUACAGGCACACUGCAACUUCUUUUUCGCUUACAAGGUUGUACGAAGGAGUCCAUGGCAUCAAUUGCUUGGAUACGCAGUCCCAAUGCUUCUUUCUUCCCACACUGCAUUGGUAAGUCGAAUGGUUAAUCUGGUAAGAUGGUGCGUCCUUGAUGUGUUAUAUGAGGACGUGUAGUCAGACUAGUUGUAGCCACACACAUCACGCUGGCUUUUACUGUAUAUUUCAUGCGAUUACUUUUGGCAUAUCAAGAUCUAAGCAAUCUACAAUAGGAUGAAAAGACUGGCAUCCUUCACAUUAUUGGUGAACUCAGUUCAUAGAAACAAGCAAUUCAACCAUUCGGUGGGUAAAUCAAAAGUGCCACUGGAAUAUUUUUCACUACCCAAUCAUACAUGCAAAAAGGGGCGAUGCCACCAUAGGGGCUGGUAUGGGCGGCCGCAUCAGGUGGCUGGAAAGUGUGCACCUAGUUUGAGUCGUUCAGGUUGGCCCACGCUAGUUUUGUUCAUCCCAAUGCACGAGCAUGCGAUGUAUAUAAAAAAUGAAGAAAAAUGUUUCAAUUUGGACGGGCUAAUAACAUAAGUGCAAGGCAGGCCCUAUAGCAGGCUCGUGGCCCAAACAUGCGCCUCCCAUAUUGAUCGACAACAGGAAAACUCCUAAUUCAUUCGCUCCAGCCUCCAGUCUGGUUUGCUCCUAACCUAGCCACAGCUGGACAGACCGACACAGCACUUCCUCACGCCCUCGUUGGAGGGCGGUCGCCGAGCUUCAAGCGAACGGAAGGAUAAGAAGAUGAAGAUCCAACCCUGGGUGUAGCCUGCCUGGGAGGCAGUGGCGGCAGCACGGGCAUGGUAUCGAGCUUGCGCAAACAGACAGUCGCAGCUUGCAAGAGUAGCAUGUGCAACGAGCAGGUACAUCACAUCCUUGAUUAUAUCUAAUUCAACACUUCAAUUUCUGGCCAAUAGUUAAACCUAACGGUGUUGUAAAACUGCUUGUAUGUAGGGAAUCUAUGAGAAAAUGAAACCAAUUUCUACUUAUUUUAUAACUCCCCCAAUCAAUACUGAACUGACUAAAUCUGAUGUAUCUAAUCAAGUUUCUGGUGCAAACAUACAAGCUCAUGUUGUUCUUGAGCCUGAAGUGUCUAAUGAACAGACUUCUAAUGAAGGAUUUGAUGCAAACAUUUUACAUGCUCCUGGUGAUGAACAUAUAGUGUCUAAUGAGGGAUCUAAUGCAAGCAUUUUGCAAGCUCAUUGAAGGAUUUAGUGUCUAAUGAUGAUCUGCUAUGUUGAGAGAGAUAGAGAUUUGCAGGCAUUGAUGACAAGCAAAUUAUAGUGCAUUUUCAUAGCUUGAGGAAACGUCAAGGCCAUCUACCAGAAAGUCCCCGUAACAUGACAACAUAGCAUAAAUACUUUUCUAAUCUGUUGUUUGAAACUAUUGGCAUACUUGUGCAGGAUAGAUAUAUUGAUAUCCAGUUUGCGCACUCGUUAUAGGUGCAAUUACACUUCGAUGUUUUUAGCUAGAGAACAAAUAAUUCAAGCAGGUACAGACCAUGUUUGUACUCCACCAUGUUGCAUUUUGUGUUUUUUGGUGCUUGCAUCAUUUAGUGUUUAUAAUCUCAACUACUAUGGAUCAUUAGCUGGUUUUCAAAGUGCAUCUAGCUUCACAUUUCUCAACUUAUGUUGGUUUUUGGAGUGCAAGUGCCUUUGUAUUUUUUAAGUUAAAUGUUCGCCCCUGGUAACUUGAAUUCAUGGAUCCGCCACUUGACACAAAUCAUACAUGAAUGCCAGUAUGAAUUAAAUGAAAUGCAGGGAAUUACGCUAGCUCAUUGUACAUGCUCACUGCAGCUUCUCUUGCGCUUGGGAUGUUCCAUGUACAAGUCCAUGUUACCACUUGCUUGGAUCUGCAGGCCUUGUGCUCCUUGCAUCCUCCUCUGUAUUUUUGACACGGCAAAUGGUUGAUCAAUAAGAGGAAUCGACCUUGAUGUUGUACCGGAGGACAGAUACUUACAAGGUUAUGCGGGUGUGCAGGAUGUGUACCAGAUCCUGUAGCACCAUCAUGCUUCGCUAAAAACUGGAUUUGCUUGUUUCAGAUGAUAUCUCCAAAAGAAACAAGAGUUAAAGUCAGAGUUACAUAGGCGUGUAAGCUAAGAGAGCAAUGAAAGGAUAUCCAAACAUCGUCAUAACAGUGCACAAGGGAGUGAUGUGUCGAUACCUAGUUCGGGCCGGCGUUUGAGCAUGCUCGCCUAGCUAGAGUGCGGGUCACUUCAGAGCCAUUGAGGGUGAUGCGCUGGCGUUGGCUGGCCGCGCACGGAUGCAGAUCUUGAGUGGCAGCGGAGCGCUACGAUGUGGUGCACGAGACCGUUGGUGAAGCCCCAACGGUCUCGGGGGGCGGAGGUGCGAUGAUGUGCUCGGUGAAGUAGCCCCGGUGAGCUGGGAGACGGCGUCGAUGAAGCGCACCUGAUGCAGUGGAAGUCGGUGUCCGUGAGGCACGUCGGUUGCGGCGACCGAUGUUGUCGGUGGACCACCUGGUGUGGUGGAUGAGGGCGUAGAUGAGGUAGCUCCGGUGCGGUGGUGAAGCGCGAUCGUCGUCAUCGUCCGGCACAGAGGUGGGGAAAGAGAUGAGACGAGGGGGCAAUUCAAACUUUGCUUGGGUUGGUGGCGAAUUAGGGAUUUGAGCAAUCUGGGCGCAGAAGGGGACGAUGGAGAAGAGUGAUUUUGCAGGGCUGGAAUUGGGGCCGCCAGAUAUUUCAAUCUGAAACAUGUAAGCGCAAACUUAUUUUGUCACCGUCCUUUUUUUGGGGGGGUGGGGGGUGGGGGUGUGGGGGAGGGAGGAAGGGGGGUGGGUGGUUGGGUGCUACGCGUUCGUCCGACACACGCUGUCACACCCUAGCUAGUUCAUGCAUUAGAGUGUUGCAUCAUGUCUAUUCUUUCAUCAGAAACCUGAAAUGGGGAGGACAGAACCCCCAGCCCCCUCUGAAACCAACUAGGGUUUACUAAAAACUUUUUCAAUGAACCUGAAAUGCCCUUCUAAAAUGCCCAUCAUUUUUGUCUUGGUUCAGAACCUCUGCCAGAAGUGAUGCACAUUUUCCUAGGCCAUCUUAGGGUUUUUGAAUUAAAUCAUAGAUAUUUGAAUUUGGGCAUUUAAAAUUAUAUAAAAUAUUCAAAUGCUCAAAUAUCUCCAAACUAAAAUGUUUCAUGUUGGAAAUAAUCCAACUAUGGACCAGGAGUAGUUUGGUGAUUUUAGGAGUUGCCUAAAUAUUUUUAAUAAUUCAACAAAGUUGUAGAAGUAUUAAAAAAACAGAAAACAGGAGAAAUAGCAAAAACUUACCUGGCGCCCAGCACCCGGCCCACAUGCCGGCCCAGCCCCGCGCCGCUCCAGUGAGCUGCUUGCCGGCCAGGCAGGUGCCCGACGGCGGCCGCAGCGUGCGCCACGCAGCUGGCCGUCGCCCUGCUUCACCUCCUCGCCUUGUGGCUGGCUGGAUGAACUCCAUGCCGCGCCGUGAACCCGCAGGACACCUCCAUUCUCCCCCAACUCCUCUCUCUCGCGCUUCCCCACCAUGGCCGACGCCAUCGCCGCCACCCCCUCGCCGUAGCCACGCCCUCCGUCAACCCCACGCCAUGCCGCCGUGUCCAGGAGCUCCGCCACCCUCCUCUCCUUCGAGCAAGCCGAGCCCCGAGCGCUCGCAAGGCCCGAGCCCACCGCAUCGACCUCGACCGAACCGCCGUCGCCGGAGAUCCCCUUCAACGCCGUCGUCGCUCCGGCCCGUCCCCGGCCGCACCAAGUGCUUCGUCGAACUCCCCGUGAGCUUAACCAUCUUCCCCUCCCUUCUUUUCUUGCUCCCGAGCCGUGUAGCGACCUCCCGGAGCUCAACCGCACCCACCGCCGCGGAGCUCGUCGCCGACGUGCUCCCGGUCACCCUCCGGCCACAAACUGGUGUCCAUCAUGCUCACCACGUCACGUAGCACCUAACCAGCUACUCCCCGCACCUCACCGACCCCUCUAGCGUCAAGUUUGCCUUCGGCCGAACUCCGGUGGCCACCAAAGUCGUCGCCGGCACCAACUCCGGCCACCCCGACCCCAACGGACUCCACCAAGAGCUGCGGCUCCUCCUCAGCUCCACUCCGAUGGCCUCCGCGACUCGUUUGGUUGCCGGAACGGCCAAAACCACUUCCGCCGCUGCGUCGGGCUCGCCGGCGGCUAAACGCCGGUGUAGCCGACCUGGGUUUGACCGCGGGUGGGCCCUGGUUGACUCCGAUGAGUCAAUGACAGGUGGGGCCCAGCCCUGUUAACUAAAUAGGUUUAGUUUUAAUUAAACUUUAACUAAUCUAAUUACCCUGACACCCUGGACCCAUAGUCAGGUUUGACCUGGACGUCCCCGUUGACCCUGACGUCAUCCUGACUCAGGGCUGACGCAAUAAAUUAAUUUCUGGAUUUAUUCUAAUAUAGGAAAUUCCAGAAUAUAGUUUAAACUUCAGAAAUUCAUAACUUUUGAUCUGUAACUCCAAAUCAGACAAGUUAUAUAUGAAAAAUGAUCAGAAAAAUCCAAUCUAUCCAUAUGUACUAUUUUCAUGCAUGAUUAAACAAGUUAACUUGAUGUUUAAUGCAGAACAAGGUAAAACACUUUAAAGGGCCAUGUAUGAGUUUGAAAUUUGAAUCUUUGGUUCAAAUUGGUUCAAACCCUUCUGGUCUUAGUUGCAUUAGACCAACACACUCAUAUUGCCAUGUUUCAUGCAUGCAUAAUAUUGUCGCACAUUGUUUGGUGAUGGCUGUGUAUCGGUGUUCUUUGCGGCAGGUUCUGCCCCGAGGAGUACCGUGACUACCCUAGCGAAGAACCAUAUCAGUGCAUCGAACCAUUAGGCAAGCAACCAACCAUUUGAUCAUAUCGAUACAAUCCCAUGUUCUCGCUCUUGCUCUCUCUUACUGCAUUAAGACAACGCGUUUCAAACUGCUGUGUGCUGCGGUAGUUGAACCCAUUUCCUCUACAUGACCUGUCAUUGCCACAGUAACUAGAUGAAACCCACUAGCAUGUGUAGGAAUUGAUUGAGCCAUAUGUAUGUGUUGUUCCUACCUUGCUAUGCCUGCUAUGCUUAGAGUCGUGUCAGGUCUGGUUCAUCUGGGUGAUGGGCUAGAGUGAAAUGAUCAUGUCGGUAAUGAGAGUGAUGUGGUGAACACGAUUUGGUAAAGGUAUCAAUGAGAGGCCAUGUAGGAGUACAUGGUGGGUUGUUUCAUUGAAGCCGACCUUAAGCACUGAGAUCUGUAUGUGUGAUUUAAGAAUCAGCUACUACCAUGCAUUGGGCCCGAAACCAAUGGACCCUCUCGGCUUCUUACUCACCCUAGUUCUCCGUCCAGGAGUUGCAAGUAGUUUCUGGUGUUUGUAGCCUACUGGAGGUCGUGGACAGCGCUGACCGUAGGGGUGGGCUGUGAUGCGGUAGGUACAUGGCCGGGAAUACCGGGCACCCGUUAGGUGUCACGGAACCCUGUACACAUCGUUCGGGGCCGUAUGGGAAACCUCGGCCGGACUCCCUGCGGAUGGAACCUGGAUAGGCGAUAAACCUGGAUUGGAGACUUAGGUGAUUAGGUAGGUCGUGGCCGACACCCACUUUGGGCUUCCGCUUGAAGGUUGCCGAGUACAUGUCGUGUAAACGACGGUAAGUGGUGAGAGCGUGUAUGAAGAAGUACACCCCUGCAGGGUUAACAUAAUCUAUUCGAAUAGCUGCGUCCGCGGUAAAGGACUACUUGGUUGCCUAUACAGUUCAUAGACAAGUAAAUGGAAACUACUAAAAGCCUCAAGAUAAGUGUGAGUGCCGAGGAUGGCUCUUCCGGAGGAAGACGGAGGUGAAUCCUCGGUGGUGUAUUGAAGUGGUGAGUAGUGGACUCGUGUGCGCAAAACCAUUUCAAGUUGGAGUCUCGUAGGAUAGCCUAGCCAAGAGUCAAAGCUGGCUUGCUGCAACAACUCCACCAACCCUUCUUGAUAAUGUGCAUGUAUGUAGGAUCUGAUGUAAGUCUUGCUGAGUACCUUUGUACUCAUGUUGCUAUAAUUUACAUUUUUACAGAAGACACUGCAACCCCUUCUGAUGGGUUCUUCGUAGACGUUGACAUCAAUGAGUAGGCUAAGGCCCAGGUGGUGAUCCUGAGCUUGUGAAGGACCACGUAGUAUAGCUAGGCUUUCCAAGCCUCUUUUAUUUUACUAGUUGUCUGUACUCAGACAAGUUACUUCCGCUGCUAGUUUGUAUGACUGUAUGACUUGAAUGCUGGGUCGUGUGACCCAUACCUAUGUGUAUGUUAUGUAUGGCUCUCUGAGCCUUAAAUAAAGUACUUGUGUCGUAGAGUCAUGUUGUGAUGCCUUGUUGUAUUUGCACAUAUCGAGCAUAUUGUGUGUAUGAUUGAACUGCUUGGUAUGUGUGGGAUCUGACUAUCUAGUUGUUUAUCUUUAGUAGCCUCUCUUACCGGGAAAUGUCUCCUAGUGUUUCCACAGAGCCAUGGUAGCUUGCUACUUCUCCGGAACACUUAGGCUGGCCGGCAUGUGUCCUUCUUGGUUCCUGUGUCCGUCCCUUCGGGGAAAUGUCACGCAUUGAGUACCGGAGUCCUGUUAGCCCGCUACAGCCCGGUUUACCGGAGUCCUGCUAGCCCAGUGCUACAGCCCGACCCCACUUGCUGAUGACCGACACGUUCGUUGCUGGGUCAUGGAUGCCUGUCCCUGUAAGUCUGUGCCACUUUGGGUUUACGACUAGCCAUGUCAGCCCGGGCUCCUUAUCAUAUGGGUGCUAGCGACACUAUCAUAUACGUGUGCCAAAAGGCGCAAAUGGUCCUGGGCAAAGGUAAGACGACACCCGUGGAAUACCGUGCGUGAGGCCGCAAAGUGAUAUGAGGUGUUACAUGCUAGACCUAUGUGGCAUCGAGUCGGGGUCCUGACACACGCGACCACCCCGACAGGACUAUGCUUCGAUGCCUUAAGGCACCUGCCUUUGUGUCCAUGACAUGUCGGCCAAAUAGGUGGCUGGCCCACAUGUUAGUGACCCAAAGGCAGGUGCCUUUAAGGCACCGAAGCAACAUCCACCCCGACACGACCAUGGUCUACCUGGUGCGCCUACAUUUGAGAAUGCAAACGAAUAUGUAUGUAUUACCAUGCCCGUGUUUUCCUUGCAAUAAUUAGUCAUUCGAAGCGAGAUACUCCCUCCGUUCACUUUUGUAAGUCGUUUCAGACAACUUAAAAUGAAUUGUUUUGCACAUUGUCUAAAAUGGCUUCAAGGUCUUAUAAAAGUGAACAGAGGGAGUACUAUAAAUUAGUUAAUGAGGAGUUAUUUGAAAAAAACGAAACGGUAUCCACGCUAACAUGGAUUAGAGUGUGUGUCACGUAAUUAGUUAUUUGAAUUAGAGUGUGUGUCACAUAAUUAGUUAUUUGAAUUAGAGUGUGUGUCACAUAGCGAUCUCGGAUUCUAACGUGGAUUUUGCAUUUCACUUUAUCCAUGCUACUUUUUUAAUACAAAUUCAUAUGUAUAUGAUGAACACCAUGGUCGUGAGAAAACUUUGGAUGGAUUCAAACAUAUGACCUACAAAAAAGCACAACAAAUUGAGCCAAUGUCAACUUUUCGAAACUUAAUAUGGCACGAAUUCGAAAUAAUUACCCGUAUGCAUGGUCCUCAGUUCAAAUCUUACAAUGUAAACCGAAUUGAAACAUCGAUAUUAAGUCUCGUACUAUGUACAUUCAAAUGUUGUUUUUAGCCCCCCGCCCCCACGCACACACGCUACAUACUUCCUGUAUCAGUCAAUCUUCCUCUCCUAACCACCUUAGGAAGCUAUCAGUUUCCAACACACGUUCAUUCUUUCUCUCCAGGUUUCGAUCUCUAAGUCUGUCAACUACACAACCCAUGUACCUCACACACCCGCCAUUGCACCCCAUGCCGAGAUCUCUCUCUCUCCCUCUCCCUCUCACCCUCUCGCGCUAAAUACAUGCAUUGCCGAUCUAGCCCCCCCAACCUCUCAUGCGCACGCACGCACGUUGUCUAUCUAGGUCACUCCCUCGAGACGGCAUCACUCUUUCUUCCGCACAGCGGGCCACACUCGCUCAAUCUCGCUCUCUUUAUCUUAGUCUCAUUUAACCUCGUUUUCUUUCACACACACAAAUGAUAUAUCUCCCUGUUCGUGCCUCGAUCAACACACUCUAUACUCUCUCACGCAGAUUGUCUAUCUAGGUCAGUCCAUCCAAGCCGCCCCCACUCUUUCGACCUCAUGGCGGACCACGCUCACUCAAUCUCUCUCUCUCUCUCUCUCUCUCUCUCUCUACCUCUGUAUGUCUCGACUGACCUCGCUCUUUCUCGGACAAAAACGAUAUAUCACCAUGUUUGAGCCCAUUUCAACCUAUUCACAUUGUAUACUCUCUCACGCACAUUGUCUAUCUAGGUCACUCUCUCCAACCCGUCUCACUCUUUCGAUCGCACGGCAACCCUAUGUGAUCUAUUAACCUUGCUUCCUACCGCGAACAAAAUAUAUCUACACGUCUGUGACUGGAUCAUCUCUCAAGCUCUAUCUUACAGCCCUCACCCUUGCCAAAAGCUCAAUAGGACAAUGUCUCUCCAGAGCAUACAUAUUUGUUUAAUGAAUGUCGGACCACACUCACUUUGUCUCUCUAUCUAUAUGUCUCUCGAUUCACCUCGCUUUCUCACACUGUAUCUUCCACGCAUUGAAGGUACUUCUCCAUCCCUCACAAAGCCGGAGCUAUUUACAUUCCGAGGGGUACUCAAACCUUGGAUUAAUUUGUGUAGGCAUUUAUUCCGGCCGGUUUAGAUUAUAUUUUCGUAGCAUUCGGCCCAUAACUACUCCAAACACCGUUUCAACCCCCGCAACUCCCCUAGUUAAUUUCCCUCUGGCUCGAUCAUCGCUCUCUCGCACGUCCUUUCUCGCCUUCAACAUCGCACCAUGGUAUUAUUGCAAAAAACUUUGUUGUUCUCUUUAAUUAUUAUAAAUAAGCUACAAAACUACACACCAAUAGUCCACUUGGAAUAGAACAAAUUUUGACCCACAAAUUAAAGUCCUACAAACUACACACCGAGGGGCCCACAUAUCAUGAAACAAAUUUGGACCCAUAUACAAAUUAAGAAAUAAAGGACGAGGAUCGAACAUGCGACCGGGCCUUCAAGCCGCACAUCAAUAGGCAACAUACGUAGAACAGCAAUAUUUGUUGUACCCCCCCUUUGUUCACAUAAUGUUUUUAUAUUACCACAGCCUAUUUAAUGGGUAACAUGUAAUAUUAUUUUUCGUACUAUUCGCCUUCACUUACUGGUGGGUUCCAUGUGUGCUCUCUCUCUCCUCCCCUUUUGCGUUUAGACGCACGGGCAAACACGAUGAACUCGCGGGUGAUGUUGCUGUUGACCAUAUCUGGACGCAUUCACAAGUUACGACACCAGUUUCACGUACUAGCAGCACUAGUGAGUGUGUAUGUGCAAUGCACAUUAAUUUGGAAGUAUAUUAAGUGCAUGCGGAUAUUAAGUAGGAUAUUAUUUGCGUGUUAUUAUGUGAUUAGCACUAUUUUUGCCAUGAAAUUAACUGCACGCUAAUCGUAUUGAGCGCUCGACAUUGAAGCAGUCUAGGUCGUUGGAUGACAAGGAAUACAUGUGGCUUGAUGAUGUUUUAUAUUUAAUUUGAUAAAGCUCUAGCAGAACAUUCAAUCGAUCAAACCAUAGAUUUCGUUCAGUCUAACUCCGAAUUUAAAUUAUACGACGAUCGAUAUAAAAUAAACGGAAAUGAUAAGCGUUCGGACUUUAAGCAUGGCAAUCUGAACGUUUUUCAUGGAAAAUUUAGAUUACUGGGCGGCAGCGGGGGCAUAUUGCGGUGGGAAGCGGCUCCUCUGUCGUGCUCUAUGUGUCGUCGGGCCACUGACCGACGGCGACGGUGGCGUCUUGCCCCGUUGUUGGCGUACUCUUGGAUGUUGGCCUAGAUUCAAGGAAGGCCAAAAUGUUCUGGACUUCGAAGCGAGUCAACUGGCGGGAGGAGGCGACUGGCGUUGGUGCAAGGAAGCGGUCGACGACGGCCAUCCAUGCCGCUGAGGGGGGCACUAGCACCCGCGCGGGGACAGGCGCUGUCAACGGCGCGGCAGAGACAUUCAUGUGCACGGGCACCGGCAUGGGCGCGCACUUUAGUGCACGCGCAGGCGCAUGCGCUCGCAGGUGCACGGGCACCAGCACGGGCAUGCGCGUUAGUGCAUGCACAGGCGCAUGCGCUGGCAGGUGCACGGGCGUGUUAAAGUCGGCAAGGACCUCGUCGAACCCCGUGGGAUCAUGCUCGGCGACAAUGUGCGGCUCCCAGACCAUCAAUGCCACGGGGAUGGGCGGUGGCACAGUCGGGGCGAUGGGAGCCGGAACGGGAGCGGGGACAGGAGUGCGUCCGGGAAAAUAAACGAUUCGCCCCCCUGAUUGCUGUGACCCACCAGCUACAUCUUCACAUGCAAGGAAGUGCCUGACAGUCGGGACCCACCUGGUCGAAGCGUACGUAGCGCCGGCAUUCUGGUCGCGAACGUGUACGUACAUACUGGUGGAUGUAGAGGCGCGCACGUGUCAUAGUAGAGGCGCGCACGUAGCAUGUACACAUACGUACAUCGGCCAGUGUGCAAGAAAGAAAAUACGGCCACAUAUGUGUACAUAUGGACGGGGUCUCGAACGACUACUCGCGCAUAUGUACGGCCAGGGCUCGUGUACAUGGCUGGGUCGGAACGGAGAAACAGCGUCGUCAUCAUGUUCAUGGGGAGCCAACCGGCUGGGUCGGAACAGAAUGCGUCGUCGUGUUCAUCGGGAGGGCUUGGACGGAACAGGCAAUGCAAACGAGGCAUGGCAUACCGCAGAAUGGAGGAACGGCCUUGUGUUCAACCGGCCACAUUCUAAACAGUAUCCUGUUCAUCGGGAGGGGUCUAGCGUACCGCAAAACGGAGGAAACGGACCUCCUACGGUCGAAACGGGGGACCUGUUGAUCGGGAGGGGUGUAGCAUACUUCAAAAUGGACGAAACGGACUUGUGUUUGAGUGCUACGGUCGAAACGGGGGUCCUGUUCAUCGGGAGGGGUGUGGGGUACCGCAAAACGGGACUCCACGAGAUACUAUUCAUCUCCACCGUCGACCUCCCCGAGCCUCCACGGGCUACCAUCGACCUCCUCCAGCCUCCACGGGCUCCUGUUCAUCCAGCCUCCACUGCGUGCUACUCCACCGGCUACUGUUUAACCACCCCUCCACGGGCUCCUGUUCAACCACCCCUCCACGGGCACCCCUCCACCGUCUACUAUUCAUCCAACCCUCCACGGGGUCGUCCUGUUCAUCCAGCCCUCCACGGGGUCCUGUUCAUCCAGCCCCAACUGGCUCGAUCGAUCGAGGUCCUGUUCAUCCAGAGGCAACGCCACGGGGUCCUGUUCAUCCACCCUCACCGCUCACUGUUCAUCCAAACCCCCCUGCAACACUCACUGUUCAUCCAGAGGCAGCAUCGAUCAGCUUCAGUUAGCAGCAGUAGCGAAGGAAUCGCUCGAUCGAGUUCAGUUAACAGCCAUCGAUCGAUCGCUCAGGUUGAGUAACGCGUAGCCUGCAGUGCAAUCGCUCGGGUUCAGUUAGAGCCCAAUGCCUCGCUCGGGUUCAGUUAGAGCCAACGUGUACGAGAGAAACACGCAUCGCUCGGUCCCCGACCACCCACCGUAACCGGGAACUCCCCAAAAUUUUCCUCGCCCUCGCUUCUACCAUGGGUUUUUCCGUCAUGGACGGCCCAAAGAAUGUCAUGCAGUUGCGUCUCCGGCCCGCCCAGGACCAAAAGCCCAUUUUCUGUCAUGAUUUUUUGUCAUAGAAGUAGGAGCCCACCACAUCUAUGAUGAUACCAGGUUUUGUCACAAUUAUCGUCAUAGAAGUGUCAUAAGUAUGACAGGAAAAAAAUUCAUUCGGCCCAAAAUGUCACAGAUGUGUCUUUUUUUUGUAGUGGUGGGAGGAAUAUAUGCUUGUUGGAAUUGCACUAAUAUCAAGUUUCCUCUCUAUGUGCUUAAAUUUUUGAAGAUAUGCUUGUUUUGCCUUCCUAUGCUAGUUGAUUCUUUUUCCCAUAAAUUGUUUGCUCAUAAAAUCCCUAUGCAUAGGAAGUGGGUUAGACUUAAAUUUGAUAGUCAUAUGCUUCAUGAUGCUCUCGUUAUGUUUUCAUUCUUAUCUUUCAUAUGAGCAUCAUUGACAUCAUCAUGUCUAGCUAGAAAGGCAUUAAAGCAAAGCACUUGUUGGGAGACAACCCAAUAUUUAUCCUUAAUGUUUUUGUGUGUUCACAUGAUUAAGCUACUGCAGUAAUCAUUUUAUAUAGCUUUUGUUUCAAUCAAGUGCCAAGUAAGACCUUUAGGAUGGCUUACGGUGAUAGUUGAUUUGAUCUCGCUGAAAAACAGAAACUUUUGCACUCAUUGCCAGAAUUUUAAAAUAUCACAGAAGCAUGCUUUUGAUCUGAAACUUUACACAAUAUUGAUAUACAAAUUGCCUAGGUUGUCCUAAUGUUUCAGAAUUUUUGGAGUAGCAGAAGUAUGGUUUAUGUUCAGAUCAUUACAGACUAUUCUGUUUCUAGCAGAUUCUGUUCUCAAUGCAUCGUUUGCUUGUUUUCUAGUUUCUAUGGCUUAUAUUGCUCAAUAUAAAUUGUAGAAAUGAUAUGGUACAGUAGGAGUUGUGUGAGAACAAUUACGAAUCUUGUCUUUAACAGUACCAAAGUGAAUGAUUUACAAUUUAUCAUACUAACCCAUCUCAUGAAGUUUCGUUAAGUUUUGUGUGAUUGAAGUUUUCAAGUUUUGAUGACAUAUCAAUAUGAGGAGAAUAAGGAGUGGAAAGACCCUAAGAUUGGGGAUGCCCAAGGCACCCCAAUGUAAUAUUCAAUGAAGACUCAAGCGCCUAAGCUUGGGGAUGCCCCGGAAGGCAUCCCCUCUUUCGUCUUCAAAACCAUCGGUAUACCUUACUCAGAGCUAUAUUUUUAUUCGUCACAUGAUAUGUGUUUUUCUUGGAGCGUAUUUUCAUUUCUACUUGUUGUUUGAAUAAAAUCAUUGGAUCUGAAAUCUUGAACGAGAGAGAGUCCUCCCAUGGCUAGUUAAUUAUUUGACUACUCAUUGUCCUUCACUUAUAUCUUUUUGGAGUAGUUUGUCAUUUACUCAUGUGCUUCACUUAUAUCCUAUGAGUAAAUGGUUGAAUGAAUUGAAUAUCAUAAAUCUGAAUUUGUAUAUGUUUCAUAUGCUUAUACCAUGGGGAGUAAUGACUUCACAUAUAAUAAGUAUAGGUGGUAAAUUUAUUGAAAGUUAGCAAACAUAGUAUUGCUCACUUGAACAAUUCAUGAAAGAAUAUCGAAGGAGGAGAGAUUUCACAUAUAAAUAUGCUAUCUUGGACAUCUUUUGUAAUUGUGAGCACUCAUUAAAAUAUGACAUGGUAAAAAGUUGAUGUUGGACAAGGAAGACAACUUAAUGGGUUAUGUUUUAUUAUAUCCGAAUGGAUGUUGUAUUGUCUUGGAUCGUCCAAUAGGUUGAGCUUUCAUUUCUCUCUCUUGCUAGCCAAAUUCUUUGCACCAAGUAGAAAUACUACUUGUGCUUUCAAACAUCCCUUAAACCAGUUUUGCCAUGAGAGUCCACCAUACCUACCUAUGGAUUGAGUAAGAUCCUUCAAGUAAGUUGUCAUCGAUGCAAGCAAUAAAAAUUGCUCUCUAAAUAUGUAUGAUCUAUUAGUGUGAAGAAAAUAAGCUUUAUACAAACUUGUCAUAUGUAAGAAAUAAAAGCAACAGACUGCAUAAUAAAGGUCUUUAUCACAAGCAGCAAUAUAAAGUGACGUUCUGUUGCAUUAAGAUUUUGUGCAUCCAACCAUAAAAGCGCAUGACAACCUCUGCUUCCCUCUGCGAAGGGCCUAUCUUUUAAUUUUAUCUUCUACCCUUAUACAAGAGUCUUGGUGAUCAUCACCUUUCCUUUUUACACUUUUUCCUUUGGCAAGCACUAUGUGUUGGAGCGAUCCAGAUAUAUAUAUCCACUUGGAUGUAGGUUUUCAUAAAUUAUUAUUGUUGACACUAUCCUUAAGGUAAAAGGUUCGGAGGCGAAACUAUAAUUCCCUAUCUUUCUUUGUGUCCGAUUAAAACUUUGAACCCAUAAAUAUCACGUGAGUGCUAGCAAUUGUGAAAGAUUAAAUGAUAGUUGAGUAUGUGGAAUUUGCUAAAUCAAAGCUCUUAUAUAGACCCUUCCUGAAAAUAAAAUGAAUUGCAAUUGUUUGAUGACUGAGAACAUAGUUUGUUAGUUUUCAAGAAAGUUUAUGAUCAUGAGAAGUUUUAUGAGUUGAGCUACUAUUUUGAUAUAUAAUGAUGCUAGAAAAGGUGACUGAAAUUAUCAAUGAUCAAACGUGUGCACUGGCUAGCAUUCACACUUCAUAAAUUAUUCCUUUUAUCAUUUACCUACUCGAGGAUGAGCAGGAAUUAAGCUUGGGGAUGCUGAUAUGUCUCCAACAUAUCUAUAAUUUAUGAAGUAUUGAUGCCAUGUUUAUAAUAUUUUUACAUGAUUUUGGUAUGAUUUGAUUAGAACUAACCCGGACUGACGCUGUUUUCAGCAGAACUACAGUGGUGUUGUUUUUGUGUGCAGAAAUAAAAGUUCUUGGAAUGCGCUGAAAAUCAAUGGAGAAUAUUUUUGGAAAAUAUAAAAAAAUACUGGAACGAAAAGCUACCAGAGGUUAGUCCCGAGGCCACCACGAUGGUGGAGGGCGCUCCUCUAGGGCGCGCCCCCUAUCUCGUGGACUCCCCGUGGGCCCCCUUGACGUGAAACUGACGCCAACCCCUCCUAUAAAUCCAAAAAAACAAAAUAGAAGGGAGAUAGGAAGUUGCGCCACCGCAAGCCUCCAUAACCAUGAGGGAUCAAUCUAGGCCCUCUCCGGCACCCUGUCGGAGGGGGCUAUCAUCAUCGGGGGCCAUGGGGGAGGAUCUCGGAGGGGCCAUCAUCGCCAUGAAGGCCAGGGACCAGAGGGAGAACCUCUCCCCAUCCAGGGGGAGGCCAUGAAGGAGGAAGCACAAGGGGGAGAAUCUCUCCUCCUCUCUCUCAGUGGCGCCGGAGUGCCAUCGGGAGGGGAAUCAUCGCUGCGGUGAACGUCUUCAUCAACAUCACCAUCAUCAUCACCAUCCUCAUCUCUUUUCUGCGGUCCACUCUCCUGCACCCGCUGUAAUCACCUACUUGAACAUGGUUCUUUGUGCCACAUAUUAUGAUCCAAUGAUGUGUUGCCAUCCUAUGAUGUUUUGAGUAGAUUCCCUUUGUCUUUUGGUUGAUUGAUAAUCUAGGUUGGUUUGAGUUGUAUGUUUUAUUUUGGUGCUACCCUAUGGUGCCUUCUGUGUCAUGCACACGUGAGGGAUUCCCACUGUAGGGUGUUGCAAUACGUUCAUGAUUCACUUAUAGUGGGUUGCUAGAGUGACAGAAGCUUAAACCCGAGUAAGGGGGUUGUUGCGUAUGGGAUAAAGGGGACUUGAUAUGAUAAUGAUAUGGUUGGGUUUUACCUUAAUGAUCUUUAGUAGUUGCCGAUGCUUGCUAGAGUUCGAAUCAUAAGUGCAUAUGAUCCAAGAAGAGAAAGUAUGUUAGCCUCUCCCUCAUAUGAAAUUGCAAUAAUGAUUACCGGUCUUGUUAACAAUUGCCUAGGACAAUUCCGCACACCGACCCAUCAUUAUUCCCCACUCGCUAUUUAUAAUAUUUAGUAAUAUAUUAUAACUUUAUGAUAACAACACCUACUUUUAUAUUUUAGCUCCGAUACCAUGCAAAGUUAUCCUCUUCAUACUCACAACAUAGUUUUAUUUCUCGUUUCUAGUUGGAAGCAAACGUUCGGUGUACGUAGAGUCGUAUCAGUGGCAAAUAGGACUUGAGAGAAUAUUGAUCUUACCUUUAGCUCCUUGUGGGUUCGACACUCCAUACUUAUCACUUCCACCUUUGGAAAUUGCUACGAUGAUUCCCUGCACUUGGGGAUUAUCAAGAGCCCCCCCCCCCUUCUUCUUCUUCCUUGGCCUCCCCCUAGAUAGGAGGAGAGUUCCCCCUCUGGUCCAUGGCCUCCAUGGCGGUGGAGGGGCAAAAGUCCCUCCAAGAUUGGAUCUCUAUCCCUCUGUUAUCUUCUCUUUUGCGUCCCUAUUUUCUGGCCAAAAAACCGUUUCUUAAAUUCUGAGAGAUCCGUAACUCCAAUUGCGCUGAGAUUUUAGCACGAUUUUUUCUGGAUAUAAGCUCCCUUAUGCCCGAAGUAGAGCUCCAACCGACUUAUGAGGUGAGCACAACCCACCCUGGCGCGCCUAGGCUCUGGGGGACGCCCAGGUGUCUUGUGGUGGUUGUGGCCCCUGUUUGCAUUGAUUCCAAGUCCCAAAAAUCACAUAUAUUCCAAAAUAAUUCUCCGUAAUGUUUUAUCACGUCUGGACUUUGUUUGAUAUGGAUAUUCUGCGAAACAAAAAACAUGCAAAAAAUAGGAACUGGCACUGGGCACUGGAUCAAUAGUUUAGUCCAAUAAAUCAUAUAAAUUGUUGCCAAAAGUAUAUGAAAGUUGUAUAAUAUUGGCAUGAAACAAGAAAAAAUUAUAGAUACGACGGAGACGUAUGACUCUUCUGCAUCUUCCUCCUAUGCGAUGAUCUUCAACCUCUCCUAUUAGCUCUCCUCUUCUACAUCCUCCUCAUCACUAUCUUCCUCCUCCAUCUCCUCGUCGACGACCUGAAUAUUAUGCCAAUUUUCACCGGUCCUUCUGCCUCUGGAUUCGACGACGAGAGGCGAGAGUGGCACUCGUACCAACGGGCUCGUUGUCGAUGAUCCGUAGACUCCAUCGCCUCUACCAUUCCCCACAUGAGAAUCUCAAUUGGGAUUGCCCCCUUGCCUUUAGGAAGUAUUCGCCUUUUCUCAGCACUCAUUACUUCCAAUGUCAAGCCCAGCGAGUGCAUCACAAGAUAUUUCACACUAUGAAACCAUGAGCAUAUCUCCUUGCACUUGGCCAGCAAGAGCUCAUCCCCAAUGCAAAAGAAAUCCAUAUCCCUCUUCCAGCUCUAACCUACUAGCCGUCAAUCAAAGAGCAAAUUUGUAAAUCAAAUAAUUAAAAACAGACUCAAUUAUUCGAAUCAAAAUCAAUGAAAAACAAUCAAAAAAGGGAUCCUAUCAACAAAACCUAAUUUCUAGGGUUUUCUGUUUCCAAACUAGCUUCCACUAGUACCACUGGCAUGAAUACAAUCCUAAAUAGACAUCGAUACAGACUGCAAACUGGAGCAACUAAAUGCAUGACACAUCAAUUGGUCAAUUGCCCAUUCAAUCAACUUAUAAAUGGUUCUUACUUGCUAGGGUUUCGAUUAGAAAUGUACCGAUCAACCAACGAUCUCGAAUGGUUCCUGUGUAUGGGAGGAAGGGCUGGCUGGUAGAACCACUUUGUUGCGCCAUCGUAACUCAGGCCGAUGGUCGGAGUGUGCGGCUAGGCUACUAGGGAGCACGGUGGUGCCAGUGGCUACGUGGGGCUGGGUAGGGGAUGUGGUGGUUCACUUGGGGUCAGUCUAAUUUCGGCAAAAGAAAUGCGGCGGCUAGCACAGGUCCUACUCGUCAUAAGCGAUCACGUCCAUGGCCCACAUUUCAUAGAGGCCCACCUUGAUACAUCUCCAACAUAUCUAUAAUUCAUUAAGUAUUCAUGCCAUGUUUACAAUAAUUCUAUAUGGUUUUGGCAUGAUUUGAAUGAACUAACCCGUACUGAUGCUGUUUUCAGCAGCACUACCGCGGUGUUGUUUUUUGUGUAGAAAUAAAAGUUCUCCAAAUGCAACAACACUUUUUGACGAUAUUUUUUUGGAACAAAAGAGGCACUAGAAGCUUCGUGGGCAUACCAGAAGGUGAAGGAGUUGAGCACUAUCUACCAGGGUGUGCCAGGGGCCUUGGCUGUGUGCUGGUGGGUAGUGAGCCCCUCGAAGCCCAUCUAGAAGUGAGACUGACGCCAAAAAAAUCCUAUAAUACAUAAACCCCUAGAAAUAACCCUAGAUUGGAAGUUCUGCCAUUGCAAGCCUCUGUAUCCAUUAAAAAUCAAUCUGGACCCUGUUCAAGCACCCCGUCUAAGGGGGAAAUCAUCACUGGAGGUCAUCUUCAUCAUACCGACGACAACCAUGAUGAGGAGGGAGUAGUCUAGCCUCGGGGCUGAGGGUUUGUACCAGUAGCUAUGUGUUUAAUCCCUCUCUCUCUCUCUCUUGUGCUCUUCAUUUGGCACAAUCUUGAUGUAUCACGAGCCUUGUUAAUAUAGUUGGAUCAUAUGGUGUUUUCCCCUCUCUAUAUUGUUGUGAUGAAUUGAGUUUUCCGUUUGAGAUUUCGUUAUUAUUGGAUUGAAUACUUUUAUGGAUAUAAGAACACUUGAUGUAUGUCUUGCUAUGAAUACAAGUGGUGACAAUCGGGUACCAUAUUGAUUUACUUGAUGUGUGUUUUGGCACUCAACUCACGGAUUCCCGAGGUGGCAUUGGGGUAAUCUAUGCAUAGCAGUUGAUGCAUGUGCUCGUCUUUGUUUCUCCGGUAGAAAUCUUGGGGCACUCUUUGAGGUUCUUGUGUUGGAUUGAGUAUUAUGAAUCUGAAUUUGUUUGGGAGUUAUUUUAGUACGAACUCUUGGGAAGAUCGAUCGGAAAGGAUAACUUGGUGUUAUUUUAGUACAAACUCUUAGAUAGAUCGAUCGGAAAGGAUAACUUGGCAAGUAAGAGCUCAUCCCCAAUGCAAAAGAAAUCCAUCUCCCUCUUCCAGCUCUGACCUGCUAGCCAUCAAUCAAAGACCAAAUUUGUAAAUCAAAUAAUUAAAAAUAGACUCAAUUAUUCGAAUCAAAAUCAAUGAAAAACAAUCUAAAAAGGGCUCCUAUCAACAAAACCUAAUUUCUAGGGUUUUCUGUUUCCAAACUAGCUUCCACUAGUACCACUAGCAUGAAUACAAUCCUAAAUAGACAUCGAUACAGACUACAAACUAGAGCAACUAAAUGCAUGACACAUCAAUUGGUCAAUUGCCCAUUCAAUCAACUUAUAAAUGGUUCUUACUUGCUUGGGUUUCGAUUAGAAAUGUACCGAAUGACCAAUGAUCUCGAAUGGUUCCUGCGUAUGGGAGGAAAGGUUGGCUGGUAGAACCACUUUGUUGCGCCAUCGGAACUCAGGCGGAUGGUCGGAGUGGGCGGCUGGGCUACUAGGGAGCGCGGUGGUGCCAGUGGCUACGUGGGGCUGGGUAGGGGAUGUGGUGGUUCACUUGGGGUCAGUCUAAUUUUGGCAAAAGAGAUGCGGUGGCUAGCACAGGUCCUACUCGUCAUAAGCGGUCACGUCCAUCACCCACAUUUCAUAGAGGCCCACCUUGAUACAUCUCCAACAUAUCUAUAAUUCAUUAAGUAUUCAUGCCAUGUUUACAACAAUUCUAUAUGGUUUUGGCAUGAUUUGAAUGGAACUAACCCGAACUGACGCUGUUUUCAGCAGAACUACCGCAGUGUUGUUUUUUGUGCAGAAAUAAAAGUUCUCCAAAUGCAACAACACUUUUUGACAAUAUUUUUUUGGAACAAAAGAGGCACUAGAAGCUUCGUGGGCGUACCAGAAGGUGAAGGAGUUGAGCACUAUCUACCAGGGCGUGCCAGGGGCCUUGGCCGUGUGCUGGUGGGUAGUGAACCCCUCGAAGCCCAUCUAGAAGUGAGACCGACGCCAAAAAAAUCCUAUAAUACAUAAACCCCUCGAAAUAACCCUAGAUUGGAAGUUCUGCCAUCGCAAGCCUCUGUAUCCAUUAAAAAUUAAUCUGGACCCUGUCCAAGCACCCCGUCGGAGGGGGAAAUCAUCACCGGAGGUCACCUUCAUCAUACCGACGACAACCAUGAUGAGGAGGGAGUAGUCCAGCCUCGGGGCUGAGGGUUUGUACCAGUAGCUAUGUGUUUAAUCCCUCUCUCUCUCUCUCUCGUGCUCUUCAUUUGGCACAAUCUUGAUGUAUCACGAGCCUUGUUAAUAUAGUUGGAUCAUAUGGUGUUUUCCCCUCUCUAUAUUGUUGUGAUGAAUUGAGUUUUCUGUUUGAGAUUUCGUUAUUAUCGGAUUGAAUACUUUUAUGGAUAUAAGAACACUUGAUGUAUGUCUUGCUAUGAAUACAAGUGGUGACAAUCGGGUAUCAUAUUGAUUUACUUGAUGUGUGUUUUGGCACUCAACUCACGAAUUCCCGAGGUGGCAUUGGGGUAAUCUAUGCAUAGCAGUUGAUGCAUGUGCUCGUCUUUGUUUCUCCAGUAGAAAUCUUGGGGCACUCUUUGAGGUUCUUGUGUUGGAUUGACUAUGAUGAAUCUGAAUUUGUUUUGGUGUUAUUUUAGUACGAACUCUUGGGAAGAUCGAUCGAAAAGGAUAACUUGGUGUUAUUUUAGUACAAACUCUUAGAUAGAUCGAUCGGAAAGGAUAACUUUGAGGUGGUUUCAUACCCUACAAACAAUUUCUUCUUAUGUUCUCUACUAGAUAAGAACUUUGGAGUGAUUCUUCAUCGCAUGUUGAGGGAUGGUUAUAUGAUCCAAUUAUAUUGGCAUUGUUGAGAGAUUGCACUAGUGAAAGUACGAACCCUAGGCCUUAUUAUCAUGCAUUGCAAUAUCGUUUGUGCUCACUUUUGUUACUUGCUACCUUCCUGUUUUUAUUUAUUCAGAUUAUAAAAAUAUAUUUCUACCAUCCAUACUACACUUUUAUCACCAUCUCUUCUCCAGACUAGUGGACCUAUACAACUGUCAUUGUAUUGGGUGUGUUGGGGACACAAGAGAUUUCUUGUAUUUGAUUGCAGGAUUAUUUGAGAGAGACCAUCUUCAUCCUACGCAUCCCAGGGAUUUGAUAAAACUUAGGUCAUCCACUUGAGGAAAAUUUGCUACUGUCUUAGUAAACUCUGUGCUUGGAGGCCCAACACAAGUCUACAAGAAUAAAGUUGUGUAGUAGACAUCACACCUAUCCAAAGAUGUCUGACCCCACACGUCAGUAACUGAGCAGGUAAAGGGCAACUGCUUUGACCCGAUGGAAAUGCUCUAUUUGGCUUUUUUCUGAACUUGGGGCGAGUGGUGGAUGGGAAGAGUGAGAAACUUAGAGGCCAUGAGUCAAAUUGAACACAACUAAGGAACCGAGGGCAGAUUAGUUGAAAUCCCUAAGUUUAAUUCCCUAAAGUCAAUUAUCGCUCCAAAAUAUUUACUAGGUUCAGUUUGGUUCACUAAGUCAUAUUGCAAAAGUCUAUUCAAUUUAAACCUAAGAUUUUAAAGUUGUAAACAAUCAUGUUUGAAUUUAAUUCAAAUUAAUUAAAUUCCCUAAAGUCAAUAAUAAUUCCCAAAACAUUUGCUAAAGUUCAUUUUAAGCUUCUGAACUUAGUUGCAACUUAAUUAUCCUAAUAAACUCUUUAGGUUCAAAUAUUGUUUGAAUUAUAACUUCUGCUAAAAUAUAUUCAAUUUCAGUAUUAUAUUAUUUUAAAAUUGAAGCACAUUAGUUAUGUUCAAAAUAUAUUUCACUAGGUUCAUUGUGCAAAAAUAAUCAUUUCAUUUGGAUUUAUAAAUUGCAAGUUAUGCCCUAUUCAAAUUUGAAUUCAUUCUACUUGAAUUUGAAUUUAAACUAUUCAAUAGUUCAAUAUUAUUGGACUAGGUGAAAGUGCAUUUCUUGAGGAUCAUUUUGCAAAAAGAAUUACUCAAUUUGGAUUUACAGAUAAAAAGUUGUGAGUGUUUGCAGUUGCACGGGGUUUUUUGUAAAUCUGCCAUUUAGUUCAAUUAAACAAAAAAUCGAGUGGAUAAUGUUUUGGACCAGGUGGGUGACGUGGAAUUUUCCUAUUGGUUGAUACCGAUUCAGUUUAAGUGGACUGAUGGGGUGCGUGCGAUCUAGAUCUAACGGUUCGAAUUAGAUCUAGGGAUGAGGGUUUCGGUGGCUCACCGCAAUCUCGCCGGAGAGUCGGCGAAAAACACACACACAGUGGUGCUGCGCUCGGGAGUUGUCGGAGAUAGAGUUCCAGGGGGUUUCAGGGGCAGCAAAGAGCAUAGAUGGGCUCAGCGUGGCUCGUGGAGGUCGAAGGUGGCGUCGGCUGGCCUCGAGGGUGAUGGAGACGAAUAGUGCAAGCUCACCGAAGUUUAGUUGCAAUGACAGGGCUUCGGGUGAUGAAGCAGUGCUCGAAAUCGAGUGCCUAUGGAUGAACAAAAUGGAUCAGAAGACGCACGUAUUCAAGGGGAACACAAGGGACAAGUAUCAUGGGGCAAGCCACUCACAGUGAUCACCGGAGUCGAGCUCACAAUGGCGGCGAGGCUCGGACUUCGUCGAAGUCGGGCGUGAGGAAGCUCAUGUCAUCGCGAAGAUGUCCAGGGGUGCACCGUGGUGCAGGGAAUCGAGUGGUGGCUCUGGUUGGCCUCGGGGUGACUGUACUCACUGGAAUCGACGCUGGAGUUUCUAAGUCAGUGGCCUUUCUCGGGGGUUCACAGGCAAGGAGCCUAAUGGCGAUGUGAGGGUGCAGCAGAGGGGAAAUGGAGAGGGCUCUAGGGCUAUUUAAUGGACAUGGAGGCAGGAGCUGCCGUGGACUGUGGGCACAUGAGGUGGAGAUCAUGGCCGACGUGUACGCGUGGGGCAGUUCGAGGUUAGGGACGACCCUGACCAGUGGGCCCUGCUGCUCAGCGGCUCAUGGGAGGGAGGGAGAGAGAGAGAGAGAGAGAGAGAGAGAGAGAGAGAGAGAGAGGGUGCGUGUGGGGCUUGGCUGCGGCUACCUUAGUUGGGUCGGCCUAGCUAGCUGGCUCGGCUAGGCCUUUUUCUUUUUAUUUCCUUUUCCUUUUUUUGUUUUUUUGUUUUGUCUUUGCCUUUUCAUUUGAAUUUGAAUUUGAUUUUUCAUCCCAAAUUAAAAUUUCUCUAAAUUCAAAUAUGAAUAUUUGUGAGUGUGCCAACACUUUAUUUGGCUCUUCUGAGCAUAUGUUUUCUGCACUCUAUUUUCCAUCUUGAAUUUCAAUUUGGAAAAUAUGUUUGAAAUCCAAUUUGGAAAAUUUGGCAGAAGGUCAAGAAUAUUAUUUGGACAUAUGGCGUUCCCUUUCUUGCCAAAUAAAUUCAAAUCCCCUUUUUUAUAAAAAAAACCCCAUUUGAUUUUUUAAUUGAUUCCAAUCAAUCAAUCAUUUAGGGAUAUUUAUUAGGGCUUGAAUAUCAUCUAGGUCUUACUAAGGAUAACCUUAUGCCCAAUUUUUUUUAAUUUUCAACCUAUUUUGGGAUUCCAAUUUAUUCCCUAAACCAUGUAGGGUUAAUUCUGUUUCUCCCAAAUUUCAAACAAGGGUUUCAAUGUGGCCAUAUGUUUCUUGACCGUCUAGGUGAAUUAAAAAAACAAGUCAACCAUAAAAAAAAUCAAACAACUCAACUAUCAAGAAAAAAUGCAAUUCCCUCUGCAAAAUUUAACAUACCAGAUUUGGGGAAAAUCUAGGAUGUGACACUUCGGAAAUUAUAUUGGAUGAACUUUUCCUUACAAAUCUCCUAGCCUGAUGCAAUGAUGUCGCAUUGAUCACACACAUGGACAAUAUAGCAUGAUCUGACAUAGAGCAUCCGCAUUGUUUCCUUUUAGGUGAGAUGCAUUGAUAGAAAUAUGUUAAGAAAUUAAGGGGGGAGAUGAUCUGGGGGUGUGGGUGGGCUAGGGUCGACAGUUUCACUAUUUUAGGGAACCGCACCCCUUUUCCCCAUUAAAACCACGCUUGUCGGGGACUACAUUUACACCACACACACACACUCUCGCUCCUCUUUCCCACACCAGAUCUCCUCACCCUCGAGUUUUCCGCCGGUUUGGCUCGCCGCUGCAGCGCCUUCGUCCGAAUCCAUCCACUCCCGCACUCAUACGAGGUACUAAUCAUGGUUCCACCCACUCUUCUCCUGGUCGUCGCAAUCUUUGACGUGUUUGAUGUGCGUUGUUUUUACGACAGAUUUUUUGCGAAAUCGUGCGGAGUGGAUCUGGGAUAGAAGUGGUUUUAAGGGAGAAUACAAGUUCACUUUCUGUUAGGUGGGGAGGAGCACUUUAAUUUUUGUUAUUAUGAUUCACCGAUUUCAUCUAUAUGCUCGUUGCGACAAGGAUUUUGGGGGAUAGGGUUUGGUCAGGGAGGGGCGGGGUGGAGUGGGAGGAUGCGGGAUCUAACAUGCUUGAUGAAAUUGUUGUCGAUUGGGAAGCAGAGUGGCUCAGUCUUCAGGUUCUAGUCUUGUAAAGAUGUGAUUGUGAAUUAGUAGAGUUAGGGGAAUAAGAGACAGGAGAUGAUGCAUGUUUGUGUGGUGGUUGGGGGAAGUGCUUGGGCGGGCGGACAUGCAUCUUGGUAUCAUCUACCCAUGANNNNNNNNNNNNNNNNNNNNNNNNNNNNNNNNNNNNNNNNNNNNNNNNNNNNNNNNNNNNNNNNNNNNNNNNNNNNNNNNNNNNNNNNNNNNNNNNNNNNNNNNNNNNNNNNNNNNNNNNNNNNNNNNNNNNNNNNNNNNNNNNNNNNNNNNNNNNNNNNNNNNNNNNNNNNNNNNNNNNNNNNNNNNNNNNNNNNNNNNNNNNNNNNNNNNNNNNNNNNNNNNNNNNNNNNNNNNNNNNNNNNNNNNNNNNNNNNNNNNNNNNNNNNNNNNNNNNNNNNNNNNNNNNNNNNNNNNNNNNNNNNNNNNNNNNNNNNNNNNNNNNNNNNNNNNNNNNNNNNNNNNNNNNNNNNNNNNNNNNNNNNNNNNNNNNNNNNNNNNNNNNNNNNNNNNNNNNNNNNNNNNNNNNNNNNNNNNNNNNNNNNNNNNNNNNNNNNNNNNNNNNNNGUUAUUAUGAUUCAUCAAUUUCAUCUAUGUGCCCGCCACGACAAGGAUUUUGGGGGAUAGGGUUUGGUCGAGGAGGGGUGGGGUGGGGUGGGGUGGGAGGAUGCAGGAUCUAACCCCACAUGAUGAAAUUGUUGUCGAUUGGGAAGCGAUGUGGCUUAGACUUCAGGAUCUAGUCUUGUAAAGAUUUGUUUGCGAAUUAGUAGAGUUAGGGAAACAUGAGACACGAGAUGAUGCAUGUGUGUGCGGUGGUUGGAGGAAGUGCUUGGGCGGGCAGAAAUGCAUCUUGGUAUCAUCUAACCAUGGUUUCUAUCUGGACCCGCCCUGCUUGAUGACUUCCUAUGAUUUUCUAAUCCUUCAAGUUUUUUUGUAUUUUCCUCUCCUUGAAGGGACAUAUAUAUGGUUUACAAGUUUUUUGAUCUCACAUGAAUGUUUCCUACUAACAUUGUCACAGGCAGCGAUAGUUGAUGGAAUAAAAAGACGGCUGAUUCUCAUCCACAUAGACCAACAUCAAACCAAUGGUAAUUAGUCGAUGCACACAACUACUUCAUUUGCAUGCUUUAUUCACAUGUCAUUGGCAACUAUGUGACAUUAAAUUAAUUUCUAGUCCGCUUAUGUGUGUCCUAUUUUACAUAGAUUCCAUGGCAAUCUCCCUAGUACACCCCAACAAUUUUUAUUUUCUCCUGAUUUUGUGACUACGCAUCAUAUAUGACAAGUUUUUUGAUCCACAUAUGGAUUUCGUGUUACCUAUGAGACACAUUUCACUUUUUUUGUGGUAAUUUUUUGGUAUGAAACACAAUGUCAUUCUCUACAUAAUCAUGCAUAGCAACUUCUUCCUGAAUUUUUUGGUCAGAAAAUUAAUAUCUCUCAAAUUUUUUGUAGUGUCCUUAUAUGGUAUUUUCUUCACAUUCUCCCCAUGUGUGCAUAUUGUACAUUCAUCUCGCGGCACCCCUUUGCAAAGGGGUGGUGCUUUUCUUUCUCUUGAGGUGUGGAUACACAUUGACAAACUUUGUUGUUCAUGAAUGGAUUUACAUCUUUGUUUGGUGGGUGGCAAGUUUGUUUACUUAACACUAUAGGGCCAAGCUCCACCGCCAAACUUUUCUUUCACGCCCCAUGAUUUUGCUGAUUUUUCACGGAUACCCUCUCUACUUUUGCACUUUCUUUCUCAUUUGCAGCUACUUCAUGUCGAAAACUUAGACAUUGAACAUCAAUGACUUGAAAUAAAUAUAUCUCAUGAACCUUUCAUUGUAUCCACAUGAAAAAACAAGCUCAUUUAUCAGAUGAUAAAGGCAGACACGGAGGUUGAUGGCUCUUUCAACAAUAUGCACGUACUUCAUGGAAAUCGUUACACAAUUAACAUGUCAACUUAUACUUAUAUUAUAGUAGUUCAUGCUCACAUGUCAUGGCAACUUUAGUAGGGCCAAGUACUGGUAGUAUCAACUUUUUUUGCCCAAGUCACAUGGGUUGCUUCAUGAUAGGGUUUUCUAGGGGUGCACUCCAUGUUAACUGUAUUUUUUUGCAAUUUAGAUGGCAUCUUUCUAUUGUUUCUCUAUGCAAACAAUUUUUUCCUCAUCUUCACCAUUUUCACUAUUGGUCUAUGAAUGCCAGUGAACUACAUCUUCUUCUUGGGCAUAAACUACAUCUUCUUCUGGGGCAUAUAUGGAUUUAAGAUAUGGAAUGAUCUCAAUACAACUCCUACUAGUUCUACCAAGGUACAUUAUUGGGUCUUAUGUUCUUAUCCAUUUCCUCUAAGUGCACCAUUCGACUAUGUGCCAUUUUGGAGUAUGACCUUGCCUGUUUUCUUUCCCAUCCUGGUAUUUGUGUUUUUGGAUAUUGUUUGCACAACUGCGAAAAUAACCACGACACAUGGGAACUCCCACACACGUCAUAUGGUAGUUUUAUUUAGCAAAACAUGGCAAAUUAUCCUAGCACAUGCAUUACUGAUUGUUGUUAGAAUGGAGGGAAACCUAAUUGGCUUAUGUUGAUGGCAAUCUGACACAUACUUAUAUGCUAACAUUAGACCACAAAACACAUGUCAACUUUUAGGUAAUUAUAUGUCAACACUAGGUAUUAACACAUGACAAUCAUUUGUUUCCUGGGCUCUCGAGGGAAAUUACAGGGGGUGAAAACUUAUCACAUGUGAAUGGAAACACUAGACCAUGAUACAUAGCAGUCUUUUCCAUACAUUUUUCAUUUGACCCCAUGUUUUUAUAUGGAGGGUAAUUAUAGGGAGGGUGGAAAAUUACCAUAACCUUAGAUGACAACUCCAAAGCACAAGCCAUAACAAUUUUCAUACAACAUUCAUGUUUCUUUUUUUACUUUGGAGGUAGUGGGAGGGGGGUUGGUGUUGAUGGAUAGUUGUAUCCCUGUGUCGCAUGUACCGCACGGGACAUAUAUGCAUAGGGACGUGUGGGUUCAAGGGACCCAUACAUGGGAGACCAACUUAAUGGAAGGUGCCUCCCCUAGAAGUCAAGGCCUUUCAAAACUAGGGAGGAGUCCAAUUCUUGGGGACCAACAUAACUGUUGGGGGUGGGGGAGGGCACCGCCACAUUUCACAUGUACAAGGUCGUCCAACACCACACAGAAGGACCAAGAUCUACACACAUUGCAAUCUGCCCAUAGAAGCCACAUCAAUCCAUGACAUCCUAUCUAGAUCAACCCCUAGAACUCGACGAGUUGCCUCCCAACUUUCCAAAACCCUCUCUUAAAUCUCCGUUGUACUCUAUAUCAAGAUUAACCCCAUAUAAGCAUGAGUAGAGCUAUUAACCCCCCAGGGCAAGGGGGUUCACUCAAAUAACAUGUGUGUCAUGUACCGCUAAGAGGCACCAGGAGAAAUUAUCCUCGAAUAUUACAUGUACCCUCUUCUAUUUUCUCUACAAGGAUCUCCCUAUGGUGUCAGGGGGAGGUUGUGGGUUGUACAAAGGAGAGGGGAUCAUGUGGAGUGGGGCGGGGGAUUAUGGGGGAAAACGAUGUUGCUUAUAAGAUGGGGUAUUAGGAGAAGCUAUGGUGAUCUAUCAAUACGUGAACCCGCAACACGUCGGAUCAGGGAGGGAGAGUGGGGUGGUGGUGUUUGGGGUGUUCUUCUGAAGGAGGAAGAAACUCGUCAUGGAGUCAGGAUGAACCUAGAGCCGGAUUUAGAUCUAGUGGCCCCGCGCUCACGCUUGCAGGUUGAAGAGUCUAGUCACACGACUUCUCUAUUGCCUGCUCAUGGCGUAGCUCGUGGCUUGUUCUAGUGUGAAUCAUUUCUGUCGCGCGUCGUUGCGCCAUGGGGACAACUAACCUACGUUUGUGCCAUGUUUGCGUCCAAUAACAUACCCGCUUGAAACAGAGCAACGAAAAUCACAGGAUUUUGUUGCCAUUUAAUCUGUUGAAUAAGAAAUGUUGUUCAAUUUGAGUUCUAACGUAAAACAUAGGAAUGCUAAAAGAUUACCAUUGGAUACCAUAUAAUGAAAUAUACAUGAAUUCAAGACACAAGGAAGAAAAACAUAAGGUAAGACCACAUGCUUGAUUUCCAGCAAAGUCCCUAGGGAUUGUCCAAUUCAUAAAAAAUCUGGUGAAGCAUUUCUUUAUUCCAAAAUAUACCAUAGGAACUAUUUAUAUAGGUAUUUAGUUCUCCAAAUUCCUAACUUUUUCGCUUUUUACCAAACGAGGCCUAGAAGUAGGAUAAAAAAACAUUUUAACUGCUUACAAAAGGCGGUAUUACAUUCAUUUCAUGAAUAUCCAUCAUCAUAAAAAUGUGCAUAUAUAUAUUUUUUGCGAAAUAGCACACAUGUAAGUAGCACAUGUCCCUACAAAAGCAUCCUUAGAGAAAAAAAUAAAUUCUUAAGGACGUCGAAGUCUUGUUUCUCAUGCAUCCAUCGACGGCGCGCCAUGAAAAAGAUCUUGUUGCCAGCUCUGGGCCUCCAUCUCACUGGAGCCAACUCGUUAAAACUCAUGACCUUAUAAAAGAAGUGACCGAGAAAUCGUCGAUGUAGACUAGAAGACGUCUACGACCACAAUCCGGGUAGAAAAUUGCCGCACCGAAGAAGAGAACACCAAAGAGGACCCGUAGAACGUCCCAUGUUCGACCAGAGUUGGGGAACACAAACCUCACAUGCUCCCCGACUACGUCAAGACUGGACAACAUCAUCGGCCAGAGCUAAUGCCGGAGAACUAAGAUGUAUAACCACAUUAUCGGCUUCAUAGGACAAACGCCACCAAGAAAAUUUGCAAAAGAAAAAGGCACAUCACGAGAACUAGAUAUCGGCACACACGAUCCUAAUUAAGCACAUUGGGAUUCCAUGAACUUCCAGCUAGCCAGCAUGCUGUAGGACAUUAUUCCUAAAUUGAAACGGGCCGACGCCUCGCCGCCACAAACCAUGAGACUUGCUAAAGAAAACCGGAGACAAAUUGCCCAUGCCGCUGCAUGCCGGAUUUGGGCCUGAUGUCGAGCUCAUUGUCACCCAGGACCAUGCACCGACGCCCUCUUCUCUGAUGAGCCAGCCAGGUUAGUCCACUGUUUAAGAUCGCAACGCUGGAUCACCAACGCCGCCGUCGAGCAUCGUUCGUCGAAGACCGCACCUCGGCCACUCAUCUCCGUCCUUGACCCACAACAACCCAUCAACUCUGCCCUAUCAGGCCCCUACAAUGAGCAACAUUCCCGCUACUACCAACGCUGCAUGGACGAUGCAUCAUGAUAGCGGCGAGAGACAGAGAAGACAAGUGACGGCUAGGGGUUCAAACCUCCGCCUUGACCCUCUCCUACUAAGGGCAUCUCCAAUACUGACCCUCAGACCAUGCGAUCCGGACGUGUUGUGCCAUCCAACGCGGGCCUGUAUCGGUCCACCACGCGGUCUGGACUUAUUUUUCCCCAUAAAUCGGAGACAAACUAGGGGGGUGGGCUUUGUGGGCGUCUGGACCACUGCCACGUCCGUUCCAAACCGCUCUAACCACCUCUCCCCCGCUUUUCAUCGAAUGCUCGCGCCGCAUUCAUGCCGGCCCAGAGCAUGUAGCGGCCGACAUUGAUGCCCACGAUUUGACCGGAUGGGAAGGCGGCGCUGACGGUCGUGACCUCUCGGGGUUGCCGCUUCAAUGCGGACGCCGCGUCCCGAGAUACCAACUCCGGCCGCUGCAUUGCAUUGAAGCGGGAUGACCGCCCCUUCGCCUGGCCUGGCCGUGACUUUUUAAGCCGUUCGCCGGUGACGCAUAGAGACACAUUCCUCACUCCGACAGGCCGCGACCUCCACAUCGACGACCGUGUGAAGAAGGAGCCGACGUCCCCCCAGCACCUCCUCCGUGUGAAGGAUGAGCCGGUGUCGCCCCUGCCGCACAGCCGCUAUGCACGAGUCGACGGGCCCUCCUCGCGACCAUGACGCCACUGUCGCCCGAUAAAGGAGGAGCUGUCAGCCGUGCUCACAAAGGCACAUGGCCGCAUCCUGCACUACCUUGGAGGAGGCAGUUCCGGCAGUGCCUACGGCUCUCGGGCCAUGGUAUCCGAGGAGGAGCACGUGGCGAGGUAGCAAGCGAGGUGCGACCGGUGCAAUGCCGGUCGCCACUUCGCGUUCGCCGGUACGGACAUGACGACGAAAUGGGUCUGCAACGACUCGGACCUCGCCGCCGUGUGGGCACUCGACCGCUUUGUCACAAUCGGGGAGGCGACCACCAGGCGGCGCUGCCGCCUUGACGAGUGGUCACUUAGCGACAGCUCUGCCAACGCCGACAGGGGCAAGGCUGGUGCCAGGGCUCUACCGAUAUAGUCGGCAGUGGCCAAGGCGGCCCUCCGCACCGGGAAAGAGGAGGCGAAGCGGUUCCUCCGCGAGCGGCAGGCAGCCGCUGGACAAGGCUGUCGCGGCCCUCAGGCAUCCUUGCGUCGCUGGAGGGACGAUGACGGCGGUGGCGGCACGGGCGACAACGCCAUGCGGUAAGAUAGGGCGGCCACGCUUACGAGGUGGUCGUCCGAUAUAGGAUUUAGUUUUUUUUCAGUUUUUAGUAAAAGCGGUCAAAAAUUCAUCUGUUUAAAUAUAUUACAUUCAAACUUGAAUGAAAUCCGUCUGGUUUACAUGAAUCUCGUCCGUUUAAUUUCAAAAAUUAUUGAAAUGUAUGCGGUCAAUGUUGGAUGGCGGCCACCGACAUCAGUGUCCAUGGAUAAGGGGUCUCGCUGUCAUCGGACAGAUGCGGUAGAAAAUUUACGGAUCGGCCUUGAAGAUGCGUAAGCGUUUUUCUUUUUCUGUAGAAGAAGAUUGGUACGGCCGGCUCCGCGUGCCUUGUCUGUGGACACAAGUGCACUGUUAAACAGUCGCAGAUUUGCCACAGAGAACCGGCGACUGCGGGCAGGAGGUCAUAUCUCCUUCGAGGCACGUACCCUGCACGCGUCGACUUAUCCUCACCUGAACGCCCGGUCCUAUCUCGUCUUCUCUAAUCUCUGCGGCGACACAGCUGACAUGCAUGACAUGUCCCUUUUCGUGAGCAGAUGUGUUAGCCAACUCUUUGAUCGUGUGGAACGAGAACCGGCCACGCCAGUACGUAGUACAUCAGCCGCAGAAAGCGAGUCGCAAGGUGCCGAACUGCCGAUAGCUUUUGCCAUUCUGUAGCUAAUCCACAUCUCUGCACCAAAGAUUUCCCAAAGUUCCCCUGUUCCAACAAGCUUCAGCCCAAAGGUUGAGGCUGUAGGCGGCAGGUGCGUCGUAUAAAUACUCUAGCAUCAAGUAGAUUCUGCAUGGACCUCCAGCUUUGGGCGCGCGUACUGGUGCCGCUCCGCAGCUGGCCAGCACGUAUGUACGGUGACCAAAAGGGCGACGGGAUAGGGAGGCAGCUGCGACUGUGUGGGCAGAAGAGCUGACAAAACCCGGGGCGGAAGUAAGCAAGCAACAUGCAGGGGCACAGCUAGCUCGCUCGUAGCUACCCAUUCCGUUCCCCUACUAGCCUCGGAACUCGGAGCCCGUCUGGGAAGAAUAGCGAUGGCUCUGGAAAGCCCAACGUGCCGACGCGCCCGACACAGCCAACGGCACCAUUUCCUUUCCUCACGUACGCACAUGCGUCUCCCCCUCUCUCUCCAGUUAGUAAGGAGGGAUGCUGCCUCCCGUUUCGCCACAGCUCCCUCCCCCCACGCAACUCUACUAUAAAAGUUUCAGCUGCAGGCGGUGGUGUCCGAAGCUGAUCUGCGCAGCGGUGCUGCCGCUCGCGGCCGGCGCGCGGCCGGCUCUCCGCCGCUGGAGCGGGAGCAGGAGGUACGUGCGUACUCAGGCGGGCCGCGCGCUCGUCGCUCUCGUUUCAUUCGGAGCCGUCAACUUUGCUCUCGUUCCACCAUGCCAUCUCUAGCGAUCGUAGCGGCUUCGGCAACUUAGCGCCUUUGUUUCACCGCCGUUUUAUGUUCGGGGUCGGAACGGCGGGGGAAUUCUUGGUGCCCGGCCGGGGGUGAUUCUUGUGUAGCACCAGCAGUAAAUAAAUCUUGAAUCGCCUUGGUUGCUGCUUGAGUGCUUAUUAUAUGCUGCGAGGAUCGGGUAUUCCGGUAGGCUACCUUCUCAUCAGCUGAAUCCUUCAAAAUCGUGCAACCACAAGCCAAUCUGAGCUUGCCUGCACGCGCUGUACUAGUCAUGGCAGUUUCGCUUGGGGUGGCCAUUGUUGGUGUGAUGUGAGCUGAGCCAUUCUUCUUCGUAUGUCCUCGAGAACCGUCAGGUUGCCGCUGAAAGCGAGCCCAUGUCUUUUUCUUCAGACAGCGAGAAGUCAUGUGUUAUCAUCUGUCGACUCUGUCUAAUUCUUCUUUUCCAUACCAUACCACCCUGUCUGAUUUUUCUUUUCCACACCAUCCUGGGGAGGAGGGCUCUAUCUGAUUGUGCUUUUCCAUGCCAUCAGAUCGACUCUUGUCUGAUUAAUAUCUGUCUUCCAUUUGAGUAAAGUCUGGUUAGUAUCUGUCAGUAUGACAUUUUGGUAGUGUUCAAAAAAAAGUAUGACAUUUUUGUAUGUUUUUUUGAGUCUGUAUGACAUUUUUGUAGAACACGGAAGAGUCAGUAUGAGAUUAGUAUAUAUUGGUGUAUCUGUGGGCUUCUAACAGGCCCACUAGUGCACGACAAAUUCUGGGCCUAGAUUCCCUCUAGAUGGUCCAGGCCCAAAAAUAAAAGGUAGACAUGCAUUUUCACAUGCAUGCCUGACUUUUCUCAGAAAAAAAAAGAUGCAUAACUGACUUUUUUUUUGCGUGUAGACUGACUUUACCUUUUUGUCACCUAUCUAUUUUUCCAUUUUUGAUGACACCACCUUUUGUCACCUCCCUGAAUUGAAGAGCACCGUGCCGUAAGACUCCUUGUACUAAUCCAACCCCCGAAUUAGAAACGGCGAUCUUGGCAGCAGUAGGCAGUAGCAAAGGCCACACACGGUUUACUCGUAUCCUUGUCUCUCACGCUAACGUUCGUAAUGCUCAGUCGUCGGGCAGUGAGGCGUCUCAGCGGCGGCCGUCGUCGGCUAGCUAUUGAACAAACUAGCACGCCCCUCGGGUUCGUUUCGUAUACCAGGUGUAACUCGCGGCCAUGUUUGGCGCUUUGGCAGUACCCUAUCUGUCCAGUACGAGACGAAUUCUAUCUACUGUAUCUAUCUAUAUCUAUAGCUCACCUUUUUCAUCAAUAGCGUGAAUUUAAUUGCUAUCUAGUGCUUUAAUUGAUGCUUAUCUCUCGCAUGCUGCAGGCUAUAAAUAGAGGGCGCAAUGCACAAGGCUGAACCACACACACCACAACCCACAAACAAGAGAGUACGUAGAGCAAGAGCACAGUGGCAAGGAGAGAUCGGAUGGCGUCGGAGAUGAGCAAGGACGUGAAGUUCUCCGAGGAAGAAGUCACCUCACACCCGCGCGUUCUCGAAGGUGAGGAGCAGCCGGUGGUUGCGCCAGCGCGGCAGUCUUCCAUCUUCGCGCUGACGCUGGACGAGCUGCAAUACUCGGUGUGCGAGGCGGGGCGCAACUUCGGGUCCAUGAACAUGGACGAAUUCAUGAGCAACAUAUGGAAUGCUGAGGAGUUCCAAGCGGCGACUGGCGGUGGCUUGGUGGGCAUGGAGAUGGCUCCUGUGGUGGGUGCUGGUGGAGGCAGAGGUGGCGGAGAUGCAGGAGGAAGCAACCUAGCCCGUCAGGAGUCGUUCUCUUUGCCUCCCCCGAUGUGCCAAAAGACGGUGGAGGAGGUGUGGGAUGAGAUCAACAGGGAGCCCCGCCCGGUGCAUGUCCAGCCUCAGGCCGCGCAACCCUCACAGCAGCCUCCUGUCCAGCCAUCGGUUGCGACCAACGACCGGCAGGGGACCCUAGGCGAGAUGACGCUGGAGCAGUUCCUUGUCAAGGCCGGCGUGGUCCGGGGAUCGGGUGCCGGCGGCCAGGCACCUGUGCCGGUCGACAUGGUCCAUGCACAGAUGAACCCCGCGCAACAGGGGCAACAACCUGGCCCAAUGAUGUACCCAAUGGCACCAGCCAAUGGCAUGUUCCCGGUGAUGGGAUACGUCAAGGAGUUCAUCCCCAAUGGGUACGCAAGGAUUGUUGUGGUGCCGCCACCACCACCUCCUCAAGGUGGGGUGGGUAUCAUGAGCCCCGGGUCGUCAGACGGGAGGAGCGCCAUGACGCAGGCUGACAUGAUGAACUGCAUGGGCGAUGGAACGAUGAUGGAGAGUGGCGGCACCUGGAAACGCGGUGCCCCAGAGGAUCAGUCUUGCGAGAGAAGCAUCGAGCGCCGCCACCGCCGCAUGAUCAAGAACCGUGAGUCAGCCGCACGAUCGCGUGCUAGGAAGCAGGUACUUACCUUGCUGCCAAAAUUGUUGGUUUUUAUGCAAUGCCAUUUCUGUAAUGGUGGUAACAAUGUUGGUGACACUUACACUACAUGUCUUUCUAAAUCCUAUAGGCUUAUACCGUGGAGCUUGAAGCUGAACUGAACCACCUCAAGGAGGAGAACGCUCGUCUGAAAGCUGAGGAGGUACGGAGCUGCUGACCAGUGAAAACCAUGAGAAAAUUCAGUUUUCAUAUGCUUUUUAGUUCUUACCGUUACUAAACUGUUUCAUUGUUUUGUUGCAGAAGACAAUUCUGCUGACCAAGAAACAAAUGGUAUGUAUAUUUUACUACCAUCACCUGGCAAUCCUCCUACACUCGCAACCACCUACCAAUUGCUUGUAACAAUCCACUGUAAUUGCCAAGUCUUAAAAUAGUCAAUGUGUGCAUACUGAUGGAAACACCUUGUGGCGGUGAUCUUUUUUUACAGUUGGUUGAGAAGAUGAUAGAACAGUCCAAGGAGAACGUGAACGCCAAGAAGGGUGGCACCCUCUCGCGGCGCUGUGGCAGCUGCAUCUGGUGAAAGGUGACCUGCCAUCCAUCCAUAGCCGUGCUCGCAGGAGGAUGAGGAGGAAUUGUGGUGUUUAUAGCAGUAACAUUUUCUUUCCCGAGCGGGGUCGUAUAGUAAUUUACUAGUAGUACCUAAAACCAUAAGGACCCGAAUGUCAGUGUUUAUCUGGUCAAGCAAGUGAACUUCUGUUGUUGUUACUGUUUAUAGGUAUAUGGAUUUGUCAGAAAGAAAAUUAGCAAUAUGUUGAUGUGUACUUGCUCUUUAACAUGAUGUGAUGCAACACAUGUGGUCCAUUUUUGGUGUGUGUGUGUGUGUGUUGGGGGGGGAGUCUUUGCCUUUGCUCACGGGUUAGAGUUCAAUCACGUGGACGCACCUUACUGCGUCGGUGAAUUUUGACCCAUUCAAAUAACUUUAAAAUCCAAUGAAAUUUGAGCUAUUCAAACACGGGAUCCCGUGAGCCUUGACAGGUGGUCACCCAUCGUCAUGCUUGGGUAGUCGAUUCCCUUUCCCCUCCUCCACGGCUCGCUACUUGAGGGUCCGGUUAGCUUUCAGUUGCGCUCCCUGGUUGGCCAACCAUGACGGAUAUCAUCAACCUUUAUGUUAUUACGGUUGUGUGUAUCGGAGGCGAGGGGUGAUCCUCUUGCCAAUUGCUUGCAAGAACCUAAUUGCCAAGUCUUAAAACAGUUAAUGUGUGUGUGUGUGUGUGCUGAUGGUAACACCCGGUGGGUCGUGAUUAUUUUUAUAGCUGAUGAAGAAGAUGGAACAGUCAAAGGAGAACGUUAACGCCAAGAAGGGUGAUGCCCUAUCACGGCGUUACGGUAGCUGCAUCUGAUGAACGAUGACCCGCCAUUCAACUUCCAUAGCCGUGCUGGUAGGAGGAGGAGGACUGUGUGUUUGAUGCAACUUCAGCAGCGACAAUUGUGGCGUUGAUAGUAUUUACCUUUUCUACUCAAAGCGGGAUGAUAUAUUAAUUUACUAGUGGUAACUAAAAUCCACAAGGACCCAUAUAUCAGUGUUUAUCUGGUCAAGCAAGUAAACUUGUGUUGUUGUUGCUGUUUAUAGGUGAUGAUGGGUUUGUCAGAAACUUCAGACAAAUGGAACAAAAGAAAAUUAACAAUAUAUUGAUGUGUACUCCGAAACUCUCCUUCUACUUCUGAGAUCAAUUGAGUUCAUAAUGAAUAUUAAGUUCAAAAAAAGAAAAAUAAAACUUCCAUAAUUUUUGAAUUUUUUUGGGUGUAAAAUUUGACAAAUGUUCUCGGUGCUUGCAAAUUUCAUCCCGAAAUAUCAUUCGUGGAAGUCAUAAAAAAAACAGCACUCCAAAAUGCUUUCAAAAAUAGCAUUUAUGGAGUGUCGACUUUUGCUUUUUCACCAUGACUUCCAAGAAUGUUAUUUCGGGAUAAAAUUUGCAAGCUUUGAGAACAUUUUCAAAGUUUGCAUCAAAAAAUUCAGGAUUUUUUUGAUUUUUUCACUUUUUUUAUAUUACUAUUCAUUAGAGAGCACAUGAGGUCGGGGGCAUACUCUGUGUCAUGUGUACUCACGCUUUAAUAUGAUGCAAUGCUAUGUGUGUGGUCCAUUUUCCGGUGUAUGCUGGAGUCUUUGCCUUUGCUAUCUUCUGAAGAAGUGGAGAUGACACAUGAGUUGAGUUUAUCCACGUAGGUGCACUUUGUCGCAUAAGUGAAAAUUGAGCCAUUCAAUAGUUAUUAAAUCCAAUGAAUUUUUAGCUAUUCAAAUUAGUGGUCAGACGAAAUUCCAUGAGAGUUGAUAGUAGUGAGCUUUUCUUUUGGGAGCGGCAUGGUAUAGUCAUUUACUAGUGGUACCUAAAACUCAUAAGGACCCAAAUGUCAGCGUUUAUCUAGUCAAGCAAGUGAACUUGUGUUGUUGUUACUAUUUAUAUAUAGGUGAUGAUGUGUUUUUCAGAAAUAUUAGACAAAUGGAACAAAAGAAAGUUAGCAAUAUGUUGAUGUGUACUCGCGCUUUAAUAUUGAUUUGAUGCUAUGUGUGUGUCUAUUUUGGAGGUGUGUGUGAGACUCUUCACCUUUUCUCUCUUCUCAAGAAAUGGAGACACAUGUAACGUCCCGGAUACAACUUUUCAUAUUCAUAACUCCGACUCUUGCCAUUUCCGGUGAUGUGAUUUAUUAUUUCCUCCGCGGUUGGGUUUUGUCUGCUGUUUUGCAUUUUGUUCUUGUUAUGCAUCUCAUCUCAUAGCAUCAUGCGCAUUGCAUCGGCAUCGUUUUCAUAAAACUUGCAUCCGUUCGGGUUCCGCCGGUUCUCUCCGUUGUCCGUUCAGAGUCCAGACACACUCGCACGCGCCCGCGGCACCUCCGAAAUAUUAUUUUAUAAGUGGCAUAAAAAUGUUCUCGGAAUGGGUUGCAACUUGUCUUGCGGUCUUAUUAUAGUGUAGACAGGUCGCCUGUCAAGUUUCGUCGCAUUCGGAGUCCGUUUGACUGCCCAACCGUUAUAUAUAUAACCGCGAUAUAGUCGGUUUAAUCGUCGGACGUUUCGGUCUCCGAAACUGUCACCGGGCCGCACCUCUUCUCUCUCCCUUCUCAGCCCAACCCCUCUACACAGCCCACUAACCUUCCCCGAACCCGACCCGGAUAGUCAUCGCCGAUGGUUCCGGAUCAUCCCCAAAUAUCCCGAAAGUAUCUUCGGUUUAUUAUUUGAUCCCUCUUAACCUUUGUAUCUUGACCGUCCGAUGCAAAUCAGAAGGCCCAAACCUAGACUCACUUUGCUAUAUAUAGAUCACCCCUAACCUAAUCUAGACACACCACCUAUUUUUCUAGGGAUCCUCCCCAGCCGCCGCCACUUCAUUUCCUCGGGAUCCCUCCCGAUCUAAAUCCUCCCCGACAGCCUCCCUCAUCUUGCGUGGUUGACCAAUCGGGUCGCCCGAGCCCCGAGCUCCUCCGCUAUUCGCUGCUCGAGAUCCUCGCCGCGCUAGUAUCCUCAGAGGCCCGAGCCUCCCCGUGCUCCUCGCCUCGCCGCAGGCAACCACCACCAUCAGAUGAGCCCCGUUGCGCCCUCUCCUUCCCCCGUUUUCUCCUCUCUGCAUCUCAUCUCUCUCUCUCGUUCUCUCUGUACCAGGGUCCAGCCGCCGUCCCGUCUGGCAGGACCUCGCCGUCCCGCGCUCAAGCUCUCCUCGUGCCCCAAGCCAUGGCGUCCGAGGCCUCCCUUGCCUCGCCUCAUCGGAGCCAGGGUCUCGAGGACCUUGCCGUUCUGGCCUCCUCCUCCGCGCCGGCGAGCGCGACUCCGGCAACCAUUGGUCCAGCAGCAGCAGGUCAUGCCGCCGGCCUCCUCCCUGCCUCGCCUGGUGCUCAAGCACCACCGCGCCGCCCUGCCUUCCCUUCCUUCCUCUCCCUUCUGCUCCUUCUCAUCUCUCUCUCUCUCUCUCUCUGUCUGCUCGUGCAGGGAGCCCGACUUGGUGUCCAUGGAGUUUUCAGGCAGCCAUAGCCGCCUCAAGCUCGUCCUUUGGCCAGAUCCGGGCCCUGCCAACCCCUCCAUCUCGCCUACGUCUACCGUCCCAGUCCGUUCCGACCGGUCCCCGCCGAGGCCGCCUCGCCAGAGCUCCUGCCGCGUCGCGCUGCAGCCGUUGACCGCAUCCCUCUGCUUCGUCAGAACAGGAGCGCCAGCCUCCAGCAGCCUCCAAAUCGGGCCCGAGCCAAGGCCUAGCUCGCUCGUGCCGCCCCUCAGCCUGCUGCCUUCACCGAACCGGGCCGAAGCUCACCGCGCGAGGCCUCCUCUGCUUCGCUUGCAGCCCAGCUGCCUAGCGGCCUCCAAGGCCUGCCUUGGCCUCUCUUCCGACCGGGCCAAGGCCCAUGGUGAGAUGCCUCCCCCAGCACCUCUCUGUUGGCCUAGUCCGCCCAGAUUCGGCCCAUGUUGUUUUUUUUCAUAUGCUGCGAUUUUAGCUAAUUUCCAGGGACUGCAGUUUUGCAGAAAACCCCCUGUUCUUCAUGCUUUUAAUAACUAAUAAACCGUGCAUCGGAUUAAAAUGUUUUAUAUAUGUAAAAUGCUCAAAAAAUUGUGUAGAUUAAUAAUAUGCCAUUUUCAUCCAUGUUUAAAAUUUUUAAACUUGCUGUUUAUUUAAUUUUGUAUAAAUGCCAUGCUAAAAUGAUAUAUUUCAUAACUAAAUAACCGUAGCUCCAUUUUAAAUAAACUUUAUAUGUAAAUGGGGUGGAAAAAUGCCUAGUUUAACAUGGUGCACUUUAUUUUCCUGUUUAACAACAUUAAAAUUGUGUUUAGGGCAGAACAGUACCGAAUCUAAAAUAUGCACAUGGGGAUUUUCCGGAAUUGUUGUUUGUUACUUCCGGCCUCAUUUAAACUUGCCUAGGUAGGUAGUUUUCUUAUGUUUCACCUCUUGCCAUCUUUAACAACAUUUAAUAUUGUUGGGUACAUAAACGGGAGAGAACUAAAUAAUUGAUGUGGUGUUUCGUCAAUAUGCAACUCGUUGCAUAUUGAGCUCCACUUAACUUGUAGUAUUGUUUGUUGCACUUUGCCAUGCCAUGCCUCAUUAAACCGUACAUGCAUCAUACUUGAUUGUGCAUCAUGCCAUGUUUAUGUUUGUGUGUUUGCCAUGUUGUUUGCUUCUUUCUAGUGUUGCUUCUUAGUUCCGGUAACGUUGCGUUCGUGAGGAUCCGUUCGGCUACUUCAGCUUGUCUUCUUCAUGGACUCGUUCUUCUUCCUAGCGGGAUUUCAGGCAAGAUGACCGCUACCCUGGAUCUCACUACUAUCAUUGCUAUGCUAGUUGCUUUGUUCUAUCGCUAUGUUGCGUUACCUAUCUGUUGCUCUUCAAGCCUCCCAAAUUUCCAUGAACCUCAAACCUUUGACACCCUUCCUAGCAAACCGUUGCUUGGCUAUGUUACAGCUUUUGCUCAGCCCCUCUUAUAGCAUUGCUAGUUGCAGGUGAAGUUGAAGAUUUCUCCAUGGUGGACAGGAUUUUGGUUGGGAUAUCACAACAUCUCUUAUAUUAUUUAAUGCAUCUAUAUAUUUGGUAAAGGGUGGAAGACUCGGCCUUAUGCCUGGUGUUUUGUUCCACUCUUGCCGCCCUAGUUUCUGUCAUACCGGUGUUAUGUUCCCGGAUUUUGCGUUCCUUACGCGGUCGGGUGAUUUAUGGGACCCCCUUGACAGUUCGCUUUGAAUAAAACUCCUCCAGCGAGGCCCAACAUUGGUUUUACCAUUUGCCUCACCUAGCCCUUUUUCCCUUGGGUUUCCGGAGCCCGAGGGUCAUCUUUAUUUUAGCCCCCCCGGGCCAGUGCUUGUCUAAGUGUUGGUCCAAACCGAGCGAUGUCCGGCGCCCCCUGGGCAACCAGGGUCUAUGCCAACCCGUCGUCUUGCUCAUCCGGUGUGCCCUGAGAACGAGAUAUGUGCAGCUCCUCUCGGGAUUUGUCGGCACAUCGGGCGGCUUUGCUGGUCUUGUUUUACCAUUAUCGAAAUGUCUUGUAAACCGGAUUCCGAGUCUGAUCGGGUCUUCCUGGGAGAAGGUCUAUUCCUUCGUUGAUCGCGAGAGCUUGUCAUGGGCUAAGUUGGGACACCCCUGCAGGGUAUAAUCUUUCGAAAGCCGUGCCUGCGGUUAUAGGCCGAUGGGAAUUUGUUAAUGUCCAGUUGUACAUAACUUGACACCAGAUCCGAAUUAAAACGCAUCAACCGUGUGUGUAGCCGUGAUGGUCUCUUCUCAGCGGAGUCCGGGAAGUGAACACAGUUUCUGGGUUAUGUUUGACGUAAGUAGGAGUUCAGGAUCACUUCUUGAUCAUUGCUAGUUGACGACCGUUCCUUUGCUUCUCUUCUCGCUCUUAUUUGCGUAUGUUAGCCACCAUAUAUGCUUAGUCGCUGCUGCAGCCUCACCACUUUACCCCUUCCUUUCCCUUUAAGCUUUGCUAGUCUUGAUACCCAUGGUAAUGGGAUUGCUGAGUCCUCGUGGCUCACAGAUUACUGCAACAACAGUUGCAGGUACAGGUUUUGCGAUGAUCAUGACGCGAGAGCGAUGCUUGCUUGCGUUGAGUUCUUCUUUUGCUUCUUCUUCGAUCAGGGGAUAGGUUCCAGGUCGGCAGCCUAGGCUAGCAGGGUGGAUGUCGUUUGAGUUUCUGUUUGUGAUUCAUCCGUAGACGGAUGAUGCUCUCAUAUUUUGUAAUGUUGUAUUCGUGUGGCAUUGUAUGCCUUAUGUAUGUAUCCCCAUCUAUUAUGUAAUGUUGAUGUAAUGAUAUCCACCUUGCAAAAGCGUUUCAAUAUGCGGGUCUAUCCUUGGUGGGACCUUUGAGUUCCUUUUGGAUAGGGUCGCAUAUUGGGCGUGACAAGUUGGUAAUCAGAGCCUCGACCGACCCUAGGAGCCCCCUUGUUUGUUGGCCGUUGUUGAGUCUAGAAGAAAACUAUUUUGAGUCUUAGGAUUAUAUAUAUCGGAGAGUAGGAUUCUUUUUACUCCUCAGCCCCUUCGUCGCUCUAGUGAGGUCUCCUGACGUAGAUAUUUUGUCUUUCCUCUCCUCAAAUUUCACUAAAAAAAAUUUAGGAUCACGCGGGUAUCUUGGAACGUUUCGAUGGUUUUGUGACGAGAACAUUGUUCUUGGUGCCUCCUGUCUAUUUAUGUGGCUUUGACCCGGGGAGUCGAGCUCUGGGUGUUGUCGUCACAAUUUUAUCGUUGCAGUUCUGGAAUACCUGAGUUUUGCCGACAUCGAAAAUCUCUUUUAUGCAGUUGUUGGUGAGAUAACCUCGAUAACCCAGUACUAGGGCGAGCUCGAGAGUAUUGCCAUAACUCGUAUAACGGAUGCUUUUUGAAGGUUGAGGUACACGAUUUCCGAAGGUUUCUUGGUUAUGUGUUGACGGAUGGAUACAGCUGGAUGUAGGUAUUGUUAGUUUGGGUGAGAUAUAUUGCUUCCCCUGUAUCCCCAACACCAGAUUGCAUAACCAGAAAGUUUCGGGAGUUUUAUAGGUGGGAAUUCAAGUAGCUCCUAGAAUAUCUUUCCGACAGAUGCAUGAUAUGGGAUUGGGUAAAUCUCUAUCAUAUGUAUUUGUUCCGGCUUAUUCUGCAAUCCAAUCCUUUGUUUUGUUUUAUUUGUGGUAUUCGAGUUGCUUCGAGUCAAAUGUUGAAUCCAUACCUUUCCUAAACGGUGUUCUCAUAUUGCUAUGUGAAUACUAAUACUUUUGAUCAUUUAGGUUGUCAUGUUAAUUCUUUUCCAACCGGGGCGCUUCUCUUCGAGAUGAUCCCAUCAUUCUCCCCAUCCGCAAGAUCAAUUAUAAGUUUUCUCAACGGUGUUUGUUUCAUCCGCCCCCAAGUUGUCUUUGUUUUUCCCCACCCUCCCACCCUUUUCUUCAAUGACUCAUAUAUUAUAAUCAAGUAUCCAUUUAUUCAUGUGAAGUCUCUUCACUCUUUUCAAUCAUUGUUUUGAUCCGGUGAUCCCUCGUGAAGAUGCUCACGAGCUUCAAGUUCAUCAAUCUUCAUUCUCGUAUUCCUCUCCGGUGGUUUUAAUUCAAUCUUUCGGUGUUGAUCAUAUCCCUUUCCUCGUUUCAAAUGUUUUUCCACAUCGGUGCACCUCUUAAUCAUUCACUUCUUCCUAUUCAUUUGUCCUGGAGUGCUGAAGAUAUUUCACAAGACUCGUGUUUUCCAUUCUCAAUCCGUUCAAGAUAUUUCGAGAUUAUUAUCUCAUUCAAGUCAUUGAAUUCAACCGGUGCAAUAUCUCUUUAAAUCAUUUCCAACGAUGGUUCUUUUGAGUGGGCCCUAACCCACAAGUUUUUUCCCAGGAUCUUACCUGACUCUUCUAAUUUUCUCGGAGCCAUUCUCAAAUUCAUUUCCAAGUUUGACGUAAGAAUAGAUUCCAUCAGUCACAUGCCUUCUCCAAGAUCGCUUUCAAAUUCUUAUCAUUGUUGACUCAACCCCUUCACUUUCCAUUCUACCGGAGUAUCUCAAUAAUUUUGGUGGUGUUUCCCGUUGUCAGUUCAAGAGUGAAGAAGAGUUUUCCUCUAAAUCUUAUCCGUUCUCUCAAGAUUCGUGAUUCUAGCUUGAUGCCAUCCUCUCAUAAUUGUUUUCGAUUGUGAGAAUUCUUUUCACCCAUCCGGAGCAUUUCUUGAGUUCUUUCCAUUUUAUUCCUACGAAGGCCAUCAUCUCAGAAUUCUUCAUUCUCAGCUUGUAGCUAUCGUUCUCCAAAUCUUACCGGUGAAUCGUUCAAAUACCCUCUAAUCAGUUGAUGAUCUCUUCAUUCUCACGUAUUUAAAUCCCUUCAAGUAUCUUCAUUCGUUUUCAAAUUCUUUCCAGUGAUUUGUGCCUUUGUUACUUUCAUUUUCAAUUCUUACGGUGGUUUGUUUAAGAUUUCUCUUCCUUCGUCAUCGUAUCAAUUCAUUCAUUCAUUCGUUCUUUUCAAUCCCACCGGUGGUUCCAUCAAUACCUUCUCAAGUUUGCGCUAUAUCUCUUUUAAUCCUUUCUACGGGAAUAAGUAGUAUGCCAAAUCCAUUGCUUGUCAUCAAUUUAAUUUGAUGAAGGAUAAGCAUACAAUAAAUCUUAUUCUUAUUUCCUCGAGGUGAUUCAAUUCUUUUAUUUCCGGAGUUCCAAGUUUUCUUGGUUAUAUCAUCGCAAAGCUCCAUCUAAAUCAUCGCAAGGCUUCACCUUGUGUUUUCAACUUCUCUUUCUUUCUAUCAUCCUUUUAUUACCGGAGUUCUUCAUGGAAGAGCUACAUGGUGGUUCCUCAAGGAUUCUUUUCAUUCUUCAAUUGUUCUUCAAGAUUUCUCCUGAAGUUAAGAUCCGCCAAGCUAUACUCAAAAGUAAACAUGGUUCUCAACACAUGUUUUGUUUUGAGGCGUUCAAGUAUUCUUCUUCUUGCAUUUCGAAGUGCAAUUCCUUCUACAAUAUCUUUUGAGGUGGUGUUAUGUCACUCUUGACAAUUUCAUUCAUGUUUCAUGAUUCAUAUGUUGUCAAGAAUGAGGUAGUUAAACCCAUCAACUCCUUCGAGCAUGAGUUCUUCUCAGUCCAUCAAUCUCUUCAUUGGAGUUAUCUUGUGUCAGAUUUCACUUAAAGCCUUCCCUAAGGAAUGUUGCUAUUUGUGGUGCUUAUCAUUGAUCCAAGUUUUCUCCUAUCCUCUCGGCGAAAGCAAUUUUCAGCUCUUCUUUAAUCUCAAACAAGCAAUUGUUUUUCGUUAGUGUCCGGUUGUCACCUCAUCAUUUUGAGAUGUUUGCCGUAAGCCCACAACAAGCUUGUUCCUUUCGUUGUUGAUUUUUCAACAACUCCGUUCAAUCCUUCCUUGCAAGGAUGCUUUCCAAGUUCAUUUGUGGCAGAAAUUGUCAUUUUCUUCUCCGCCCGUUAUCCCAACAAUCUAGCUUCUAUUCUUUCGUUCCGGAGGCAGUGUGUUGUUGAUUUCAUCAAGUAUCCUCUCAUCUUAUAAGUUCAUGUUCAAUUCCUUCCAUUUACAGUCGGAGUGUUGUCCAAAUUAUAUCAUUAUUAUUCAUUCUUAUCUCGUUUCAACCAGAGUGGUUUCAAUUCCUUCUUGUCCAUUGUGCUCGUCAAUCAUGUCUUUGCAACCUCUUGGUUCUCAUUGUAUCCCUUGUUCCUCUUUUCUAACGGAGUGUUUUCGACUUUGCUCAUCUUCAUUGUUUUCCUCCUUUCAUUUUGCUCAACCUCUCAAGGUUCAUGGUUUCACUCGUUUGUCGAAGAAGCAAGUUAGUUUACCUCUUCUCUUCCUCUUCCGUUUCCCUCCGGUGCCAUCCUAGAUCUCGGGACGAGAUCCUCUCGUAGUGGUGGAGUGUUGUAAUGCCCCGGAUACAACUUUCCAUAUUCAUAACUCCGACUCUUGCCAUUUCCGGUGAUGUGAUUUAUUAUUUCCUCCGCGGUUGGGUUUUGUCUGCUGUUUUGCAUUUUAUUCUUGUUAUGCAUCUCAUCUCAUAGCAUCAUGCGCAUUGCAUCGACAUCGUUUUCAUAAAACUUGCAUCCGUUCGGGUUCCGCCGGUUCUCUCCGUUGUCCGUUCAGAGUCCAGACACACUCGCACGCGCCCGCGGCACCUCCAAAAUAUUAUUUUAUAAGUGGCAUAAAAAUGUUCUCGGAAUGGGUUGCAACUUGUCAUGCGGCCUUAUUAUAGUGUAGACAGGUCGCCUGUCAAGUUUCGUCGCAUUCGGAGUCCGUUUGACUGCCCAGCCAUUAUAUUUAUAACCGCGAUAAAGUCGGUUUAAUCGUCGGACGUUUCGGUCUCCGAAACUGUCACCGGGACGCACCUCUUCUCUCUCCCUUCACAGCCCAACCCCUCUACACAGCCCACUAACCUCCCCCGAACCCGACCCGGACAGUCAUAGCCGAUGGUUCCGGAUCAUCCGCAAAUAUCCUGAAAGUAUCUUCGGUUUAUUAUUUGAUCCCUCUUAACCUUUGUAUCUUGACCGUCCGAUGCAAAUCAGAAGGCCCAAACCUAGACUCACUUUGCUAUAUAUAGAUCACCCCUAACCUAAUCUAGACACACCACCUAUUUUUCUAGGGAUCCUCCCCAGCCGCCGCCACUUCAUUUCCUCGGGAUCCCUCCCGAUCCAAAUCCUCCCCGACAGCCUCCCUCAUCUUGCGUGGUUGACCAAUCGGGUCGCCCGAGCCCCAAGCUCCUCCGCUAUUCCCUACCCGAGAUCCUCGCUGCGCCAGUAUCCUUGGAGGCCCGAGCAUCCCCGUGCUCCUUGCCUCGCCGCAGGCAACCACCACCAUCAGAUGAGCCCCGUUGCGCCCUCUCCUUCCCCCGUUUUCUCCUCUCUGCAUCUCAUCUCUCUCUCUCGUUCUCUCUGUACCAGGGUCCAGCCGCCGUCCCGUCUGGCAGGACCUCGCCAUCCCGUGCUCAAGCUCUCCUCGUGCCCCAAGCCAUGGCGUCCGAGGCCUCCCGUGCCUCGCCUCAUCGGAGCCAGGGUCUCGAGGACCUUGCCGUUCUGGCCUCUUCCUCCGCGCCGGCGAGCGCGACUCCGGCAACCAUUGGUCUAGCAGCAGCAGGUCAUGCCGCCAGCCUCCUCCCUGCCUCGCCUGGUGCUCAAGCACCACCGCGCCGCCCUGCCUUCCCUUCCUUCCUCACCCUUCUGCUCCUUCUCAUAUCUCUCUCUCUCUCUCUCUCUGUCUGCUCGUGCAGGGAGCCCGACUUGGUGUCCAUGGAGUUUUCAGGCAGCCGUAGCCGCCUCAAGCUCGUCCUUCGGCCAGAUCAGGGCCCUGCCGACCCCUCCAUCUCGCCUACAUCUGCCAUCCCAGUCCGUUCCGACCAGUCCCCACCGAGGCCGCCUCGCCGGAGCUCCUGCCGCGUCGCGCUGCAGCCGUUGACCGCAUCCCUCUGCUUCGUCAGAACAGGAGCGCCAGCCUCCAGCAGCCUCCAGAUCGGGCCCGAGCCAAGGCCCAGCUUGCUCGUGCCGCCCCUUAGCCUGCUGCCUUCACCGAACCGGGCUGAAGCUCACCGCGCGAGGCCUCCUCUGCUUCACUUGCAGCCCAGCUGCCCAGCACCCUCCUAGGCCUGCCUUGGCCUCUCCUCUCACCGGGCCAAGGCCCAUGGUGAGAUGCCUCCCCCAGCACCUCUCUGUUGGCCCAGUCCGCCCAGAUUCGGCCCAUGUUUUUUUUCAUACGCUGCGAUUUUAGCUAAUUUCCAGGAACUGCAGUUUUGCAGAAAACCCCCUAUUCUUCAUGCUUUUAAUAACUAAUAAACCGUGCAUCGGAUUAAAAUGUUUUAUAUAUGUAAAAUACUCAGAAAAUUGUGUAAAUUAAUAAUAUGUCAUUUUCAUCCAUGUUUAAAAUGUUUAAACUUGCUGUUUAUUUAAUUCUGUAUAAAUGCCAUGCUAAAAUGAUAUAUUUCAUAACUAAAUAACUGUAGCUCCAUUUUAAAUAAACUUUAUAUGUAAAUGGGGUGGAAAAAUGCCUAGUUUAACAUGGUGCACUUUUUUUUUCCUGUUUAACAAAAUGAAAAUUGUGUUUAGGGCAGAACAGUACCGAAUCUAAAAUAUGCACAUGGGGAUUUUCCGGAAUUGUUGUUUGUUACUUCCGGCCUCAUUCAAACUUGCCUAGGUAGGUAGUUUUCUUAUGCUUCACCUCUUGCCAUGUUUAACAACAUUUAAUAUUGUUGGGUACAUAAACGGGAUAGAACUAAAUAAUUGAUGUGGUGUUUCGUCAAUAUGCAACUCGUUGCAUAUUGAGCUCCACUUAACUUGUAGUAUUGUUUGUUGCACUUUGCCAUGCCAUGCCUCAUUAAACCGGACAUGCAUUAUACUUGAUUGUGCAUCAUGCCAUGUUUAUGUUUGUGUGUUUACCAUGUUGUUUGCUUCUUUCCGGUGUUGCUUCUUAGUUCCGGUAACGUUGCGUUCGUGAGGAUCCGUUCGGCUACUUCAGCUUGUCUUCUUCAUGGACUCGUUCUUCUUCCUAGCGGGAUUUCAGGCAAGAUGACCGCUACCCUGGAUCUCACUACUAUCAUUGCUAUGCUAGUUGCUUCGUUCUAUCGCUAUGCUGCGUUACCUAUCUGUUGCUCUUCAAGCCUCCCAAAGUGCCAUGAACCUCUAACCUUUGACACCCUUCCUAGCAAACCGUUGCUUGGCUAUGUUACUACUUUUGCUCAGCCCCUCUUAUAGCAUUGCUAGUUGCAGGUGAAGUUGAAGAUUUCUCCAUGGUGGACAGGAUUUUGGUUGGGAUAUCACAAUAUCUCUUAUAUUAUUUAAUGCAUCUAUAUAUUUGGUAAAGGGUAGAAGAUUCGGCCUUAUGCCUGGUCUUUUGUUCCACUCUUGCCGCCCUAGUUUCCGUCAUACCGGUGUUAUGUUCCCGGAUUUCGCGUUCCUUACGCGGUCGGGUGAUUUAUGGGACCCCCUUGACAGUUCGCUUUGAAUAAAACUCCUCCAGCAAGGCCCAACAUUGGUUUUACCAUUUGCCUCACCUAGCCCUUUUUCCCUUGGGUUUCUGGAGCCCGAGGGUCAUCUUUAUUUUAGCCCCCCCGGGCCAGUGCUUGUCUAAGUGUUGGUCCAAAACGAGCGAUGUCCGGCGCCCCCUGGGCAACCAGGGUCUAUGCCAACCCAUCGUCUUGCUCAUCCGGUGUGCCCUGAGAACGAGAUAUGUGCAGCUCCUAUCGGGAUUUGUCGGCAUAUCGGGCGGCUUUGCUGGUCUUGUUUUACCAUUGUCGAAAUGUCUUGUAAACCGGGAUUCCGAGUCUGAUCGGGUCUUCCUGGGAGAAGGUCUAUUCCUUCAUUGAUCGCGAGAGCUUGUCAUGGGCUAAGUUGGGACACCCCUGCAGGGUAUAAUCUUUCGAAAUCCGUGCCUGCGGUUAUAGGCAGAUGGGAAUUUGUUAAUGUCCGGUUGUAGAUAACUUGACACCAGAUCCGAAUUAAAACGCAUCAACCGUGUGUGUAGCCGUGAUGGUCUCUUCUCGGCGGAGUCCGGGAAGUGAACACGGUUUCUGGGUUAUGUUUGACGUAAGUAGGAGUUUAGGAUCACUUCUUGAUCAUUGCUAGUUGACGACCGUUCCUUUGCUUCUCUUCUCGCUCUUAUUUGCGUAUGUUAGCCACCAUAUAUGCUUAGUCGCUGCUGCAGCCUCACCACUUUACCCCUUCCUUUCCCUUUAAGCUUUGCUAGUCUUGAUACCCAUGGUAAUGGGAUUGCUGAGUCCUCGUGGCUCACAGAUUACUACAACAACAGUUGCAAGUACAGGUUUUGCGAUGAUCAUGAUGCGAGAGCGAUGCUUGCUUGCGUUGAGUUCUUCUUCUGCUUCUUCUUCGAUCAGGGGAUAGGUUCCAGGUCAGCAGCCUGGGCUAGCAGGGUGGAUGUCGUUUGAGUUUCUGUUUGUGAUUCAUCCGUAGACGGAUGAUGCUCUCAUAUUUUGUAAUGUUGUAUUCGUGUGGCUUUGUAUGCCUUAUGUAUGUAUCCCCAUCUAUUAUGUAAUGUUGAUGUAAUGAUAUCCACCUUGCAAAAGCAUUUCAAUAUGCGGGUCUAUCCUUGGUGGGACCUUCGAGUUCCUUUUGGAUAUGGUCGCAUAUUGGGCGUGACAACACACAAGUUGAAUUUAGUCGCGUGGGCGCACUUUUCGUGUCGGUGAAAGCUAUACAAAUAGUUUUUAAAUCCAGUGGAAUUUGAGCUAUUCAAAUCAUCGGCCACAUGGGAUUCCAUGAGAUUCGACGGUGGUCACCCAUCGCAAUGCUUGGGUAGUCAACCCCCUAUCCUAUCCAUCGCGGCUCGCUGCUUGAGAGUCUUGUUGGCCUUUAGUUGUGCUCCCUGGUUGGCUAACCAUGACGGCGAUCAUCAACCGUCAUACUCUUAUGGCUGUGAGAAUCAGAGGCCAGGAGUGAUCCUCCUUUUCUAAGAAAAAAAAACCUCCUACACAUACCAUCAGCUGCCAAUUACUUGCAACAACCCAAUUGUCAAGUCUUAAACAGUAAAUGGGUGUGUGUUUAUGGUAACACCCAGUGGUAGUGAUUUUUUUACACCCGGUGUUCAAGAUGAUGGAACAGUCCAAGGAGAAUGUCAAUGCCAAGAAGGGUGGUGCCCUGUCGCAGCACUGCGACAACUCUUCUAGAGGAUGGUGGAACGCCAUUUAGCUUCCAUUGUUAUGCCGGUAGGAGGAUGAAUAUGAACUACAUACUAGCCAUCUUGUGUGUUUGAUGCAACUACAACGACAAUUAUUGUGUUGAUAGUAGUUACCUUUUCUUUUUGGAGCGGGGUGGUAUAGUGAUUUACUAGUAGUUGCAUUGUUGUUACUAUUUGUAGGUGAUGAGGGGUUUGCCAGAAACUUCAGGCAAAUGGAAGAAAACAAAAUUAGCAAUAUUUUGAUGUGCACUCGUGCUUUAAUAUGGACCGAUGCUAUGUGUGUGGUCCAAUUCAGAUGUGUGUGUGUGUGUGGGUGGGUAUCUUCGCCUUUGCUUUCUUCUGAAGAAGUGGAGAUGAUGCACGAGUUAAUAACGUGGGCACACUUUGCCGUGUCGGUGAAAUAUGAGCGUCUAAAUAGUUUUUAAUCUAGUGAAAUUUGAGCUAUUCAAAUCAAUGGUCACGUGGGAUCCCGUGAGACUUGACGAUGGUCACCCAUCCGAAUGCUUGUGUAGUCGAACCCCUUUCCCCUCUGUCGCGGCUUGCCUGAGGGUCCGACUAGCCUUGAGUUAUGCUCCCUGGUAGGCCAACCAUGAGAGCGAUCAUCAACCCUCAUACAAUUAAGAUUGUGUGCAUUGGAGGCCAAAGGUGGUCCUCCUUUUUUCUAGGAAAAAAGCAUCCUAAACUUACCAUCAUUUGCCAAUUGCUUGCAACAACCUAAUUGGCAAGUAUUAAAAUAGUUAUUGUGUACGUGCAGAUGGUAACACCCCGUGGUCGUAGUUUUUUUACAGCUGGUGGAGAAGAUGAUUUAACAGUAUGUCCAAGGAGAAUUUCAAUGCUAAGAAGGGUGGCGCCCUGUCGUGGUGCCGCGACAACAGCAUCUGGUGAACGGUGACCUGCCAUUCAGCUUCCAUAGUCAUGUUGGCAGGAGGAUGAGCAAGACUUGCAUUCUAGCCUUUUUGUGUGUUUGACGCAACUACAACGACAUUUGCGGUGUCGAUAGUAUAGUUAUUUAUUCUUUUCGGAGCGGGGUGGUAUAGUAAUUUACUAUAGUAGUAUCUAAAGCCCAUAAGGACCCAAAUGUCAGAAAGUGAACUUGUGUUGUUGUUUCAUUUUAUAGGUGAUGAUGGGUUCGUUAGAAACUUCAGUCAAACAAAAAAACAAAAUCAGCAAUAUGUUGAUAUGUACUAAUGCUUUAAUAUGAUGGGAUGCUACGUGUGUGUUCCAUUUUGGAUGUGUGUGUGGGACUCUUCACCAUUACUCUCUUCCGAAGAAGUGGGGAUGACACACAAAUUGAGUUAGUCACAUAGGCGCACUUUGUCGCGUGUUUGAAAUUUGAGUUAUUCAAAUAGUUUUUAAAUACAAUGAACUUUGAGCUAUCAAAUUAGCGGUCACGCGGGAUCCUGUGAGGCUUGACGGUGAUCACCCAUUGUAACGCUUGGAUAGUCGAUUCCCUUUCCCCUGCGUCGUGGCUCGCAGCUCAAGGGUUUGACUAGCCUUCACAUGCUCCCUGGUUGGCCAACCAUGACGGCGAUCAUCAACCUGCAUACUCAUAUAGUUGUGUGCAUCGGAGGCCAGGGGUGAUCACACUUUUCUAAGAAAAAAACCAUCCUACACCUACCAUCAUUUUCCAAUUGCUCGCAAAAACCUAAUUGCCAAGUCUAAAACCGGUUAAUGUGUGUGUGCUGAUGGUAACACCCUGUGGUCGUGAUAUUGUUUUACAGCUCUUGGAGAAGAUGAUCUAACAGUCCAACGAGAACGUCAACGCCAUGAAGGGUGGCAUCAUGGCGCGACACUGUGGAAACUACAUCUGGUGAACGACGACCCACCUUUGAGAUUCCAUAGCUGUGCUGGCAGGAGGAUGAGGAGGACUUGCAUUCUGGCCAUUUUGUGUGUUUUAUGCAAUGGCAGCAACAAUUCUGGUGUUGAUAGUAGUUACCAUUUGUUUACGGAGCGGGAUGGUAUAUCAAUUUCAUAGUAGUACCUAAAAUCAGUAAGGACCUGAAUUUCAGUGUUUAUCUGGUCAAGCAAGUGAACUUGAGUUGUUAUUGUUUAUAGGUGAUGAUGGGUUUGUUAGAAACUUCAGAUAUAGCAAGAAAAGAAAAUUAGUAAUAUGUUGAUGUGUACUCACGCUUUAGUAUGAUACGAUGUUAUGUAUGUGAUCCAUUUCGGAUGCAUGUGUGGGAUUCUUCACGUUUGCUCUCUUAUGAAGAAGUGGAGAUGACACAUGAGUUGAGUUUAGUCACAUAGGCACACUUUGUCACAUCGAUGAAAUUUGAGAAAUCAAAUAGUUUUUAAAUCUGGUGAAAUUUGAGGUUUUGAAAUCAGUGGUUACAUGGGAUCCCAGGAGACUUUACGGUGGUCACGCAUUGCAAUGCUUGGGUAGUCGAUACCCUUUGCCCUUCAUCGCGGCUCACUGCUUGAGGGUCUGUCUAGCCUUCAGUUUGGCUCCUUUGUUUGCCAACCAUGACUGCGAUCAUCAACCCUCAUACUUUUAUGGUGUGUGUAUCGGAGUCCCCCGUUUCUUAGAAAAAACCUCCCACACUUACCAUCAUUUGCCAAUCGCUUGCUACAACCAAAUUGCCAAGUCUUAAAAUUUUUAAUGUGAGCAUGCUGAUGGUAACACCCUAUGGUCGUGAUUUAUUUUACAACUAGGGUUGAAGAUGGUGGAAUAUUCCAUGGUGAAAGUAAAAUGCCAAGAACGGUGGUGCCUUGUCGCUCCACUGUGGCAGCUGCAUCUGGUGAAUGCUGACCCGCCAUUAAGCUUCCUUAGCUGAUCUGGUAGGAGGAUGAUGAGGACCUGCAUUCUGGCCAUUUUGUGUGUUUGAUGCAUCUACAAUGACAAUUAUGGUGUUAAUUGUAGUUACCUCUUAUUUUUGGAGCGGGAUGGUAUAAUAAUUUACUAGUAUUGCCUAAAACCCAUAAGAAGCCAAAUGUCAGUGUUUAUCUGGUCAAGCAAGUGAAGUUGUGUUGUUUUUACUGUUAAUAUGUGAUGAUGGGUUUGUCAGAAACUUCAAACGAAAGGAGCAAAUAGAAAUUAGCAAUAUUUUGAUGUGUACUCGUGCUUUAAUACGUGAUGUUAUGUGUGUGGUCCAUUUCGAAUGUGUGUGUGUGUGGGAGUCUUCGCCUUUGCUCCCUUCUGAAGAAGUGGAAUGACACACGAGUUAAGUUUAGUCACGUAGUCCCACUUUGCCGCGUUGGUGAAAUUUGAGCGAUUCAAAUAUUUUUAAAAUCAAGUGACAUUUGAGUUAUUCCAAUCAACAAUCACGCAAGAUCCCGUUAGAAUUGAUGGUGGUCACCAAUUGCAAUGCUUUGUAGCUGAUCCCCUUUCCCCUCCAUUGCGGCUCGUUGCUUGAGAGUCAGGCUAGCUUUCAGUUGUGCACCCUGGUUGGCAAACCAUGACGGCGGUCAUCCAACCUCAUAAUAUUAUGGAUGUGUGCAUCGAAGGCCAGGGGUGAUCCUCCUUUUCUAAUAAAAAAAUACAAUCCUACAGCAAUCACAAUUUGCCAAUUCCUUCCAACAACCUAAUUGCUAUGCUUGCCAAAGUUAAUAUAUGUGUGCUGAAGAGAACACCUUCUGGUCAUGUCUUUUUACAACUCGUGGAGAAGAUGAUAGAAUAGUCCAAGGAGAACGUCAACACCAAGAAGGGUGGCGCUCUCUUGCGGCACUGCGGUAGCUGCAUCCGGUGAACAGUGACCUGGCAUUCAUCUUCUACAGUCGUGCCAGUAGGAGGAUUGGCAGGACUUGCAUUCUAGCUUUUUGUGUUUUUGAUGGAGCCGCAACAAUAAUUCUGGUGUUGAUAGUAGUUACCUUUUUUUCGGAGCGUGAUGGUACGGUAAUUUACUAGUAGUACCUAAAACCCAUAAGGAACAAAAUGUCAGUAUUUAUGUGGUCAAGCAAGUGAACUUGUGUUGUAGUUACUAUUAUUAGAUGAUGAUGGGUUUGUGAGAAACUUCGAACAAAUGGAACAAAAGGAAAUUAGCAAUAUGUUGAUGUGUACUUGAGUUUUAAUAUGACGUGAUGCUAUGUGUGUGGUCCAUUUCAGAUAUGUGUGCGGGAGACUUCACCUUUCCUCUCUUGUGAAGAAGUGGAGAUGACACACGAAUUGAGUUUAAUCAAGUAGGCACACUUUGCCGCGGCGGUGAAAUUUUAGUCAUUCAAACAGUUCUUGGGUAGUCGAUCCACUUCCCCCCUCCAUCGUGACUUGCUGCUUGCUGGUCCGACUAGCCUUUAGUUGCGCUCCCUCGUUGGCCAACCAUGAUAGCGAUCAUCAACCCUCAUACUCUUAUGGUUGUGUGCAUCGGAGGCUAGGGGUGAUCCUUCAUUUCCAAGAAAAAAACCCUCCCACACUUACCAUAACUUGCCAAUUGCUUGCAACAACAUAAUUGCCUAGUCUUAAAACAGUUAAUGUGAGCGUGCUGAUGGUAACAACUUUUGGUCUUGAUUAUUUUUAUAGCUGGUGGAGAAGAUGAUGGAAUAGUCCAGAACGUCAACAACAAGAAGGUGAUGCCCUGUUGCGGCGCUACGGUAGCUGCAUCUUGUGGAUGUUUGGCGCUUUGGCAGCUCCCUAUCUAUCUAGUACGAGACGAACGAUCUACUCUGUAUCUAUCUAUCUAUAGCUCACCUAUUUUACCAAUCACAUGAAUUUAAUAGCUAUUUAAUGCUUUAGUUGAUGCUUAUCUCUUGCAUGCGGCAGUCUAUAAAUAGGGUGUCAUGACGCACAAGACUGAACCUCACACCACAAGCAUCCAAGAGCAUAUGUAGAGACCAUAGUGGAGAGAUAGGAUGGCGUCAGAGAUGAGCAUGAACAUGAAGUUCUCCGAGGAAGAAGUCGGCUAACACCCGCGUAUUCUCGAAGGUGAGGAGUAGACGGUUGCGCCAGCGCUGCAGUACUUGGCGUGCGAGGUGGGUGAGGGGGGCGGGAUUUUGGGUCCAUGAACAUGGACGAGUUCAUGAGCAACAUAUGGAAUGUCGAGGAGUUCCAAGCAGCCAUUGGCGAUGGCUUGGUGGGCAUGGAGGAGGCUCCUGUGGUGGGUGCUAGUGGAAGCGGAGGUGGCGGGGAUGCAGGAUGAAGUGGCGUAUGCCGGUAGAGGUCCUUCUCCUUGCCUCCCCCGCUGUGCCGGAAGACGGUGGAGGAGGUAUGGGCUGAGAUCAACAGGGAUCCCAGACCAGUGCAUGCCCAACCUCAGGUCGCACGUCUCGUACAACAGCUUCCUGUCCAGCCAAUGGUGGGGAAUGGCAAAAAGUCUUUUUGCACGGUGAUGCUACCUAGCGGCAACAAAUCUGCCAUUGAAUGCUCGCAUCAAGAUGCGUGCAGGUGGGACCGCUUUAUUCAUAUUUUCUACUAUACACUAGUAUACAUCAUCAAAAUAUAGCUAGUGGUCCCCAUUAUUUGUCUUUGGCAUGGAUGCAUGGCAGAAAUAUGUGUCGGCGUCCUGGGAACGGGGGUCCCCAGACUUGCCUGCCUGCGGCCUGCGGCGUGGCUCAAGUGGUGGCCUAGUACGGCCCAUCUUCAUCAAAACAAGACUCGAGACCCUCGCGAGGGGCCAAGCCUCGCGGGGCGGACGGUGCAAGGCUUCCUCAGGAACGGCCUCGCCGGGAAGGCUCGCGAGGAGCGGAGAGAUCAAGGUAGGGUGCCUUGCGAGGUGCUCGUGAUGCAAGCCAUGACGAUCAAGACUAGGCGGGCGCCAGGCGGACGCCGGCCUGCGUAGUGUCCUUGUUUCCUCUUUGGUGCAAAGGGGGCAAGCACAGGCGGAGAGUACCAAGGCAUCAGGUAAAGGUUUCCAUUUCAGUGCAAGAAGACCGAGGCCAGCGGAGCAGCAUGAUGGAGGUCACCGUGGAGCCCAAGAUGGCGUCAUCACCAGUGCUUUUGGCAGCCGAAGACCAAAUUUAGUCAGGAUCACUUGUACUAGAUGUUCCCCUUCAAAAUGGCCGUUGUUGGCGCCCUUCCCGCUCAAUAUUUGGGAAGAGGCCCAGGGCCUCUAUAAAUAGAGCUAGCCACCACAGAGUAGGGGGGAUCCAGAUUUUGGAAGCCAGAGAGAGAUCGAGAGGGGACCGAACUCGCACAAGCAGUUCAUCGCACUAGCUCAAGAACACCUCUCGCGAGGCAAUCCACCACACCACACACUGGAGUAGGGUAUUACACCACAACAGUGGACCGAACCAGUAUAAAUCUUGUGUCCCUCGUGUUGUUCAUCAUUUUCCAGCUUAGAUCUCACGAGGCGACCAGACGUAGAUCGGUAGGGGAGAGAUCUUCGAGGGCACCCCAGAGUUCGAACCUUAAGUGUUUGCCGGAAACCAACAUCUGACAUUUGGCGCGCCAGGUAGGGGUGCGCCGGAGCUCUCCCUUCCGUCGAUCCAUCCACCAUCUGCAUCACGCUCUGCCGUCAUGGCGGCCAACGCACCGCCCUCUCUGGCUGUCGAUGCCGACGCGGAAACCAGGGGGCUCCGAGCCUUGGCCCCCGCCUUGCGACAGGUGCGGUGGCCGAACAAGUUCAAGCCGGACAUGCCACCGUGCUACGACGGCAUGGCUGACCCGCUGGACUUCCUGCUAGCAUAUUAAGAAGCCAUCCUCAAGGCCAGAGGUGACGACAAGCUCAUGGCGAACUAGCUGCCCAUGGCCCUCACCGGCGUCCCUCGCAUGUGGCUGCUCCACCUGCCAGCUGCCUCUGUGGCCUCCUGGGAGGAGUUGCGCAACCUCGUCCUCGCCCAACAUGCUGCGACGGCACGCCCAAUCAUCGCAGCCAUCCUGGGCGGAUUGCAGGCACCACCUUCGGGCCGCCACGUCAAGCCGUUCGUCCGCCAGAUCGGCGCCGUCCUCAAGCACCGUGAAACCCCCCUGGGUUGGGUGGCACCCAGGGCGGAUUUAUCCUUCAGCUCGGAUGAUCACCCCUCCAACACCGCCUGUUCGGGCAUACUCCCGAUGCUAUGCACCCCCACCAUAUGCCAGGUGGCCAUCACAGGACCCUCAUCGACGGAGGUGCCAGCCUCAACGUGCUCUCGGUGGAAUCCUUCAGUCUCCUCCACGUGCUGCUAGAGCGGCUCCAACCCAGCAGGCCCUUCUCGAGCGUCGGAGGCGGUUCCACCGGCUCCCUGGGGCAGAUCCGCCUCCCGGUGACCUUCGGCACCCAUGAUAACUUCCGCACGGAGAUGAUCGACUUCGACAUCGCCCCCAUCGGCCUCCCAUACAAUGCCAUCCUCGGCUACCCAGCCUUGGCCCAGUUCAUGGCAGCGACUCACCCGGCGUACAACCUCAUGAAGAUGCCCGGGAGCAGCGGCGUCCUUACCGUGUCCGGAGACAGAAGGGAUGCGCUGCAGGCGCUCAAGCUUGCUUUCAAGACGGCCGCGGUGGCGUAGCCCGCCAGCACAGAUGAUCUCGAGCCCAAGGGGGCUGCACCGGCUAAGAAGAAGCAGCUAUUCACCCAAGAUAAGGCGGAGACCAAGCAGGUAUCAGUCGACGAGGAUGGAUACACUGGCGCCACCUUCACCAUAGGCGCCAACCUCGAACCUGAGCAGGAGAAGGCCUUGGUGAAGUUCCUGCAUGCAAACAAGAAGGUGUUUGCAUGGGAACCUGAUCAGCUAGCAGGGGUCCCAAGGGAUGUGAUUGAACAUCAUCUCAAUGUGUGCCCCAACGUGUGCCCCAUGAAGUAGAAGGCAAGACGGCAGUCCACGGAAAAGCAGGCCUUCAUCGUCCAAGAAACCCGCAAGUUAGAGGCAGCGGGCGUCAUUCGCAAGGUCCGCUAUCCUGAAUGGCUGGCCAACCCUAUGGUUGUGCCAAAAAAGGGAGGAAAGGAACGUAUAUGUGUCGACUUCACCAACCUCAACAAGGCCUGCCCAGAGGAUCCGUUCCCGCUCCCUCGCAUCGACCAGAUCAUCGACUCUACCACCGAGUGUGACCUAUUGUGCUUCCUAGAUGCCUUCUCGGGCUAUCACCGGAUCAAGAUGGAGGUAGAGGACGUGGAGAAAACGGCCUUCCUGACCCCGUGUGGAGUGUACUGCUAUACCUGCAUGCCAUUUGGGUUGCACAACGCAGGCGCGAUCUUUCAGCGGCUGAUGCACAUCGCCUUGGGCCGGCAUCUUGGGAGGAACGCUGAAGCUUACGUCGAUGACAUUGUGGUGAAGUCACGUGAGGCAAAAACCCUGAUACAGGACCUUGAAGAAACCUUCGCGAGCCUCCGUGAAGUGGAUCUGUGGCUCAACCCGGAGAAGUGCGUGUUCGGAGUCCCCUCGGGCAAGCUCUUGGGCUUCCUCGUGUCCCACAGGGGCAUCGAGGCCAACCGAGAGAAGGUCAAGGUAGUCGAAGACAUGAGCCCGCCGAAGACCCUCAGAGAAAUGCAGAAGCUCACCGAGCGUGUAACCGCGUUAGGAUGCUUCAACUCCAAGUUGGGGGAGUAGGAACUGCCCUUCUUCAAGCUGAUGAAGAAGAAGGGUCCAUUCGAGUGGACUGAAGAGGCCGACAAGGCAUUCCAAGAUCUCAAGAGGUACCUUACCAGCCCUUUGGUGAUGGUAGCUCCGUGCCCUCGGGAGCCCCUGGUGCUUUACCUUGCAUCCACCCCCUACUCUGCCAGCACAGCCCUGGUGGCGGUUAGAGAGGAGCGCCGGACCAAGGCCGCAGCCUCCAUCCCGGCGGGAGCAGAGCAAGGCCAAGAAAGCCUCGCAAAGACCACGACCGCAGCAGAAAAGGAUCAGCCUCAGCAGGGGAACGCACCCGGAGUGGAGGAGGCCUCCCAAGGCGACCACGCGUUGGGUGCUCCGCCGUCUCAGGAGGCACCUCAACCCCCGGAGGAUGCGGGCGGCGCCAGCACCCUCAACCUCGUCGAGCACCCCGUAUACUUCGUCAACACGGUGCUACGGGACGCAAGGGCGCGGUACCCCAUGCCCCAAAAACUCCUCCUCGCGCUGUUAGUGGCUUCACACAAUCUGCGGCACUAAUUCCAAGGCCAUCCCAUCAAGGUCGUCUCAGCAUACCACUUGGAAAGGGUACUCAGGAGCCCCAACUCAGCUGGAAGAGUCGCUGAAUGGAACAUCGAACUACAAGCAUUCCAGCUGGAAUUCAGCAUGACAAGAGUCAUCAAGGGGGCCGCACUUGCAGAUUUCAUGCCAGAAUGGGCAGAGGCACCAGGGCUCAAAGCGGGCGAGGACCAGUCUCUUUCCCCGGGAAGCGAGGCACCGGACGGCUGGGUCAUGUACUUCGACGGGGCAUUCUCCCGACAUGGCGCGGGGGCUGGCGCAAUGCUCAUAUCUCCUACUCAGGACAUGCUCUACUAUGUCGUGCAACUCUGCUUCUAUCAUGGAGAAACGGUCUCCAACAACAUAGCAGAAUAUGAGGGCCUGAUAGCGGGCUUGAAAGCUGCAGUCUCCUUGGGAGUAAAGAGCCUCAUCAUCAAGGGCGAUUCACAACUUCUCGUCAACUUCUCCAACAAGGUGUACGAGCCGAAGGACGAACACAUGGAAGCAUAUCUUGCGGAGGUCCGCAGGAUGGAGAAACAGUUUUGGGGGCUGGAGUUGCAACAUGUGCCUCGCGGCACCAAUCAAGAGGCUGAUGACAUCGCUAGGAGGGCGUCCAGGCGGUUGCCUCAAGAGCCUGGUGUCUUCGAGGAGCGACUCUUCAAACCCUCGGCGGCACCAUCACUGUCGAGCACAACACAGCCAUGGGAGGAGCUCCCUCAACCGUCUGCCUCGGGAGCCCUGGCCUGUGGCCCGACCUCACGGGCACGCCUGCUCCUGGCGCUGGAACCUCAGGAAGGAUGUUGGACCGCGGAGUUCAAGGAUUACUUGGUGCGAGGGAUCCUACCAGAGAAGGAAGAGGACGCGAAACGCGUGGCGAGGCAGGCCACGGCUUACUGCAUCCAAGACGAAGAGCUCUACCAAACCGGCCGAAUGAAGUUACUCUACGCCUAGUUGAUAUACUUAUAACUCUAGUGCAUCCGUUGCAUGGCAAUCCCUACUCACUCACAUUGAUAUCUAUUGAUGGGCAUCUCCAUAGCCCGUUGAUACGCCUAGUUGAUGUGAGACUAUCUUCUCCUUUUUUGCCUUCUCCACAACCACCAUUCUAUUCCACCUAUAGUGCUAUGUCCAUGGCUCACGCUCAUGUAUUGCGUGAAAGUUGAAAGAGUUUUGAGAUUACUAAAGUAUGAAACAAUUUCUUGGCUUGUCAUCGGGGUUGUGCAUGAUUAAAUACUUUGUGUGAUGAAGAUAGAGCAACAGCCAGACUAUAUGAUUUUGUAGGGAUAACUUUCUUUAGCCAUGUUAUUUUGAGAAGACAUGAUUACUUUGAUUAGUAUGCUUAAAGUAUUAUUACUUUUAUGUCAAUAUGAACUUUUGUCUUGAAUCUUUCGGAUCUGAAUAUUCAUGUCACAAUUAAGAAGAUUUACAUUGAAAUUAUGCCAAAGUAUCACUCUGCAUCAAAAAUUCUUUUUUUAUCAUUUACCUACUCGAGGACGAGCAUGAAUUAAGCUUGGGGAUGCCUGAUACGUCUCCAAUGUAUCUAUAAUUUUUGAUUCCUCCAUGCUACUUUAUCUACUGUUUUGGACUAUAUUGGGCCUUAUUUUCCACUUUUAUAUUAUUUUUGGGACUAACCUAUUUACCGGAGGCCCAGCCCAGAAUUGCUGUUUUUUGCCUAUUUCAGUGUUUCGAAGAAACAGAAUAUCAAACGGAGUCCAAAUGGAAUGAAACCUUAGGGAACGUGACUUUCUCACAGAACGUGAUCCAGGAGACUUGGACCCUACUCCAAGAAGUGCCAGAGGCGGUCACGAGGGUGGAGGGUGCCCCCUGGGCGCGCCCCUACCUCGUGGGCCCCCUGGUGCUCCACCGACGUACUCCUUCCUCCUAUAUAUACCUACGUACCGCUGAUAGAUCAGAUGUGGAGCCAAAAACCUAAUUCCACCGCCGGAACCUUUUGUAUCCACGAGAUCCCAUCUUGGGGCCUGUUCCGGAGCUCCGCCGGAGGGGGCAUCUACCACGGAGGGCUUCUACAUCAACACCAUAGCCCCUCCGAUGAAGUGUGAGUAAUUUACUUCAGACCUUUGGGUCCAUAGCUAGUAGCUAGAUGGCUUCUCCUCUCUUUUUGGAUCUCAAUACAAUGUUCUCCCCCUCUCUCAUGGAGAUCUAUUCGAUGUAAUCUUCUUUUUGCGGUGUGUUUGUUGAGACCGAUGAAUUGUGGGUUUAUGAUCCAACUUAUCUAUGGAAAAUAUUUGAAUCUUCUCUGAAUUCUUUUAUGUAUGAUUGAGUUAUCUUUGCAAGUCUCUUUGAACUAUCCUUUUUGGUUUGGCCAACUGAUUGGUAGUUCUUGCAAUGGGAGAAGUGCUUAGCUUUGGGUUCAAUCUUGCGGUGUCCUUACCUAGUGACAGAAAGGGUUGCAAGGCACGUAUUGUAUUGUUGCCAUCGAGGAUAACAAGAUGGGGUUUUUAUCAUAUUGCAUGAAUUUAUACCUCUACGUCAUGUCAUCUUGCUUAAGGCGUUACUCUGUUUUUAACUUAAUACUCUAGAUAUAUGCUGGAUAGCGGUCAAUGAGCGGAGUAAUAGUAGUAGAUGCAGAAUCGUUUCGAUCUACUUGUCUCGGACGUGAUGCCUAUAUACAUGAUCAUUACCUAGAUAUACUCAUAACUCUGCUCAAUUCUGUCAAUUGCUCAACAGUAAUUUGUUCACCCACCGUAGAAUACUUAUGCUCUUGAGAGAAGCCACUAGUGAAAUCUAUGGCCCCCGGGUCUAUUCUCAUCAUAUCAAUCUCUAUCGCUUUAUUACUUGCUUUGUUUUUACUUUGCCUUUUACUUUUUACUUUGCAUCUAUCUAGCAAAAAUACCAAAAAUAUUAUUUAUCAUCUCUAUCAGAUCUCACCCUCGUAAGUGACCGUGAAGGGAUUGACAACCCCUAAUCGCGUUGGUUGCGAGUAGCUAUCAUUUUGUGUAGGUACGAGGGACUUGUGCAUGGUCUCCUACUGGAUUGAUACCUUGGUUCUCAAAAACUGAGGGAAAUACUUACGCUACUUUGCUGCAUCAUCCUCUCCUCUUCGGGGAAAUCCAAUGCAGUGCUCAAGAGGUAGCAGGCCACAUUACCGGGGACGGAGACCUCCGAUGAAGCCCAGGAGGCCCUGCUACAGUAACCAUCCGCUUGAAGCCAGAGGCCACCCGGAGCGACGACCGGAAGUUCACCUGCAAAGAAGCGGGGGAGCUGGAGCCAGGUGCUAGUUGGGUCCGCCGACCACACGACGAACUCCGGCAGCACCUCCGCCGAGUGGAAGCGCGGCCUGGGAGGCCGCGCAGUCACGGCACGCCAUCCCAUGAUAACCUGGCGCCCAUCGCCACGCAGGGGAUCGCCUCUGCGACCGCGGGAAGCCACUACGGGAGCCACAGGAUGCUGGCGUGGACGACCUCGGUCGCGCUUGGCCGGGGGAGAGUCAGGCCCUUCCCGACGAACCUUCCCCUUCUCUGCGGCCGAGAACCUCUUCGACAGCACCAUGGGGGAUGGCGAGUAGCUGGGAUAGGGAGAAAGAAGGAAGCAAGGAGGAAGAUGUACAGCGGAGGCCUGCGCCCUCCUGCAUUUAUAGCCGGAAGGAAGACAACCGUCGGCCUCCACGAUCGCAGGUAAUCAUGACCCAUUUCUGCAUGCAGGGACUUGUCAAGUCGAGCGGUUGCCGAGGCAGCAUGGGGAAGUGGAGACGCCCAUGUCCAAUCAACCGCCACGCGGCACCCAAGGCUGUAGGCUGAUGGGGCCCAUGGCGCUCCGCUCUUGCCCCUUCGCUUCUCCGCUAGGCCAAGUCCGAGUGUGCCUUGGGCCCGGGGGCUACUGUCGGUGUCCUGGGAACGGGGGUCCCCAGACUUUCCUGCCUGCGGCAUGGCUCAAGUGGUGGCCCAGUACGGCCCAUCUUCAUUAGAACAAGACUCGAGACCCUCGCGAGGGGCCAAGCCUCGCGGGGCGGACGACGCAAGGCUUCCUCAGGAACGGCCUCGCCAGGCAGGCUCAUGAGGAGGCGGAGAGAUCAAGGCAUGGUGCCUCGCGAGUAAGGAUGGCAAUUUUAUCCAUGGACAUGGAUAUCCAUGGAUAUCCGACCCAAAUGGAUAGGGUUUGGAUAUGCUUUUGUGUCCAUGGGCGGCGCCCCAAACCAACCCGAUUGUUCGUGGGUAGGGCAUGGAUAUAAUCUUGUACCCAUGGAUAUACCCAAACCCGACCCGAUAGAAUGACUUAAUGGGGAAAAAUCUACUACCCCUGCCCCACGUUCACAUCUCCCACGACAAUUUUACACCUUUUUUAUCUAAAACAUGCAUAAGAAAUUACAUCGUAACUUUUAUAAGUUGACAGUCAAUCCCCUCCGAAACAUACUCCAACACCCCUUCCCUUAUUUUUAUCUCCUUCUUAAAUGACUCGUCAUUCUCAUCUGUUAGAAAAAUACUAAAUGAUCUUAGGUUGUUACUGGAUGUUGAUUUACCAUAUGUGAAGCCUAGACUGCCACGAGGUGAAGAAUGGAAGAGUUUAUGUUAAUAUUGUGUUAUGUCUUAUUUAUAUGUCUCAAGAGGACCCAAUGGAUAUCCAGUGGAUAUGGAUAUCCAUCGAAUUUGGACAUGGACAUAAUUUUUCACCCGUGGAUUUUUUCAUGGGCGGGCAAAGACUGUCUUCAUGGAUAUGGAUAUGGAUUUUAUAUUGUUCAACCCGAUCCAAACCCGACCCAUUGCCAUCCUUACUCGCGAGGUGCUCGUGACGCAAACCAUGACGAUCAAGACCAGGCGGGCGCCAGGCGGGGCGCCGGCCUGCGCAGUGUCCUUGUUUCCUCUUUGGUGCAAAGGGGGCAAGCACAGGCGCAGAGUACCAAGGCAUCAGGCAAAGUUUGCCAUUUCAGUGCAACGAGACCGAGGCCAGCGGAGCGGCAGGAUGGAGGUCACCGUGGAGCCCAAGAUGGCAUCAUCACAAGUGCUUUUGGCAGCCGAAGACCAACUUUAGUCAGGAUCUCUUGUACUAGAUGUUCCCCUUCAAAAUGGCCGUUGUUGGCGCCCUUCCCGCUCAAUUUGGGAAGAGGCCCAGGGCCUCUAUAAAUAGAGCUAGCCACCACAGAGUAGGGGGAUCCAGAUUUUGGAAGCCAGAGAGAGAUAGAGAGGGGACCGAACUCGCACAAGCAUUUCAUCACACUAGCUCAAGAACACCUCUCGCAAGGCCGUUCUCCCCUUGUACUGUUCAUCAUCAUACCCCGAGGCAAUCCACCACACCACGCACUGGAGUAGGGUAUUACACCACAACAGUGGCCCGAACCAGUAUAAAUCUUGUGUCCCUCGUCUUGUUCAUCAUUUUCCAUCUUAGAUCUCAUGAGGCGAUCGGACGUAGAUCGGUAGGGGAGAGAUCUUUGUGCACACCCAGAGUUCGAACCUUAAGGGUCUGCCGGAACCCAACAUCCGACAAUAUGACAGUGGUCUCUCUCUCUCUCUCUCUCUUUGUGUGUGUGUGUGUGUAUCUCUCUGUCUCUCUCUCUCUCUCGUGUUAAAUCCAACCUUUUGUUUCACCUUUACUAAACUAGAUCAUCCAUAUCUUUUAAACCAUAAGUUCCUGUUUGAAUUUUCUUCAUAUAUUUGAACUUGUUAUGACCGGUGCUACGUCUUGAGCUUGCGUUGGUUUUCCUUGAAGAGGAAAGGGUGAUGCAGCAAUAGUAGCGUAAGUAUUUCCCUCAGUUUUUGAGAACCAAGGUAUCAAUCCAGUAGGAGGCUCCUCAAAAGUCCCACGCACCUACACAAACAAACAAAGAAGUCGCAACCAACGCAAUAAAGGGUUGUCAAUCCCUUCACAGCCACUUGUGAAAGUGAGAUCUGAUAGAGAUAGUAUAAUAAGAUAAAUAUACUUUUGGUAUUUUAUGAUAUAGAUUGGAAAAGUAAAGAUGCAAAUAAAAGUAGAUUGAAAGCUUAUAUGAUAAGAGAUAGACCCGGAGGCCAUAGGUUUCACUAGUGGCUUCUCUCAAGAUAGCAUAAGUAUUACAGUGGGUGAACAAAUUACUGUCGAGCAAUUGAUAGAAAAGCGAAUAAUUAUGAGAUUAUCUAGGCAUGAUCAUGUAUAUAGGCAUCAUGUCCCUGACAAGUAGACCGACUCCUGCCUGCAUCUACUACUAUUACUCCACACAUCGACCACUAUCCAGCAUGCAUCUAGAGUAUUAAGUUCAUAAAGAAUGGAGUAACGCAUUAAGAAAGAUGACAUGAUGUAGAGGGAUAAACUCAUGCAAUAUGAUAUAAACCCCAUCUUUUUAUCCUCGAUGGCAACAAUACAAUACGUGCCUUGCUGCCCCUGCUAUCACUGGGAAAGGACACCGCAAGAUUGAACCCAAGGCUAAGUGAGGGAAUCCUGGAUUAAGGGGUCCUCGGACAGCCGGACUAUAUACUUUGGCUGGACUGUUGGACUAUGAAGAUACAAGAUUGAAGACUUUGUCCUGUGUCCGGAUGGGACUCUGCUAUGCGUGGAAGGCAAUCUUGGAUAUUCGGAUAUGUAGAUCUCCUUCUCUGUAAUUGACUUUAUGUAACCCUAGCCCCUCCGGUGUCUAUAUAAACCAGAGGGUUUGGUCCGUAGGACAACAACAAUCAUAAUCAUAGGCUAGCUCCUAGGGUUUAGCCUCUAUGAUCUCGUGGUAGAUCAACUCUUGUAAUACUCAUAUCAUCAAGAUCAAUCAAGCAGGAAGUAGGGUAUUACCUCCAUCGAGAGUGCCCGAACCUGGGUAAAACAUCGUGUCCCCUGCCUCCUAUUACCAUUAGCCUUAGAUGCACACUUCAAGACCCCCUACCCUAGAUCCGCCGGUUUUGACACUGACAUUGGUGCUUUCACUGAGACUUCCGUUGUGUCGUCGCUGUAAGGCUUGAUGGCUCCUUCGAUCAUCUUCAACGAUGCGGUCCAGGGGGAGGUUUUUCUUCCCAGACAGAUCUUCGUAUUCGGCGGCUUUGUACUGCAGGCCAACUCGCUUGGCCAUCUGGAGCAGAUCGACAGCUACGCCCCUGGCCAUCACGUCAGGUUUGGAAGCUUAAACUAUACUGCCGACAUCCGCGGAGACUUGAUCUUCGAUGGAUUCGAGCCCAUGACAGGUGCGCCAAACGGUCGCGAUGGGCAUGACCUUGAUCUACCAUCAGAAAGUAUUCGAGAGAUCACGCCUGCGCGGGCACCAGGAAUCAAUUCGGGGCAGGUUGUGCCUUCCGAGGGCGGGUGGAUGCACCCCGCCAUGGAAGCCGCACACUCAUCGGCGUCGGAGCCGAACAUUGAUUCCACCUCCUAUGAGAGUGGUGUCAUUAGACCCUUGGACUUGUCUCCAGCCAUAGGAUCUGAACCACGUGCAUCUGUGCCUAUCGAAUCUGAUUGGGCACCGAUCAUGGAGUUCACCGCCGCGGAUAUUUUUCAGCACUCGCCCUUGGGUGGCGUGCUAAACUCAUUAAGGUCUCUUUCCUUGUCAGGAGAUUCUUGGCCAAACUAUGUCCGGCUCGAGUGGGGAGCGGACGACGAAGAAAUUCGUCUCCCAGCCACCACCCACUUUAUAGCCACGGUCAAUGACUUAACCGACGUGCUUGACUUCGACUCCGAAGACAUAGACGGUAUGGACGACGAUGCUGGAGAAGAACAGCAACCACCGCCUAUAGGGCGCUGGACAACCACCUCAUCAUAUGAUAUUUAUAUGGUGGACACCCCUAAAGAAAACAAUGGCGAUGAGGCAACGGAAGAUAACCCCUUGGAGAAGCAAUCUAGACACCGGCGUCAUCGGCGCCACUCCAAGCCCCGCCACAGCAAAAAUAGUGAUAUCAGCACAAGAGAUAACAAUCCGGAUGGUGACAAAGACGAAUAUAAUCCUUCCCAGCCAGGCUUCGAGCAGGCCACGCAACAGGAUGGUCAAGCUAGCCCUAAGAACAUGCAACUAAUGGAGAAUCAGAGGACGAUAAUUACAUGCCUCUUUCUGAAGACGAAGUGAGCCUUGGCGACGAAGAAUUCAUCAUGCCUGAGGAUCCCGUCGAGCAGGAGUGCUUCAAACGCCGGCUUAUAGCCACUGCAAAAAGCCUGAAGAAAAAGCAACAACAACUUCAAUCUGAUCAAGAUCUGCUAACCAACAAAUGGACCGAGGUCCUGGCUGCCGAGGAAUACGGACUCGAGCGCCCUAGCAAAAGCUACCCAAAGCGCAGGCUGCUACCUCAACUCGAGGAAGCUUUAAAGCCCACGCUACCAGCGCAUGAUGCGGCUGAUCGGCCACCCCGUGGCCAAGACAAAGCGGCAUACCAGCCCGAAGUCCAUACCGCACCCCGCCGCCAAUCAAACGAUAAUACCAGGGCCAGGGGCUACACGAAGGACCUGCGAGAUGUAUUGGAAAACAAAGCAGGACAUUCAAGAUCAAUCUACAGAUCACGGGGACACGCCCCAAUGAGUGACAAGGAUUGUCACGUCGGAUACACUAACAAAUCCGGCCAGGCCAAAUACAAUGAAGCCCGGCACAGAGGCGCCGCACAUCCCCUAUGCUUCACAAAUUAAGUAAUGAAUCAUGAAUUCCUGGAAGGGUUUAAACCCAUGAACAGUGAAUCAUACGAUGGUACCACAGACCCCGCGGUAUGGAUAGAAUAUUUUUUCCUCCACAUUCACAUGGCCCGCAGAGAUGACCUACACGCCAUCAAGUACCUCCCAGUAAAACUAAAGGGACUGGCUCGGCAUUGGCUGAAUGGCUUGCCGGCAAACUCCAUCCGGAGUUGGGAGAACCUGGCAAACACAUUCCUUGACAACUUCCAGGGCACUUACGUACGACCACCGGAUGCUGAUGAUCUAAGUCACAUAACCCAGCAGCCCGGAGAGUCAGCCAGGAAAUUUUGGACCCGGUUCCUAACCAAAAAGAACCAAAUCGUCGACUGUCCGGAUGCCGAAGCCCUAGCGGACUUUAAGCAUAACAUCCGUGAUGAAUGGCUUGCCCGACAUCUUGGCCAGGAGAAGCCAAAGUCCAUGGCAGCCCUCACAACACUCAUGACCCGCUUUUGCGCGAGCGAGGAUAACUGGUUGGCUCGUAGCAACAAUACAGCAAGCAAUCCCGGCACAUCGAAAGCCAAUGAUAGCAACGACAAAUCAUCACGCAUCAAACACAAGCGCCGCAAAAACGGUGAUAAUGCCGAAGACACGUCAGUCAAUGCCGGAUUCAACAGCUCUAAGUACGGUCAGCGGAAGAAACCAUUCAACAAAAACAAUUCAGGCCCAUCCAGUUUUGACCGCAUACUCGACGCCCAUGCCAAAUUCAUGGCACCCAUGGAAAACCAGCCAACCACAGCAAUAGAGAAGGAUGGGUCUUCAGACAAGCCGGCUGGACAGACACCAAAAACAAGGGGAAGGGGUCUCAAAGUGACGACAACGCCGAAGAGCCCUGAUCACCGAAUAUAGGAGGACAGAUGAAAUUCCCUCUCCAGGUGAAAACGGUGAAUAUGAUAUGCACAAGCCACAUUCCCAAGUGGAAACAUGCACUCAGGGAGGUGUGUGCAAUCGACCCAAAGUCCAACCCAUGGUCCUCUUGCCCGAUCACUUUCGAUCGCAGGGACCACCCUACCAGUAUCCGUCAUAACGGAUCGACUGCAUUGGUCCUCGACCCUAUCAUCGACAGAUUCCAUCUCACACGAGUCCUCAUGGAAGGAGGCAGCAGCCUGAACCUGCUUUACAAGGAUACAAUGCGCAAAAUGGGAAUCAACCCCUUAAGGGUCAAGCCCACAAAAACCACCUUUAAAGGUAUCAUACCAGGUGUAGAGGCCUGUUGCACGGGCUCAAUCACACUGGAAGUGGUCUUCGGAUCUCCGGACAACCACCGUACCAAAACUUAGUCUUCAACAUCGUCACCUUCCGAAGUGACCAUCAGGCAUUGCUCGGACAAACCGCAUUCACUCGGUUCAAUGCGGUGCCACAUUAUGCCUACCACAAAUUAAAGAUGCCUGGUCCACGCGGCGUCAUCACGGUUAAUGGAAGGUCCAAACUCUCCCUCACGGCCAAAGAGUCUACCACCGCUUUAACAGCAAGAACAACGGACGGCACCUUAUAGUCGAACCUCGAGUUGAAGACUAAGCUCCCGGACACUAUCAAAGGAGUCCGAACUACCGCGCGGCAGGACAGCCCCGCCCGCCCGGAGAUUAAUUAAAAACACUCCGGAAAAGGAUAAUACAAGCCACAUACUGCGGCUCAACCGCCAGGUGGCGUAACACCAUUUCUUACGUUUUCUUUAUAGGUUCACCUUUACAUAGGCUAUGAUGGAUGGCAUGGGAAUAGUUCGAGCGCGUCAGGGAAUCUCUAGAGAUUCCCCUAUAAUCAUCCGACUACACCCGGAUCUGAACACAACUUCCUCACGCUGGGUAUCAGUAGUUUCCGCAAUCAUAUUUCUUUUUAUCACAUCAUCUGUACUCAUACGCAUUGACGUAUUACGCAAAUACAAGAUGUGGAUUUACGUGAUGCUCACCUACUGCUAUUUCUUAUUUAAAACUCUUUUGUUAAAAGCCGGCUGCUUAUCGCGAUACGCCUUAAUAUGCCAGGGGCUUCGUCAUGCCCAUACUACGACAAAAAAGUCCAAACACCUUCACAGUAGUCCGGCACCCCAAACUUAUAGCAUUAUAUGCAUCAACUCUGAAUCAUGUCUUGGGUCAAUAGUUGGGUUUGCCCGGCUCCUAUGUUUUGGUACCUUAUGUUCCACUACAUCGGCUAAGGUAGCACUAGGACAACUAUUGCGAUUGUGUCCCGGUUCUUCCGGACGAGCACCUCAGUAGAGAAAGCCGAAAACUGACUGUCAUGAUGUAGCGAGAGCUGGUCAACUGUAUGAGAUGUUCUAAAAUCUUUAAGGAUUCCUUCGGCAUAAUGCUAUAACCAAUGCAGCGUGCGAUGGAUCGGCCUUUUCCGAUUAGGCGCUUAUAGAGCCCCUAGUGCGGUCUUCCAAACACCAGGGGCUGCGCCUACCUUCCUUGUAACAAGUCCUAUGGCUAAGUGAGAGCGAUAAAGCUCUAUAGUCUGAUUGCCUGGUUCGCUAUGUUGAACACCUCCUUUAGGGACCCAAAUUGGGAUAAAGUGUGCUCAGGUUUAUCCCGAACACCCCCGUACUCACUACAUGGGGGCGGAAGCCGACGACUGGCCGACUCUUAGGAUUAAUAUAUAAAACGGCCGCACAGGAGGAAAAACUUUCAAACAACAAGCAAUAGAUGAUAAGAAUGCCCUUGUUCAAAUAUUACAAAGGACGAACAUGACCGUAUUUAUGGAAAUAUAAUGUCCUUGGUGCAUUGCUCUGCUACAAGGCUGCCCCCUUUCAAGACACCUUCAUAAUACAGUUCAGGCUUGCAGUGCUCCUUCCCCUCCAGCGGUCCCUCGGUCAUCAGCUUUUCUACAUCCAUCUUCCCCCAAUGCACCUCGGCACGGGCGAAGGCCAUUCGCGCACCUUCUAUCCAGACCGACCGCUGGAUGACUUCAAGUCAAGGGCAGACACUUACAAGCCGCUUCACGAGUCCGAAGUAGCUGCUUGGAAUCGGCUCAGCAGGCCACAGCUGGAUAAUUAAAUCCUUCAUGGCUAACUUGGCCGCCUUAUGCAGCUCGACCAGCUGCUUCAGCUGAUCGGAGAAAGGCACCGGAUAAUUUGGCGCCAGAUACUGCAUCCAGAAGAGCUUAUCCGCAGUAUUCCCACCUUUGGCUUGCUAGAAUUGGCGGCGUCAGAUAUGCUGCGCGGCAGCUUCGCAAAUACCCCUGUAUACAUCAAAACUCAAGUUGUCAAAUUUGAUUCUUUUCAUCUCGAAUACUUGCUUUGUACAGAAAAAUCCUUACCAGCCGCAAUCUUCCUCGCCUCCUGGAUUUCCUUCAGGGCACCUUGGGCUUCCCCCGGGGCAUCACUUGCGGCUUGGUGAGCCUGGGAGAGUUUGGAUUCUUUCCCUGCUAAACUCUGCUCCAAGGUCUCACAUUUCUACAUGGCCUCUUGAAGCUCUCGCUCAGCCUCAAUAACUCUAGCCUCGUGUUUCUCAUGACGAUCCUGCUCUGCGGCUGCCUUCUUCUCGGCUUCGGCCACAGCCCUCCUGAGAUCCUCAAUUUCGGCCGUCGCUCCUAGAGCACAUUAUAAACAUAUUUUCAUCAUGUACACUUAUUCAUUUGUGUUACAUAAUCAUGGUCUCUACAUACCUUGAGUAUCCUCCAGCUGUCUCUUCACUUGGCCAAGUUCUCCUUCGGCCCGCUCCAGACUAUGCCUCAGCCCAGAUACUUCCACAGCUUGAGAGGCGGUAGUCGCUAUAGAUGCGUGCUGGUUAAAAAGAGUGAUAAAUGUCAUCAAGUGAGUCUCCUGCGAACAUGAAUUUGAUCCUCUGUCCGGUUCUUUCUUUUAUCGAACAGUGUAUCAGGGACUACUAUCUAUACCAUGACACUCUCACAAAAACUCAUAAAACAUACCUCAAAGCCUCUUAUGAGGCUGAUACAUGAUUCAUUCAGUCCACUCUCAGCAGACUGAAUCUUCUCGAUCACCGCACCCAUGAGGGCACGGUGUUCAUCAACGAUGGAGGCACCCCUCAGCGCCGCCAAUAAAGUAUCUGGCACCUCUGGUUGGAAAGAGGCGGCUGAUGGAGCAGGCAUACCUCCUCCAGUUGGCGGAGGCUGCCUGUCUGACUCGAGGACAUUAUGGAUCUCUAGAACCAUGUAGGGCUUGGGUCCGGAUUCAAGAUGACCCCCGCCGUCGACACCCACGGGAGCUUUCUCUCUCGUGUGACCGGCCCCAGAAGUAUGGCCUCCUGGCGCCGCCUUUGCGACCUUCUCCCCUCCUCCGUGUCCUGGGUCCUUUUGGGAUGAAACCUCGGUUUCAUUCCUACCUUUGGACGAGGAGGCCUUCGGGGGUGUCCCGCUCUCCAUAGCGUCCGAACCCAGCAGAUCUUCUGACGAGGAUUGUUCGCCACGGGGCUUCGCCGGGCUGAAAAGGAUAAGCACGGCUCAGAUUAGAAUGUGAUGCCAUGACAAGUCCGGACGCAUGAGUGUGUUUGGAUUUUAUACUUACAAGUUCACCAAGGGCUCGGCCCUGGGAUCCCACUCCGGGCUGCUAUCGGUGGCGCCAGUGGACUCCUCUUGCAGAGGAAUUUUUCCCCUCUUAGGCGAAUCAGCCUCCAAGGAGUUGGAGGCCGUUCUUUUCUUCUUUCCCCCUGCGGGGGAUUCGUCGUCCUCCUCCCCGUCCUCUUCGGAGGAAGAAUGGGCAUUGGAGUCUUCGGAUUUUGUGUCCGGGGCACCACAGCGACGGAGGACGCCCCUGGUCUUCUUGGCCUCCUUUUCAGUCUUCUUCAUCGGCGCUUUAUAUGGCGCUAGGACCAACAUCUUCAUUAGAAGUGGGCCGGCCAGUUCUUCUGACAGAGGGGCUGGACAGUACAUCCACCCCGCCUUCUUCGCCCAGCCCUAGGAAAAUGAUGGGAGAUACGUUAAGUAUUUUCCUCAGGAUGUACGGAUAGAACACAUGAAUUAUCAAACAUUCAGUUGCUUACCGAACUCACGGGGCGGGACAAUUGGUACCCCCGGUCCUUGGUGGAGUCCGGCCACUAUUUGCCGAAAAGCACCUUCCAGAUGUCUUUGUGCGUAGAGCCAAAGAGUUCUAGCAGGGUCUGGUGCUUGGCCGGGUUGAACUCCCAUAGAUUGCAAGCUCGGUGUUGACAUGGUAGAAUCGGACGAACCAACAUCACCUGGACUGCAUUGACGAGCUUGACGCUCUUGUCUUCCAUGUCUUGGACGCAUGUCUGGAGCUCUGAUAGCUUGUCAGAUGAAGCCCAUCCCAGGCCCUUCUUGUGCCAGGACGUAAGUCGUAGGGGGGCACCGGAUCUGAACUCCGAAAUGGCAGUCCACUCCUUGCCACGCGGCUCGGUGAUGUAGAACCACUGCUGCUGCCACUCCUUGACGGAAUCAUUGACAGUCCCUGUCGGCCAUGUAACGUUGGGCAUCUUACUCACCAUGGCACCUCCGCAUUCAGCAUGCUCGCCACUCACUACCUUGGUCUUUAUAUUAAAAACCUUUAGCCAUAAGCCGAAGUGCGGCGGAACGCGGAGAAAGGCCUUGCAGAUGACUAUGAAUGUCGAGAUGUUGAGGAAGGAAUUUGGGGAUAGAUCAUGGAAAUCAAUCCCGUAGUAGUACAUGAUGCCGCGAACAAAUGGGUGGACGGGAAACCCUAGCCCGCGGACAAAGUGAGUGAGAAAUACCACCCUCUUGUGGGGUUCCGGGGUGGGGACGAUCUGUCCCGCCGUCGGAAGACGGUGGCCAAUUCUCUUAGCCAGAUACCCGCCCCCCCCCCAAAGCUUUUUGAUAUCCUUCUCCCGGACGGUAGAGGCCAUCCACUUACCUCCUGCUCCAGAUCUGUACAUCUUCGGGAAGCCUUUUUGGGUGGAGAAGAGGAGUGCUUGGGCACAAGGGCUCGAGCGGAAAGGAAUGGAUGAGUAGAGAAGAGCGUGGGUGAAAGGGAAGGUUCUUAUCCCCUUAUAAAGGCAACAAAGAUCCCGUGCCUCCCCACUUUCCUGCUAAAAAUGCUUAUUCCUCCAAGCGCCACGAUUGAUGGCACGGUUGGGUUACCGCACCCGUAUAAAUGAGAAUCCCGCAAUAAGGGGACACAAUCUCUGCUUCGACAUGACUUGCUGAUAAAACCGCCUCGCGAUAUGUGCGUCAGCAGGUUAUGAAAACGGUUCGAAUAAUAACCGGGCCAUGGCAUGACGUCAUGCUAUAAAAAGCUAUCAGCAGAUUGCAUCUAUGGAAUAUUGUAUUCUCUUCGGUGGUAUGUGGAAUUUGUUUUGCAGAGCCGGACACGAUUCUCGUGUUAUAAAUCAUCUAUGGAGUAUUUGGAGAAGAACCCGCCUUGCAAUGCCGAAGACAAUCUGUGCGCCGGACUCAUCGUCAUUGAAGCCUGGUUCAGGGGCUACUGAGGGAGUCCUGGAUUAAGGGGUCCUCGGACAGCCGGACUAUAUACUUUGGCCGGACAGUUGGACUAUGAAGAUACAAGAUUGAAGACUUCGUCCCAUGUCCGGAUGGGACUCUCCUUUGCGUGGAAGGCAAGCUUGGAUAUUCGGAUAUGUAGAUCUCCUUCUCCGUAACCGACUUUAUGUAACCCUAGCCCCUCCCAUGUCUAUAUAAACCGGAGGGUUUAGUCCGUAGGAUAAUCAAUCAUAAUCAUAGGCUAGCUGCUAGUGUUUAGCCUCUACGAUCUCGUGGUAGAUCAACUCUUGUAAUACUCAUAUCAUCAAGAUCAAUCAAGCAGGAAGUAGGGUAUUGCCUCCAUCGAGAGGUCUCGAACCUGGGUAAAACAUUGUGUCCCCUGCCUCCUGUUACCAUUAGCCUUAGAUGCACAGUUCGGGACCCCCGACCCGAGAUCCGCCGGUUUUGACACCGACACUAAGCACUUCUCCCGUUGCAAGAAAGAUCAAUCUAGUAGGCCAAACCAAACUGAUAAUUCGAAGAGACUUGCAAAGAUAACUUAAUCACACAUAAAAGAAUUCAGAGGAGAUUCAAAUAUUUCUCAUAGAUAAACUUGAUCAUAAACCCACAAUUCAUUGGAUCUCGACAAACACACCGCAAAAAGAGUUACAUCGAAUAGAUCUCCAAGAAGAUCGAGGAGAACAUGGUAUUGAGAUCCAAAAAGAGAGAAGAAGCCAUCUAGCUAAUAACUAUGGACCCGAAGGUCUAUGGUAAACUACUCACAACUCAUCGGAGGGGCUAUGGUGUUGAUGUAGAAGCCCUCCAUGGUCAAUUCCUCCUCCGACGGAGCGCCGGCGAAGGCUCCAAGAGGGCAUCUCGCGGAUACAGAAGGUUGCUCCACCCUCAUGGCCGCCUUGACUGCUUCUUUACUUACACUCCAAGUCCUCUGGAUCACGAUCGUUCCAAAAAUCAUGCUCCCGAAGGUUUCAUUCCGUUUGGACUCCGUUUGAUAUUCCUUUUCUUCGAAACACUGAAAUAGGCAAAAAAAACAGCAAUACGGGUUAGGCCUCUGGUUAAAAGGUUAGUCCCAAAAAUGAUAUAAAUGUGUAAAGUAAAGCCCAUAAACAUCCAAAACGGGUAAUAUAAUAGCAUGGAACAAUCAAAAUUUAUAGAUGCGUUGGAGACGUAUCAAGCAUCCUCAAGCUUAAUUCCUGCUCGUCCUCAAGUAGGUAAAUGAUAAAAACAGAAUUUUUGAUGUGGAAUGCUACCUCGCAUAAUUCUCAAUGUAAUUUUCUUUAUUGUGGCAUGAAUGUUCAGAUCCAAAUGAUUCAAAAUAAAAGUUCAUAUUGACAUAAGAAAUAAUAAUACUUCAAGCAUACUCAUCAAAGCAAUCAUGUCUUCUCAAAAUAACAUGGCUAAAGAAAGUUAUCCCUACAAAAUCAUAUAGUCUGGCUGUUGCUCUAUCUUCAUCACACAAAGUAUUUAAUCAUGCACAAACCCGAUGACAAGCCAAGCAAUUGUUUCAUGCUUUAGUAAUCUCAAACUUUUUCAACUUUCACGCAAUACAUGAGCGUGAGCCUUGGACAUAGUACUAUAUGUGGAAUAGAAUGGUGGUUGUGGAGAAGAAAAAAAUGAAGAAGAUAGUCUCACAUCAACUAGGCGCAUCAACGGGCUAUGGAGAUGCCCAUUAAUAGAUAUCAAUGUGAGUGAGUAGGGGUUGUCAUGCAAUGGAUGCACUAGAGCUAUAAAUGUAUGAAAGCUCAAAGAAGGAAACUAAGUGGGUGUGCAUCCAACUUGCUUGCUCACGAAGACCUAGGGCAUUUUGAGGAAGCCCAUCAUUGGAAUAUACAAGCCAAGUUCUAUAAUGAAAAAUUCCCAAUAGUAUAUGAAAGUGAAAACAUAGGAGACUCUCUAUCAUGAAGAUCAUGGUGCUACUUUGAAGCACAAGUGUGGUAAAAAGGAUAGUAGUAUUGUCCCUUCUCUCUUUUUCUCUCAUUUUUAUAUAUUUUUUCUUUUUUUCUUUUUUUUCUUUUUUUUGGGCCUCCUCUUUUUUUGGCCUUUCUUUUUUUUUAUUUUUCUCUUUCUUAUUUUUUUUAAAGUCCGAAGUCUCAUCCCGACUUGUGGGGGAAUCAUAGUCUCCAUUAUCCUUUCCUCACUAGGACAAUACUCUAAUAAUGAAGAUCAUCACACUUUAUUUACUUACAACUCAAGAUUACAACUCAAUACUUAGAACAAGAUAUGACUCUAUAUGAAUGCCUCCACUGGUGUACCGGGAUAUGCAAUGAAUCAAGAGUGACAUGUAUGAAAAUUAUGAAGGUGGCCUAGCCACAAAUACGAUGUCAACUACAUGAUCAUGCAAAGAGCAACAUGGCAAUGAUUGUCGGUGUUCUGGCCCAAGACUUGCCUGCCUGCGGCCUGCAGCGUGGCUCAAGUGGGGGCCCAGUGUAGCCCAGCUUCAUCAGCAAAAGCUCAAGACCCUAGCAAGGGGCCAGGCCUCGCGGGGCGGAUGUAACACCCUCGAUGCGACUAUAGCUCCCACGUGUCGAGGCACGACUUAGAGACAUAAUCGCAUUGAAGGCAUAUGUCGCAAGUGAGGUAAUCGUCACAUAACCCAUGCAAUACAUAAGGGAAAGUGAUACAUAGUUGGCUUGCAAUCGCCACUUCACACCAUUACAUAAAUAAACAUUACAUCAAUCAAAUACACUCAUGGUCCGACUACGGAACCAAAAUAAAAGAAGAACCCCAAAUGCGACAAAGGUCCCCGAUCGACCCCAACUGGGCUCCACUACUGAUCAACUAGAACGAAACAACACAAAGGACAAGGUCGUCAUCGAGCUCCUCCUGAGCUUGGUUGCGUCAUCUGCACGGACUCAUCGGCACCUACAAGAUGGUUUUGGAAGUAUCUGUGAGCCACAGGGACUCAGCAAUCUCACACCCUCGCGAUCAAGACUAUUUAAGCUUAUGGGUAAGGUAAAGGUAUGAGGUGGAGCUGCAGCAAGCGACUAGCAUAUAUGGUGGCUAACAUACGCAACUGAGAGCGAGAAGAGAAGGCAAAGCACGGUCGAUAAAAGUAUGACCAAGAAGUGAUCCUGGACUACUUACGUCAAGCAUAACUCCAACAACCGUGUUCACUUCCCGGACUCCGCCGGAAAGAGACCAUCACGGUUAGACACGCAGUUGAUGCGUUUUAUUUCGGAUCUGGUGUCAAGUUAUCUACAACCGGACAUUAACAAAUUCCAAUCUGCCUAUAACCACAGGCACGGCUUUCGAAAGAUUAUACCCUGCAGGGGUGUCCCAACUUAGCCCAUGACAAGCUCUCGCGAUCAAGGAAGGAAUAGACCUUCUCCCAGGAAGACCCGAUCAGACUCGGAAUCCCGGUUUACAAGACAUUUCGACAAUGGUAAAACAAGACCAGCAAGACCGCCCGAUGCGCCGACAAUCCCGAUAGGAGCUGCACAUAUCUCGUUCUUAGGGCAACACCGGAUGAACACUACGUACAACUAAAACCAGACCUCAAGUUUCCCCGAGGUGGCGCUGCAAGUGGCUCUGGUUCGGACCAACACUUAGACAAGCAUUGGCCCGGGGGGCGGGGCUAUAAUAAAGAUGACCCUCGAGAGAGCGACUCCCAAGGGAAAAGUAGGUGGUGGUGAGGCAAAUGGUAAAAGUCAAUGUUGGGCCUUGCUGGAGGAGUUUUAUUCAAAGCGAACUGUCAAGGGGGUCCCAUAAAUCACCCGACCGCGAAAGGAACGCAAAAUCCAGGAACAUAACACCGGUAUGACGGAAACUAGGCCAGCAAGAGUGGAACAAAACACCAGGCAAAAGGCCAAGCCUUCCACCCUUUACCAAGUAUAUAGAUGCAUUAAUUAUAUAAGAUAUAUUGUGAUAUCCCAACCAAAAUCCUGUCCACCAUGGAGAAAUCUUCAACUUCACCUGCAACUAGCAACGCUAUAAGAGGGGCUGAGCAAGCGGCAACAUAGCCAAUCAACGGUUUGCUAGGACAUGGUGGGUUAGAGGUUUGACAUGGCAAUUGGGAGGCUGACAAGCAAAUGGUAGGCAUCGAAGCAUUGGCAUAGCAAGAGCGAGCAAACUAGCAUAGCAAAGAUAGUAGUGAUUUCGAGGGUAUGAUCAUCUUGCCUUAAAUCCCGCAAGGAAGAAGAACGAGUCCAUGAAGAAGAAAAACGGACGUAGACGAACGGUUCCUCACAAACGCGACGUUGUCGGAAACAACCCGAAGAAGCACAUCGGAAAGAAGCAAACAACAUAGUAAACAACAAACACAUCAACAUGGCAUGAAGCAGAAACGAGUAUGAUGCAUGUCCGGUUUAAUGAGGCACGGCAUGGCAAAAUGCACAAACAAUCCUACAAAUUAAGUGGAGCUCAACAUGCAACUCCGUUGCAUAUUGACGAAACACCACAUGACUUAUUUAGUUCUCUCUCAUUAGGUACUCAACAAUAUAAAUGUUGUUUAAGCAUGGCAAGAGGUGAAACAUAAUUAAACUAACAAUUUAAGCAAGUUUAAAUGAGGCCGGAAACAACAAACAACAAUUCCGGAAAAUCCCCAUACCAUUUAGUAGUUUAAUGCAAACACAAUUUUAAACAUUUAAAUGUUGUUAUCAUGAUGCGGAUGACAUAUACAAGUUUAUGCAAUUUUAUGAAAACAUUGACAUGAGCACGAUACGAGGCAUUUGUCGCCAUGGCGGGAGGAAAAAUGUGCAACGACGGUGAAACGGAAAUGGUGCCAUGGCAACAUUCCGAUCCCGAUAACUCGAGUGAGUUACCGAUGCAAACGAGAAGUGUGACGUGAGCGUGUCAUGCAAGGAUGGUGGGGUGCUCCCGACUACCGGGUUCCCACGUGUCGGUGGCAUGGCAAAGAGCGACAAAUCGGACACGGUGCAAACAUAUCGUACAACUCAUACAUGCAAGGGCAUCUCAUCGCGGUCGGUCAUCUUGGUGGUUAUACCUUCGAAGCGUGCGUUUAGGGGCGGUUCAAAACAUCGAGGGAAGUAGUUGUUCACGUGGCGACGGUAGUUGAAGUAGACGUUAACGGGAUCUCAGCGGGUCGUCGUGUAGCCGUACAUGUUUGAAGCGGAACUUGGCGUAUCCAUGUAGUAGGCGUUCUGGUCCUGUAGUCGUUCGAGCGUCCGUGUGGUCUUGCCGGUGGGGUACUUGGCGCUUGCGGUCCAACUCCGAGGUCAUAGCCGUGUAGUCAAACUUGACGAAAACAGGUCUUGCUGGGGACUUGGCGCAUCCAUCAGGAACUUGGUGGUGGUCUCCUCGGGUCAACAGUGAUGUGCAAGGGCUAGAACGCCCGGGUCUUGGGCUGCUCAAGGCCAUGGAGAUGACAGGCAGCAGGAGGAUGCUAGUGGAGGCAGAGCCACCACGAGGAGGUCCUGCUCUGGCAGCUGCAAGUGGUGGACGAACGCAGGCAGCGGCAAGGCUCGGGCGUGAAGGAGAAGGGGCCGGCGCGAGGUGGGUGAUGGAGGAGAGCAUCUCCCGCGCAGGAAGGAGGUUGAGGCUGGGCACGCGCCGGAGUUGACGAGCUCCUGGUCGAGCGGAGAGCUCGGGCAAGGCAGCGGCACCGUGGACGAAGGGAGCAGGAACUCGGGCGACGAGGCAAGGGACCGAGAGGAGCGGGGUCGGCAAGGCAAAUGAUUCGGGGACGGCACGCGAGAAAAGCAACGGCAGCAGGGCGCGGGCGAACCAAGGAGGCCGGCGGCGCCAUGGCCGUGCGGGCAGGCGAGCUCGCGGAGGAGGCCAACGGGGCUCCGGCCUGGCUCUCUUCUUCGGCGAGGGCGGAGCGCGGGAGCAAGGGGAGGAGAAGCAGGGCGCGGCGAGCUGCGGUUCCUGGUGGACGGGGCACGACGGCGAUGAUGGGGAUCGGGCGUGGGGCUCCUGCGUGCGGGAUCGAGCGAGAGAUGGGGCGCAAAGGAGGGGAAGGGGAAGAUCGAGGAGAUGGGCUCCUCUGGCGGCACGAGGGAGGAGAGGGAGACAAGAGGGAGAGAUGGGGAUCGGGCGCUGCGGCUAGGGUUAGAGGGGCACCGGCUAGGCCUUGGGCCGGCUUAGGUUGGCCGGGCCUAAGAGGCCGGCUGGGCUGCAAGGCUCUCUUCUUCCUCUCUAAAGAAAAUAAAAACAAAACAGAGAUAGGAAAGAAAAGAAAGAGGGGUUAGGGGAAGAAGUAGGACAUGGGUAUAAUUUCCUUGGACUCACAAAAAUAUGCUCGUACCAAGAAAAAUAGAAAGAGGCAUGAUUGUAAGAUUAAAUUCAAACUCAUUUGAUUUAAAUUCAAAUGGGUUUGAACGGAAGUGAGGGUUUGGGAAGGUCCAAAAAUGUUCGGAUUUUUGGUGGAGCUCCGGAAAAUGAUGAAAUAAUUUAUGGGCAGAGUUGGAGACCAAGAAUUAAGAUAAUAAAGGCAUUGGGAUAUUUUGCAACUGUGUUAAGGUGAUUCCAAAACAAUGGAAUAUUUUAUUAUAGCUCCCUAAAUAUCGGGAGGGUAUGUUAUAAAGAGAAGUCACCCUUCCCUCGAUUUAAAUGGAUCGAAGAUCCAUACAAUUUGUUUAGUUGAGUUUUAAAAAUUAAAUGGCAUGAUGACAUGAUGCAAUGCAAAAAUAAAAGAGCAAGCACAAAAGAAACACAUGGCAAAACUCGGAAUAGCUGGAAGUAUUCUGAAGCAUUGGUCUUGGGGCGUUACAACACUCCACCACUACAAGAGGAUCUCGUCCCGAGAUCUAGGAUGGCACCGGAGGGAAACGGAAGAGGAAGAUAAGCGGUAAAACUAAGUUGCUUCUUUGGCAAACGAGUAAAACCACGAACCUUGAGAGGUUGAACAAAUUGAAAGAAAGAAAGAACACAACAGAGUUGAACGGAUUGGAAAGCACUCCGUUAGAAAAGAGAAACAAGGGAAAACAACUUCGGGUAGCUCUCCGGUUGAGAAGUGAUGCAAGACUUGAUAUGGUGAAAAGAACUUGAGGAGAGGACACGACACUCCGGUUACACAAGAUAGAGAAGGAAUAAGACUGAUAUAAUUUGAGCAGCACUCCGACUGUAAAUGGAAAGAAUUCAACAUGAACUAGACAAACAAGAUGAUGGGUCAAAGAGAGCAACAUCACAAUGCCUCCGGAACAAAAGUAAGAAUGGAAUGGGAUGAACGAAGGGAAACAUAACUCGAGGGAGCACGCUUACAACAAAAGCUAGAACGGAGUUGUUGGAAAACCAACAACGAAAACAAUAAGUUUUUAGUGGGCUUAUGGAAAACAUCUCAAAACUAUGAGGUGAAAUUCUGCCACUAAUGGAAAUGAUAUAUUAGAUUGAUAACAACAAGGAGAUGAGAAGCUUAAUUCACCGGGAGGAUAGAUGAAUAACUUGGGUCAUUUAUAACCAACAUAGAUAGCAACAAGCCAUAGGGAAGGCUUUAGGUGAAAUAUAACCGGAGAUAACUCCAACGAAGAGGUUGAUGGAUUUAAAAUAUCUCAUACUUGAUAACUUGUGAAACACGAAGCACGAAGGGAAAUUAUCAAGAAUGACAUAAUACCCCCUCCAAUGAUACGGUAGAAAGGAAAUGCACUUCGGAAUGCGAGAUGAAGAAUGCUUUAGCUCCUUAAAAAGAAUCUCGAUGAAAACUUCAAGAAGGAAUAAAAUCCUUGAUGAACCCUCAUGUAUAGCCUCCAUGAAGAAACUCCGGUAACAAAAGAAUGAUCAAACGAAAAGAAAGAGAAGUUGAAAAUACAAGGUGAAAUCUUGUAAAGAUUUAGAUAGAUCUUUGGAAUGAUAAUUAGAGCUUGGAACUCCGGGAAAGAAAAGAUGAAUAUUAGAACCGAGAAUUACUUCAUCAUGAACAAUCUCUGGAAGAAGGAAUUAAUCACUUGGAUGAAACAAGAAUAAGAAUUAUGUCAUGCCUAUCCUUCACCAAUUUAAAUUGAUGACAAGCAACAGAUUUGGCAUACUACUUAUUCUCAUAGAAAGGAUCAAGAUAGAUAUGGCGCAAACUUUAGAAAAUCUUCAUCAACCACCGGUGGAAUUUGGAAACAACGAAUGAAUUGAUAUGAUAACCAAGGAAAGAGAACUCUUGAACGAACCACCGUAAGAAUUGAAAAUGAAAGUAACAAAGGCACAAUUCACCGAGAAGAAUUGGAAAACGAAUGAAGAUACUUGAGGCGAUUUAGAAACAUGAGAAUGAAGAGAUCCUGAGCUGACUAGAGGGUAUAUGAACGAAUCACCGGUAAGAUUUGGAGAACAAGAGUUGAAGGUUGAGAAUGAGUAAUAUUCAGAAAUGACGGCAUUCGGAUUAUCAAGAAAGGAAGCAACUCCUGAAAUGCAUCAGAUGGUUGAAAAGAAUUGUCACAAUCAAAACAAUUAUGAGGAUAGCAUCAAGCUAGAACCAUGAAUCUUCAAGAGAAUGGACCAAGAUUUAAGAGAAAUCCUUCUUCGGUCUUCAAAAGUUGAGAAAGAUGAUGAGAACCACCAUGAAUUGUUGAGAUUCUCCGGAAUGAAAAUUGGAAAGGUUGAACCAACGAUGAAAAUAUUUCAAAGCGAUCUUGGAGAAGGCAUGUGACUGAUGGAAUCCAUUCUUACGUCACACUUUGAAAAGAAUUUGGGAAUAGCACCAGAAUAAUUAGAAGAGUCAGGUAAGAUCCUGGGAAAAAAAUCUGUGGGUUAGGGCCCACUCAAAAGAAAACACCGUUGAACAAUUGAUUGAAAGGGGGGAUUGCACUGGUUGAAUUAAAUGGCUUGAAUGAGAUAACAACCUCGAAAUAUCUUGAACGGAUUGAGAAUGGAAACACAAGUCUUCCGAGAUAUCUUGAGCACUCCAGAACAAAUGAAAAGCGAGAAGUGAAAGAUUAAGAGGUGCACCGGUAUGAACAAGCAUUUGACACGAGGAAAAAAAUAUGAUCAACACCGAAAGCUUGAAAUUAACACCACCGGAGAAGAAACAAUAAUGAAGGAUGAUGAACUUGAAGCUCGUGAGCAUCUUCACGAGGGAUCACCGGAUCAGAACAUUGAUCGAAAAGAGUAUAGUGACUUCACAUGAAUAAAUGGAUACUUGAUUAAAAUAAAUGAGUCCUUGAAGAAAAAUGGGUGGGAGGGCGGGAAAACAAAGACAACUUGGGACGGAUGAAACAAACACCGUUGAGAAAACUGAGAGGUGAUCUUGCGAAUGUUGAAAUGAUCGGAUCCACUUGAAAAGAAGCACACCGGUUGGAAAGAAUUGACAUGACAAUCUCGAUGAUCGAAAGGAUUAGCACUCCCAUAGAAAUAUGAGAACACCAUUUAAGAAAGGUAUGGAUUCAACAUUUGACUCGAAGCAACUCGAAUACCACAAAUAAAACAAAACAAAGGAUUGGCUUGUAGAAUAAGCCGGAACAAACAUAUGAUAGAGAUUUCGUCCGAAGUUUUCGUGGUGGGGCCCACAUGGGCUCGAGUGUACAACACCAUCAUGUACAAGGCAGUGCACAUGACAUACGAAGUGUCCCCGAACCAGCAUAGCCAAGGGUUCUUUAAGACACAACGAGACCACUGUAAAAACGACCGUGGAAAGGCGGACCACUAGACGUCGAACCCCAAUUUCAUAUCAUACAUCUGUCGAAAAGAUACCCUAAGAGCUACUUGAAUUCCCACCUAUGAAACUCCCGAAAUUUUCCGGUUAUGCAAUCAGGUGUUGGGGAUAUAGGGGAAGCAUAAUAUCUCACCCAAACUAGCAAAUCCUACAUCCAGCUGUAUCCAUCCUUCAACACAUAACCAAGAAACCUUCGGAAAUCAUCUACCUCGACCUUCAAAAAGCAUCCGUUAUACAAGUUAUGGCAAUACUCCCGAACUCCCGCCCCAGUACUGGGUGGCGUCGAGGUUAUCUCACCAACGAACUGCAUAAAAGAGAUUUUCGAUGUCGGCGUACUAAACUCAGGUAUUCCAGAACUGCAACGAUAAAAUUAUGAUGACAACACCUCAGAGCUCAACUCCCCGGGACACUUCCACAAAACCCCUGACAGGAGGCACCAAUACAAUGAUCUCAUCAUAAAACCAUUGGAACGAUUCCAAGAUACCCGCGUGAUCCUAAAAUUUUUUUAGUGAAAUUUGAGAAGAGAAGAGUCAAAACUCUACGUCAGGAUGCCUCGCAAGAGUGACGAAGGGACUGAGGAGUAAAAAGAAUUCCUAAACUCUCCGAUAUAUAAUUCCUAAAUGACUCAAAACAUUUUUCUAGACACAACUCGGCCACUAAAAACGAUCAAGCAAUGGGGCUCCUAAGGUCGGGGAAGGCUCUGAUUACCAACUUGUAACACCCUCGAUGCGACUAUAGCUCCCACGUGUCGAGGCAUGACUUAGAGACAUAAUCGCAUUGAAGGCAUAUGUCGCAAGUGAGGUAAUGGUCACACAACCCAUGUAAUACAUAAGGGAAAGUGAUACAUAGUUGGCUUACAAUCGCCACUUCACAGCAUUACAUAAAUAAACAUUACAUCAAUCAAAUACACUCAUGGUCCGACUACGGAACCAAAAUAAAAGAAGAACCCCAAAUGCGACAAAGGUCCCCGAUCGACCCCAACUGGGCUCCACUACUGAUCAACUAGAACGAAACAACACAAAGGACAAGGUCGUCAUCGAGCUCCUCCUGAGCUUGGUUGCGUCAUCUGCACAGACUCAUCAGCACCUACAAGCUGGUUUUGGAAGUAUCUGUGAGCCACAGGGACUCAGCAAUCUCACACCCUCGUGAUCAAGACUAUUUAAGCUUAUGGGUAAGGUAAAGGUAUGAGGUGGAGCUACAGCAAGCGACUAGCAUAUAUGGUGGCUAACAUACGCAACUGAGAGCGAGAAGAGAAGGCAAAGCACGGUCGAUAAAAGUAUGAUCAAGAAGUGAUCCUAGACUACUUACAUCAAGCAUAACUCCAACAACCAUGUUCACUUCCCGGACUCCGCCGGAAAGAGACCAUCACGGUUACACACGCAGUUGAUGCAUUUUAUUUCGGAUCUGGUGUCAAGUUAUCUACAACCGGACAUUAACAAAUUCCCAUCUGCCUAUAACCGCAGGCACGGCUUUCGAAAGAUUAUACCCUGCAGGGGUGUCGCAACUUAGCCCAUGACAAGCUCUCGCGAUCAACGAAGGAAUAGACCUUCUCCCAGGAAGACCCGAUCAGACUCAGAAUCUCGGUUUACAAGACAUUUCGACAAUGGUAAAACAAGACCAGCAAGACCGCCCGAUGCGCCGACAAUCCUGAUAGGAGCUGCACAUAUCUCGUUCUCAGGGCAACACCAAAUGAACACUACGUACAACUAAAACAAGACCUCGAGUUUCCCCGAGGUGGCGCUGCAAGUGGCUCUGGUUCGGACCAACACUUAGACAAGCACUGGCCCGGGGGGGGGCUAUAAUAAAGAUGACCCUCGAGAGAGCAACUCCCAAGGGAAAAGUAGGUGGUGGUGAGGCAAAUGGUAAAAGUCAAUGUUGGGCCUUGCUGGAGGAGUUUUAUUCAAAGCGAACUGUCAAGGGGGUCCCAUAAAUCACCCGACCGCGUAAGGAACGCAAAAUCCAGGAACAUAACACCGGUAUGACGGAAACUAGGCCGGCAAGAGUGGAACAAAACACCAGGCAAAAGGCCAAGCCUUCCACCCUUUACCAAGUAUAUAGAUGCAUUAAUUAUAUAAGAUAUAUUGUGAUAUCCCAACCAAAAUCCUGUCCACCAUGGAGAAAUCUUCAACUUCACCUGCAACUAGCAACGCUAUAAGAGGGGCUGAGCAAGCGGUAACAUAGCCAAUCAACAGUUUCCUAGGACAUGGUGGGUUAGAGGUUUGACAUGGCAAUUGGGAGGCUGACAAGCAAAUGGUAGGCAUCGAAGCAUUGGCAUAGCAAGAGCGAGCAAACUAGCAUAGCAAAGAUAGUAGUGAUUUCGAGGGUAUGAUCAUCUUGCCUUAAAUCCCGCAAGGAAGAAGAACGAGUCCAUGAAGAAGACAAACGGACGUAGACGAACGGUUCCUCACAAACGCGACGUUGUCGGAAACAACCCGAAGAAGCACAUCGGAAAGAAGCAAACAACAUAGUAAACAACAAAAACAUCAACAUGGCAUGAAGCACAAACGAGUAUGAUGCAUGUCCGGUUUAAUGAGGCACGGCAUGGCAAAAUGCACAAACAAUCCUACAAAUUAAGUGGAGCUCAACAUGCAACUCCGUUGCAUAUUGACUAAACACCACAUGACUUAUUUAGUUCUCUCUCGUUAGGUACUCAACAAUAUUAAAUGUUGUUUAAGCAUGGCAAGAGGUGAAACAUAAUUAAACUAACAAUUUAAGCAAGUUUAAAUGAGGCCGGAAACAACAAACAACAAUUCCGGAAAAUCCCCAUACCAUUUAGUAGUUUAAUGCAAACACAAUUUUAAACAUUUAAAUGUUGUUAUCAUGAUGCGGAUGACAUAUACAAGUUUAUGCAAUUUUAUGAAAACAUUGACAUGAGCACGAUACGAGGCAUUUGUCACCAUGGUGGGAGGAAAAAGGUGCCACGACGGUGAAACGGAAAUGGUGCCAUGGCAACAUUCCGAUCCCGAUAACUCGAGUGAGUUACCGAUGCAAACGAGAAGUGUGACAUGAGCGUGUCAUGCAAGGAUGGUGGGGUGCUCCCGACUACCGGGUUCCCACGUGUCGGUGGCAUGGCAAAGAGCGACAAAUCGGACACGGUGCAAACAUAUCGUACAUCUCAUACAUGCAAGGGCAUCUCAUCGCGGUCGGUCAUCUCGGUGGUUAUACCUUCGAAGCGUGCGUUUCGGGGCGGUUCAAAACGUCGAGGGAAGUAGUUGUUCACGUGGCGACGGUAGUUGAAGUAGACGUUCACGGGAUCUCAGCGGGUCGUCGUGUAGCCGUACAUGUUCGAAGUGGAACUUGGCAUAUCCAUGUAGUAGGCGUUCCGGUCCUGUAGUCGUUCGAGCGUCCGUGUGGUCUUGCCGGUGGGGUACUUGGCGCUUGCGGUCCAACUCCGAGGUCAUAGCCGUGUAGUCAAACUUGACGAAAACAGGUCUCGCUGGGGACUUGGCGCAUCCAUCAGGAACUUGGUGGUGGUCUCCUCGGGUCAAUAGUGAUGUGCAAGGGCUAGAACGCCCGGGUCUUGGGCUGCUCAAGGCCAUGGAGAUGAUAGGCAGCAGGAGGCUGCUAGUGGAGGCAGAGCCACGACGAGGAGGUCCUGCUCCGGCAGCUGCAAGUGGUGGACGGACGCAGGCAGCGGCAAGGCUCGGGCGUGAAGGAGAAGGGGCCGGCGCGAGGUGGGUGAUGGAGGAGAGCAUCUUCCGCGCAGGGAAGGAGGUUGAGGCUGGGCACGCGCCGGAGUUGACGAGCUCCUGGUCGAGCGGAGAGCUCGGGCGAGGCAGCGGCACCGUGGACGAAGGGAGCAGGAACAAGGGCGACGAGGCAAGGGACCGAGAGGAGCGGGGUCGGCAAGGUGAAUGAGUCGGGGACGGCACGCGAGAAAAGCAACGGCAGCAGGGCGCGGGCGAACCAAGGAGGCCGGCGGCGCCAUGGCCGUGUGGGCAGGCGAGCUCGCGGAGGAGGCCAACGGGGCUCCAGCCUGGCUCUCUUCUUCGGCGAGGGCGGAGCGCGGGAGCAAGGGGAGGAGAAGCAGGGCGCGGCGAGCUGCGGUUCCUGGUGGACGGGGCACGACGGCGAUGAUGGGGAUCGGGCGUGGGGCUCCUGCGUGCGGGAUCGAGCGAGAGAUGGGGCGCAAAGGAGGGGAAGGGGAAGAUCGAGGAGAUGGGCUCCUCCGGCAGUGCGAGGGAGGAGAGGGAGACGAGAGGGAGAGAUGGGGAUCGGGCGCUGCGGCUAGGGUUAGAGGGGCACCGGCUGGGCCUUGGGCCGGCUUAGGUUGGCCGGGCCUAAGAGGCCGGCUGGGCUGCAAGGCUCUCUUCUUCCUCUCUAAAGAAAAUAAAAACAAAACAGAGAUAGGAAAGAAAAGAAAGAGGGGUUAGGGGAAGAAGUAGGACAUGGGGAUAAUUUCCUUGGACUCACAAAAAUAUGCUCGUACCAAGAAAAAUACAAAGAGGCAUGAUUGAAAGAUUAAAUUCAAACUCAUUUGAUUUAAAUUCAAAUGGGUUUGAACGGAAGUGAGGGUUUGGGAAGGUCCAAAAAUGUUCAGAUUUUUGGUGGAGCUCCGGAAAAUGCUGAAAUAAUUUAUGGGCAGAGUUGGAGACCAAGAAUUAAGAUAAUAAAGGCAUUGGCAUAUUUUGCAAGUGUGUUAAGGUGAUUCCAAAACAAUGGAAUAUUUUAUUAUAGCUCCCUAAAUAUUUGGAGGGUAUGUUAUAAAGAGAAGUCACCCUUCCCUCGAUUUAAAUGGAUCGAAGAUCCAUACAAUUUAUUUAGUUGAGUUUGAAAAAUUAAAUGGCAUGAUGACAUGAUGCAAUGCAAAAAUAAAAGAGCAAGCACAAAAGAAACACAUGGCAAAACUCGGAAUAGCUGGAAGUCUUCUGAAGCAUCGGUCUUGGGGCGUUACAGGGGACGACACAAAGCUUCCUUAGGAGCAACCUCAUCAGGUAGGCUCGCGAGGAGGCGGAGAGAUCAAGGCAGGGCACCUCGCGAGGAGCCCGUGACGCAAGCCUGCGCAGUGUCCUUGUUUCUCCUUCGUUGCAACAAGACCAAGACCAGCUGAAUAGCAGGAUGGAGGUCAUCGUGGAUCCCAGGACAGUGUUACCACCAGAGUCUUUGGCAGUCGAAGACCAACUUUAGUCAGGAUAAGUGUACUAGAUGUUCCCCUUCAAAAUGGCCAAUUGUUGGCGGCCUUUCCACUCAUUAUUUGGGAAGAGGCCCAGGGCCUCCCUCUAUAAAUAGAGCUAGCCACCACAAGGCAAAGGGACGGAUCGAUCAGAGAGAGAGAGAGAGAGAGAGAGAGAGGAGCGUUGAACUCACCCAAGCAGUUCAUCGCACUAGCUCAAGAACAGCCCCUCGCGAGGCUAUUCCCCUUUGUAUUGUUCAUCAUCGGCCCCUGAGGCAAUCCACUACACCACACACUGGAGUAGGGUAUUACACCACAUUGGUGGCCUGAACUAGUAUAAACCUUGUGUCUCUUGUGUGUUCUUCUUGCUAGCUUAGAUUCCUUGCAAGGCUUCGAAACGUGAGCCGGUAGGGGAAAGAUCUUCGUGCACACCCCAGUGUUCGAACCUCAAGGGUCUGCCGGAACCCGAAAUCCGACAUUUGGCACGCCGGGUAGGGGGUGUGCCGAAGUUCUCCCUUCCGACAACCCGCUCUCCACCGACAUCGCAUUUCGCCCUGAUGGCGGACAACGCCCGCCCGCUCCGGUAGCCGACGCCGACACUGGGGCCAGGGGGCUCCGCGCCUUGGCUCCCGCCUUGCGACAGGUGCAGUGGCCGCACAAGUUCAAGCCAGAGAUGCCGCCGUGCUACAACGUUGCAACGGAUCCGCCGGUUUUCCUGCUGGCGUGCGAGGAGGCCGUCCUCAAGGCCGGGGGAGACGACAGGGUGAUGGCCAACUGGUUUCCCAUGGCCCUCGCUGGCGUUCCGCGCAUGUGUCUACUCCACGUACCGAUGGCCUCUAUGACCUCCUUGGGGGAGUUGCAUGACCUCUUCCUCGCCCAUUACGCCGCGCCAGUGCCCCGGUUGUCGCAGCUCUCCUGGGCGGCUCACAGGCGCCACCUUCAAGCCGCCACAUCAAGCCAUUCACCCACCAGAUCGGUGCCGCCUCCAAGCGCCUAGAAGCCCCUCCGGGCUGGGUGGCGCCCGAGGCCGAUCUGACCUUCAACUUGGACGAUCACCCCUCCAACCUCGCCGGUUCAGGUGUGCUCCCAAUGCUGUGCACCCCCACCAUCUGCCAAGUGGCCAUCACCAGGACCCUCAUCGACGGUGGUGCCGGCCUCAAUGUGCUCUCAGUGGAGGCCUUCAGCCUCCUCCACGGGCCACUAGAGCGGCUUCAGCCCAGCAGGCCUUUCUCGGGCAUUAGAGUCGGUUCCACCGCCUCCUUGGGACAGAUUCGCGUCCUGGUGACCUUCGGCACCUACGAUAACUUCCGCACAGAGCUGAUCGACUUCAACAUGGCCCCCAUCGGCCUCCCCUACAACGCCAUCCUCGGCUACCCGGCCUUGGCCCAGUUCAUGGCAGCAACUCACCCGGUGUACAACCUCAUGAAGAUGCCCGGGAGCAGCGGCGUCCUUACCGUGUCAGGAAACAAAAGGGAUGCACUGCAGGCGCUCAAGCUCGCUUUCAAUACGGCCGCGGUGGUGUAGCCUGCCAGCACUGACGCCCUCGAGCCCAAGGGGGCUGUGCCGGCUAAGAAGAAGCAGCUAUUCACCCAAGACAAGGCGGAAACCAAGCAGGUACCGGUCGACGAGGACGGAUCCACCAACACCACCUUCACCAUAGGUGCCAACCUCGAACCCGAGCAGGAGGAGGCCUUGGUGAAGUUCCUGCGUGCAAACAAGAAGGUGUUCGCAUGGGAACCUGAUCCGCUAGCAGGGGUCCCGAGGGAUGUGAUUGAGCAUCACCUCAACGUAUGCCCCAACGUGCACCCCGUGAAGUAGAAGGCGAGGUGGCAGUCCACUGAGAAACAAGCUUUCAUCGUCCAAGAGACCCGCAAGCUAGAGGCAGCAGGGGUUAUUCGCGAGGUCCGCUACCCAGAUUGGUUGGCUAACCCGGUCGUCAUGCCAAAGAAGGGAGGAAUGGAAUGCAUGUGUGUUGACUUCACCAACCUCAACAAAGCCUGCCCGCAGGAUCCAUUUCCGCUCCCCCGCAUCGACCAGAUUGUCGACUCCACCGCUGAGUGUGACCUGUUGUGCUUCCUGGAUGCCUUCUCGGGCUAUCACCAGAUCAAGAUGGCGGUAGAAGACGUGGAAAAAACGGCUUUCCUGACCCCGUGUGGAGUGUACUACUAUACAUGCAUGCCAUUUGGGUUGUGUAACGCAGGCGCGACCUUUCAGCAGUUGAUGCACAUCGCCUUGGGCCGGCAGCUUGGGAGGAACACUGAAGCUUACGUCGAUGACAUUGUUGUGAAGUCUCAGGAGGCAAGAACCCUGAUACAGGACUUGGAGGAAACCUUUGCGAGCCUUAAUGAAGUGGACCUGUGGCUCAACCCAGAGAAGUGCGUGUUUGGAGUCCCCUCGGGCAAGCUCCUGGGUUUCCUCGUGUCCCACAGGGGCAUCGAGGCCAACCCAGAGAAGGUCAAGGCAGUCGAAGACAUGAGCCCGCCGAAGACCCUUAGUGAAAUGCAGAAGCUCACCGGGCGUGUAACCUCCCUAGGACGUUUCAUCUCCAAGCUGGGGGAACGAGCACUGCCCUUCUUCAAGCUGAUGAAGAACAAGGGCCCCUUCGAAUGGACUGAAGAGGCCGACAAGGCAUUCCAAGAUCUCAAGAGGUACCUUACCAGCCCUCCGGUGAUGGUAGCUCCGCGCCCUCGGGAGCCCCUGGUGCUCUACCUUGCGGCCACCCCUACUCCGCCAGCGCAGCCCUGGUGGCGGUUAGAGAGGAGCGUCAAACCAAGGAAACAGCGACCGCCCGGGCCGAAGCAAAGCAAAGCCAAGACAGCCCCACAAAGACCGCGCCCGCAAAAGAUCAGCCGCAGCAGGGGAACGCACCUGGAGCAGAGGAGGCCUCUCCAAGCGACCAAGCGCCGGGGGCUCCCUCGUCUCAGGAGGCGCCUCAACCUCCGGAGGACGCAAGCUGCGCUAGCACCCUCAACCUUGUCGAGCACCCCAUGUACUUCGUCAGCACGGUGCUACGGGACGCAAGGGCGCGGUACCCCAUGCCUCAAAAAACUCCUCCUCGCGCUAUUGGUAGCCUCACGCAAGCUGCGGCACUACUUCCAAGGCCAUCCCAUCAAGUUCGUCUUAGCGUACCCCUUGGAAAGAGUACUCAGGAGCCCCAACUCAGCUGGAAGAGUCGCUGAAUGGAACAUCGAAUUGCAAGCGUUUCAGUUAGAGUUCAGCACGACCAGAGUCAUCAAGGGAGCCGCACUUGCAGAUUUCAUGGCAGAAUGGGCAGAGGCACCGGGCCAGGGGGCUAUCGCUACCUCUACGUCGCCGUGGACAAGUUCACCAAGUGGGCUGAGGUGGAAGCUGUCCGCACCAUCCCAGCGGGCUCCGUAGUCAUGUUCAUCAAGGGCCUCAUGAGCCGAUUUGGGGUGCCUAAUUGCAUCAUCACCGACAACGGUUCGCAAUUCACCAGUAAUCUCUUCAAAACGUAUUGUGCUAACCUUGGAACGCAGAUAUGCUACACCUCGGUAGCACACCCCCGGAGCAACGGCUAGGCCGAGCGAGCCGACGCGGGGGUCCUGAGGGGCCUCAAAACCAGGACCUUCAAGAAGAAGCUGGAGGCCUGCAGCAGGGGCUGGUACGACGAGCUCCAGUCUGUGCUGUGGUCUAUCCGCACGACCGCGGCCAAGCCGACUAGUGAGACCCCGCUCUCCCUCGUCUACGGAGCUGAGGCCGUCCUCCCUCACGAGGUCAGGCGUCGUUCCGCACGGGAUCUGGCGUUCGACGAGACGCAGCAGGACACCAUGCGGGGGACGGAUCUCGUGCUGGGGGAGGAACACCGUCGAGAAGCCGCACUGCGAGCGACAAGGUAUCAACAGGCGCUGCGGUGGUACCACUGCCUCAACAUCUGCCCCAAGAAUCCUGAGGUAGGGGACCUUGUGCUCAGACGGGUUCUCUCCAGGGAGGGGUUGCACAAGCUCUCUCCCAUGUGGGAGGACCCAUUCAAGGUUGUUCAUGUUUCCAGGCCCGGCUCCGCGCGCUUGGAAACCCAGGAGGGGGUACCCGUCCAGAACGCAUGGAACAUUCAACAUCUCCGAAGGUUCUACCCCUGAGCGAGGCCCAGUGCCGAUGGAAAAGGCCCGGUGCCUGUGAAGAAGGCCAAUGCCUGUGAAGGUGCCGCAUUUCGGAAAAGGCCUAGUCCCUGUGAAGAAGGCCAAUGCCUGUGAAGCUGCCGCAUUUUGGAAAAGGCCCGGUGCCUGUGAAGAAGGCCAAUGCCUGUGAAGCACGCCGCCCGUGACACUCUCGCGUAAUAAUGAGUGGGGUUGUACAUGCCCCGGAGUCUCCGAAGUGCCGCCCUCAGGCCUCGGGGGCUCCCGCCCAUGCCCAGUGGCAGCACUUAGCUCCGCGCUGGUGAGAAGACGUCGAAGACUAGAUUAGGUGCCGGAUGCGGCUUUUUCAUUUGCUUUCUGCAGUUGGCUUGUUCGUUCCUAUUUGAAGUUUUAUUGGAGCUGUUGCCGUCUCUAGCUUGUGCCCCCUUCGUCUUGUUCACUCACUUGCCUCGUUUUCUCUCGUGCAAGUCUCGCAAGGGAGGUACGCGGGCACCCUCGCGAGUGUUUUCUACCCCGGUCGUUUGAAGCUUUCCUAUCCGAGUCCGCUACGGGAGCACUCCUCCCAGUCCGUGCCCCACGAGCAUCGCGACGCGAGCACAAGACCUAGGUUGGUCGCCCCCACAACCGAGACUGGAACCUACCCCUCCUGACUAAUCCUUGCAGGACAUGAAGUGCACGGUGAGGCCUCGUCCUCGGGAGGCGAAGACCGCGACAAGCCUCCCUGAGCUAAGUAAUUCCCGCACGCGGGCACGCGACACGGAAACAUAGCACAGAAAUAGCAGAAACAACACGAUAAUUAACAGCAACCCUUCAACACGCCCCCACGGGGCCCCAGACUACCUUCUUUUUGUGCAGGGAAGGAAGAAAAACAAAAUAGGCACGACUUGCUCGGCACCAACUCGCGGCGAGGGCUCGUACUACCUCCGGAGCUCAGUUGGAUCCCAUCUCUCGCUUCACCGGGGCGCGGCGGUGGACCGACCCGCUACCUUCCCCCAGGCGGGCGGGACGGCGCGGGGGCUAGUCACGGCCACCGCUGGAGGAGCUGCUGUUUGAAGGAGAUUCGCCGAAGCUUGGCGGGCCUCAAGCACCGCUGCCCACGCGCUUGCCACCACAUUCAUCCUGAUCAAUGCCGGGGCUGGGCUCACGGCCGCGGUCAUCGUCUUCAGGGCAGCACCCAGCACGGAGGCCGUCUUCCCCGAACACCCUCAUGUAGAGGGUGGCAUCGCCGUCGAAUUGAAGUGCAGGGUGCACCACCGGCUCAGGCCAUGCGCGUGGGAAAAUGUUUGGCAACCGCAGGUCACGGCCACCUCCCCGAUGACGGAGACCUCCCGCGAAGCCCAGGAGGCCCUGCUGCAGCAACCGUCUACCUGAAGCCAGAGGCCGCCCGGAGCGCCGGCCGGAAGUUCACCUACAAAGAAGCAGGGGAGCUAGAGCCAGGUGCUGGUCGGGUCCGCCGACCUCACGAAAAACUCCGGCAGCAUCUCCGCCGAGCGAAAGCGUGGCCUGGGGGGUUGCACAGCCAUGGUGUACCUCUCAUCGGCAACCAGGCGCUCAUCGCCGCGCAGGGGACUGCCUCCACGAUCACGGGAAGCCACUACGGGGGCCGUAGGAUGCUUGCGAGGGCGGCCCUGGCCGCGCUUGGUCGGAGGAGAGUCAGGCCCUUCCUGACGAGCCUUUCCCUUCUCCAUGGCCGAGAACCUCUUCGGCGGAGCCAUGGGGAUGGUGAGUAGCCGGGAUGGAGAGAAAGGAGUAUCGGGAAGGAAUGGACUGAAGGGGCGCACGCCGUUCCGUACAUAUAGCCGGAGGAGGCCAACCGUCAGCCUCCACGAUCGCAGGUAAUCAUGACCCCUUUUUGCAUGCAGGGACUUGUCAAGUCAUGCGGUUGCCGAGGCGUCGAGGGGAAGCGGAGACGCCCACGUCCAAUCAAUUGACACGCGGCACCCAAGGCCGCAGGCUAUUGGGGCCCGCGGCGCUUCGCACUUUCCCCUUCGCUUCUCUGCUAAGACAAGUCUGGGUGCGCCUUGGGCCCGGGGGCUACUAUCGGCGUUCUGGGAACGGGGGUCCCCAGACUUGCCUGCCUGCGGCCUGCGGCGUGGCUCAAGUGGGGGCCCAGUGCAGCCCAGCUUCAUCAGCUCAAGCUCAAGACCCUCGCGAGGGGCCAGGCCUCGCGGGGCGGACGACAUGAAGCUUCCUCAGGAGUAGCCUCAUCAGGCAGGCUCGCGAGGAGGCGGAGAGAUCAAGGCAGGGCACAUCGUGAGGAUCCCCUGACGCAAGCCAUGACGAUCGAGACCACGCGGGCGCCAGGCGAGCACCAGACUGCGCAGUGUCCAUGUUUCCCCUUCGGUGCAAAGGGGGGCAAGCACAGGCCGAGAUAACAGGCAAAGGUUAUCGUUUCGAUGCAACAAGACCAGCCUAGGAUGGCGUCACCACCAGAGUCUUUGGCAGUCAAAGACCAACUUUAGUCAGGAUAAGUGUACUAGAUGUUCCCCUUCAAAAUGGCCAAUUGUUGGCGCCCUUCCCGCUCAUUAUUUUUGAAGAGGCCCAGGGCCUCCCUCUAUAAAUAGAGCUAGCCACCACAAGGCAAAGGGACGGAUCGAUCAGAGAGAGACAGAGAGGAGCGUUGAACUCACCCAAGCAGUUCAUCGCACUAGCUCAAGAACAGCCCCUCGCGAGGCUGUUCCCCUUUGUAUUGUUCGUCAUCUGCCCCUAAGGCAAUCCACCACACCACACACUGGAGUAGCGCAUUACACCACAAUGGUGGCCUGAACCAGUAUAAACCUCGUGUCUCUUGUGUGUUCUUCUUUCUAGCUUAGAUUCCUUGUAAGCCUUCGAAACGUGAGCUGGUAGGGGAAAGAUCUUCGUGCGCACCCCAGUGAUCGAACCUCAAGGGUCUGUCGGAACCCGAAAUCCGACAAUGAUGAUGCGUGUCAUAUAAACUGAAUGGUGGAAAGUUGCAUGGCAAUAUAUCUCGGAAUGGCUAUGGAAAUGAUAUAAUAGGUAGGUAUGGUGGCUGUUUUGAGGAAGGUAUAUGGUGGGUGUAUGGUGCCGGCAAAAGUUGCGCGGCACAAGAGAGGCUAGCAAUGGUGGAAGGGUGAGAGUGCAUAUAAUCCAUGGACUCAAUAUUAGUAAAAAAGAACUCAUGUACUUAUUGCAAAAAUCUACAAGACAUCAAAAACAAAGCAUUACGCACAUGCUCCUAGGGGGAUAGAUUGGUAGGAGAAGACCAUCGCUCGGCCCCGACCGCCACUCAUAAGGAAUACAAUCAAUAAAUAAAAUUGUGCUCCAACUUCAUCACAAAGCGGUUCACCAUACGUGCAUGCUACGACAAUCACAAAAUUCAACACAAGUAUUCUUUAAAUUCAUAAUCACCCAACUAGCAUGACUCUAAUAUUACCACCCCUAAUAUCUCAAAGCAAUUAUCAAGUUUGAAAUUGAUCAUAGCAUCCAAUUCACUUUCUAUGAUAGUUUUUAUUAUACCGAACUUGGAUGCCUACCAUUCUAGGACCAAUUUUAUAACCAUAGCAAAUACCAUGCUGUUCUAAGAGACUCUCAAAAUAAUAUAAGUGAAGCAUGAGAGAUUAGCAAUUUCUACAAAAUUAAGCCACCGCCGUGCUCUAAAAGAUAUAAGUGAAGCACUAGAGCAAAAACUAUCAAGCUCAAAAAAUAUAAGUGAAUCACAUAGCGUAUUCUAAUAAACUCCAAUCAAGUGGGCUUCUCCCAAAAGGUGUGUACAGCAAGAAUGAUUGUGCAAAACUAAAAGCAAAAACUAAUAUCAUACACGACGCUCCAAGCAAAACACAUAUCAUGUGGCGAAUAAAAAUAUAGCUCCAAGUAAAGUUACCAAUGAACGAAGACGAAAGAGGGGAUGCCUUCCGGGGGCAUCCCCAAGCUUAGGAUUUUGGCUAUUCUUGAAUAUCUUGGGGUUCCAUGGGCAUCCCCAAGCUUAAGAUUUUGCCACUCCUUAUUCCAUAGUCCAUCAAAUCUUUACCCAAAACUUGAAAACUUCACAACACAAAACUCAACAGGAAACCUCAUAAGCUCCGUUAGUGAAAGAAAGCAAAACCACCACAUAAGGUACUGUAAUGAACUCAUUAUUUAUUUAUAUUGGUGUUAAACCUACUGUAUUUCAAGUUCUCUAUGGUUCAUACUACUUAAUACUAGCCAUAGACGCAUCAAAAUAAGCAAACAACACACGAAAAACAGAAUCUGUCAAAAGCAGAACAGUCUGUAGCAAUCUGUAACCCUCGAAUACUUCUGGAACUCUAAAAAAUCCUAGAAAAAUAGCAAGUCCUGGGCAAUUUGACUAUUGAUCUACAGCAAAAAGAAUGAACGCAAAAGCACGUUUCUGUGAAUUAACAAAACUAAGUUCGUGCGUGCAAAGUUUCUGUUUUUCAGCAGAAUCAAAUUAACUAUCACCAUAGGUUAUCCUAUAGGUUCUACUUGGCACAAACACUAAUUUAAACAUGAAAACACAUCUAAACAGAAGGUAGAUGCAAAAUUUAUUACUAAACAGGAACAAAAACAAAAAAACACAAAUAAAAUUGGGUUGCCUCCCAACUAGCGCUAUCGUUUAACGCCCCUAGCUAGGCAUAAAAGGGAAGAUAGAUCUAAGUAGUGCUAUCUUUGGCACUCAAUUCAUAAGUAGCUCGCAUGAUAGAUUCAUAAGGUAAUUUAACUUUCUUUCUUUGAAAUUUCUCCAUGCCUUUCCUUAAUGAAAAUUGGAAUCUAAUAUUCCCUUCCUUCAUAUCAAUAAUCGCACCAAUCGUUCUAAGGAAAGGUCUACCAAGAAUAAUAGGGUAAGAAAGAUUGCAAUCUAUAUCAAGAACGAUAAAAUCUACUGGCACCAAAUUUCUAUUUUCAACAAUGAGAACAUCAUUGAUUCUUCUCAUUGGCUUUUUAAUGGUGGAAUUCGCAAGGUGCAAAUUUAAAGAGCAAUCAUCAAGAUCACGGAAACCUAGAAUAUCACAUAAAGUUUUCAGAAUUAUGGAAACACUAGCACCCAAAUCACAUAAAGCAUAACACUCAUGAUCUUUAAUUUUAAUCUUUAUAGUAGGUUCCCACUAAUCAUUAAGUUUUCUAGGUAUAGAAACUUCCAAAUUAAGUUUUUCAUCCAAAGAUUGCAUCAAGGCAUCAACAAUAUGUUUGGUAAAAGCUUUAUUUUGACUAUAAGCAUGAGGAGAAUUCACAACGGAUUGCAACAAGGAAAUACAACCUUCUAAAGAACAAUUAUCAUAAUUAAAUUCCUUGAAAUCCAAGAUAGUGGGAUCAAUGCUAUUUAAAGUCUUGACCUCUCCAAUCCCACUUUUACCAAAUUUAGCAUCAAGAUCUAAAAACUCCAAAUCAUUGGGACGCAUUUUAACUAAAGUUGACUCAUCUCCAGGCCCAUCAUCAUUAAGAUUAAUAUUGCAAAACAAAGAUUUAAUAAGGGACACAUCAAUAACUUUAAGAUCUUCAUCAUUUGGAAACUAGAAGAACAUGCCUUUAUAAAGAAAUCUUUCUUAGCACGCAAUCUAGCGGUUCUUUCUUUGCACUCAUCAAUGGAAAUUCUCAUAGCUUUGAGAGACUCAUUGAUAUCAUGCUUAGGAGGAGUAGAUCUAAGUUUCAGAGAAUCAACAUCAGGUGAAAGUCUAUCAACGUUCCUAGCAAAAUCAUCAACUUUGAGCAUUUUUUCUUCAAGCAAGGCAUUAAAAUUCUUUUGGGAGAUCAUAAAUUCUUUCACACUAUUCUAAAAAUCAGAGGACAUCUUAUUAAAAUUACCAUAAGAGUUAUUGUAGGAAUUUCCAUAAUUAUUAGAGGAAUUACUAGGGAACGGUCUAGGAUUAAAGUUUCCUCUAUAAGCAUUGUUUCCAAAACUAUUCCUACCAACAAAAUUGACAUCCAUAGAUUCAUUAUUAUUCUCAAUCAAAGUAGACAAAGGCAUAUCAUUGGGAUCGAGAGUAACACUCUUAGUAGCAAACAAUUUCAUAAGUUCAUCCAUCUUUCCAUUCAAAACAUUAAUUUCUUCUAUAGCAUGCACUUUUUGCUAGUACAUCUUUCGGUGUGCCAUUGAGAAUAAUUAGCCAUAAUAUUAUCAAGAAGUUUUGUAGCAUCUCCUAAAGUGAUUUCCAUAAACGUGCCUCCCGCGGCCGUAUCUAAAAGAUUUCUAGAAGCAAAAUUCAAUCCGGCAUAAAUUUUUUGUAUGAUCAUCCAUAUAUUUAAACCAUGAGUAGGGCAAUUACGAAUCAUCAAUUUCAUUCUUUCCCAAGAUUGGGCAACAUGCUCAGGAUCAAGUUGUUUAAAAUUCAUAAUAUCGUUCCUAAGAGUGAUGAUCUUAGCGGGAGGAAAAUAUUUAGAGAUAAAAGCAUCUUUGCACUUGUUCCAAGAAUCAAUACUGUUUUUAGGCAAAGAUGAGAACCAAACUUUAGCACGAUCUCUAAGUGAAAAUAUAAAUAACUUCAACUUAACAAUAUCAUUAUCCAUAUCUUUCUUCUUUUGCAUAUCACACAAAUAAACAAAGUUCUUUAGAUGGGUAGCGGCAUCUUCACUAGGAAGGUCGGCAAAUUGAUCUUUCAUAACAAGAUUCAGCAAAGCAGUAUUGAUUUCACAAGACUCAACAUCAUUAAGAGGAGCAAUCGAAGUACUAAGGAAAUCAUUAUUAUUGGUAUUGGAGAAAUCACACAAUUUGGUAUUAUCUUGCGCCAUGGCGACAAGUAAUCCAACACACAAGCAAACAAAAAGGCAAACGAAAGAGAGAGGAGAAGAUUGGGAAAGAGAGGGCGAAUAAAACGGCAAGGGUGAAGUGGGGGAGAGGAAAACGGGAGGCAAAUGGCAAAUAAUGUAAAUGCGAGGGAGAUGAGUUUGUGAUGGGUACUUGGUAUGUCUUGACUUGAGCGAAUACCUCCCCGACAACGGCGCCAGAAAUCCUUCUUGCUACGUCUUGAGCUUGCAUUGGUUUUCCUUGAAGAGGAAAGGGUGAUGUAGCAAUAGUAGCGUAAGUAUUUCCCUCAGUUUUUGAGAACCAAGGUAUCAAUCCAGUAGGAGGCUCCUCAAAAGUCCCAUGCACCUACACAAACAAACAAAGAACUCGUAACCAACGCAAUAAAGGGGUUGUCAAUCCCUUCAUGGCCACUUGCGAAAGUGAGAUCUGAUAGAGAUAGUAUGAUAAGAUAAAUAUAUUUUUUGUAUUUUAUGAUAUAGAUUGGAAAAUUAAAGAUGCAAAUAAAAGUAGAUUGAAAGCUUAUAUGAUAAAAGAUAGACCCUGGGGCCAUAGGUUUCACUAGUGGCUUCUCUCAAGAUAUCAUAAGUAUUACGGUGGGUGAACAAAUUACUGUCGAGCAAUUGAUAGAAAAGCGAAUAAUUAUGAGGUUAUCGAGGCAUGAUCAUGUAUAUAGGCAUCACGUCCGUGACAAGUCGACCGACUCCUGCCUGCAUCUACUACUAUUACUCCACACAUCGACCGCUAUCCAGCAUGCAUCUAGAGUAUUAAGUUCAUAAAGAACGGAGUAACACAUUAAGAAAGAUGACAUGAUGUAGAGGGAUAAACUCAUGCAAUAUGAUAUAAACCCCAUCUUUUUAUCCUCGAUGGCAACAAUACAAUACGUGCCUUGCUGCCCUUGCUGUCACUGGGAAAGGACACCGCAAGAUUGAACCCAAAGCUAAGCACUUCUCCCGUUGCAAGAAAGAUCAAUCUAGUAGGCCAAACCAAACUGAUAAUUCGAAGAGACUUGCAAAGAUAACUUAAUCACACAUAAAAGAAUUCAGAGGAGAUUCAAAUAUUUCUCGUAGAUAAACUUGAUCAUAAACCCACAAUUCAUCGGAUCUCGACAAACACACCGCAAAAAGAGUUACAUCGAAUAGAUCUCCAAGAAGAUCGAGGAGAACAUGGUAUUGAGAUCCAAAAAGAGAGAAGAAGCCAUCUAGCUAAUAACUAUGGACCCGAAGGUCUGUGGCAAACUACUCACAAUUCAUCGGAGGGGCUAUGGUGUUGAUGUAGAAGCCCUCCAUGGUCGAUUCCCCCUCCGGCGGAGUGCCGGCGAAGGUUCCAAGAUGGGAUCUCGCGGAUACAGAAGGUUGCGGCGGUGGAAUUCAGUUUUCGUGGCUUGUUCUGAUGUUCUCGGGGUACGUGGGUAUAUAUAGGAGGAAGAAGUAGGUCGGUGGCCGCCCGAGGGGCCCACGAGAUAGGGGGCGCGCCCAGUAGGGGUGGGCGCGCCCUCCACCCUUGUGGCCACCUCGACUACUUCUUGACUUGCACUCCAAGUCCUCUGGAUCACGUUCGUUCCAAAAAUCACGCUCCCGAAGGUUUCAUUCCGUUUGGACUCCGUUUGAUAUUCCUUUUCUUCAAAACACUGAAAUAGGCAAAAAACAACAAUAUGGGUUGGGCCUCCGGUUAGUAGGUUAGUCCCAAAAAUGAUAUAAAUGUGCAAAGUAAAGCCCAUAAACAUCCAAAAUAGGUAAUAUAAUAGCAUGGAACAUUCAAAAAAAUAUAGAUACGUUGGAGUCGUAUCAACCAGCAUAUUAGAGGCUUAGCCCAAAUAGUUGUGGCCCACUCUAUCUUAUCGUUAUUAGGGGCUUAGCCCAAUUAUCUUAUUAGGAGGAUUAUAUAAACUCGUGUAAGGAUCCGUUUUGGAAUUAAGCAAGAAGCAAUCAUAAUUGCUCGGCUUCCUUAGGAAGCCGGGAGACCUAACCCUAGCCUCCUCCACUGCAUCAUCUUCCUCUCAGCCUCCGCCUUCUCCUGCGCAACUACGACGCCGACGCCGGCGCCCAUCUCCUCGCUAACCAUCCUCCCACCCCUACAACCUACGGUUCAGGCCAGGUAGGUGAUGACCCACAAGUAUAGGGGAUCUAUCGUAGUCCUUUGGCUAAGUAGGAGUGUCGAACCCAAUGAGGAGCAGAAGGAAAUGAUAAGUGGUUUUCAGUAAGGUUUUCUCUGCAAGCACUGAAAUAGUAGGUGAUAGAUAGUUUUGUGAUAAGAUAAAUAGUAACGAGCAAAAAGUAAAUAAAGUAAAUAAUGUGCAGCAAGGUAACCCAAUCCUUUAUGUAGCAAAGGAUAAGCCUGGACAAUUUCUAAUAAUGAAGAAGGAGCUCCCGAGGACACCUUGGGAAUUACGUCAAGCUAGUUUUCAUCACGUUCAUAAGAUUCGCGUCCGGUACUUUGAUAAUUUGAUAUGUGGGUGGACCGGCACUUGGGUACUUCCCUAACAUGGACAAGCAUCCCACUUAUGAUUAACCCCUAUUGCAAGCAUCCGCAACUACAAAAAGGAGUAAUAAGGUAAACCUAAACACAACAUUAAACAUAUGGGUCCAUAUCAACCCCUAACGAAGCAAUGCAUAAACUAGGGUUUAAGCUUCUGUCACUCUAGCAACCCAUCAUCUACUUAUUACUUCCCUAUGCCUUCCUCUAGGCCCAAAUAAUGGUGAAGUGUCAUGUAGUCGACGUUCACAUAACACCACUAGAGGAGAGACAACAUACAUCUCAUCAAAAUAUCGAACGAAUACCAAAUUCACAUGACUACUAAUAGUAAGACUUCACCCAUGUCCUCAGGAACAAACGUAACUACUCACAAAGCAUAUUCAUGUUCAUAAUCAGAGGAUUAAUAAUAUGCAUAAAGGAUCUGAACAUAUGAUCUUCCACCAAGUAAACCAAAUAGCAUCAACUACAAGGAGUAAUCAACACUACUAGCAACCCACAGGUACCAAUUUGUGGUUUUGAUACAAGAUUGGAUACAAGAGAUGAACUAGGGUUUUGAGAUGAGAUGGUGCUAGUGAAGAUGUUGAUGGAGAUUGACCCCCUCCCAAUGAUAGGAUCGUUGGUGAUGACGUUGGUGAUGAUUUUCCCCUCCCGGAGGGAAGUGUCCCCGGUAGAACAGCUCCGCCAGAGCUCUAGAUUGAUUCCGCCAAGGUUCCGGCUCAUGGCGGCGGAGUUUCGUCCCGUAAGCUUGCCCAUGAUUUUUUCCAAGGGAAAAGUGAUGAUAUAGCAGAAGAUGGACGCUGGAGGCCCACCAGGGAGCCCAGGAGAUAGGGGGCCGCGACCUAGGGGGGGCGCCCCUUGUCUCCUGGACAGGGUGUGGCCCCCCUGGCCUAUUUCUUUCGCCCAUAAAUUAUUAUUAAUUCCAAAAGGUUGUUUCGUGGAGUCUCAGGUCUUUUGGAGUUGUGCAGAAUAGGUUUCCAACGUUUGCUCCUUUUCCAGCCAGAAUUCCAGCUGCCGGCAUUCCCCCUCUUCAUGGUAAACCUUGUAAAAUAAGAUAGAAUAGCCAUAAGUAUUGAGAUAUAAUGUGUAAUAACAUCCCAUAAUGCAAUAAAUAUUGAUAUAAAAGCAUGAUGCAAAAUGGACAUAUCAACUCCCCCAAGCUUAGACCUCGCUUGUCCUCAAGCGGAAGCCGAAAUCGAAAAAUAUGUCCACAUGUUUAGAGAUAGAGGUAUCGAUAAGAAUAAAAUACAGACAUGAGAGCAUCAUGAUCAUUCUAAUAACAACAACAUAUAUGGAUUUUGUCAUAUGAUUUCCUAUGUUCAAGUAAUAAGCAAUUCACAAUGUCAAGUAUGGUUCAAAAACUUCAUUGGGAACUAACAAACUAUAAUCUCAGUCAUUGAAGCAAUUGCAAUUUAUCGUAACAUCAUAAAGAGUCAAUAAUAGAGCUUUUCAGCAAGCUCACAUACUCAACUAUCUCGUAGUCUCCUAUAAUUGUUAACACUCACGCAAUACUUGUGGUUAUAGAGUUUCAACCGGACACUAAGAAAGAUAGGGGCUUAUAGUGUUGCCUCCCAACAUAUUCACCUUUAGGUGAUGUCAACAAUAAUAGCCUAUGCCAACUUACAUCCAAUUGGAUAUAUGCAUCAUGAUCUAUCAAACACGAGGUUCUUGCCAAAGGAUAAAAAUAAAAAGGGAAAGGUAAGGAUCACCUUGACUCAAGCAUAAAGUAAAAACAUAAAGUAAAAGAUAGGCCCUUUCACAGAGGGAAGCAGAGGUUGUCAUGUGCAUUUAGGGUUGAUGUACGAAAUCUUAAUGCAAAAGAACAUCACUUUAUAUUGCCCCUUGUAUGUGGACCUUUAUUAUGCAAUCCGUCGCUUUUAUUACUUCCACAACAAGUUCGUACAAAGAUUAUUUUCUCUACACUAAUAAGUCAUACAUAUUUAGAGAGCAAUUUUUAUUGCUUGCACUGAUGACAACUUACUUGAAGGAUCUUACUCAAUCCAUAGGUAGGUAUGGUGGACUCUCAUGGCAAAACUGGGUUUAAGGAUAUUUGGAAGCACAAGUAGUAUCUCUACUUGGUGCAAGGAAUUUGGCUAGCAUGAGGGGGAAAGGCAAGCUCAACAUGUUUGGAAGGUCAAUGACAAUAUACUUUAACUGAGAUGUCGGAAAACAUAAACCAUUACGUUGUCUUCCUUGUCCAACGUCAACUCUUUUAGCAUGUCAUACUUAAUGAGUGCUUCACAAUCAUAAAAGAUGUCCAAGAUAAUAUAUUUAUAUGUGAACCUCUCUUUCUUUAUCACUUCCUAUUAAUUGCAACGAUGACCAAGCCUAUGUUCAUCAACUCUCAACAAUUUUUAUGCCUCAUACUUUCUAUGUGUGAAGUUAUCACUAUCCAUAAGAUCAAUAUGAACUCUUUUGUUCUUUCUACUUUCUCAAGAUCAUAGCAACAUAGCAAAGCCCUUGACUCAACACUAAUCUUUAUUAUAGAUAGCACACAGACUCGAUUACAUAAUGAGAUCACAAAGCAAAACUCAAAACUACUUGAUAUCAAAACAUCAAACUACUAGAUCAAGAUACUACUAAAAGGAUCGAACUAAAUAAAGCGGUAAAGAUAGGAGUGUGAUGGUGAUACGAUACCGGGGCACCUCCCCAAAGCUUGGCAGUUGCCAAGGGGAGUGCCCAUACCCAUGUGAUUAUUUCUCCUUCUUCACGGUUGGUGUUAUGAUCUUCUUGGCGAUGAUGCCCUUCAGGAUACGGUUCUCCUCCUCGAGCUUAUUUACUUGUUGUUUGAGGUCCAUAUUUUCUUUACGGAGCUUGCCCAUAACGGACAAAGCUCCUUUUACCCAAGGAUGUUGCAUAGCUUCUGGAGAACAAGAAAAACUCCUUUUCAUAUUUUCAUAAGAAAGAAAUCUAGGGUUGGAAGGAGUGACCGAAGUAGGGACAGCCAGGCUAGGUAGUUCCCCCAUUGUGAAUUCUGCUUGGAGACGAGAGGUAACUUCUUGAUCUUCCUCCAUGGCAUCUAUGCUUUUCAAAUCAGCCUCCAUCUCAUCCUCCGUUGAUGGUCCAAAUUGGUAGGCAUCGCUAUUUGCUCCUGGACCUGGCGUUGGGUGAGACACCUGGCUCUCCCCAACUGAUUCCUGAGAAGACAUCUUGCUUUAUUCUGCAACAGGAACAACUCGAAACGAAAACAGAGGAUAUUUGCGUGAUACGGUGGUCAAAACCUUCGGGAGUAUAUAUGAUGAAUUUUUACCGACCAAAAUACGUAACAUACAAGAAAACGGAGUCCGGGAGGCACACGAGGUGCCCACGAGAUAGGGGGCAUGCCCUACAGGGGGGCGCGCCCUCCUCUCUCGUGGGAGCCUCAUGUCCCUUUCGGACUACUUCUUUCUUCCUAAAAUCUUUAAAUAAUCCAAAACUGAUAAAAAUUGCCAUUAGAGUUGUUUUGGAGUCGGUUUACUUACCAUACCACGUACCUAUGCCUUUUCGUAGUCUGGAACAUUCUGGAAAGUAUCCCUUAUGUAUUCCUCAGGGGUUAUGGUUUCAAUAAUAUUAGUUUCAACAUUGAUAGGAUUACCUGAAAUAUAAUAUUUAAUUCUUUGUCCGUUUACCACCCUUGGAUUUGUGCCUUCGAAGUUGUUGAUUUUUAUAGCACCAGAACGAUAGACCUCCUCGAUAACGUAGGGACCAUCCCAUUUUGAGAGAAGUUUUCCUCCAAAAAGUCUGAACAAUAACACAUAAUCUCCUACAUUAAACUCAUGCUUUUGUAUCCUCUUAUCAUGCCAGUAUUUGACUUUUUCUUUGAAAAGCUUGGCAUUCUCAUAUGCUUGGGUUCUCCAUUCAUCAAGUGAGCUAAUAUGAAACAACCUCUUCUCACCGGCAAGUUUGAAGUCAUAAUUGAGCUCCUUAAUAGCCCAAUAUGCUUUAUGUUCAAGUUCAAGAGGUAAAUGACAUGCUUUUCCAUAAACCAUCUUAUAUGGAGACAUACCCAUAGGAUUUUUGUAAGCAGUUCUAUAGGCCCAUAAUGCAUCAUCGAGUUUUUGGACCAAUUCUUUCUAGAUCUAUUCACAGUCUUUUGCAAAAUUAAUUUGAGCUCUCUAUUUCUCAACUCUACUUGACCACUAGACUGCAGGUGAUAAGGAGAUGCGAUUCUAUGAUUGACAUCAUACUUAGCAAGCAUCUUACGGAAAGCACCAUGAAUAAAGUGUGAACCACCAUCAGUCAUAAGAUAUAUAGGGACUCCAAACCUCAUUAAAAUAACUUCUUUAAGCAUUUUAAUAGAAGUGUUAUGAUCAGCACUACUAGUUGGAUAGUUUCUACCCACUUAGUAACGUAAUCAACAUCAACUAAAAUAUGUGUAUAGCCAUUGGAGGCAGGAAAAGGUCCCAUAUAAUCAAAGCCCCAAACAUCAAACGGUUCAAUAACAAGAGAAUAAUUCAUAGGCAUUUCUUGACGUCUAGUUAUGUUACCUAUUCUUUGACAUUCAUCACAAGAUAAGACAAACUUACGAGCAUCUUUGAAAAGAGUAGGCCAACAAAAACUAGAUUGUAGUACCUUGUGUGCAGUUCUAUCUCCAGCGUGGUGUCCUCCAUAGGAUUCAGAGUGACACUUGCAUAGGAUUUGUUCCUGUUCAUGCUCAGGCACACAACGUCUAAUAAUACCAUCUACUCCUUCUUUAUAAAGGUGUGGAUCAUCCCAAAAGUAAUGUCUUAAAUCAUAAAAGAACUUUUUCUUUUGCUGGUAUGUGAAACUGGGCGGUAUAUAUUUAGCAACAAUGUAAUUAGCAUAAUCAGCAUACCAAGGAGCAGUACGAGAAGCAUUGACGACCGCUAAUUGUUCGUCAGGAAAGCUAUCAUUAAUAGGCAGUGGGUCAUCAAGAACAUUCUCUAGCCUAGACAAGUUGUUUGCAACGGGGUUCUCAGCUCCCUUUCUAUCAAUAAUAUGCAAGUCAAAUUCUUGGAGCAAGAGAACCCAUCUAAUGAGUCUAGUCUUAGCAUCUUUAUUUUCUAUAAGAUAUUUAAUAGCAGCAUGAUCAGUGUGAAUAGUAACUUUGGAAUCAACAAUAUAAGGUCUAAACUUAUCACACACAAACACAACUGCUAAGAACUCUUUUUUAGUAGUAGCAUAAUUUCUCUGGGCAGUAUCAAGAGUCUUACUAGCAUACUUGAUAACAUUCAAUUUCUUAUCGACUCUUUGCCCUAAAACAGCACCUACAGCAUAAUCACUAGCAUCGCACAUAAUUUCAAAAGGUAAAUUCCAAUCAGGUGGUUGAACAAUAGGUGCAGUGAUCAAAGCUUUCUUGAGUGUUUCAAAUGCUUCUAUACAAUCAUCAUCAAAAACAAAAGGAAUAUCUUUUUGCAAUAAAUUAGUAAGAGGCCUAGAGAUUUUAGAAAAUUCCUUAAUGAACCUCCUAUAAAAGCAGGCAUGACCAAGGAAACUUCUUAUACCUUUUAUGUCCUUGGGACAUGGCAUCUUUUCAAUAGCAUCAACUUUGGCUUUAUCAACUUCAAUACCUCUCUCGGAGAUCUUGUGCCCCAAGACAAUGCCUUCAUUAACCAUAAAGUGACACUUUUCCCAAUUUAGGACGAGACUAGUGUCUUCGCAUCUCUGCAAAAAUCAAUCAAGGUUGCUUAAACAAUCAUCAAAAGAGGAUCCAUAGACGGAGAAAUCAUCCAUGAAUACCUCACAAAUCUUUUCACAAAAAUCAGAAAAUAUAGCCAUCAUGCAUCUUUGAAAGGUAGCAGGUGCAUUACAUAAACCAAAAGGCAUACGUCUAUAAGCAAAGGUACCAAAAGGGCAAGUAAAAGUAGUUUUAGAUUGAUCCCCUGCUGAAACAGGUAUCUGAGAGAAGCCAGAAUAACCAUCUAGAAAGCAAAAAUGUGUGUGUUUGAUAGCCUCUCUAGCAUUUGAUCAAUAAAAGGUAAGGGUAAUGAUCUUUCUUAGUAGCUUUAUUUAACUUACGGAAAUCAAUUACCAUCCUAUAGCCUGUAAUAAUUCUUUGCAGGAUCAAUUCAUCUUUAUCAUUAGGAACAACGGUAAUACCUCCCUUUUUAGGGACACAAUGGACAGGGCUUACCCAUUCACUAUCAGCAACGGGAUAAAUACUACCUGCCUCAAGGAGCUUUAGUAUCUCCUUUCUUACCACUUCCUUCAUUUUGGGAUUUAAUCGUCUUUGAGGAUCUCUAACUGGUUUGGCAUCUUUCUCCACUGAAAUUUUGUGUUGACAUAAUGUGGGACUAAUGCCCUUAAGAUCAUCCAAAGUAUAUCCAAUAGCAGCUUGGUGCUUCUUCAGAGUUUUCAAUAAUCUUUCUUCUUCUUUCUCUGAAAGAUUCGCACUAAUAAUAAUAGGAUAUAUUUCUUUUUCAUCAAGAUAAGCAUACUUAAGAUUAUCAAGCAAUGGUUUGAGUUCAAACACGGGAUCACCCUUGGGUGGAGGGGGAUCCCCAAGAAUUUCAACGGGAAGGUUAUGUUUCAGCAUAGGCUCCUGUUUAAGGAACACUUCAUCUAUUUCUUCCCUUUCCUUCAUAAACAUAUCGUUUUCAUGGUCUAGCAAAUAUUGUUCUAACAGAUCAGUUGGAGGAACAGCAAUGGAAGCAAGACCAGUAAUUUCAUCCUUACUAGCUGGUUCCCUUUCACGAGGUUGUCUACUAAACUUGGCAAAAUUAAACUCAUGAGACCUACCAUCUAUGCCAACAGUGACAACCUUCCUCUUACAAUCAAUCUUAGCACUAGCAGUAUUCAAGAAGGGUCUACCAAAAAUAAUGGGACAAAAAUCAUCUUGUGGGGAACCAAGAACAAGAAAAUCAGCAGGGUAUUUAAUCUUCCCACACAAGACUUCAACAUCUCAACAAUCCCAAUAGGUUUAAUGGUGUCCCUAUUGGCAAGCUUAAUAGUAACAUCAAUGUCUUCUAAUUCAACAGGUGCAAUAUCGUGCAUAAUUUCUUUAUAAAGAUCAUAAGGUAUCGCAUUAGCACUAGCACCCAUAUCACAUAAACCAUGAUAACAAUGAUCUCCUAUUUUAACAGAAAUAACAGGCGUGCCUACAACAGGUCUAUGUGUCUUAGUAUCGGGUCUAGCAAUAUUAGCAUUUUCACCCAAGAAAGAGAUAACAUGCCCAUCUAAAUCCUCAUCCAAGAGAUCUUUAAUCAUAGCAAUACCAGGUUCAACAUUAAUUUUCUCAGGAGGUGUAUAGGCCCUAGUAUUACUCUUACGAACAACAUUCGAAGCUUUAACAUGAUCUUUUUACCUAACAGGAAAAGGAGGUUUUUCAGCAUAAGCAGUAGGAAUAAUAGGAUCACUAUAUGUAAUAGUCUUCUCUUCGACUGUAAUAGGUGCAACUACUUUCACUUCAACAUGAGGAUUAUAUUUAAACCACUUCUCUUUAGGGAGAUCAACGUGAGUAGCAAAAUUUUCACAAAAAGUAGCUACUAUCUCAGAGUCAAGCCCAUACUUAGAGCUAAAUCCACAGAAAGCAUCGGUGUCCAUAAAAGAUUUAACACAAUCAAACUUAGGUGUCAUACCUGACUCCUUACCAUCGUCGGAACCCCAAUCUUCAGAGUUGCGUUUAAUUCUUUCCAAUAAGUACCAUUUGAAAUCAAUAGUCUUCAACAUAUAGGAACCAGCACAGGAAGUAUCGAGCAAGUUGCGAUUAUCAAGAGAAAGCUGAGCAUAAAAAUUCUGAAUAAUUAUUUCCCGAGAGAGCUCAUGAUUGGGGCAUGAAUACAACAUUGACUUAAGCCUCCACCAAGCUUGAGCGAUGCUUUCUCCUUCGCGAGGCUAGAAAUUAUAUAUGUAAUUACGAUCACGAUGAACAAGAUGCAUAGGAUAGAACUUCUGGUGAAAUUCCAACUUCAAUCGCUUAUAAUUCCAAUACUCGUAUCAUCACAUAGCCUAUACCAUGUCAUUGCAUCUCCCUUCAAAGAUAAAGGGAAGACCUUCCUUUUGACAACAUCAUUAGGAAUACCUGCAAGCUUAAAUAAUCCACAAACUUCAUCCACAAAGAUAAGGUGUAAGUCGGGAUGCAAUGUUCCGUCUCGUGCAAAAGGAUUAGCUAGCAGUUUUUCUAUCAUACCCGAAGGAAUCUCAAAGUGAAUAUUCUCAUAAGGUUCAGUAGGUUGAGGAGCAUGUCUUUGCUCUUCUGGUUGGGGUGAAUAUACCCCAAACAAGCCCCUCAAAGGAUUAGUUUCCAUAGUGACAAGUAACAGAAAAUUUCAGCACACUAUAUAAAUGUUUCCUUACUGUCGUGGAAUCAACACGUCAGAUGUCCUUAGUGUGAGGACUUAGUCGCGAGGCCAACGCAUCUAUGUGCUAGCUUGAGAGGGGUUGAGCAGAAUCGAGAGACAUAACAUAAGACAAGGGUUUAGACAGCUUCGGGCCCUGGGAAACAUCAUCCGGUAAAAACCCUACAUGUUGUUUGAGGCUAGAUCUCAUUAUCAUCACAAGGGAGUCGUCGUAAACCGGCUCUCCUCUAGUUGUGUCUAGCCCUAGAGAUUGCUUCUUGCCUCUCCCUCUUUGGGGUGCCCUGCCCUUCCUUAUAUAUGUUGGAGGGGCGGGUUACAUGUAGAGUCCUAUUAGGAUUAGGACUAGUCUAUCUCUAAUACAAAUAGGAUACAAGUCCAGGUCUUAACUCCUUGUAAGACAAAUAUUCCUUAUACCUUUCCUCUUAAACCGGCCCACCAUAGCGUGAUCCGGCCUUCCAUAAACCGCCCGUUGGGCCACCGGGUCUUGUCGCUCCUCUGACCCGCCUGCCGGAUUACCAAUGAAUCGUAAACCGCCAGGUCCAAGUGGGUCGCUGGUGAAUCAUCAAACUCAAGCCGGGUCAUUCAUCCGGCGGUUUAUACCGCGGGGUAUAUCCCCGACAUUAGCCCCCGGUUUAAUUUGGAUUUAUCCAUGUUAAACUGAUCUGCAACAUAAACACAAGAACAAAUUUGUCGGGUUGUGCUUCGGUUUAAAUAUUCUUGUAAACCGGCACUUGAUAAUACUUAAAUCCUUGUCAUUUCUUCCUUCUUCUAGAAAAUCCGGUUUAAUAGGCCAGCUUCAUAAUCAAUUUGUUGACAUUGGUUUGUCGCAGAGAAAUAUUGUGAAGAAUAACUUCUUUGACUCAGCUCCCAAUGACUUAACAAAAAUAAUGGUCCUUGAAAUCCUCAUCUGAUCUUCAGCCGGUUUAAGAAUGUAGAACUUGCCGGUUUAUCAUUGCCAAGAUCAUCGGUUUAUAAAUAUUGAUAGCACCGGGUCAUACUUGUAGUUAACAUCCAGCUUGAAAAUAUACCUCUUAUAUGCCUAUCACUUGUAGCCCCCAAGUCUUAAGAAGGUAGCAUAGCAACAGCUUGAGACUUGCUUAAAUAUCACAAUCUUUGAAGAAAUCCAGGUUUGUUCGUCUGAAUCACUAGUCAGAAUUUGAGUAUUCCACAUAUGUAGCCCCCAAGUGCCGGGUUGUCAUGCUCAUAAAAACUUCAACCAGUAUAGCCCUCAAGGGCCGGGUCAUUAUGCAAUAAUGAGCAGGGACUUUGUAAAUAUAACCAUGUAAUCUUUGAACAGCAACGGCAGGCUCAGUAAGAUAAUAUUGAGCUGGGACUUUGAUAUAUACUUCAAUGAAAAUAACAUCAUAUGAUGUAACCCCCAUCAUGGACCUUGAAUUCACGUCCACAAGGUUAAGAGCCUUGUGCUUUACCAACUGAGCAGUGGACCCUUCAAUAUAAUGAAUAAAAAGCUUUGUACCUUGAAUUUUUUGACAGGAGCAAUGUGUAGCCCCCAAGGGCCGGCUCAUUAUAAUGUGAUGAGUCGGGUCUUCAAUAAGAUGAACAAAAAAUGACUUUGCAUUAGCCCCCAAGUGUCAUGGUGCAUUCUUGCAGCGACAUGAGACUUGCAUAUUUGAUGUAAUCUCAACUUAAAUAAUGUAGCCCCCAAGUGCCGGGUUGUAAGCCUGCAGCAACUCGGGACUAUUCCUUCAGUUGUAGAAUAAACCAUAUCCAUUGAUAAUAUGAUAGCCAUUGCGCUAAAGCGACUUUGAAAACCUUGAUCGUAAUACUGGUUAUUGAUAACCAUAAUAGAAAUCCAGCCAUGUUGGCUAUUUGAAUAAUAUACCCAAUGAUUUAUAAGCGCAUAAUUCCAAUGGCGCAAUCCAAAUAUAUGCUGGCAACUUAUAGUGCAAAGCCAGGCCGGUUUAAUAAACACCGGACAAUUUCUCAUCAUAUACUGGCGACUUAUCGUCUUAAAACCAAGCCGGUUUAAUAAAUACCGGCGAUUUACAAUCAUUCUUUACUCAACCUGUUUCUGCAUACAACAAGUUUAUAGUGUCCUGGCGGUUUACCGCCGGACGGGUCAUAAUACCCAAUAUAUAACCAAGGUUUAUAACCAAGGCUGCACUUAAGAAUAAUCAAAUAGGAAGUAUAGCAUACCUGUGACAUUGAAUCACAUCAUUGGUUUACCAACUUUUUGUAGUAAGGGUGAUAACCGAAAUCUUGAGUAUGAUAACUCCCCUCAUAUUUUGCCAGGUUUGUAAUAAAACCGUGUCGUAGAUUAAGUCAUACUGGGUGAUGAUUCACGCCAGAUGAUCCGGGCUGUUGACAGGGAGUCAACGCCAAGCCGGGUUAAGAAACUCCGGUUUAAAAAUUAAGGUCUGUCAACGUGUAGUUGCAAACCAAGCCGGUUUAAAGAAUACCGGGCUAAGAAGAUGACUGAUCAAGCCAAGAAAAUUGGUUUAACAUAAAAUUUAUCAAAGAGAAAAAUCUUGACAAAGGCAAAUAAAACCUUUUUUGAGGGCUGCCAGGCCCAAAUUCGAGGCUUUUUGUGGCUGCCAGGCCACUGAGUUGAACCAUUUAACAAAGCCUUUUAAGAUGGACCUCCAACUAACCAAUCACCGUUUUAACUUUGACAAGUGCAGGGUCUCAAGGAGAGUAACUGUCAAAAUGUUCGGAGGGCCGUGCCAGGAUGACCUGGAUAGGAGUGUCUUACUUGAUGAAGGCAGGUUAACCCGGGGUUUUAGGUAAAUGUACCAGGCUUCUAAGCCGUGGGUCGAUACCCAGCUACAAGGGUCCAUUCAGACUUCUUGGUAUUGGACCAAGGAGCCCCCAAGUAACGUGACGAGCUGUGCUCAUUAGGUGCCUAUGUUUGAGUUGUGCAUAGCAUCGAAACUCUCUUUGGCCCUUUGGGUGUGAAGCUCCCAAGCUUUGUGAUGAGCUGUGCUCAUUGGGUGCCUAUGUUUGAGUUGUGCAUAGCAUCGAAACUCUCUUUGGCCCUUUGGGUGUGAAGCUCCCAAGCUAUGUUGUGGCAUGAUAGCCGGUUUAACAGGCAGUACUCCGCUUUGUCAGCUGAAGCCCCCAUGUAACUAAUAAUAUGAUAAGUCAAUAAGGCGGAAUACCCAUGUUUGAACCGUGCAUCAUGGCAACAGGUCCUCUUCGGCAACCUUUAACUUUUUGCAAGAGAUAAAUUCUUCUUGAACCGGAUAUUGAGAGCUUCAAAGCUUUGUGGGAAACAUCUUUCCCUUGAACCGGAUUUUAAACCGGAAUCUUCAUUUUCAGCCGGAAGUUUUCUAACGGCCUUUAAACUCAAACUUGAGAGAAAUUAAUUCCUUUUUGAACCGGACUUUUUGAAACCGGAUUUGAGCGCUUCAGAGAUUUGUGGGAGAAUAGAUUUUCCUUGAACCGGAUUGUAAACCAGAUAUUUGAUAGCUUCAGCGAGACUGAUGUCCCUUGAGCCGGAUUUUAAACCGGAAUCCUUUCUGAUGACUCAGAGCUUCUUCAUUGAGCCGGGAUUUUGUAACUGUUAUAUACUUUCUAAGCCAGAAAUUUUCUGACAGCCUUUAAAUUUUCAGUAAUAUAACAGUAGCCUCCAGGACCGGGUUAUCUUUCGCUCCAUCGUCCCGGGGUUCUUAAAUUUGCUGAAACUGGCAAGAUUUGCUGAGUUAUGUCAUCGUAGCCCCCGAGUCUCAAAGGUGACUUGAGGAGUUAGCUUGAGACUCUUCAUAUUUGGCCAUGAUAUAAACCAGCAUAACUUGUAUAUCAUUGGUUUUGAUAGCACGAUGUGAAUCCACAGAAGGUUGAGAUGACUGCGGCGGGUUAUAAAUGAUCCCGUAUGAGCCGUGUCAGCAACUCGGCCAAUGGUUCCUUUCAACUGGCGAUUUGAAAUUAACCAAACUGUAGUGGCGGCGACUUGUGUGCCUGCCUAUUGAGCCAACCAGUGUAGACGGCGGUUGAUAGUAUAUGAUAAUUUGCCUCCAUUUUGUUGAAAGAAAAACUGGGCUACCCAAGCUGUGACUUGCUCAUACUCAAUAAACUGCUCAUGCAGACAGGUGCGUCCCGGUAUGUUGAUGUAGACCAGGCCGCGAGAGGCGGACGGUAAAGAUGACCACAAUAUUAGAGGCGGCUCAAACAGAUGAACCGGCCGCGGUGUUGUAAACCGGUGCGGACAGGCGAAUUAACCAUGUCGUUUUGAUGUAGUGAACAAUUGUCCUGCCUCAAAAAUAUCACAAGCCAGAGUAAUUGUUCCUUGAUAAAAAUAAUAUGCGCUAAUAAAAUAAACCUUAGAUGGGUAUCACCUGAUAUGCUAGGUCAGAAAUUAUCCACCGCGGAGUUGAUAAUUACCGCGGUGAAGCUGAAAUUAAUUACGGGCGAACCGGCCGUGGCGUCGUAAGCCGGUGCGGUCGGGCGAGUCAAUUGCAGGAGCAGUAAGCCACUCGAACACCGAGUCGGCCACGGGGGUGGACGGGUAAGUCGUCCGUCACAUUGUAAGUCGGCGCAGACGUGUGAGCUGGCCGCGAGGGUGGACGGGCAAGUCAUCCGUGGCAUUGCAAGGCGGCGCGGAUGGGCGAGUCGGCUGGCGUGUUGAUGUAGACCAGACCGCAGGGGCGGCGGCUUACACGCAUGUCCAUGAAGUCACGUGACACAGACAAACGCCAAUAAAAAUGAUGCUGGUGCAUGCUCCAUAUCCGCGGUAUGGCAACACUUUUGUAAUGAAUAAUUUACCUGCGUACAAUACCGUAGACCAGAGUAAUUGUUCCCAAACAAUGUAAUAUAUGCUGAUAAGAUAUAAAGGAUAGCACCUGGUAAUUCAUCGGAUGAACACAGAUGCUGACAACAAAAAGAUUGAUGAAAUACCACUCUGCAAAUGUCAUAGUACUUGUAGUACGGUACCAGGUCUCCACAUUGGGUAGUAGUCCACCAUUAAUUAAUCAAACCAGCCUUGAUGUGAUUGAUCUAGUAGUACUUUGCUUCUUGCUUUGACUGACUUUGACUACCAUUAAUCAGUUGCAAUUUAAUAGUACUACUUGCCCACUGGGACUCCUGCACAGGGCCAGGGAUCAACCAUGAGGGUAGGGUGCAGGCCGCCGGCAACGGCAGCCAGGUAACAGCCACUUGCUCCUUGUCCCCCUAACCUCGUCUCCCUGACUCCAGUAUAUAUGCGAGAAAGGUCCAACUAGUUCGAAUUCAGAGAUAGGAUGCGAAAAUAUCCUUGUUGUCCGACUCUAAAGUCUAAACCGUGUUAUCCAACAAAAAAGUAAUAGCCGCGGCGGAAGUGAUCUGUGGUGAGCUUGGCGGAGGCGGCGUAAGGCGGCUCAGCAGCGCCCCGGCGAGUCCAUGGCAGAGGGACACCGGCGAGGGCAUCUCAGGGAGGUGGAAGUCAGGCCGCUCGGCCAAUGCCCAAGGGCGACUCAGCGCAGCCCCUAACAAAGGAUUGAAGCGAUGCGACGAGUCUCAACCGCGGCCGCUUAGCAUGUGGCGGUGGCGGCUGAAACAAAAUUGCAGGGCGACCACGGCGACUUAGUGCGGCUGCACAGUCAUAGAAAAAUCCGACUUUGUGUGAUCUAAUCCUCUCCAGGUCGUGGUCACAUCCGCAGUAGUAGCAGAGUCUCAACGCGACGGCGGCUCGAAAGUGGCUCAGAGGUGCGCCCACGGCCACAACAGCAGAGGCAAUAGGCGCUCAAAGCGAGGGCGUGGGCCUAAACGGCGGCUUAGUGGAACAGGCUUGAGGCGGGCCAAACCACAAUCAUGCAGAGCAACGGCAGAAACGGCUCGAAGGCCCGCCGGCGGUUCACCAGCAAAGGAUGGUCAGCACUGGCGACUCAACAAAGGACCACAACAGAUGAGUACUUCCGAGUCGUGAGUUGUUCCACUGCAACUGCUGGUCCACAUGCAUGAAGUUUUAGCCUUGGUCUGUUGAGAAGUUGGUAGCGAGCUUAAUGAACCACGCCAUGCAAUAGUGUUGGAAUUUGAAGUGUGGCCGCUUUCGAUGUUACCCUGGGAACUUGGGAACUUGCUCUUCCUUGUAGCAAACAGAGAUUAAAAAACUGAUUUGAAGAUGUCCGAACAUGAGUAGUCUUCGGACUUGCUUCGAUUAAACCGCAGAUUACGUGUACGCCGGCUGUUUGCCUUUGGUUGUUGCGACCAAAGAAAAACUGGGCACGGACACGGCCUCGCGCAAAGAUAGAAAUUUUGUUAGUCUCACGCGGCUUGCCGCAAGGGCUGUAGCAGGAAAUCCAAUCGGUGUCGACAACUUGCGGCAGCUCAAUCGUCCAUCAAUGCAACCCUAAUCCUCUUGAUCCUUCUCGAUCUUGAUCCAAUCUUGUACAUGCCAUCUCAAGGCUAAUCACGAUCUUCUUGAGCAGUUCUUUUUUUCACCAGAUUAGUCGCGAAUUUCUCGAUCCCUAUGAGAGAUCCCUUCAAGAACUCAACACCAUCGUGCGCGAGCCCCACAGUGGGCGCCAACUGUCGUGGAAUCAACACGUCAGAUGUCCUUAGUGUGAGGACUUAGUCGCGAGGCCAAUGCAUCUAUGUGGUAGCUUGAGAGGGGUUGAGCGGAAUCGAGAGACGUAACAUAAUACAAGGGUUUAGACAGCUUCAGGCCCCGGGAAACAUCAUCCGGUAAAAACCCUACAUGCUGUUUGAGGCUAGAUCUCAUUAUCAUCACGAGGGAGUCGCCGUAAACCGGCUCUCCUCUAGUUGUGUCUAGCCCUAGAGAUUGCUUCUUCCCUCUCCCUCUUUGGGGUGCCCUACCCCUUCUUAUAUAUGUUGAAGGGGCGGGUUACAUGUAGAGUCCUAUUAGGAUUAGGACUAGUCUAUCUCUAAUACAAACAGGAUACAAGUCUAGGUCUUAACUCCUUGUAAGACAAAUAUUCCUUAUACCUUUCCUCUUAAACCGGCCCACCAUAGCGUGAUCCGGCCUUCCAUAAACCGCCGUUGGGCCACCGGGUCUUGUCGCUCCUCUGACCCGCCUGUCGGAUUACCAAUGAAUCGUAAACCGCCAGGUCCAAGUGGGUCGCCAGUGAAUCGCCAAACUCUAGCCGGGUCAUUCAUCCGGCGGUUUAUACUGCGGGGUAUAUCCCCGACACUUACCAAGUUCCACUCACCAAGAGCGCUACGCUCCCCGGCAACGGCGCCAAAAAAGAUUCUUGAUGACCCACAAGUAUAGGGGAUCUAUCAUAGUCCUUUUAAUAAGUAGGAGUGUCGAACCCAACGAGGAGCAGAAGGAAAUGAUAAGCGGUUUUCAGUAAGGUUUUCUCUGCAAGCACUGAAACAGUAGGUGAUAGAUAGUUUUGUGAUAAGAUAAAUAGUAACGAGCAAAAAGUAAAUAAAGUAAAUAAAGUGAAGCAAGGUGGCCCAAUCCUUUAUGUAGCAAAGGAUAAGCCUGGACAAAUUCUAAUAAUGAAGAAGGAGCUCCCGAGGACACAUUGGGAAUUAUCGUCAAGCUAGUUUUCAUCACGUUCGUAAGAUUCGUGUUUGGUACUUUGAUAAUUUGAUAUGUAGGUGGGUCGGCACUUGGGUACUGCCCUAACAUGGACAAGCAUCCCACUUAUGAUUAACCCCUAUUGCAAGCAUCCGCAACUACAAAAAGGAGUAUUAAGGUAAACCUAACCACAACAUUAAACAUAUGGGUCCAUAUCAACCCCUAACGAAGCAACGCAUAAACUAGGGUUUAAGCUUCUGUCACUCCAGCAACCCAUCAUCUACUUAUUACUUCCCUAUACCUUCCUCUAGGCCCAAAUAAUGGUGAAGUGUCAUGUAGUCUAUGUUCACAUAACACCACUAGAGGAGAGACAACAUACAUCUCAUCAAAAUAUCGAACGAAUACCAGAUUCACAUGACUACUAAUAGCAAGACUUCACCCAUGUCCUCAGGAUCAAACGUAACUACUCACAAAGCAUAUUCAUGUUCAUAAUCAGAGGAGUAAUAAUAUGCAUAAAGGAUCUGAACAUAUGAUCUUCCACCAAGUAAACCAAAUAGCAUCAACUAUAAGGAGUAAUCAACACUACUAGCAACCCACAGGUACCAAUUUGUGGUUUUGAUACAAGCUUGGAUACAAGAUUUGAACUAGUGUUUUGAGAUGAGAUGGUGCUGGUGAUGAUGUUGAUGGAGAUUGACCCCCUCCCGAUGAGAGGCCCGUUGGUGAUGACGUUGGUGAUGAAUUCCCCCUCUCGGAGGGAAGUGUCCCCAGCAGAACAGCUCCGCCAGAGCCGUAGAUUGAUUCCGCCAAGGUUCCGCCUCGUGGCGGUGGAGUUUCAUCCCGUAAGCUUGCCCAUGAUAUUUUCCAGGGGAAAAGUGAUGACAUAGCAGAAGAUGGACGCCGGAGGCCCACCAGGGAGCCCAGGAGAUAGGGGGCGCGCCAUAUGGGGGGCGCGCCCCCUGUCUCCUGGACAGGGUGUGGGCCCCCUGGCCUAUUUCUUUCGCCCAUAAAUUCUUAUUAAUUCCAAAAAGUUGUUUCGUGGAGUCUCAGGUCUUUUGGAGUUGUGCAAAAUAGGUUUCCAAUGUUUGCUCCUUUUCCAGCCAAAAUUCCAGCUGCCGGCAUUCCCCCUCUUCAUGGUAAACCUUGUAAAAUAAGAGAGAAUAGCCAUAAGUAUUAAGAUAUAAUGUGUAAUAACAGCCCAUAAUGCAAUAAAUAUUGAUAUGAAAGCAUGAUGCAAAAUGGACGUAUCAGUAGGGCCCAAGCUCCUACCAGUUUGGUAUCAGCUAGCUUCGGUCCGAUAGUGUCUUCACCGCCACCCAACCCAUCUCUCCCACUACCGGUCACCUUGUCUCCUACCACCACGACCAUCGCCCACUACUGCCCACGUCGGGAUCCUCCAUCGCCCCCGCCCCCACUGUCCUCAUCCCGGAGAAGGUGUCUGGGGUGCAGCGGGACCUGACCCAGGUGGUCCAAGAGAUCCGCCUGUUCUUGGCCGGGUCCUACGGGCCGCACCCGACUGCGCCGCCCAUCGCCGCCCCCGCGCCGCCGAGGCUGCCAUGGCAGCCACUGCACCAGGCGGCUUCCGCCGCGCUCGCCGGGCCGCUGCAGCUGCCAUUCAUCCCCACCACCACCGAACCUUGGCUGAUGUGGCAGCCGCUGCUCCUGGUGGCCCGCUGCGCCCGGCACUCCGCCGCAGCAGCAGCUGCCGUUGCAGCUGCAGCAACCACCGCCUGUCAGCUCCGGCCCCAGAUCGACCAUGUCAGCGGGAGUCCUGAUCCACGAGAUCCGGUUCCCGCCCUCGCUGUCCCCGCUACCGGCUUGCUUGACCGAGUCGUUGUUUCAGCCGGUCUACACGAUUGCCUCGGGACCUCCGCACGUGCCGCCCAACAGGUGCAGUACGACGAGUCCUCCAGUUCUGCGGGUCCCUACGUUGGCCUCGACGCGAUGCAGUUCCACGGGGGGGCCCCUGUGAUCACAAACCCAACGCCACUACUCCGCACCGCCGAGCCGUAGCCCCAUGAUGGUCAUACCCAGACAGUGCCGCACUUAGCCAAGCUUGCCUUCGCCACCUACGACAGCACCGAGGACCCCCUCAACUGGCUUAAUCAGUGUGACCAGUUCUUUCGGGGGCAACACACGCUCGCGUCGGACCGCACAUGGCUCGCUUCAUAUCACCUAUGAGGCACCGCACAGACUUGGUAUUACGCUCUCGAGUAGGACGAGGGCGGAAUGCCUCCAUGGGAGCGUUUUCGCGAGCUCUGCCUCCUUGCAUUGGGGCCGCCGAUGCGCGGGAGCUGGCUGGCGGAGUUGGGCCGUCUUCCCUUCACCUCUAUGGUGUAGGACUUCAUCGACCGCUUUCAGGCCCUAGCAUGCCACGCGCCCGGCGUGACGGCUCGCCAACGGGCUAAGCUCUUCAUCGGCGGUCUGCCGGAUCAUAUCCGCGUCGACAUGGAGCUGCGGGGACCCCAGGACCUCCAAACGGCCAUGUACUACACCUGCACGUUCGAGCGUCGCGCGGUGGCCAUCCAGUAGGCGUCACCGUCCCGAUCCGUUGGGCCGCCACCCUGGCCGGACGUUCCCGCACAGGGUCGGCCUACUCAGGCUUCCGCAACACCCUUCACCAUGACCGCGGCGCCCCCGUUCCGCCGGCUCACCCCGGCCGAGCAACUCGAGCGUCGUCGCUGCCAAGGGUUGUGCUUCAACUGUGACGAGCCCUACGUGCCCAACCACGUUUGCUCACGACUCUUCUACCUGGAGGCUGUCUACAUUGAGGAGGAUGCCGCCGCCACUGGGCUCGGUGACCUGCCCGCCCCAGCUGCCGCGAAGGUGUUUGGCGACGAUUGAUCACCUCGGGGAGUUUCGCAAGCGCUUCCCCGCCUUCCAGCUCGAGGAAGAGCUGUUUGUGCAGGCAGGGAGAAAUGUUAUGUCCGGCAUAAUAGGGGCUUAGCCCAGUUAGUUGUGGCCCAGUCUAGCUUAUCGUUAUUAGGGUCUUAGCCCAAUUAUCUUAUUAGGAGGAUUAUAUAAACUCGUGUAAGGAUCCGUUUUGAAAUUAAGUAAGAAGCAAUCAUAUUUGCUCGGCUUCCUUAGGGAGCCAGGAGACCUAACCCUAGCCUCCUCCCCUGCGCCAUCUUCUUCUCAGCCGCCGCCUUCUCCCGCGCAACUAUGGCGUCGAUGCACCGCCGCCGGCGCCCAUCUCCUUGCCAACCAGCCUCCCACCCCUACAACCUACGGUUUAGGCCAGGUAGGGCCCAAGCUCCUACCAGAACUCCUGGCGCCAAGGCCUUUUAAACAAGACCUGGUCUCGCCUAGUCUACCACUUCACGACGGCAUGCCCGUGCUUGUUGGCAGCUGGCUUGGCAGCGUGCAAGUGCUCCCUCUGCCUGACUUCCACCUACUACUGUUGGCCGUUGCACCAGCCGGCCUGACCACCCUAGACACUGAACAUAUGAAUUUUUCUCUAUUGAACACUUCUAAUGGAAUAAGACAUGACUGAAAAUAAUUGUAACUCCCUGAUGCAGUUGUACUCGACAGGUCAUAAUGCGAGGAGGUUAAAGAGGGCUGGUUAUCUCUAGCACCUGAAGAAGAAAGGGAAGUAUUGACUGGUCUAAAGGUAAUCAUGCUGGGCACUAUUGAUGUUAAUGAAGUUCGUUCUAUGAUUGUCUCAGUUAUUUAAGUUAUAUAUGCGGCAUGAUUCCAAGAUGUGAUACUGGACGGUACUGGUACUAGAGUACAAGUAGGAUCAUAUUCUGUUGCAUGAUGCCAAAAUGUGAUGGUCACACUAGCUGCCACUAUUACAUACACUAGUCUAAAAAUAGGGUCAUAUGCGUGAGUGUGGCUGCUAGUAAUUUUGAAUGUAGAGAUAUGAGGUUGUUUGACAUGAUACUUCAAAUUACUAUACCAGAGGGGUUAUUCAGUAGGUAUAAAAAGGGAAUUUCUUCUGGACGACCGCUAUCGAGCAUUUUUCAAGGGAUACGUCAAGGUUGACGCAUCAGGAUCAUAGAUAGAAUAGGUGGCUAAAAGAAAAGGCCAUUGUUGUUAGUACAACCAACUCUACGGCUGCUAGAGCCCUAAAGAAUCCACAUGCGGAUUACUCUCUCUCGUCCCACCUAUCUACCAUACAAAUGACUGAGCCACAUUCACGCAGUAAGCCAGCCACUCUCUAGUCCUGAGCCUCUAGCUCGAUCUUAACAAGCAGGUCAUCCGCUGAUGCCGAUAAUCCAUUGAAAACAAUGUUGUUUUGGCGCUUCCACAGCAUCCAUAGCACCAGUGUUAUCAUCGUCCAUGCCACCUUUCGAAAUUGCUUCUGGGGUUGAGUGCUGUCCACCAUUCAACUAGUCUUGAAUCUGCAGAUGGAAUCCACUCCGGCCUACUCCAAGUCUUCAUGAUCUUGGCCCAUACCUAUCAUGCUAGAACGCAUCCGAGAAGCAAAUGAUCCAAUGUCUCUGGUAGUUGAUCGCAGAAGGGGCAUGCCGACGGGUGUGGCAAUUGCCGUCGCUGAAGCCUAUCCACUGUCCAGCAUCGGUUCCUUGUCGCGAGCCACAUGAAGAACUUGCAUGCAGGGGGGCGGCAUCUCCAUACCUGCACUGCUCCCGCGCUCUCUAUUCUUCCCGCAAAGGACAUGAUAUGCCGAUCGCGCUGAGAAUUGCCCUGUGCUCUCCCAUGUCCAGGAAAUGGCAUCCUCAGUGCCCGGCCAUAGUUCCACAUGUUGGGUUAGGUCCACCACCGCAAUGAACUCGAACAGGGCCUGCGUGUCCAUGUCCGGGGACAUCUCAUGCCUCCAUCCGACGAUGAGGGCAUAGAGGUGUGGCAUUAUAUCCUCAAUGCAGCCAUCUGAGAGCCACCGUAUGUCCAAAACCGAGCUAUCUUCCCAUCUCCAAGUGUGCACCUUGCCGCUGCCUUGUAUAUGCCCAUCGAUUCAUCGGAUACUUGUAUGUUAAACUUGCUCCACGACAUAGCUGAGUCGGUCCUUUGUAGCCAUGGCCAUCGUGCCCUAAGUGCGGAGUUCAGGUAGCGCAAGUUUGGAACACCGAGGCUGCCAUGUUCCUUUGGCGAGCAAACCUGAUCCAUGCCACAAUGCAGUGUCCUCCAUUCACCUCGCGUCGGCCUUUCCAUAGGAAACCACAGCAAAUCUUGUUUGCGGCUGUAGUAGUUUUGAUUGGCAGGUCGAGCGCCAUCAUCACAUGGAUCGGCAUGGACAUCAGUGUAGUUCUUAGCAGCUUGAGUCGUCCGGCCCAAUAGAGCAGUCUUGCUUGCCAAGAAGGUAGCUUGUCGGCCAUCUUGUCAACCAUGUAGUGCAGUUGAGCUGUCGUGAUCUUUCGUAGCCUCAACGGCAGCCCAAGGUAUCUGCACGGCCAGCCCAACACUUGGCACUCCAUCUCAGCUAUGAUCAUCUGCUUCUGCUUGUGUGUGCACCUUAUUGGGUGCGCGGAGCACUUUCACAAGUUGGUGUGGAGGUCGGAUGCAACACCAAAGUCGAACAAGAAAGCAGCGCAAGCCCUGAGACUCCACAUGUCUGGCUUAAUGAACGUGAUCACGUCAUCUGCAUAGAUGGAGGUGCACUUCUGAACACCCGAGGAUGCGAGGGGGGUCAGAACCCCUGCCACCAUGGCCUGGUAGAGCAUACAUUGCAGUUUUCCUUCCAUGACAAGGACAAACAGGAGGGGGGAGACCAGAUCUCCUUGCUGCAAGCAUUGUCGAUUUUAAAUGACCUCUCCCGGAAUGUCGUUGAGUAGUACUCUUGUGGAGGAAGAUGCCAGAAGGCCAGAAAUCAAUGCCAUCCAUUUAUUGAUGAAUCCCAUGUGUUGGAGAAUAUCCAAGAGGAAUGCCCAGUGCACGGUGAGGGAGUCCUGGAUUAGGGGUUCCUCGGACAGCCGGACUAUAUACUUUGGCCGGACAGUUGGACUAUGAAGAUACAAGAUUGAAGACUUCGUCAUGUGUCCGAGUGGGACUCUCCUUUGCAUGGAAGGCAAGCUUGGCAAUUCAGAUAUGUAGAUCUUAUUCUUUGUAACCGACUUUGUGUAACCCUAGCCCUAUAAACCGGAGCGUUUAGUCCGUAGGACAACGACAAUCAUAAUCAUUGGCUAGCUUCUAGUGUUUAGCCUCUACGAUCUCGUGGUAGAUCAACUCUUGUAAUACUCAUAUCAUCAAGAUCAGUCAAGCAGGAAGUAGGGUAUUACCUCCAUCGAGAGGGCCCGAACCUGGGUAAACAUCGUGUCCCCCGCCUCCUGUUACCAUUAGCCUUAGAUGCACAGUUCAGGACCCCUACCCGAGAUCCGCCGGUUUUGGCACCGACAUUGGUGCUUUCGUUGAGAGUGCCACUGUGCCGUCACGGCAAGGCUUGAUGGCUCACUUUGUUGUCAAGGACAACGUCACCUCUUGGGGAGCCCUGGCUUUAGGCGAAUCUCUCCGACUAGGCGGCUUCGUCAUGACCGCCCGAUCGGCCUUCGCGCCGACGAUGACUUCUUAGGUCAUCAAAAACAGCCUCCACGUCAGCUCGGAACUUACAGAAUAGAUGGAUCCAAUGGAGUUCUCCUCCCUGAACGAGGUCUUGGACCGCAUCGCCUCUCUGAGAGUCGCUAUGGACUAUGAUCGGAUCGGGCUUAAACCCGACCAAAGGGAGAUUAACUCUCCGCUGGUCACCCAUCAGAUAGCGGUAGUGGAGGAGCAAUGCAUCGAUUCUUCCUCUAUUUUGAGGACGAACUAUGCCCGGAUUCCCGAGCUCUCCGAGCCGGAUACCCGUCUACGGGAGGACAUGGCCCAGGGUCCGAACCUAUAAUCGGACAGCCGGCUAGAAAAAUUGGGCAACAUCCUGGAGCCCAAGCUGCCAAGCUCGGAAGCUCCUCUGCCCCUGGGUCUCAGAUCGGGUCAGGGUUUGGACUUAAAUUGUCACGCCCAAGAUGCGACCCUAUCCUAAAGGGACUCGAAGGUCCCACCAAGGAUAGAAGCGCAUCUUGAAGACGCUUUUGCAAGGUGGAUAUCAUUACAUCAACAUUACAUAAUAGGUAGGGAUACAUACAUAAGGCAUACAAUGCCACACGAAUACAACAUCAUCUUACAUAAGAGCACCAUCCGACUACGGAUGAAACACAAACAGAAACUCAAACGACAUCCACCCUGCUAACCCAGGCUGCCGACCUAGAACCUAUCCCCUGAUCGAAGAAGAAGCAGAAGAAGAACUCCAAAACAAGCAAACAUCACUCUCGCGUCAUGAUCAUCGCAUAACCUGUAACUGCAACUGUUGUUGUAGUAAUCUGUGAGUCACGAGGACUCGGCAAUCCCGUUACCAAGGGUAUCAAGACUAGCAAAGCUUAAUGGGAAAGGAAGGGGUAAAGUGGUGAGGUUGCAGCAGUGACUAAGCAUAUAUCGUGGCUAACAUACGCAAAUAAGAGCGAGAAGAGAGCAAAUGGAACGGUCGUGAAGCUAGCAAUGAUCAAGAAGUGAUCCUAAACUCCUACUUACGUCAAACAUAACCCAAAACCGUGUUCACUUCUCGGACUCCACCGAAAAGAGACCAUCACGGCUACACACGCGGUUGAUGCAUUUUAAAUCGUAUCUGGUGUCAAGUUAUCUACAACCGAACAUUAACAAAUUCCCAUCUGCCCAUAACCGCGGGCACGGCUUUCAAAAGUUUAUACCCUGCAGGGGUGUCCCAACUUAGCCCAUGAUAAGCUCUCGCGAUCAACGAAGGAUAUACCUUCUCCCAGGGAGACCCGAUCAGACUCGGAAUCCCGGUUUACAAAACAUUUCGACAAUGGUAAAAUAAGACCAGCAAAGCCGCCCUAUGUGCCGACAAAUCCCGAUAGGAGCUGCACAUAUCUCGUUCUCAGGGCAACACUGGAUGAGACUAGCUAUGAGUAAAACCAGACUUUGAGUUUCCCCGAGGUGGCCCCGUAGGCAGCUCGGUUCGGACCAACACUCGAAGGAGCACUGGCCCGGGGGGGCUAAAAUAAAGAUGACCCUCGGGCUCCGGAAACCCAAGGGAAAAAGGGCUAGGUGAGGCAAAUGGUAAAACCAAGGUUGGGCCUUGCUGGAGGAGUUUUAUUCAAAGAGAACUGUCAAGGGGGUCCCAUAAAUCACCCAACCGCGUAAGGAACGCAAAAUUCGGGAACAUAACACCGGUAUGACGGAAACUAGGGCGGCAAGAGUGGAAACAAACACCAGGCAUAAGGCCGAGUCUUCCACCCUUUACCAAGUAAUAUAGAUGUAUUAAUUAAAUAAGAGAUAUUGUGAUAUCCCAACAUAAUCCUAUCCACCAUGGGACAAUCUUCAACUUCACCUGCAACUAACAACGCUAUAAGAGGGGCUGAGCAAAAGCGGUAACAUAGGCAAACAACGGUUUGCUAGGAAGGGUGAAAAAGGUUAGAGGCUGACAUGGCAAUUUGGGAGGCUUGAAGAGCAAAUGAUAGGUAGCGCAGCAUAGUGAUAGAACGAUGCAACUAGCAUAGCAAUGAUAGUAGUGAGAUCCAGGGUAGCGGUCAUCUUGCCUAAAAUCCCGCUAGGAAGAAGAACGAGUCCAUGAAGAAGACGAAUGGAUAAAGCCGAACCAAGCAUAGACGAACGAAUCCUCACGAUCGCAACAAAACAGGAACUAUCGAGAGAAGCACACAACAUGGUAAACACACCACACAUAAACAUGACAUGAUGCACAACAAGCAUGAUGCAUGACAAAGCUACAUGAAGCUACUCAUGGCAAGGGAUGAUGAAAACAAGAGCAACACAUCAAAGCAAGUUUAAAUGAGGCCGGAAACAACAUAUAACAAUUCCGGUAAGUCCUCAUAUGCAAAACUCGAAAUUGGUCCAGAUCUGAAUAAACCUUAUGUUCAAGUUGUUAAACAGCAAGUUAAGAUGCACCAAGAUGAUCUACACGAGAUUCUAGUCAAGUUACAUAUAAAGUUCAUUUAGUACGGAGCUACGGCCUAGAAGAUAUGAGCAAAACAAGUUAAACAUGGCAUUGAUGCAAAAUGCAAAGAAACAUCAAGCAAACACCUCAAAACAAAGAUGCAACAUGAUAAUAUUAAGCUACAUGCAAAAUCAAGCAAGUUCCAUAUAGAUCAGAAUCAAAACGGAGCAACGGUUCAACACACACACACACACACUAUACAAGUUAUAGCAACAAUCUGUCCAAAACAGCAACUAGCAUAUUGCAAGCAUCAAAACAACAUGCUACAGUACCACAAUAAGAAAACAAAAGGCAUAGAAAUGAUUUACGGGUAAAGAAUAACAAAACAUGAACACUGAGCUAUCUCCAGAAAUCACUAGAACAUGCUCAAAAACACAUGGCAAGAUUGCAAAUAAUAUCAGUUUACAGACUUGGCAGAAAUAACAUCAGGUUGCAAUGUUUAGAGCUGUCAAACAACAUGUUACAGAAACUUAUCAUGGAAAACAAAGGCUUGGCAGGAACCUACUAAAUGCAUAGAACAAAAGUCCUUUACUGACCAUGAGCCAAAAGGGCACAGAAAAUAUGAUGGCACCCAUGCAAACAUGGCAAAUGAUAUGACAGAUUCAAACAUGGCAGGAACAACGAUAAGUAGGCAUGUUGGUGAGCUUGUACCACUCACCAUAGAGCAUUACAUGUCAUAACAAGGAAACCAACAGUAAUAUGACAUAAUUAUGAAGCUAUGAAUGGCAAGAACAAGUUCAUAGGGUACAUGGAUCACUAGCAAAACACAUGGCAAAACUGAACUUAAUGUUAACAGGCGGACAUCAACAUUAUUUAGCAACUUUGGAGCAAGAUUACAAUAAGCUACAGCAGGCUAUAAAUGCAACCAAGGGCAUAGAUGGAUAGAGCUUGACAUGUAGAACAAAACAUCCUUAGUGAACAUCUCUAGGUUAUGCAUGUAAUGACUUGUAGCAGCAGGUUUACAUAGCAUCACAAAAUAACAGAUUCAGCCUAUCAAAACAGCAACAGCAAGUACCCUACUUAACAAGCUUGAUGCACUCAGUACAAGAAUCAAAAAAUACAUGGAUGGCACCCCUGUAAAGAUGGCAUGUCAUAGUACAAAACACAUGUAGAGCUCAUGCUCAUAGGAUGCACACACAAAAUGCAACGAAAAAGACAAAUCACCAAGUUAUAACAGUUUCAGCAGAUUAACAUCAUAUAGCACUCUUAUAACAAUGAUUCGGGCAUCCAGAUGAUCUUAAACAAGCACGGCACAAUGUAACAAAAUGUAGAGCAUCUCACAUCGAACAUUUUGAUAUAUUAUGCACACAAAACGGAGCAGUAUGCAACAAGUUAUGAUGCGUUGAACAGGGCAUGAAAAUGUCAAAAAAAUCAGGGACUUUGGGAAAUUUGGACCUCGGGGAAAGUUGGACGGGGCGGACCCGGGACGAGCGGAUCCGGGGACGGGGGGGGUCCGUGUUUGGAUGGAGGAGUGGUGGAUCUGGUCCCGGUUGACCAGAUCCGGCGAGGACGACGGCGGGGUGGCUCCGGCGAGCGGCGCGGAAGCCGAGGCGGACGCCGGCAGGGAGCUGCGGGACGCCGGGGCGCCUGGCGACGGCGGCCAGGGCCGAUGCGGGAGGCGGNNNNNNNNNNNNNNNNNNNNNNNNNNNNNNNNNNNNNNNNNNNNNNNNNNNNNNNNNNNNNNNNNNNNNNNNNNNNNNNNNNNNNNNNNNNNNNNNNNNNNNNNNNNNNNNNNNNNNNNNNNNNNNNNNNNNNNNNNNNNNNNNNNNNNNNNNNNNNNNNNNNNNNNNNNNNNNNNNNNNNNNNNNNNNNNNNNAGGCGAGGCAGAGGACAGGCGGAGGCGUGCUCCGGUCGCCGGAGUUGGUCGCCGGCGACGGCGCGAAGGCGGCGGCUAAGAUCCGGCAAGGCGGGUGUAGGCGGCGAGGUUGCUGGUCCGAUCUGGGCUUCACGGGCCCGGCAGCGAAGUGGGCGCGGGUGGACACGUGGAAGGUCAUGAUUGGCGCGGGAGGCAGCGGGAUUCGUCCGGCGGGCGGACAUGUCCGACGCGGAGAGGGGGGGAUUUUUAGGGUUUGGACUGCGGGAUUUUCGGGGGAGGGCAUAUUUAUAGAUUCUGGGAGCUAGGAGAGUCCAAAUGAGGAGCGGUUUUCGCCAACACGAUCGUGAUCGAACGACCGAGAGCAUGGAGGGGGUUUGGAUGGGUUUAGGGCCAGUUUGAAGGGGUGUUGGGCUGCAACACAAAGAGGGCUUUUACGAUUACCCGGUUAACCGUUGGAGUACCAAACGACCUCCAAAUGGCACGAAACUUGACAGGCGGUCUACCGGUGGUAUACCAAGACCGCUUGGCAAACCUCGGGUCAUUCCAAGAAAGUUUAACACCCACACACGAAAAGAGGCAAAAGGAGGCGCCGGGGAACAUAGGAGUGCGGGAUUGCAAAACAGACAACGAGGAAAAUGCUCGGAUGCAUGAGACGAACACGUAUGCAAUGCAAUGCACAUGAUGACAUGGCAAAAUGCAACACGCAAGCAAAAGACAUGGCAACAAUGACGAGUAACUGGCGGACACCUGGCACAACGAAUCUGGGGUGUUACAUAAAUCUACCCACCCACCCAGAUACAAGCGAUCUUUCCCACAUUAGACAAGAGCCCCAAGAGACAGUACAUCACUUCUAAGCCAGAUUCCCCUUUGUAAUGAGCAAGGUUAAGGACUGUCGCGAGGAAGAUGCAAUCUCAUUCUUUUGCAAAAAAUGCACGGACAAGGGAAUCAUCAACGCCAUAAGUCGCUGUGACAUAGUACACUUUGCUGACUUGGAGGCCAUAGUACAGAAGUACUGUGUGAUGGAAAGCGCCUGGAAAACCCAAACAAAAUUCUGGGAUCCUCCGGCUCUCACUAAACCCCCUGUACGAACUAAAAGGGUGCACUCUCGCAAGUCACCCGAUCCAAUUACAAAAAACCAAAGCCUGCUACAGGGCGUGGAACCGUAUUGGAGGGAUGGCUUAACGGGCGAUGCAAAAUUCAUAGUACACCGGAUACCAUACCAACACACAGCCUUAGAGCAUGUUGGAUACUCCAGCAGGUGGCCAAGAGCGGCGAGGAUCCCCUCAUAAGCAAUACCACAGAACACCAUCCCACGGAAAAUAACAAUACAAUACUGACAGUCUUCGAGACUUUCACCUCAAAUAAUAGGCGCAAGCGAGCACUCCACAACCUCGCCGAAGUCUGCCAUCUCGCAGCAAUAAAUCCAUGGAACGACACGGCCAUAACCUUCAAUGCCAGUGACGAACCUCAAUUCCGAACAGUCCGAGCACCAGCCGCUCUGGUCCUAUGUCCAAUCGUGGACGACUUUCGGCUUACUAAAGUGCUCAGGGACAGCGGCAUCGGAUUAAACCUCAUCUACAAGGAGACUCUUAACAAAAUGGAAAUAGACAAGAGCCGCAUUGAGCAAGGCAACACGACCUUUAGGGGAAUCAUCCUUACUCGGGAGGCAUGAUGUGCGGGAAAAAUCACACUAGAUGUGGUAUUCGGCACGCCGGAGAAUUAUAGGUCCGAAGAAAUCACAUUCCAAGUGGCCCCGUUCAGUAGCGGAUACCACACCCUUUUAGGGCGGGAUGCAUUCACGAGCUUUCAAGCUAUACCCCAUUACGGGUACAUGAAGCUCAAGAUGACCGGGCCCAAUGGAAUCAUACUCUAGCUAGUGAUCCGGAGGUAGCACUCCGCGCCAAAAAUAAAACCGCCGCACUGGCCCUUGAGGCAUUAACUAAAGCCCUCGCGGCCGAAGAACUAACUGCGUUGCGCUCCACGGUGGAUAGCGACGACGUGAUACUCGAUAAACGACCCAAAUCCACCUCUUACAAAGCAGCGGACGAAAUAGUCAAAUUCCAGGUCCACCCAACGGACCCUACAAAAACAACAUCCAUCGAAGCAUAGCUAAACCCCACAAUAGACGUCGCACUGUGAGAGUUCUUGCGUGAGAAUAUGGACAUCUUUUCCUGGCAUCCUUCAGACAUGUCAGGUAUCCCACGCAUGCUGGCCGAACAUAGCCUAAACAUACUGAAGGGAUACAAGCCAGUCAAGCAGACUCUUCGGCGCUUCUCAAAACCUAAACGACAAGCCAUGGGAGAAGAGCUAGACAAGUUACUCGAGGCCGGAUUCAUUAGAGAAAUAAAACAUCCAGAUUGGCUAGCAAACCUGGUGAUGGUACCAAAGAAGGACAAAUACUGGCGCCUAUGUGUCAAUUUCAAGGACCUCAAUAAGGCUUUCCCCAAGGAUCCCUUCCCUCUCCCCCGCAUUGAUCAAAUCAUCGACGCUACCACAGGACACAACUCAUUGUGCUUCCUCGACGCAUACUCCAGAUACCAUCAAAUCAAGAUGGCAGAGUCCGAUCAAGCUGCAACGGCAUUCAUCAGACCAUACGUCCCAUUCUGUUUUAAUACCAUGCCUUUCGGGCUCAAAAAUGUCGGCGCAACCUAUCAAAGCAUGAUUCAGAGAUGCCUGGAAAACAAAUCCGCAAAACAAUAGAGGCAUACGUAGACGACGUGGUCAUCAAAACCAGACACAUCGAAUUUUUAAUAGACUAAUUGAGGCUUACGUUCGACAAACUCCGAACAUAUGACAUCAAGCUCAAUCCAGAAAAAUGCGUUUUUGGCGUGCCUGCCAGAAAGCUGCUGGGCUUCAUUGUUUCCAACAGAGGAAUUGAAGAAAAUCCGGCUAAAAUCCGAGCUCUAUCACAGUUGGCUACCCCAACAGACCUCAAGAAAAUGCAGAACUGACUGGAUGUGUGGCUGCCUUAAGCCGCUUUAUCUCCUGAUUGGGAGAAAAGGCACUACCUCAUUAUCGCCUUCUUCGACGCACCGAACACUUUGAGUGGAUGGAUGCGGCCACGGCCGGAUUGAAAGAAAUAAAGGCCCUCUUGGCCAGCAACCCAAUCCUGGCCGCACCAAAUAUCGGCGAACCCAUGCUGUUAUAUAUAGCUGCAACACAACAGGUUGUAAGCGCAGUGCUCGUCGUCGAAAGAGAAACGGACGGACAUAAAUUCCCGCUUCUAAAGCCGGUAUACUAUGUAUCCACUGUCCUCACUCCAUGCAAGUCCUGGUACCCACAUUAUCAAAAGAUAGCAUACGCGGUCUUCAUGGCAUCCCGGAAGCUACGACACUACUUUCAAGAGUGUUCAAUCACGGUGGCCUCUGAAGUACCACUCAGCGAUAUAAUAAAUAAGCAUGAUGCCACGGGCCGGAUUACUAAAUGGGCUAUCGAGCUCCUCCCGUUCGACAUAAUAUACAAACCACGACGGGCCAUUAAGUCGCAAGUAUUGACCGACUUCGUCGCCAAAUGGAGAGAAGCCAAACUCCCUAAAGAGUACGGUGCGUACUCCAAUUGGAUCAUGCACUUUGACGGCUCUAAGAUGCUGGCUGGUCUGGGGGCAGGCGUUGUCCUGACAUCCACCACCAGAGAUACAGUCCAAUACGUACUCCAAAUAUUAUACACAGACUCCAACAACGCAGCCGAAUAUGAGGCUUUGUUGCAUGGUCUUCGGAUGGCAGUCUCCAUGGGCAUUCAACGCCUGGAAGUGCGUGGGGAUUCGAACCUUGCAAUAUCUCAAAUAAAUGGAGAUAUUGACGCCAAGGACCCAAAAAUGGCGGCUUACCGUAAUGCCGUCCUCAAAAUGUCAGCUCGGUUCGAGGGGCUCGAAUUCCACCAUGUGGUCCAGAAAACAAUCAUGCGGCGGAUAUCCUCGCCGGCAUCGGUGCUAAGUGCGACCCUGUCCCACCUAAUAUCUUCUUGGAAAGGCCGUUCAAGCCAUCCGUGGUGUGGGAAGGGGAGACCGGCAAUACCAGUCCGGAUCCGAAGACAACCCCAGAUCCCGAACAAUCUGACGUAAUCAGAGGCUCUGCCACCGAAAUUAUACCUUCGGCCCAUGUGAUUAUGGCUGUCAUUGCCCCGUGGACAGAACCUAUCUUAGCCUGCCUAAAUAAGCAAGAACUCCCUGAGGACCAAAAUGAAGUGCGUUGCAUUGUGCGGUGCUCUAAAGCCUACAAGGUUCACGAGGGAGAGCUUUAUAAGAAAAGUGCAACCGGAGUGCUUCAAAGAUGCAUCUCCAAACAGGAGGGACGACAGCUACUGGCCGAAAUUCAUGCUGGACUCGGCGGCCAUCAUGCCGCAGCUCGGGCCCUUGUAAGCAAGGCCUUCCGUACAGGUUUCUACUGGCCGAUAGCCCGAGCAGACGCACAGGACCUCAACCAACAUUGCGUCGGUUGCCAGCUUUUUGCAAAUCAAAGCCAUAUGCCACCUACCACUCUCCAAACAAUCCCCAUAACUUGGCCCUUUGCGGUCUGGGGGCUCGAUAUGGUUGGACCCCUUAAAGGAGGAAGCCAUAAGAAAAAAUACUUGUUGGUCAUGGUAGAUAAAUUCACCAAAUGGAUAGAGGCCAAACCAGUUAAAACGGCCAAAUCCGGACCAGUGAUAGACUUCAUAUCCGGGGUCAUAUACCGUUACGGUGUCCCCCACAGCAUCAUCACUGAUAACGGCUCCAACUUCACAGCCGAUGAGGUGAAAACUUGGUGCGGCAACAUGGGCUUUAAGCUCGAUUAUGCCUCUGUCUAUCAUCCCCAAACAAACGGUCAAGUCGAACAAGCAAAUGGUCUUAUUAUGAGCGGCAUCAAACCCAGACAAGUGCGAUCCUUGAAGGAAUCAGAUACGCACUGGGUCGAGGAGCUCGACUCGAUACUAUGGGGGCUGCGGAUCACGCUGAAUCGUACUACCGGAUACACACCAUUUUUUAUGGUGUAUGCGCAGAGGCGAUGCUACCCUGCGAUAUCAUUCAUGACUCACCUCGAGUGCGCAUGUACGAAGAGAGAGAAGCUAAGCUAGAUCGACAAGACAGUUUAGAUGCCCUGGAGGAGUGUGACGUCUCAAAGGCCCGUUCCGCAUUCUAUCAGCAGCAGGCUCGAAGGUAUCAAAGCAGAGAAGUAUGGGCCAAAACUUAUAACGUUGGCGAAUUCGUUCUACGCCUACCGGAGAAUAAAAAGGACAAGCUCAAGCCCAAGUGGGAGGGUCCCUUCAUCAUUGAUAAAGCUCUCAUCGGAGGAGCGUACCAUCUGCGUGAUGCAUCAGAUAAUCGACUUGAGCCGAACCCAUGGAAUGCGGCCAGACUACGAAGAUUCUACUCCUAGUUCUGAACUCUGUGUUCGUCUCCUUACCUCCGCCUUUCUUUUUUAAGUUAUAUCCUCUUUCUCUCUUUCUUUUUUUAUAUAGCCUUAAAAGCUUCAAGUGUGCUUCGACCGCACACUCCUGCCGUGCUAUGCGUGCUCAAUAUACCUGGGGCUUCUUAUAUAGAAGCUUAAUAUAACUAUCUUCUGGGCUUUAAGCCCACCACAUAUGCGUCACUUCUCCAUAUGUACCUUUUUUAUCCAUUAUAUGCAUCGAUGUGACUUAAGUUUUGGCCAAGCUGGGUUGCCUGGCUCUUGUGUUUAUGCCAUAUGUUCCCUCUAAUUCGGCUAGGGCAUAAGGGAAGCACCUCUGCGAUUGUUACUACCGGGUCAGUCAGAUGUGUACCUCAGAUUGGGUGAAGCCGAAAGCUAGCGUUCUUAAGGGAAUAUUCGAUCGAUGAACAAAAGAUGUUUCUUACCUACUUACAAUAUAAACCCCCAGAUGUUUUAUAUCUCGCGUCUCUGUGCGCACCUCGAACAUGCACAUUAAUGCAUGCGUACCCAGGGAAAGGAACCUUUAACGGAACUAUUCUCCCUGGAAGAUGUUUCUUACUAUCCAUGUAAUAUAACAUAGCUAGUCGGGUACUUGUCUGUUCAAGCAUUAAUGACCCCUACGCCUGGUUUCCACGCGUACCCCGGUUUUACAUAAUUGAGUGGGUAUUUGGAUACACUCCGGACUAUCGGGUCCGGAGGCUGAAGCAAAAAGGUCCGCCAUGACAAAUGAUUUACAAUCUGGCUAGGGACAAAAUAUGUCAUCUGAAGUACACCGUCACUUAGACUGACUAAAUUCUUCUUCUAUAUCAUCCAACAGGCUGUCUAGCCUACAAUCCUGUUGGGAAUACUUUGCAGCUAAUGCUACCUGGUCAUAUACCAGACUAAUGGGGAUCUCUUUCCCAUAUGACCCUACAGGCCCGACCUCGGCCAUGUGGUUUGGGUCAGCCUUGGUGUAUCACGUCCUCACCAUGGCCCAGGCUUCCCUUGCACCUUGUCGGCAGGCCGAUAUCUUCCAUAAUCGGAAGCGCCGCCGUGCUCCCUUGAGCAUCUCUACAAGCUCCCCCAUGCCUCCUGGCAGGGAGGCGGAUGGCCACAAGGCCUGGGCGAUACCCUGCAUCACCUGCCGAACUUGUUCGUGCAGCUGUGAGAGUUCUUGCAGAAGAUCGCCUGCAGAUCCGGACAUCUCCUCUUCGGGACGACCUGUCAGCAUACCUACAGACAUAAAUCUGUUAGCCUGUUUCUUUGCCGAACUGUAUAAAUGUCCAUUCAAGCACUUACUAAAAAUGUCGCGUCGAAGCCUCUUAUUCUCCUUCACGAAGUCUGCAAGCUGUCCCCGAACAUCUUUCAAUUCAAUGUCCAACUGGGUCUUGGCGUCCUUGAGAUCAUUGUUCUCUCGAAUAACCUAUGUAAGCACGCGCUCGCCAGCCUCUCGUUGUCGUUGAGCAUGUUGCUCAUCCACCGAUACAAUCUCCGGAUUGCCUCCGGGAUCGUCUGCAGAAUCUAUUAUUAGAUUUGCAUGCAUGCCGAAUACUAGCUGGUACAUGUCAUUACAUUCUUUUUUGAUUAAGAACAAGUAUUACCAGACGGGGCCUUCUUGGACUCCUCCAUUCCGGCAACUGCGUCCCGUAACUGGGCUUUGCACUCCUCCAGCUCUUUAGACAACUGGGUAUUUUUAUCUAUAAGAACCUAUGCAUACAAUGAUCCUCAAAUCAGUUGUGCCAACUGUUUCAAGUCUCAGGGGCUACUGAUAUACAUAAUUAUCAGAUUUUAUUACCCGUAUAUCCUUUACAUACUGGUCCGUGGCUCUGGCAAGUCCAUCUUGAGCGGCUCGGAUGUACGCAUCUCCUGAGUUGAAGGCCUUGAACGCCUCCUCAGAGAAACUUGGAUCGCGGAGUACGGCCCGGCGACGCCUGUGAUUCAUGGCGCUCUCCACUUAGGAAUUCUUAGCGGACAGUCUAUCCGCAUCCUCUGUAGGAGGACCAUCCGGUGUCGUCCCCACGUUAGCCUCUGGCCCUAAGUCCGGCUCUGGAGUCCGGCUGGUGGAGGCAUGGCCGGCAGGCUCUCCGGACACUAUCCGGUGAGCGUUUUUUAUGCCAGGAACCAAGGACAUUAUUAUAUUUUAAAGACGAUAAUCAUGGAGCAGGUUUUUAAGCAUACCUUUGUGACGGCAUCUCAGUCCUGACCGCCUUCCUUUUGAGCCUACCCGGCUUCGGUGCCCCUUGUUGACGAGUCACCGCGGGUUCGGCACGGUGCCCCGAUGGCCUUCCCUGUAAGAUGCAAUAUGUGUGCAGUGGGUAAAGUGCAAAGAAGGGACCCUUCUCGGAAGUUGGGACUCUGGUUUUACUUACAUGCGAUGGAGGGAGUAGGCCUGGGUAAUUGGUUAUGAUGGCCACCAAGGCACCAUCAUAGCUCAGUUGAUAGAACGUCCUGUCAACGAGCUCCACAAACACGUCUGGAUCCUCUUCGAGUCCGGGGUCGAGGGCCCGGUCAGGGUCCUCUGGCUGUGGAGACGGGCUGUGGACCUCCGUCACAGCUUUUCGCAGCUCCUGCUAUGAAUUAGCAAGGUAAAUAUUUAUGAUGAAAAGUACGGGAAUGACUGGAGUAAAGGAUAGCAGCUCACCCAGCUUGGAGGGUUAUACAUGGAGAAUCCAUCCCGUGGCUUAAUACGGGUGAACUCCUCUUCUUCUUCUUUGUACAAAUCGAACAGAUUUUUUGCCAGAGCCGCGGCAGAGUCCGGACUUUUACGACCACAGUGGGUGGCAUCGUCUUCUCCAUUGAAAUGCCACAUGGGUUUCCCCGAUACUGAUGUGGUCGCAUCCCCCCGCAUUAUACAAAUUGACAUAACCUCGAUUAUAGUCAGUCCUGAUUUGGCCAAUGUAUUUAUCCUGCCCAUCAGGUAAAAGACCUCUCUGUUGUCUUCCUCCUGGGGGCUCCAAGGGCGCCAGCUGUGGCGUUUCUUCAACGGGGCAUUUACAAACUCAGGAAGGCCCAUCCGAAUAGGGUCCGGAAGGGGGACGUCCUCCAUGUAAAACCACUCCAAAGGCCAAUCUUCGGAUGUAUUCUUCGGAAUACUGGACAGGUAUCCGGUCCCGGCGAUGCGCCAUAUUUCGUCUCCGCCCACUUGAUAUAUCGACCCCUCCUGAGUACGGGGUACGAGGCAGAAUAGCCUCUUCCAUAGCUCGAAAUGAGCUUCGCAGCCCAGAAAUAGCUCGCAGAAGGCAACGUAGCCUGCGAUGUGUAGUAUGGAGGCAGGAGUGAAGUUAUGCAGCUGGAGGCCGUAGAACUCCAGGAGCCCAUGGAGGAGCGGAUGGAUUGGAAAUCCAAGUCCCCUCAGCAAGUAAGGGACAAGGCGUACUCGCUCCCCCUUGGACUGGUUGGGAAAACUCUCGGCUUGCUCCCCGCCAUUGUAAGUGGCUAGUCCAGCUCGGACGGGGACCAUGUACGCAGCCGGGAGAACUCCCUGGGUCUGCAACUCUACCAAUCGGCUAUGGGGAACGGAACACUUCUCCUAAUCGCCUGGCUUAGUGCUACGAGAGCAAGAGGAGGAGCCGCGUCGGCCGGCCAUGAUGGGAUGGAUUUUUCCAGGCGUGCUCUGAUGGAUACUUGCUGGGGGAAGAUGGUGCGAUUUGGAUCUGAGGAUCCCCGUCUCUUUAAAUAGACGAUUUACUUACAUGGUCAGGGUGGCAACUAUAAAAAUGCCCCGACUUCUCGCAUUCGCUCGACGCGUGGAGGUAGCCAUUAUUAAGGCACAUAAGCCGAGGAGUGCAACAUUAAUGGGAAGCCGGACACUACUCGUUACAAUAGAUACUCUGUAUUUGGAGAAGACCCCGCCUUGCAAUGUUGAAGACAAUUUGCGCGCCGGACUUAUCGUCAUUGAAGCCUGGUUCAGGGGCUACUGAGGGAGUCCUGGAUUAGGGGGGGUCCUCGGACAGCCGAACUAUAUACUUUGGCCGGACUGUUGGACUAUGAAGAUACAAGAUUGAAGACUUCGCCUUGUGUCCGGGUGGGACUCUCCUUUGCAUGGAAGGCAAGCUUGGUAAUUCGGAUAUGCAGAUCUCCUUCUCUGUAACCGACUCUGUGUAACCCUAGCCCCCUCCCAUGUCUAUAUAAACUGGAGGGUUUUGUCCGUAGGACAACGGCAAUCAUAAUCAUAAGCUAGCUUCUAGGGUUUAGCCUCUACGAUCUCGUGGUAGAUCAACUCUUGUAAUACUCAUAUCAUCAAGAUCAAUCAAGCAGGAAGUACGGUAUUACCUCCAUCGAGAGGGCCCGAACCUGGGUAAACAUCAUGUCUCCCGCCUCCUGUUACCAUUAGCCUUAGACGCACAGUUCGGGACCCCCUACACGAGAUCCGCCAGUUUUGACACCGACACACGGUGUCGAAGGUUUUUGUAAUGUCAAGCUUAAGUAUCACCGCCUCUCGCCUCGCCGCGUGAAGCUUCCUUGCCAACCCUUGCACCAUCAUGUAAUUGUCGUGUAACCAUCUACCUUUUAUGAAAGCACCUUGGUGUGUUCCGACCAACUCUGGGAUGUACGGGGCCACACGUGUUGCCAACACCUUUACAACAAGCUUCGGGAAACUAUGAAUCAAGCUUAUGGGCCAGAACUCACGGAUCUCAACCGCUGCUGGCGUCUUGGGCAGGAGAGUAAUAAGAUCCUGAUUAAUGGAUGUGGGGCUGCGGAAAUCCAUCCUGCCAAAAGCAUGGAAGGCUGCCAUGACAUCAUCUUUUAUGAUCGGCCAGCAAGGUAUCAAGCAUUGCAAGACAAAAUAAUUUCGGAAUGGAACACAUUUAUUAGCUUGUAAUGCAAAAAAUAUGUUCUUUUGGUUUCCUCCAUGGUAAUUUUGUAUUAUUUAUUUACUUCACAACAGAAAGUUUCUUGGAAUCUGUCAAUAUACAGCUUGGUGCCUACUUUAUAUUGCUCUGCAUAUAUUAUGGUAUUAUAAUUUAAUAAUUUAUAUUGCUUCGAUUCUAGGAUCUGGACAUACAUAUGCACGUACUGACAUACUUUAUUACAUUCUUGCUUUGAUUAUUCUCUCCUUUUAUGCCUACUUGUGGUCUAGACUUUGGAAGAUCUGGUCCAUUUUUUUAGCAUCAGCGAUGCAGAUUACUGAGUUACUAUUUGUUGUGUAUUUGAUUAUUUGUAGGAUGUCCGAGACAAAUGCAACAUCAGCAUUGCAGGAAUAGAAUGUCCUUAAGAGAAAGUCUGAUGAUGUGGGAUGGGAGUAUGGGAGUCUAGUUGAUGCUUCCAACAAGGAUAAAGUGAAGUGUAUGUUCUGUUACCACGUGAGCAGUGGAGGUGUUUAUCGAGACAAGCAGCAUGUAGCUCAUCUUGGUAAUGAUGUGCUCAAAUGCAAGAAAAACUCUCAGGAAGCUAAAGAUAGGUGCAGGAAAUUUCUUGAGGAUGCAUCUAAUAAGAGGAGGGAAAAGACUGCCCCUGAGCAAGAGCUUAGACAAAGUGUGAGCAUUUCUCGCGUUGGAGAUGACGAAGCUACUUGUAUCGGAAGCGCGGAGCCUCACAAGUUAGGUCCCAUUGACAACUGGGCACGGCCUAUUGAUCCUAAAUUGACUCAAGCUAAAGCCUUGCAUCAACAGAGGAUAAACAAGGAACUUUGGAAAAGGAGAACACAUGAAGUGCAACAAUAUGUGGCUAGAUGGGUGUACAAUCAUGGUAAUUAAAUAUUUAUUUUUACCCACACUGCCAUUUAUUACUUACUUCUUUGCAAUGUUUGACCGUUGGUUGCCUUGUCACUUACUUAUAUUGUUUGUAUUGCAUUUGUAGCUAUACCAUUCAAUGCUUGUGACAACAACGAUUUCAAAUUAAUGUGUGAAUCCAUUGGGAUGUUUGGCCUUGGAUUUGAGCCGUCGUGGUAUAGUAAUAUACUUGUAGUAGCUAAGACCCAUAAGGACCCAAAUGUGAGUGUUUAUCUAGUCAAGCAAGUGAACUUGUAUUGUUGUUAUUGUUUAUAGGUAUAUGUGUUUGUCAGCAGCUUCAAACAAAUCGAACAAAAGAAUGUUAGGAAUAUGUGAUCUGUACUUGCGCUUUAAUAUGAUGCGAUGCAAUGUGUGUGGUCCAUGUGUGUGGGGGGGGGGGAGAGUCUUCGCCUUUUCUCUCUUGUGAAGAAGUGGAGAUGACACACGAGUUGAGUUCAGUCACGUAGGCACACUUUGCCUCAGCGGUGAAAUUUUAGUCAUUCAAAUAGUUCUUAAAUCUAGUGCAAUUUAAGAUAUUCAAAUCAGUGGUCACGCGGGAUCCCUUGAGACUUUUCGGUGGUCACCCAUCGUAAUGCUUGGGUAGUCGAUCCACUUUCCCCCUCCGUUGUGACUUCCUGCUUGAUGGUCCGACUAGCCUUCAGUUGUGCUCCCUCGUUAGCCGACCAUGAUAGCCAUCAUCAACCCUCAUACUCUUAUUGUUGUGUGCAUCGGAGGCCAGGGGUGAUCCUUCUUUUCUAAGAAAAAAAUACCCUCCCACACUUACCAUAAUUUGCCAAUUCCUUGCAACAACAUAAUUGCCAAUUCUUAAAACAGUUAAUGUGAGUAUGCAGAUCGUAACACCUUUUGGUCUUGAUUUUUCAUAGUUGGUGUAGAAGAUGAUGGAGUAGUCCAAGGAGAACGUCAACACCAAGAAGGGUGGCGCCCUGUCUCGGCGCUCCGGUAGCCGCAUCUUGUGAAUGUAUGGUGCCUUGGCAGCACCCUAUCUAUCCAGCACGAGACGAACUAUAUAUCAACUCUGUAUCUAUCUAUCUAUAGCUCAUACAUUUUUCAUCAAUCACAUUAAUUUAAUAGCUAUCUAAUGCUUUAAUUAAUGCUUAUCUCUUGCUGCGGCAGACUAUAAAUAGGGUGGCGCGGCGCAUAAGACUGAAGCACACACCACAAGCAAGAGGGUACAUAGAGACCAUAGUGGAGAGAUAGGAUGACGUCAGAGAUGAGAAAGGACAUGAAGUUCUCCGAGGAAGAAGUCACCACACGCCCGCGCAUUCUCGAAGGUGAGGAGCAGACGGUUGAACCGACGCUGCGGUCUUCAAUCUUCGCGCUGACGCUGGAUGAUCUGCAAUACUCGAUGUGCGAGGUGGGGUGCAAUUUUGGGUCCAUGAACAUUGACGAGUUCAUGAGAAACAUAAGGAAUGUCGAGGAGUUCCAAGCGGCUACCGGCGGUGGCUUGGUGGGCAUGGAUGAGGCUCCUGUGGUUGGUGCUGGUGGAAGCGGAGGUGGUGAGGAUGCAGGAGGAAUUGGCCUAUGCUGGCAGUGGUCCUUCUCCCUGCCUCUCUCGCUGUGUUGGAAGAUGGUAGACGAGCAGCGGCCUAAGAUCAACAGGGAUCCCCAACCGGUGCAUGCCCAGCCUUAGGCCGCGCGUCCCUCAUCGUAGCUUCCUAUCCAGCCAAUGGUGGGGAAUGUUAGAAAGUCUUUUUGCGCGGUGAUGCUACCUAGCGGCAACAAAUCCGCCAUUGAUUGCUCACGUCAAGAUGCGUGUAGGUGGGACCACUUUAUUCUCAUUUUCUGCUAUACACUAGACAACAUCAUCAAAAUAUAGCUAGUGGUCCCCAUUAUUUGUCUCUCCCUCUCUCUCUCUCUCUCUCUCUCUCUCUCUCUCUGGUUAAACUCAACAUUUUAUUUCACCUUUACUAAAUUAAAUCGUCCCUAUCUUUUAAACCAUAAGUACCUAUUUGAAUUUUUUUAUAUUUGAACUCCCCGCGCCAAGGCCUUUUAGACAAGACCGAUCUUAAAUACAUUCGAACACAUUUAAAUUUCAACAUUUCACAUUCCAUAUGUGAACCAAAACUAUAUAACUAGAAAUUUUUUAAUACACUAUUUGCAUAGAAAUAUGUAAAACCAUCAUAUUAUACUAGAAACCAAUGACUUUUUGAAAUGAGUUAACAUUUUAUUUGAAAAACAUGCAAUUGAAAUAUAUGUGAUUUUCUUGAAACAGACCUGUGAAAUGUAACAUGUAGGUUCUGAAUUGUGAAAUAAUCCCUCCGUCCCAAAAUAAUUGAUUCAACUUUACAGUAACUUAGUACUAAAGUCAGUACAAAGUUGCGUCACUUAUUUUGGGACAAAGGGAGUAGUAACCACCAAAUGUGAAAUUGAUUUUUUGAAAGAGUGUAAUAUGUUUUUUUUCAAAAAUGUGUAACUAAAAUAGAUGUGAUUUUUGUGAAACAUGACAGUGAAAUGUAAAAAUGUAGGUUCUUAAUUGUGAAAUACUAACAACAAAAUGUGAAAUUAUAAUGUAUAAAUGUGAAAAUAAUUAUUUCAAAAGAGUGAAAUAUGUUUUUUAAAAAUGUGUAACUAAAAUAUAUAUGAUUUUUGUGAAACAUGUUAGUGAAAUUUAAAAAGUAGGUUCUGCAUUGUGAAAAUAUUAACCACAAAUGUGAAAUUACGAUGUAUAAAUAUGAAACUGAUUAUUUCAAAAGAGUGAAAUAAGUUUUUUCAAACAUAUGUAAUUGAAAUAUAUGUGAUUUUCCUGAACCAAGCCAGUCUGAAGUGAAAUGUAGGUUCUGAAAGAUGAAAGAGUAACUACAGAAAGUGAAAUUCUAUUGUGUCGUUUGAACAUGUGUAAUAGUUUAUUUCAAAAGAGUGAAAUAUGUUAUUUGAAAAAUGUGCAAUUUACUUAGGUGUUUUUUUGUGACGCAAGCCCGUGAAAAUUGAAAUGUAGGUUCUGAAUUGUGCAAUAGCCACUACAGAAAGUGAAAUUGUAGUGUAUCAUUGUGAAAUAGAUUAUUUUGACAUGUGAAAUAUAUGUUCAAAUUUAAAUAUGGUUAAAAAUAUUCAAGUUUGAUUUCAUUUUAAAGGUUUUGGCGCACAGAGUUCAAAUAUAAAAAUGUUUCACAAAUGAAUAUACGAUUUACAAGAUAUGGAUGUUUUAAAUGAAGAAAUGGUAGGAUUUAUUGUGUGGGAGAAGAAAAAAUGAUUGUGCCACACUGUCAUGCAUCCAUGUGAAGUACAUUAGUGGGGGCCAAUUGUUGAAGAGUGAGAGCGGAAAUACGAAGAUGGGAAAUCCAGAAAAGAAAUGUAAUACAAAGAUACUUGGCCCACAUAGUGUUAGAUGGCGGCUCCCUAUUGGACACCACCUUGCUAGUAGGUAGCGCAACCGCACAAUUUUGCAUUUCGUGGGGAAUGGUGGUUCGGUUGCGGCCAACGACCCUCAGGGGAUGCUCGGAGAGACAACGUUGUAGCAGCGUGGUCCAUGGAUCUUGCGCCGGUGGACAAGCGCCUGUGCUGGCCGUCAUGGUCCAUGGACAGAUGAACCAAGCGCAGCAGGGGCAGCAACCUUGCCCAAUGAUGUACCCGAUGGCACUGGCCAACGACAUGUUCUCUGUGAUGGGGGACAUUAUGGGGUUCGGCCCCAACGGGUACGCAGAGAUGGUUGUGGUGCCUCUGCCACCACCUCCUCAAGGUGGGGUGGGUAUUGUGAGCCCCGGGUCAUCGGACGGGUGGAGCGCCAUGAUGCAGGCUGACAUGACGAACUACAUGGGCGACGGAGCGAUGUUGGAGAACAUCGAUGCUCUGGAGGAUUAGUCCUCCAAGAGGAGCAUCGAGCAUCGCCACCGCCACGUGAUCAAGAAUCACGAGUCAGCCGCACGAUCGCGUGGUAGGAACAGGUACUUACAUUGCUGCCAAAAUUGUUGGUUUUUAUGCAAUGCCAUUUCUGUAAUAGUGGUAACAAGGUCGGUGACACAUACACACUGCCUCUUUGAUAAUCCUACAUGCUUAUAUUGUGGAGCUUGAAGCUGAACUGAACUACCUCAAGGAGGAGAAGGCUUGUCUGAAAGCUGAGGAGGUAGGAAGCUGUUUACCAGUGAAAACCAUGAGAAAAAUUAGUUUUCUUAUUAUUUUCAGUUCUUAUUGUUACUAAACUCUAUCAUUGUUUUGUUGCAGAAGACAAUUUUGUUGACCAAGAAAAAAGUGUUACGUACAUUUUCCCACCAUCGCGUGGCAAUCCUCCUAUACUUGCCAACUGCUUGUAACAACCUAAUUGCUAAGUUUAACACUGUUAAUGUGUGCGUGCUGAUAAAACUACCUUGUGUUCUUGAUUUUUUUUUUGUUACAACUGGGGGAGAAGAUGAUGGAACAGUCCAAGGAGAAAGUGACCAUCAAGAAAGGUGGAGCCCUAUCACGGUGGAAUAGAAGCUGCAUCUUGUGAACGGUGACCCGCCAUUCAGCUUCCACAGCCAUGCUAGCAUGAGGAUGAGAAUGAAUUGUGGUGUUGAUAAUAGUUACCUUUCCUUUUCGGAGCGGGCCAGGUGGUAUAGUAAUAUACUAGUGGUAGCUAAAACCAUAAGGACCCAAAUGUGAGUGUUUAUCUAGUCAAGCAAGUGACCUUGUGUUGUUGUUACUGUUUAUAUGUAGAUGUGUUUUUCACAAGCUUCAAACAAAUGGAACAAAAGAAAGUUAGGAAUAUGUUGAUAUGUACUUGCGCUUUAAUAUAAUGCGAUGCAAUGUGUGUGGUCCAUGUGUGUGUGUAUGGGAGUCUUCGCCUUUCCUCUCUUGUGAAGAAGUGGAGAUGACACACGAGUUGAGUUUAGUCACGUAGGCACACUUUUCCGCGUCGGUGAAAUUUUAGUCAUUGAAAUAGUUCUUAAAUCUAGUGAAAUUUGAGCUAUUAAAAUCAGUGGUCACGCGGGAUCCCUUGAGAUUUGUCGGCGGUCAACCAUCGUAAUGCUUGAGUAGUCGAUCCACUUUCCUCCUCUGUCGUGACUUCCUGCUUAAUGGUCUGACUAGCCUUCAGUUGCGCUCCCUCGCUGGACAACCAUUAUAGCCAUCAUCAUCCCUCAUACUCAUAUGGCCGUGUGCAUUAGAGUCCAGGGAUGAUCCUUCUUUUCUAAGAACAAAAAACCCUCCCACACUUACUAUAAUUUGCUAGUUGCUUGCAGCAACAUAAAUGCCAAGUAUUAAAACAGUUAAUGUAAACGUGCUGAUGGUAACACCUUUUGGUCUAGAUUUUUUAUAGCUGGUGGAUAAGAUGAUGGAAUAGUCCAGGGAGAACGUCAACACCAAGAAGGGUGGCACCCUGUUGCGGCACUGCGGUAGCUACAUGUUGUGAACGUUUGGCGCUUUGGCAACACCCUAUCUAUCCAGUACGAGAGAAAUUGUCUACUAUGUAUCUAUCUAUUGAUAGCUCACCUUUUUCAUCAAUCACGUGAAUUUAAUAGCUAUAUGAUGCUUUAACUUAUGCUUAUCUCUUGCAUGCGACAGGCUAUAAAUAGGGUGUCGCGGCGCACAAGACUGAACCACACACCACAAGCGAACGCACAUAGAGACCAUAGUGUAGAGAAAGGAUGGCAUCAGAGAUGAGCAAGGACGUGAAGUUAUGCAAGGAAAGAGUCACCUCACACCCGUGCAUUCUCGAAGGUGAGGAGCAGACGGUUGUGCUGAUGCCGCAGUCUUCGAUCUUCGCGCUGACGCUGGACGAGCUGCAUUACUCAGUGUGCGAGGCGGGCACAAUUUUGGGUACAUGAACAUGGACGAGUUCAUGAGCAACAUAUGGAAUGUCGAGGAUUUCCAAGCGGCUACCGGCGGUGGCUUGGUGGGCAUGGAGGAGGCUCCUAUGGUGGGUGCUGGUGGAAGUGGAGGUGGAGGGGAUGCAUGAGGAAGGGGCCUAUGCCAGCAGGAGUCCUUCUCCUUGCCUCCCCUGCUGUGCCGGAAGAUAGUGGAGGGGGUAUGGGCUGACAUCAACAGGGAGCCCCGCCCGGUGCAUGCCCAGCCUCAGGUCAUGCGUCCCUCACCGCAGCUUCCUGUCCAUCCGACGGUGGGGAAUGGCAUAAAGUCUUUUUGCGCGGUGAUGCUACCUAGCGGCGACAAAUCCGCCAUUGAUUGCUCGCAUCAAGAUGCGUGGAGGUGGGACCACUUUAUUCUCCUUUUCUGCUAUACACUAGUACACGUUAUCAAACUAUAGCUAGUAGUCCCCAUUAUUUGUCUUUGGCAUGGAUGUAUGGCAGAAAUAUGACAGUGCUCUCUCUAGUUAAAUCCAACCUUUUAUUUCACAUUUACUAAAUUAAAUUGUCCCUAUCUUUUAAACCAUAAGUUCCUAUUUGAAUUUUUAUAUAUAUUUGAACUCCUGGCGCCAAGGCCUUUUAAACAAGACCGAUCUUGAAUACAUUCGAACAUAUUUAAAUUUGAACAUUUCACAUUCCGUAUGUGAACCAAACCUAUAUAACUAGAAAAAAAUUUAAACACUAUUUCCACAGAAAUAUGUAAAACCAUCAAGAAACCUACAACUUCUUGAAAUGUGUAACCGUUUAUUUCAAAAGAGUGAAAAUGUUUUUUUUAAACAUGCAAUUGAAAUAUAUGUGAUUUUUGUGAAACAGACCUGUGGAAUGUAACAUGUAGGUUCUGAAUUGUGAAAUAAUCCCUCCUUCCCAAAAUAAGUAACUCAACUUUACCCUAACUUAGUACUAAAGUUAGUGCAAAGUUGCACCACUUAUUUUGGGACGAAGGGAGUAGUAACCAUAAAAUGUGAAAUUGAUUUUUUGAAAGAGUGGAAUAUGUUUUUUUUUCAAAAAUGUGUAACUAAAAUAGAUGUGAUUUUUUUGAAACAUAGCAAUGAAAUGUAAAAAUGUAGGUUCUGUAUUGUGAAAUACUAACCACAAAAUGUGAAAUUAUGAUGUAUAAAUGUGAAACUGAUUAUUUCAAAAUAGUGAAAUAUUUUUAAAAAAAAUGUGUAACUAAAAUAUAUGUGAUUUUUGUGAAACACGCUAGUGUAAUGUAAAAGUAGGUUCUGAAUUGUGAAAAUAUUAACCACAAAUGUGAAAUUACAAUGUAUAAAUGUGAGACUGAUUAUUUCAAAGGAGUGAAAUAAGUUUUUUCAGACAUAUCUAAUUGAAAUAUAUGUUAUUUUCCUGAACCAAGCCAGUCUGAAGUGAAAUGUAGGUUGUGAAUUAUGAUAGAGUAACUACAGAAAGUGAAUUCUAGUGUGUCGUUUGUGAAACUGAUUGUUUGAACAUGUGUAAUAGUUUAUUUCAAAAGUGUGAAAUAAGUUAUUUGAAAAAUGUGCAAUUUAAUUAGGUGUUUUUUUAAGCAAGCCCGUGAAAAGUGAAAUGUAGGUUCUGAAUUGUGCAAUAGCCACUACGGAAAGUGAAAUUGUAGUGGAUCAUUGUGAAAUAUAUGUUCUAAUUUAAAUAUGGUUGAAAAAUUCAAGUUUGAUCUCAUUUUAAAGGUUUUGGCUCGCGGAGUUUAAUUUUUUUUCACAAAUGAAUAUAUGGUUUAAAAGAUAUGGAUGUUUUAAAUUAGCUAAGGAGGAAGAAAUGGUUGGAUUUUUUUAUUGUGUGGGAGAAUAAAAAGUGAUUGUGCCGCACUGUCAUGCAUGCAUGUGAACUACAUUAGUGGGGGGCAAUUGUUGAAGAGUGAGAGUGGAAAUACGAAGAUGGGAAAUCCAGAAAAAAAAAAUAAUACAAUGUUACUUGGCACACAUAGUGUUAGAAGGUGGCUCCCUAUUGGACACCAACUUGCUAGUAGGUAGCGCAACCACGCAAAUUUACAUUUCGUGGGGAACCGCGGUUCGUUUGCGAGCAACGACUGGCAGGGGACGGUCAGAGAGACGACACUGUAGCAGUUCCUUGUCAAGGCCAGCGUGGUCCGGGGAUCUUGCGUCGGUCGGCAUGGUCCAUGGACGGAUGAACCACGCGCGGUAGGGGCAGUAGCAUGGCCCAAUGAUGUACCCAAAUGGCACCGGUCAACGUCAUUUUCUCGGUGAUGGGCGAUGACAUGGGGUUCAUCCACAAUGGGUACGCAGGGAUGGUUGUGGUGCUUCCGCCACCACCUCCUCAAGAUGGGGUGGGCAUCGUGAGCCCCGGGUUGUCGGAUGGGAGGAGCGCCAUGACGCAGGUUGACAUGACGAACUACAUGGGCGACGGAGCAAUGAUGGAGAACAGCUACGCCUCGGAGGAUAAGUCCUCCAAGAGGAGCAUCAAGAAUCAUGAGUCAGUCGAACGAUCGCAUGCUAGGAACAGGUACUUACAUUGCUGCCAAAAUUGUUGGUUUUUAUGCAAUACCAUUUCUGCAAUAGUGGUAACAAGGUCGGUGACACGUACACACUCCAUCUUUGAUAAUCCUACAAGCUUAUACUGUGGAGCUUGAAGCUGAACUGAACUACGUCAAGGAGGAGAAAGCUCGUCUGAAAGCUGAGGAGGUAGGGAGCUGUUGACCAGUGAAAACCAUGAGAAAAUUUAGUUUUCUUCUUCUUUUCAGUUCUUACCGUUACUAAACUCUAUCAUUGUUUUGUUGCAGAAGACAAUUUUGUUGACCAAGAAAAAAAUGUUACGUACAUUUUCCCACCAUCGCAUGGAAAUACUCCUACACUUGCCAUCUUCUUUUAACAAUCUAAUUGCUAAGUUUAACACAGUUAAUGUGUGCGUGCUGAUAAAACCACCUUGUGUUCUUGAUAUUUGUUUCUAACAACUGGUGGAGAAGAUGAUGGAAUAGUCCAAGGAGAAAGUGAACAUCAAGAAAGGUGGAGCCCUAUCAUGGUGCAACAGAAGAUGCAUCUCGUGAACGGUGAGCCGCCAUUCAGCUUCCAUAGCCAUGCUAGCAUGAGGAUGAGAAUGAAUUGUGGUGUUGAUAACAAUUACCUUUCCUUUUCGGAGUGGGGUGGUAUAGUAAUAUACUAGUAGUAGCUAAAACCCAGAAGGACCCAAAUGUGAGUGUUUAUCUAGUCAAGCAAGUAAACUUGUGUUGUUGUUACUAUUUAUAGGUAUAUGUGUUUGUGAGAAGCUUCAAACAAAUGGAACAAAAGAAAGUUAGCAAUAUGCUGAUGUGUACUCGCGCUUUAAUAUGAUGUGAUUGAGUUUGUGUGUGGUCCAUGUGUGUGUGGGAGUCUUCGCCAUUCCUCUCUUAUGAAGAAGUGGAGAUGACACACGAGUUGAGUUUAGUCACAUAGACACACUUUUCCGCGUAGGUGAAAUCUUAGUCAUUCAAAUAGUUCUUAAAUCUAGUGAAAUCUGAGCUAUUCAAAUCAGUGGUCACGCGGGAUCCCUUGAGACUUGUCGGUGGUCAACCAUCGUAAUGCUUGGGUAGUCGAUCCACUUUCCCCCUCCGUCGUGACUUGCUGCUUGAUGGUCCGACUAGCAUUCAGUUGUGCUCCCUCAUUGGGAAACCAUGAUAGCCAUCAUCAACCCUGAUACUCUUAUGGAUGUGUGCAUCGGAGGCCGGCGGUGAUCCUUCUUUUCUAAGAAAAAAAACCUCCCACACUUACCAUAAUUUGCCAAUUGCUUGCAACAACAUAAUUGCCAAGUCUUAAAAUAGUUAAUGUGAGCGUGCUGAUGGUAACACCUUUUGGUCUUGAUUUUUUAUAGCUGGUGGAGAAGAUGAUGGAAUAGUCCAAGGAGAACGACAACACAAAGAAGGGUGGCGCCCUGUCGCGGCUCUGCGGUGGCUGCAUCUUGUGAAUUUUUGGUACUUUGGCAGCACCCUAUCUAUCCAGUACGAGACGAACUAUGUACUAUGUACCUAUCUAUCUAUAGCUCACCUUUUUCAUCAAUCACAUGAAUUUAAUAGCUAUCUAAUGCUUUAAUUGAUGCUUACCUCUUGCAUGCGGCAGGCUAUAAAUAGGGUGGUGCGACGCACAAGACUGAACCACACAUCACAAGCAAGAGCGUACAUAGAGACCUUCUAGGAUGUCAUCAAAGAUGAGCAAGGACAUGAAGUUCUCCGAGGGAGAAGUCACCUCACACCCGCACAUUCUCAAAGGUGAGGGGCAGACGGUUGCGCAGAUGCUGCAGUCUUCGAUCUUCGCAUUGAUGUUGGACGAGCAGCAAUACUCGGUUUGUGAGAUGGGCGCAAUUUUGGAUCCAUGAACAUGGAUGAGCUUAUGAGCAACAUAUGGAAUGUCGAGGAGUUCCAAUCGGCUACAAGCGAUGGCUUGGUGGGCAUGGAGGAGGCUCCUGUGGUGGGUGUUGGUGGAAGCGGAGGUGGCGUGGAUGCAGGAGGAAGUGGCUAAUGCUGGCAAGGGUCCUUCUCCUUGCCUCCCCCAUUGUGCUGGAAGACGAUGGAGGAGAUGUGGGCUGAGAUCAACUGGGAUCCCCGACCGAUGCAUGCCCAGCCUCAGGUCGCGCAUGCCUCACCGCAACUUCCUAUCUAGUCAAAGGUGGGGAAUGGCAGAAAGUCUUUUUGCGCGGUGAUGCUACCUAGCGGCAACAAAUCCACCGUUGAUUGCUCGCGUUAAGAUGCGUGCAGGUGGGACCACUUUAUUCUCAUUUUCUGCUAUAAACUAGUAUACAUCAUCAAAAUAUAGCUAGUGGUCCCCAUUAUUUAUCUUUGGCAUGGAUGCAUGGUAGAAAUAUGACAAUGUGCUCUCUGUCUCUCUCUCCCUCUCUCUCUUGUUAAAUCCAACCUUUUAUUUCACCUUUACUAAAUUAAAUCGUCCCUAUCUUUUAAACCAUAAGUUCCCAUUUUUUAUGUACAUAUUUGAACUCCUAGCGCUAAGGCCUUUUAAACAAGACCAAUCCUGAAUACAUUCGAACACAUUUAAAUUUCAACAUUUCACAUUCCAUAUGUGGAGCAAACCUAUAUAACUAGAAAAAAAUUUGAAUAACUAUUUCCACAGAAAUAUGUAAAACCAUCAUAUUUUUUUAGAAACAUACAACUUUUUGAAAUGUGUAACAGUUUAUUUGAAAAGAGUGAAAAUAUUUUUUUUAAACAUGCAAUUGAAAUAUAUGUGAUUUUUGUGAAACACACUUGUGCAAUGUAACAUGUAGGUUUUGAAUUGUGAAAUAUUCCCUCCGUCCCAAAAUAAGUGACUCAACUUUACACUAAGUUAGUACUAAAGUCAGUACAAAGUUGCGUCAGUUAUUUUGGGACGAAGGGAGUAGUAACAACAAAAUGUGAAAUUGAUUUUUUUAAAGAGUGGAAUAUGUUUUUUUAAAUGUGUAACUAAAAUAAGUGUGAUUUUUGUGAAACAUGACAGCGAAAUGUAAAAAUGUAGGUUCCAAAUUAUGAAAUACUAACCACAAAAUGUGAAAUUAUAAUGUAUAAAUGUGAAACUGAUUAUUUCAGAAGAUUGAAAUAUGGUUUUAAAAAAUGUGUAACUAAAAUAUAUGUUAUUUUUGUGAAACAUGUUAGUGAAAUGUAAAAAGUAGGUUCUGAAUUGUGAAAAAUAUUAACCACAAAUGUGAAAUUACAAUGUAUAAAUGUGAAACUGAUUAUUUCAAAAGAGUGAAUAAGUUUUUUAAACAUUCGUAAUUGAAAUAUAUGUGAUUUUCCUGAACCAAACCAGUCUAAGUGACAUGUAGGUUCUGAAUUAUGAAAGAGUAACUACAGAAAGUGAAAUUCUAUUGUGUCGUUCGUGAAACUGAUUGUUUGAACAUGUGUAAUAGUUUAUUUCAAAAGAGUGAAAUAUGUUAUUUGAAAAUUGUGCAAUUUAAUUAGGUGUUUCUUUGUGAAGGAAGCCCAUGAAAAGUGAAAUGUAGUUUCUGAAUUGUGCAAUAGCCACUGCAGGAAGUGAAAUUGUAGCGUAUCAUUGUGAAAUAGAUUAUUUUGACAUGUCAAAUAUAUGUUCAAAUUUAAAUAUGGUUAAAAAUAUUCAAGUUUGAUCUCAUUUUAAAGGUUUUGGCGUAAGGAGUUCAAAUAUAUAAAAAAUCACAAAUGAAUAUAUGGUUUAAAAGAUAUGGAUGUUUUAAAUUAGCUAAGGAGAAAGAAAUUGUUGGAUUUAUUGUGAGGGAGAAGAAAAAGUGAUUCUGCCACACUGUCAUGCAUGCAUGUGAAGUACACUAGUGGGGGCCAACUAUUGAAGAGUGAGAGUGGAAAUACGAAGAUGGGAAAUCCAGAAAAGAAAUGUCAUACAAAGAUACUUGGCCCACAUAGCGUUAGAUGACAACUCCCUAUUGGAAACCACCUUGCUGGUAGGUAGCGCAACAGCGCAAUUCUACAAUUCGUGGGGAAUGGUGGUUCGGUUGCGGCCAACAACCGGUAGGGGACGCUCGGAGAGAGACGUUGUAGCAGUUCCUUGUCAAGGCCAGCGUCGUCAGAGGAUUUGGCGUCGGUGGCCACACACCUGUGCCAGCCGGCAUUUUCCAUGGAUAGAUGAACUCCGUGCAGCAAGGGCAUCUACCUGGCCCAAUGAUGUACCUGAUGGCACCGACCAACGACAUGUUCUCGGUGAUGGGCGGCGACAUGGGUUCAUCCCCAACGGGUACGCGGGGAUGGCUAUGGUGCCUCCACCACCACCACCUCAAGGUGGGGUGGGUAUCAUGAGCCCUGGGUCAUCGGACGGGAGGAGCACCAUGAUGCAGGCUGACAUGGUGAACUACAUGGGCAACAGAGCGAUGAAGGAGAAUUGUGACGCCCUGGGGGAUCAGUCAUCCAAGAGGAGCAUCGAGCAUCACCACCACCACAUGAUCAAGAAUCAUGAGUCAGCCGAAUGAUAGUACUGAAUCGAAAGCUUUGCUUCAGGAGGAAAUUUCGAGGGGUCGAUUUCUUCACAUUAAUCUUCUCAACUCUAUUACUUUAACAACUAUAGCUUGUUCUUCUCUGCAACGAAGAUGUACUUCGGUGAAGUUCCUCGAACUCAUCAUCGAAGACAACAUUCUCUUCGGUUGUGUAUCGACCCUUUUUUUCUCUGUAUGUACUAGCAAACAAAUCAGUCCAUACCUGUUUCUAUCAACAAUCUCCAAAACACAAGGUAGGCAAAUAUUGCACCAACAUAUUCAAUUAUGUUAGCACUGUUGAGAGAUUGCACUAGUGUAGGUAUGAACCCUAGACCUUGUUUUUAAGCAUUGCAAUAUUCUUUGUGCCCACUUUUAUUGUUUUGCUACCUUGCUGUUUUUAUUUAUUCAGAUUAUAAAAAUAUAUUUCUACUAUGCAUACUACACUUGUAUCAUCAUCUCUCUAUCAAACUAGUGCACCUAUACAAUUUGCCGUUGUAUUGGGUGUGUUGGGGACACAAGAGAUUUCUUGUAUUCGGUUGUAGGGUUGUUUGAGAGAGACCAUGUUCAUCCUACACCUCCCACGGAUUGAUAAACCUUAGGUCAUACACUUGACGGAAAUUUGCUACCGUCCUACAAAACUCUGCGCUUGGAGGCCCAACACGAGUCUACAAGAAUAAAGUUGCGUAGUAGAAAUCCCACAACCAUGGGUGUUACCACUGUGAACAGUGUUGCCAUAUGAAUAAUAUUUUUUGUAAUAAAAAAAUAUUGAUUCCAUUUUUCAAGUGCCAGAAAUGAAUUUUCCGUGAAGGAAGUCCGUAGAAUAACUUUUAAAAUUAGGUAUUUUCAUUUUUCAUCCAAAGUAGACAACAUUGUAAGCCCACUGACCAAUUUUCUUGAAUUUCAAAGUAUUAUUGCUAUAUUUCAUUGAUUUACUAGAUUUCUAGUGAAUUUCUGAACUUUCUCAAAUUUGAACUACAAGUGUGAUGUAAUUUGGUCCUAAAAAUUGGCUAAAAUCAUUUUAAGCUUUUAGAUUGGUGGUGUAUGCAUUGGGCACAACCAAAUUGAAAUUCCAAACAAUUUUGUAGGAAUGGUCAACAUUGCAAGUUUGACCUAGAAUUGGAAAAUCAAAGAAAAGGAAAAAGUCUUAAAAAUUAAAAUCCUUAUGCAUGGGGCCCUUUGGUGUCAAGGAGUUUGUGAUAAAAACCAUAAACUCUCCAUACCACAACUUUAAAAAAACUUCACAAAAAUGGCCUAUCUAGUAUGAAAUUGCAUGGAUUUCAAGGCAUAUGCACAUGGACCUAGCCACUGAAUAGUCAAUGCUAACUUGUCCAAAUUUGGCACAACCAUGGGUGUUACCAUUGUGAAAGUUAUUGCCAUAGAAACAUUAUAAUGUUUGUAAUAAAAAAUAUUAUUUCUAUUUUUCAAGUGUGAUUAAUGAUUUUUUUGUGAAGGAAGUGCUUAAUAAGUUGUAAAACUAGGUCUUUUCAUUUUUCAUCCAAAGUAGAGCACAUUGGUAACCCAGUAACCAAGUUUCUUGAAUUUCAGAGUAGUAUUACUAUAUUUCAUUGAUUUACUAGAUUUCUAGUGAAUUAUCUGAACUUGCUCAAAUAUGAAAUACAAGUGUGAUGUAGUUUGGUCCCAAAAAUUGGCUAAAAUCAUUUUAUGCUUUUGCAUUGGUGGUGUACGAAUUGGACACAACCAAAGUUGAAAUUCCAAAACAUUUUGCUAGUUUGACCCCAGAUUGGAAAAAAUCAAUGAAAAUGAAAAAUCUCAAAAAUUAAAAUCCUUGUGCAUGGGGUCCUUUGUGUCAACUAGUUUGUGGGAAAAUCACAAAAUUGCAAUACCACAAGUUUUGAAAAUUCAAUAUUACAAGUUUGACUCCAAUUUAAGUAAGUUUUGCAUGUUGCUGUUUUUGGCAAGUUUUGUGUGUUGCUAUUUUUGGCAUGUUCUGCAUGUUGCACUCUAUUUGAACAUGCAAAACUCACUCGACGUAGGAAAUCCAGAACAUAGCAUACAACUAGUGAUUAAAAACAUUCAAAUAACAUAUUGUUUUCAUUUAAAAGGGAAUCCCAAAUGUCGGAUCCUCGGCAGUAGCUAUAAGAAACAAACUAUACUACUUGAUACGCUUAAGAUGGCGAGGCAGGCGGCGGUGGGAGCAUUGAGCAUCCUGCUCAAACUGCGUCGAGCACUCAUACUGCUUCACCACUAUUGGGGCAUUCUUGCAUCCAUCCUCCAAGUGCUCCUGGCCAACCAUCUGCUCAUCCUUGUGGUCCACAUUAAUCGCUAGAUUCAUGUCUUCAUGAGCAAGACGAGCGAUUAUCUCCAACCUCCCGAUAGCCCUCCUCUCGUGCAUCCUUCUGCUGUGCAAUGAUCUCCAACCCCGUGAUUGCCCUCCUCUUUGAUAACCCACUAGUAUAGGCGAUAGUUUUAGCCCUUUUCGAUAAAUAAGCAUGUCAAAUCCAACGGGGAGCUAAACGUAUAACAAAUAUUCUCUCAAGUUCUAUCGACCACCGAUACAACUCUACGCACACUUAACGUUUGCUUUACCUAGAACAACUAUGAAACUACUUUGCAAGAAUAAAACUACGAGUACUUUGCGAGAGUAAAGCUAUGAAUAAAUUGCAAGGUAAUAAAAGUAGAUAGCUUUUGUCAACAAGAAAGUCAUUUGUCCCUAGGCAAUCGAUAACUAGACUGGCAAUCAUUCUUGCAAUUUUAUAUGAGGGAGAGACAUUAGCUAACAUACUUUCUCUACUUGGAUUGUAUGCACUUAUGAUCGGAAGUCUAGCAAGCAUCCGCAACUACUAAAGAUCAUUAAGCUCGUAAAACCCAACCAUAGCAUUAAGUAUCAAGUCCUCUUUACUCCCAUACGCAAUAACCCACUUAUCCAUGUUCUGGCUUCAACCACUCCGACAACCGACAAUAAGCAAAUUAUGAACGUAUUGCAACACCCUACAGCCGGGACCCCUCCCAUUUGCGCGAGACAGAGGGAACCAUAGGACAACACCAUAAUAAAUAUACACUCAAACCAAUCACGAUCAUCAAUUAACCCAUAGGACAAAAUAGAUCUACUCAAACAUCAUAGGAUAACGACAUAUCAUUGGGAAAUAAUAUAUUAGUGUUGAGCACCAUGUUUAAGUAGAUAUUACAGCGGGAAAAAGAGAGGUUACACCACUGCAUAGAGGGGGAGAAAGUUGGUGUUGACAGUAGCAAGGUUGUUGAUGUAGAUCGCCAUCACGAUCCUUGCCCCGGUGCCACUCCGGCGCCACCAUGAGAGGGGGGAGAGAGCUAAUACAUCUCCAACGUAUCUAAAAUUUAUGAAGUAUUCAUGCCAUGUUUAUAAUAUUUUACAUGAUUUUGGUAUGAUUUGAUUAGAACUAACCCGGACUGACGCUGUUUUCAGCAGAACUACCAUGGUGUUGUUUUUCUACAGAAAUAAAAGUUCUUGUAAUGCGCUGAAAAUCAACGGAGAAUAUUUUUGGAAAAUAUAAAAAAUACCCGAACGAAAAGCUACCAGAGGGGAGUCCCGAGGCCACCACAAGGGUGGAAGGCGCGCCCCCUAGGGUGCGCCACCUACCUCGUGGACUCCCCGUCGGCCCCCUUGAGGUGAAACCAACGCCAACCCCUCCUAUAAAUCCAAAAAAACCAGAACAGAAGAGAGAUUGGAAGUUCCGCCGCUGCAAGCCUCCAGAACCACGAGGAAUCAAUCUAGGCCCUCUCCGGCACACUGUUGGAGGGGGCCAUCAUCACCGGAGGCCAUGGGGGAGGAUCUCGGAGGGGCCAUCAUUGCCAUGAAGGCCAGGGACCAGAGGGAGAACCUCUCCCCAUCCAUGGGGAGGCCAUGGAGGAGGAUGCACAAGGGGGAGAACCUCUCCUUCUCUCUCCAAGUGGCACCUAAGUGCCAUCAGGAGGGGAAUCAUCGCCGCGGUGAUCGUCUUCAUCAACAUCACCAUCAUCAUCACCAUCCUCAUCUCUUUUCAGUGGUCCACUCCCCCGCACCCUACUCUAAUCACCUACUUGAACAUGGUGCUUUAUGCCAUAUAUUAUGAUCCAAUGAUUUGUUGCCAUCCUAUGAUGUUUUGAGUAGAUUUCCUUUCUCUUUGGGUUGAUUGAUGAUCUAGAUUAGUUUUAGUAGUAUAUUUUAUUUUGGUGUUAUCCUAUGGUGCCUUUCGUGCCACGCACACGUGCGGGAUUCCCGCUGUAGGGUGUUGCAAUACGUUCAUGAUUCGCUUAUAGUGGGUUGCUAGAGUGACAGAAGCUUAAACCCGAGUAAGGGGGUUGUUGCAUAUGGGAUAAAGGGGACUUGAUAUGUUAAUGCUAUGGUUGGGUUUUACCUUAAUGAUAUUUAGUAGUUGCGGAUGCUUGCUAGAGUUCCAAUCAUAAGUGCAUAUGAUCCAAGAAGAAAAUGUUUGUUAGCUUAUGCCUCUCCCUCAUAUGAAAUUGCAAUAAUGAUUACCGGUCUUGUUAACAAUUGCCUAGGACAAUUCUGCACACCGACACAUAGGGCUGGAAAACAAGCUCGAAGCUCGCAAGCUAAACAAGUAGCUCGUGACUCGGCUUGAAUCGACUCGAACUCGAAGAAUAACGAGUUGAGCUGAGUUUUAGUUUAAGAUCGUUUAUAGACCAAGUUAAACGAGCCAAUCUCACGAGUACUCAUGUAACUCGUUAGGCUCGAUACAAUAGAUCAGCCACUCCCAAUACAAAGAAAGAUCAGCCACUAAAAAACCUACGUCCCAGGCGCACAACCCAAGGCCCAACCGUUGAAGUCCUAGCCUCCUAGGAGACUCAUGCGUUACAAGGAAAUUACAAUUGUUUAGUGAUAUAUAUGUUUAAUAUAUACAUAAUCAUCUUUAUCAUAUUUGAGGGCUUUAUGUUUAUAUCUUUAACGAGCUUAACAAGCUAAACGGGCCAGCUCGCGAGUUAUAUGAGUCGAGCCAAUCUUGGGUUUGAGCUCGUUAUAGUAACGAGUCGAGUCGAGCUAGCUCGUUAACGAAACGAGCUCUAGCGAGUCGAGCCGAGCUGGCUCGACUCGGCUCGAAUUCCAACCCUACCGACACAUCAUUAUUCCACACUCGCUAUUUAUAAUAUUUAGUAAUAUAUUCUAACUUAUGAUAACAGCACCUACUUUUAUAUUUUAGCUCUCUGAUACCAUGCAAAGUUAUCAUCUUCAUACCCACAACAUAGUUUUAUUUCUCGUUUCUAGUUGGAAGCAAACAUUCGGUGUACGUAGAGUCGUACCAGUGGCGGAUAGGACUUGAGAGAAUAUUGAUCUUACCUUUAGCUCCUUGUGGGUUCGACAGUCCAUAUUUAUCACUUCCACCUUUGGAAAUUGCUAUGAUGAUUUCGUGCACUUGGGGAUUAUCAAGCUCUUUUCUGGUGCCGUUGCCGGGGGGCAAUAGCGUGAGGUUGAUAUUCUUGUGUGUGCUUGUUUGCUUUCUUCACUAAGUAUUUUUUGUUUUCCAUUUUUGUUUUGCUUAGUUUCUGACUAUAAAAAAGAUUUUUUGACUAUAUUUUUGUUUUGCUUAGUUGUGGGUGAAACAUACAAAAAAAUUAAAAAUAUAAAAUACAAAAAUUAUUACUUGCCUCUUAUGCCUAAAAACUUUUUUCAAAAAGAGAAGUGAUUGGAAAGUUAUGCAUUGGAGAAGUGAGGGUCGACCUUUAACACUUGUGUUCAUGCUCAUGGAAACAAUCCAGAAUGUUUCAUGGAAGUUUCUCUGAAAAUAAUUGUCCCCUUGUAUAUAUCCAUUAUAAUAUAAAAAUAAUGUGCCAAGCUUUGAUUUUAGGAUGAUUAGAUUGCUUGUUUGCUAUGUUCGAUGCAAAAACAGAAACUUUGGCUAUAGCGCGUGAAUUUAUAUUUUUUACCGGAAUAUAAAAUGCUUCUGAAACUUUUGGAACAAUACUUAUAUACAAUUUUUUUAGAUUGUCCUAACCGGGGCAUCCCAUCUUUCUUCUUCAACAAUUAUCGGUAUACCUCAGUUUUUGUUUUGUUCACAUGAUUUGUGUCCCUUGUGUUUUUCUUUUUCUUUAAGAACCAUGCGAGUAGGAGAUAGCCCAUCAUUGAUUUAUAGAAAUAGUUGACCCAUUGCGCCAAAUGACGCAGAGACCUGCUGAAAACAUGUUGUCGAUGAAAAUAGUUUCAUGCUGCAAGAACCUUCAACUAAAUCAUGCUAUUUUUUAAACAUGUUUAUUACGUUGUUAAGUAAUAGUCUGGGAAGAGGGAAACUUUGCAUAAUAUGAAUAUGUUCAGUUUGAAAAUAUGGCCACUAUGAUGAGAGAAUAAAGUUGGCAUGGUUGUAUUUUUUAGCAAGUUUACUACGAAUAUGGGCUGCUUGAAUAUGUAGUAUUUUUCUGCUUUGUUUACUAAGAAGCAUCUGGCGGAUUUCAUCAUUACUCCGGUUGAUGGGGUGAAGAUCAAGCUAUCAUCUGGACGGUGCGUAAGGCGUGUUCACCUUAUUAAUGGUGUGGACAACAGGGCUACCAUAACACACAACUAGGGUGACUUUGCAGAGAAAGCAAAGCUGACAAAAGAGGAAACAACAAUUCACCAUUCACAUGAUCUAAAAAGGUUUGUAUAUGCAGUGUGUUUUAAUCUGUAGAAGGAUUGUUGUUUUAUUGCACCCAUUGACAAAAGUUGACCCGUUACGCCAAAUGGCGCAGAGACCCGCUAAAGCCAUAUUGUCGAUGAAAAUAGUUUCAUUUUGCAAGGACAUUCGGUAUUGGUAGUAGAAAGCCCAUGUGUUAAAUCAUGCUAUAUCGAAAAUAUGUUUAUCACAUUGAAAAAUGUGAGUUUAAAACAAUCAUAUUUGUAUAACAUGUACAAACAAAUUAAGGAAGCAUUUUUUUAGUUGAAAAUAUGGUUAUCACGCUAAGAAAUUUGAGCUUGAAAAAACAUAUUUGUAUAAGAUGUACAGGCAGUUAAGGAUGUAUUUUAACUUUUCAGCAACUCUGUACUUUAGAAACUACACUCGGCAAGAAUUUAGAUCUUAGUUACAUUGGAAAGCAUACGGCCUUAGUUAUGUUGUUUACAGAGUCAAAUGGUGUAUGUAGCAAGGACUUUUAAUAGACUCAUCAUCAGCAGCUCUCACAACCUAGGUAAGUCUUUCUAUCAAAAAAACAUAGGUAAGCCUCAUUUAUGUAUCUACUCUAAACAGAAGGAUAAUAAUAAACUAAGGCUAACCUAUGUGGCUAAGGUAAACAAAAAAGGAGAAGAACACACCAUAAUUCUUAAAGUACCUAUCCUAGGACGCAUUUGACCGCGGUACCAUCCUAAAAGUCCCUCCCUCGACAUAUGACCAGUUGCGCAAUGGCGCAAAAGCCGAGUGCAAACCAAGUAUUGAAAGAGUGUGCACUAAAAUAUGUAGACACAAAAUGGAACAUAUGGAAAUAAGUACGAUUUGAUGAUAGAUAAAUGGUUGCUGAUGAUAAAUGUUUUCUAAUAAGCUUACAAACGACCAUUUACAAUGUUAUGAGCCAGGCAUGUAAAUAGGCUUACCACACAGCAGCCUAAAUAGAAAAUGACUGAGAGUUAAACGCACAUGAUGGUCUUAGGUGAUUAAAUAAGUUUCAAAAAGAUGAUAAACAUAUAAGUCUUGUUAAGCAUCUAUACUAAUGCUAAGUUAUAUAACAAGGGGCUCUUGCUACCUGUUUAUAUUGAGUAGACGAUCAGGCACAGCCCCUUGAAAGUGCAUUUGAAGGCGAAAGCAUAUGCUUGACCUUUCUUAAUGUGUGCCUAACGGAAGAAGCCACUCCAGCCUCUAGUGAUGGUGGCCCUUUUGUCAACACCCUUGAUAAAGCGGCAUGUGACAGCGGUAGUUCCGUCUCUAGUAGUGAUUGCAGCGGUAGUUCCAUCUCCAGCUAGCUGAAUAUUACCAAUUCAUCUUACCCAGACACACUGGUUGGAAAACCAAAUUAAAAUCCUCUUUAAUAGCACAUCCAGCGACACAAGAUAGCCCCUGAACGAGUACAAAGUAAUCCGGGGCACAAAGAGCAGUUAACCAUUAAAUCCCUCUCUGCCUAUACAAUAUGUAGCAUCCGAAGUUGUAAUUUAGAUUAAUAGCACAAGAGAUAUACGUAAGAACAAAAGGACAAACACAUCCGGAAAUAAUGCUUCCAGAUUUCAAAUCGAUAUUUGAGUAAAACAAAGUGGUUGUAAACAUAUGAACAAUUCAAAAAAGGGAACAACGCAUCAAGUGUAUUUGCUACCCGAAUUGCAAUUGUUUCACAGUGCUCCUCAGUUUAUUCAGGCGUUUGUACCCUAACUCCUCAAAUGUAACAAACUAUCAAGGGAAUAGUAUCAAAACUAAUUGAAUGUAGCUUGCAUAUAUUAUACAUAUUCAUUAUUUAUUGAGAUAGUAUAUCAACACUGAAAAUGCAUGCAUAUUAAUAAAACUGCACUACAACCACCCAUGCAUGCCACUGAAAAUUAAAUGAGCAGUUAGAACUAUUUUGUGGUGAUAAAACUAUGGGAGCACGUUGGCAAUACAGUUAUAAAAUAUACUAUCUUCAAGGAAAUCUGCAUUUAUAGCCCUAUUCGAUAGCAAAGCAUUUUCUACGUAUUUUGAGAAUACCACCUUUUUAAGACUACUAUGCUGAAAACAAUCCACAUGCAUAUUCAAGUGCCUCUCGACGCACAUUUCCUGCUACCUCUCGAUGGUGACACAAAAGAAGGCCAAGACGCUCCCGUGGUGCCUGCGACGACAUGCAGAACAUGGCCUAGCGUUCCAGGCCAUGUGAAGCAGCAACUCAACCUAGUUCAACUCUUCUUGUUGUAUAAGCUAGCUUUGUGUAUGGCCGUUUAAUGCAAUAUAGACAUUCAAGUUUGUGCAUGCGGCUGGGGCUUGCUCUUGUGCAUAGUUGUUCACUUCGCAACGGCUAGCAAGCGGGGUACAAACAUGUGUGCGACUGUUAACAAAUGGCCAGUUGCUAAUUUACUUUACAUAUAAGCUCUAGUGUAACAGGUUUGCAUUAUUCCCAAUACUCCUAAAUACUCUGGUAUAUUAUUACCGUGGUAUCUUGUACCUAUAGGAGCAAAUACUGUAGUUUUAAAAUUCUUUGGUUUUUACAACACUAUGCUAUCAAACAUAGACUACAUGGAUAUAACUAAUCAAAUGGGCAUUGCCUGCACAUUCGUUUGGUAAUUAGAGCAUCUAUCCUUGAGCUGAAAAAUACUGACAGGAAUACGCUAGAAGAAAUGAGCGAACAGAAAAAAAUGGAUGAAGAAACUGGAUGAAGAGAAAUAUGCAAACUAUAUGCAUCACAAGGUCCAUCAUCGGCUGCUGGUACAUUUAGCUUGACAAUACCAUCUCUAAUACGUUUUCCUUCAACAAUGAUGAUCAAGGGAGGAUCAUAAUGGUAAUGCUUGCCAAUAUUUUUCUCAGCCUGCAAGAUUGGACUCUAAUCUCACCGCCUUGAGGUCGGAAAAAGGGACACCCAACUCUAGUUGGCCCAUGGUAGCCACUCCAUGGCAGAUCCAGCCGCCGAGCGGUAUCAACCAUGGCCUGAAUUAGAAGAAAAUUCAUUCACUACACCAACCAAAGGAAGGCCAUCUUCACUCCUGAGUUGCAAAAAUCAAGGAAUUGUCAAUAACUCACAGCAAAGAGUCAUUGGUCAACAUGUGAUCCUGCUAAAUAUGAACUGAAACACUUAGAUCGUAGUGAAACAUCACCAUAUAUAUCUACAUCCCUGCAAAAUCUGUAAAAAAAUGUGGUUAGCGGUCGGUGGUAGUAUGUACUGUGUUAACUAAUAAAUAAUCACUAUACUGUAAAAAUUAACAUAACCAACUUGAAAAAACAACUAUAUCAUUCUGACCGACUUUGUUCAAACACAACCAGGCUCCAGACCACAAAUAAGAAUCAUUUCAUAUUACAAAUAGAAAAUAUGAGAAGGACUGUUGGAGGUACAAAUAAGAAUCAUUUCAUAUUACAAACUGAACAUACCUUUGCAAUAGUAAAUGUCAAUUAGCAUUACAUUCAGACAUCCAAUAGAUCCAAAAUGCACACAUAAUUAUAAUGGUAGACCACAGGGUAUCCGUUGCCAGGUUAUUUAGUAUUCCAUUGCCUGUGGAAGUGAAGAGUAGUGUAAUGUCACCCCAUUGGUACAGAAAAACUGCUGCAAUCACGAAAAGAAAAACUGAAUUUUUUGUUUAUGCACGGUAUAGUGCCUAGCCAUCAAUAUUUUUGCACUAAAUGUGAGAAAAAUCAUAUAAACACAUAUAUCAGGAAGUUAUUCUAAUACUCUAGUAACAUAAUAAAAUAACUAAUAUAUUAACAACACUAUUGCUUGAAGGGUCCAAUUAGAAGCUCCUAGUUAUUUUAGAGGAGCAUAAUUGUCCGAAUGCUGAAGUUAGCUGAAAAUACUUGGAUUUCUAAAAUCCCCUGCCGAUUGGGGCUUACGGGUGGGCAACUGGGGAAAAUAUGGUCACACAUAUCUUCUGGGUUCAUGCCACCCAUUCUAGUUGUUGAAUAAUACCUAAUGAUGCACCAAUCAUGACCUAUUUGAUAUUCCCUUAAUCGCUUAUGCUGAUUCUUUUGAAAGAAAGAGACAAGACCCAGAACCAGAGUAGAUAUCACACCGAGACACUAUCCAUACUAUUUAGCUAUGCUCCUGGCAACCUUAUGAAAAAAUCUUCCUAAAUUAUUUCCUAAUCGAUAAUCAUUGAAAUCGAGUGCUGGCAAUAUCAUACAGGUCUACCAUCCGUUUGAAAUGUCUUUUUUUGUGGGAUUUAUCUUAGUAGAAUGACUUACCAUCUAGUCAUGAAUUUCUUUGAGGCCCAGAUGCGGACCACUUAUGGAAAGCUUGUAUUGCCGAAAAGAGAAAGAGAAAAGGUUCAACAUUAAGUUGGUCUAACCUCAGAAAUACAAGCGAAGCCACCAAACAUGAAGGGCAUGCAUUGUGUGCAAGGCAAGUAUCAAAAAGGAAAAGCAUGAAUGAACAAUAAUAAAGAACACCAGCAAUCUACUUUCAUCUUUGUCAGAUAAUGAUUGGUCCGAAUUUUCUGUCAGCGCGGCAAGCACCCUAGGAAAAUUAACAAUCACUCAAGGUUCUAACACCAACUUCGCCUAUGUCUUCUAGGCAUAGCCGGUCCCAAGCCCGGGUAAAGGAGGAGGGUUGUGAUAGGCUUGGCGAGCCAACGUAAAAACUAGCCAGUCCCAUAGGUAUGAAACCGAUUUGAGCGAGAGUAGUACUAGGAUGGGUGACCUCCUGGGAAGUCCUUGUGAAAGAGUUUCAUAUCUAAGGUUUGCGAUAGGCUUGGCGAGCCAACGUAAAAACUAGCCAGUCUUUUGGGUAUGAAACCCAUUUGGGCGAGAGUAGUACUAGGAUGGGUGACCUCCUGGGAAGUCCUCGUGAAAGGGUUUCAUAUCUAGCCUACGCCAACUUGUUUGGGAUCAAAGGCUUCGUAAGUAAGUAAGUAAGUACUCAAGGUUCUAACACCAAAAAGCAUUUAUGUACUGUAUGUCGGCCUUCUGUUUGGGGAUUAUAACAUUAUAUCAUCAUAAUAUGUUCCUCCAAGUGAGUUAAAUAAAGCAAUUUCUUCUCAAAUUCAUUGCUAAGGAGAUAUAAAUAUUACCCUCAAAUAUCACCAAUUUGACCACUCAAUCCAAUAGUUAGCCUCAACACAACAAACACUCACGAAGGGUCAACAUCCCUAGUCCUACGAACUUGCAACAUUAAAAUAAACAGUCAUUUCGAACCUACAUUUCACUCAAUCAACAAAUCCGACAAUAAGCUGUAAGCUGCCACAGGAAUACCAACAUAGAACCGUGGACUAAUUUCAACAGCCAGGCUACAGACCCGAUGUUGCAGGUGUAUGAAUGGGUAAAACCUAGGGGAAUGAACGAGGCGUGAAGUGCAUUUGUAGCCCGAUAGUUCGGGUUAGUCGUUUUCUACUUGUCCCUAGAACCAUGCCUUUAUUCAGACCCUUCAAAAAAUGAGGAACAGUAGCACAAAAUUAAACAUAAAGCAGCCAAGCCCCAUGUGAAAGAAAAAUCUGAAUUUGUAAAUUUAUGCGUGAAAGAAUUAACUGGCCAUUAAAUACUAUGAAAAGAAAUGAAACUGUUCUAAAGAGUGCAAUCAAACCAUUCCCAUUCCUUUGAAGUUAAAAACCACUACACCCAGGACUAUAAUAAGAUCGAUCAGCUUUUGUUCAACCCUUCUGCUCCAACUCUAGAUCAUCCAGCCAGUACAUUUUACUAAAGGCAUCACAUAUAUUGUUCAUGUUGCAGUGUGUGUGUGUGUGUGUGUACAUAUAUAAUUAGUACAAAUUAUGAAAUCACACCAUCGUCAUACAACAUGUAGUUUCAAAUAUCAUUUUCAGCCUGAGCAUCAUAUUGCAACUUGUCAAUCAUAUUUCUCUAUAUGAAUACUGCAACCAAAUUUCCUAAUAACACAAAGCAGUAAAUGGUCCACACGGGAGGUUCAUUUGACAAGCAACCUACAAAUAUUUAUUGCAUCCCCACUUAUAUCACUAUAAUUUAUCAAUAUGAACAUACUCAUGAACCAAGAGGCCACAAAAAGGCAGAAACACCAAAACUGAAAAAUUCGUCAAUGAGUGAGCGACACAAAAGGUAAGCCAACUAAUGCUCCAUAACAAUGUAUGUAUACCAUGAAAUAAAUCAUAAAAAAUGAGUGAGUGACACAAAAGGCAAGCCAAGUAAUGCUCCAUCACAAUGUAUGUAUACCAUGAAAUACAUCACUAAAAGGGGUGUUCUAGCUAGUACCUAUCUCAUAACAAGGGAUACAAUCAGAACAUACAUUCUAGAAAGCAUGUGCCAACAAAGUAGCAAUCAUGGGGGGAAGAAGGUUGAUGCUCCCCAGUAGUAAAAAUCUGACUUGCUGUAGAUGCAAAAAUCAAACCGUCAACGCACCUUUUUUCAGAGUGAACCAACUCAGAAAUACUGCAUGAUGGAAUAAACAAAAAUAGCCUCUCAUCUCCGCACCCCCUCUUCUCCGCCCCUUCAAUAGGAGCUGCAGGCCACCGCCUCCAUCUCCCUCACCCCUACAUAUCACCACCUCUCGCCCUCCCUCGACAUCCAGGCCACGGAGCAAGGGACGAAGGAUGGAGCCAUACCAGGGGUCUGAUGGUAAGUGUAGCAUGAGAAAUGAACAUGUCAAGCAAGGCUAGUGACAAGAAAGUGGAUCCAGUAGUAACUUACUUCUCACACUCCGCAAGCCCAUAAACCAACUUGAAGAGGGGUGUCCAUCUUCUAUCAGACUGACAAGCAUAACUGAAUGAGAACUAGUUUUUCCACAAGCAAGCUGAAUAAGAAAACAUAAUGCCAUGUUAAUGGAAGGAAGUGAAAACACAGAAUAUAACAGACAACUGGAACUUGAUACACUGAACACUCAUACAAAUGUAAAAAGAAGGACACUGAAAACUUCAUUUCAAACAUAAGACCUGUAUAUAUGGAGCUACUCAAAAAAGCAUAUGUCGGUACAUGCCUCAGGCCGUGAACUAUUCUAGUUGCAACUGCGCCAAGUAUAUCAAUAAUAUUCUCUAAUGUUUCUACCUUUCUCCCAUGUAAAACAUAGUACAAUGUUAAGCAUGGCAGUGUCAAAAAGAAAAGAGAAGGAUAUACUAUAACAACAAAACAUGCACAAGAUGCCUUCUUCGUCUUCUGUGUUGCUUACCAAGAAAAUGUCAGACUUACAAUAGCGGGCAAGCUUCUUCGAGAUGCAAAUAUGCAAAACAAGUAUCCUUAUCUGAAAGCAACCACACAGUUCAUUUGUUGGAUGCAGUCAGUGGUAAAAGAAAAAAGAAUGUUAGUAAAUGAGAACUGCACACACACCUCCAAUAGUAUUUUGGCCUGUGUAGGAGGCAAGUGUGCGUUUACAUCCAGGAAUUUAAGCAUCUGCCUAGGGCAAUCCCGACCCUCUUCUUAACAACCCCAGGUUGCUGAAGGAAACCUGCAAAAUCAUCCAAACCAACAAAGAUGAUUUUAGGACGAGACCCCUUGCAUCACCUACCCUUAUCCAAGCUCUAAUAAUAGGCAUACGCUUCUGGUCCUCGUAGAAGCCAUGGGGACGUCUUCUCCGUCUCCUAUGGUUGCUUUCCUGGAUCCUAUGCUCUUUCUCAUCCAGCGGCUGCACCAAUCACAACAUGACAUCAGGGACAAGAAACCCCCAAACACCUCGAGCUCUUUGCCCAGUGGGGGUGGAGGAAGAGGUGGUGCCUCGGUGCCGGCGCUGCCCCGGACGGCAUCGUGUUCAGGCGAGAUGAGGCGGCGACCAAUUGAGGAAGCAAUGUCACAGCACGAUCGAGGGACGAAGGACGAGGUCGGCCGCACGGGGGAGGGAGGAGGACCAACGAAUUCAGCGGGUGGGAAGCCAUGAAGGAAAAGAUCUCACCGCCUCCAACUCGAGCUCGUCGGCGAGCCGUCCUCUCCUGCCCCGCCUUAGCACCUCCAUCGUCUCGAGCUCAAGCUCCCGCCGGCCGCCGGCAGGUGCGUGAGGCCCCACCCUGCCCCUUCCCAACGCUAGGAUCGCUGACCUGCUCAUUCCCCGCUGUUGCUUGCCUUCCUCUCUGCCGUCCGCAUCCCACGCCUCCCCUACAUCCCCACCCGCACCGCGGAGACCCCGCCGCCGCUCUGGAACGACGGUGACAUGGAAGAGGACCGGAGGAAGCAAGCAGAGGAGAAGGCCGACGGUGGGAUCGACGACGACAUGGUAGAGUGGAGAGACAAGACCGGCGGUUGCGGGCUAGGAGAGGAUCGUGGGGAACUGGGGAUCGAGGGAGGGGUGCGGCGGCUCGUGGGGAUCGAGGGGAAGGAGAAAGAGGGCUAGGGUUCGUUUGGCGGCUGGGCCGCUGGGGUGGGAGUGGGGUGAGACACGGGUGAUUGGCUGCGGGCGCGAAGCUAAUUGGGCAAAACCAAUUGCACCUCAAAACGGGUAACCCAGCCAAUCAGCGUGCGGCGCGAGCUCACCCGUCAUUGGACAACGAAAAUGACUGCUAUGUGAAAAUCAGUUUUAACCGCUGUGAAGAUCCAACGGCUUGGACACGCUUGAAGGGCAGAUCCGACGGCCCACGAAGGCCCAAUGGGGGGAGCCUCCUGGAGGUGAGUUGCUAGCUUCUUUUUUUUUAAUUCUUCAUGUGCUUCACUUAUAUUUUUUGAGUGUGACCUUAUAGAAUGCUCUUUGUGCUUCACUUAAAUCUUUUGAGUAUGAUUUUAUAGAAUGCUUCAUGUGCUUCACUUAUAUAUUUUGAGCUUGGAUAUUGGUUAAUCUAUAUUAAUUGUAGAAUGCUCCAUGAACAUCAGUUAAAUCUUUUGGAGUAUGAAUAAGACUAUCAUCGAAAGUGGUUUUGGAAGAGUGUCAACUUUAGAAAGUAAUGAUCCCACUAUUUUGGAAGGUGUUGAAUCUUAGUAUGAUAUUUAUCAAAGUGGAUUUGGAGAGGUCUUGACUUUAGUUACUAAUGAUUCCACUAUCUCGGAAGAGGUUCCAAUUGAUUAUGAGAACAAAGUUGCUAUCUAUGAUGAUUAUUGUGGUGACAUGUAUGCUAUAAAGAAUAUUAUUAACCAUGAAACUUGCCAUCAUGAUUUUAAUUUUCAACUGGAUUAUGCCUCACAUGAAAGUUAUUUUGUGGAGUUUGCUCCCACUAUUCCGAAUGAGAAGAGUUUUGCUUAUGUGGAGAGUAGUAAAAUUUCUAUGCUUGUAGAUCAUGAAAAGAAUGUUUUAUGUGAUGGUUAUAGUGUUGAAUUUAUUCAUGAUGCUACUGAAAAUUAUUAUGUGGGAGGAAUAUAUGCUUGUUGGAAUUGCACUAUCAAGUUUCCUCUCUAUGUGCUUAAAGUUUUGAAGGUAUGCUUGUUUUCCCUUCCUAUGCUAGUUGAUUAUUUUUCCCAUAAAUUGUUUGCUCACAAAAUCCCUAUGCAUAGGAAGUGGGUUAGACUUAAAUGUGCUAGUCAUAUGCUUCAUGAUGCUCUCGUUAUGUUUUCAUUCUUAUCUUUCAUAUGAGCAUCAUUGACAUCAUCAUGCCUAGCUAGAAAGGCAUUAAAGAAAAGCGCUUGUUGGGAGACAACCCAAUAUUUAUCCUUAAUGUUUCUGUGUGUUCACAUGAUUAAGAUACUAUAGUAAUCAUGUUUUAUAGAUUUAGUUUCAAUAAAGUGCCAAGUAAGACCUUUAGGAUGGCUUACGGUGAUAGUUUAUUUGAUCUUGCUGAAAAACAGAAACUUUUGCACUUAUUACCAGAAUUUUAAAACAUCAUAGAAGCGUGCUUUUGAUCUGAAAUUUUCACACAAGAUUUAUAUAAAAAUUGCCUAGGAUUUCCUAAUUUUUCAGAAUUUUUGGAGUAGCAGAAGUACGAUUGCUGUUCAGAUUAUUACAGACUGUUCUGUUUCUGGCAGAUUCUGUUUUCAAUGCAUAAUUUGCUUGUUUUCUAGUUUCUAUGGCAUAUCAUUUAUUCAAUAUAAAUUGUAUAAAUGAUAUGGUGCAGUAGGCGUUGUGUGAGAACAAUUAUGAAUCUUGUCUUUGACAGUACCAAAGUGAAUGAUUUACUCUUUAUCAUACUAACCCAUCUCACGAAGUUCCGUUAAGUUUUGUGUGAUUGAAGUUUUCAAGUUUUGGAUGAGAUAUCGAUAUGAGGAGAAUAAGGAGUGGAAAGACCCUAAGCUUGGGGAUGACUAAGGCACCCCAAGGUAAUAUUCAAGGAAGAGUCAAGCGCCUAAGCUUGGGGAUGCCCCGGAAGGCAUCCCCUCUUUCGUCUUCAAAACCAUCGGUAUACCUUACUCGGAGCUAUAUUUUUAUUCGUCACAUGAUAUGUGUUUUUCUUGGAGAAUAUUUUUAUUUCUACUUGUUGUUUGAAUAAAAUCAUUGGAUCUGAAAUCUUGAAUGAGAGAGAGAGUCGUCCCGUGGCUAGUUAAUUAUUUGACUACUCAUUGUCCUUCACUUAUAUCUUUUUGGAGUAGUUUGUCAUUUACUCACGUGCUUCACUUAUACCUAUGAGUAAAUGGUUGAAUGAAUUGAAUAUCAUAAAUCUGAAUUUAUAUAUGUUUCUUAUGCUUAUACCAUGGGGAGUAAUGACUUCACACAUAAUAAGUAUAGGUGGUAAAUUUAUUGAAAGUUAGCAAACAUAGUAUUGCUCACUUGAACAAUUCAUGAAAGAAUAUUGAAGGAGAAGAGAUUUCACGUAUAAAUAUGUUAUCUUGGACAUCUUUUGUAAUUGUGAGCACUUAUUAAAAUAUGACAUGCUAAAAAGUUGAUGUUGGACAAGGAAGACAACUUAAUGGGUUAUGUUUUCUUAUAUCCGAACAGAAGUUAUAUUGUCUUGGAUCAUCCAACAUGUUGAGCUUUCCUUUCCCUCCCAUGCUAGCCAAAUUCUUUGCACCAAGUAGAAAUGCUACUUGUGCUUCCAAACAUCCCUUAAACCAGUUUUGCCAUGAGAGUCCACCAUACCUACUGUCGUGGAAUUGUCACGUCAGAUGCCCUAGUGAAAGGACUUAGUCGUGGAGCCAUCACAACUAGGAAGCUUAAAGGGGUUAAUCGGGACAAAGGACAUGAGGCUUAUACUGGUUCGGCCCCUUACGGUGAAGGUAAAAGCCUAUGAUCCAGUUUUGAGUGGGAUUGCUUAUGACUCGAUAACUAGGGAGCGGAAUCGCUUGACCUAUCUCUCGAUCUGAUGUUACCUGCCCUGAACCACCGCUGGGUCGUCCCUUUAUAUAUAGAGGUCGACGCCCAGCGGCUCACAGAGUCCAGGCCGGCUCAUAAACAGUGUCUGGCUUGGUCUCUUAACUAUUCUUGCCUUACAAUACAAGUCACGUACAUAUGGCGGUUUAUCACUACGGGCCUUAAGUCGCCUCUGGGCUUUGGGCCCUUAAUAAACCGCCAUCUUCAACCUUGGUCUUGGGCUUCAAGAAUACUUGUAGGUAUAACCCGGCCCCUCCUGGGCGGGUCAUACCAAUAGUUAUAUCCCCAACAUUAGGCCCCAGAUUGAUUUGGACUGGUUCAUGUCAAUCUUCAACACUUAAGAAAAAUCUUCUGCUCUUUACUUAUGAAAUUUUCGUAACCCGCCAUGACGUCAUCCUCUGGAUUUGUGGUAACCCGCCAUGACAUCACCUACCAUAAAUGCACGUUUUGUUCAAUGUAUCCCAACGGAUCUUUAUCUUGAUGACCAUCCCGAAAAUCGAGGCAUCCUUGUAGUUGGAUAACUUAUGUUUUCGGCCUCCUCAUUUUUCGCGCUCUUUUAGUGGUCCUUCCUUAUAAAUACACCCGACCAAGUAUUUCUUCAAUCUUCCCUUUCCUCGUCUUCUUCCUCUUGCCCCCUACUGCCACUCGAGCUCCACCGCUGCCGCAGCGCACCUUCAUCUUCGUCGACUUUGGCCGCUGCAUCAACCUGAAUCCGUCCAGAGAAUGGCGGCGUCCCUCCACAAAAGAUCUACCGAUGUAAGUUUUCCUCUUUCUGCAUCUUAGAUCCAUGCUAGGGUUAGCGAGUUCCUCUGUACAGUUCGUAGUUCAUCUCAGUUCAUCGUGUUUCUUCUGCCGUGGCUUCUUUUGAUCCAACAGUAGCAUAGAUCUCAUGCGGUAGCUGUUCAGCAUCCAUUUUAGGCACUAGCAGAUCCUCUUUAUUUGUAAAGAACCCUCAUUAGAACGCAUGAACUCCUAUGUACCAUGUUUUUAGGUCUAGAAAUUUUACUUUUCUGAACAGCCAUUUGAUCCGAAAUAAUAGCUGUAGUUUGUGAAACUUGUUUAUGCAACACUUAGGCAAAAAUCUGUACUUGUUAGAUCCAUCUAGCCAUGGCGACUCAUAUCACUGGCUCUAAAGAGGCAAUGCUCAAUUGAUAACGGUCACCACCCAUGGCGGUUUAAACAGCUUUAACGGCUUAUAGAUCCUAUGGCGGCUUAAAUAAUCUUGACAUAAUUAUCCUUAUACCAUUAGGCCCCUUCAUAAGCCGCCAUCUUGAAUAUGCACCGUAAUUUUUUUCCUCUCCGGCUUAAAUUUGAAUCGGUACUUUUUACUCUGUCUUAGGCUUUCAUCACAAUGGCACCGAAAGCACCCACUUCCUGCAACUGGGUCAAAUCCAUUAUCACAGACAGCACACUUGACGACUUUGUGAAGACCGGCUAUCUGCCGAAGAAGGAAAUCAUGUCCUAUCGUGCUCCUAACCCGGAGGAGGAAUUUCCUCAGCCCAAAACGGGAGAGGUUAUUGUUUUCACGGAUCACAUGAACCGAGGUUUCUCUCCACCCGGCUCAAAAUUCUUCAGUGAUGUGUUGCACUUCUUUGAUCUUCGCCCACAAGACAUCGGACCCAAUUCCUUGUCUAACAUCUGCAACUUCCAAGUAUUCAGCGAAGUAUAUCUUGGAGAAGAACCCAACAUUUUACUCUUCAGAGAGCUAUUCUACUUGAACCGCCAGAAUGAGUGCGCCAACGGCCAGAGCUUAGAACUUGGUGGUGUCUCGAUCCAGCGUCGUAGGGACGUAAUCUUUUCUUAUGCCAACCCACCGAGUCAUCCCAAAGACUGGAAUCAGACAUGGUUUUACUGCCAAGACACCUCUCCGGCUGGUGAGAACCCUCUGCCCGGUUUUCGUGCUCUACGUCUUGGGCCCAACCACCAGCUUCCUGGCAAGAUUACAGCCGCCGAAUGCAAAACACUCGCCCCCACUUUAGCUAAGAUCAAAGCUCUUCUGGGGAAUGGGUUAACUAGCAUCGACUUAGUCCGGGUUUGGCUCGCCUGGCGGGUCAUUCCAAUGCGCCGCCGACCCUACUUGAUGUGCACCUACACAGGAAAAAAGGAUGAUCUUGUGUGGCACAGCCCUGAAGAAUUACCUGAAGAUGUCAUCAAUGAUAUGACGAAGUCAUUUUGAAUGAGAGCCUAGCGGAUUGUGGUUAGGUGGGCCUAUCCCCCUUCUGCGAAGCUAACCCGGCUCCAAAGGUAAGCCGCCCAUAUGAACAAAUUACUUUGACUUUUUGAUGUUUCACCCAUACUCAUACCUCUUGCUAACUCUCACAGGCGGGUGAUAAAUUCUGGAAGGUCAAAUAUGACCAUGAGGCUGCAAAGAAAGCUAGGAAGGAGAAGAAAGCCGCCAGGAAAGAGGCUGCCAAGAAGAAGGGCAAGAAAGCCACCGCCUCUGACUUGCUUCGGCUAGAAGAUUCUUCUGAGUUAGAGGUAGCCCUUGACUCUCUUGGAUCCUUUUAUAACCAUCUUAUUGACACUGAUUAUCAGCAGGAGGACACAGGAGAAAGCCAUAACAAGGCUAAAGAGGUAACUAUCAUUUCCUCCGACUUUAAGCAUUUUCCAAGAGAGAAAAUCCGCAGAGUAACCCAGAAAGUAAGAUUUUCACAUCCCUUAGCUUAUCAAGAUCCUCAAUUUCUUUUGAAGCGACAGAUUCAUGAGAGCCGGAGGCAGACCCGGACUAACAAGGAUGUGGAGCUCUCCUCCGGCUUGCCAAACACCCCAAAGAAGCGCCGGAACGAGGUCACCUCUGAUUUAUAUCUCUUUUAUCCUUUGGCGGGUCUCACUCGUCAACCACUCAAUUUUUUUGACUCAGAUUAUCAGGAAACUUCCCCUUCCUCCGGUGACUCAGUGCAGUCUAAUCUGUCGGCUUUCAAGAGUGCACCAGGGUAAUGAUAACCUGCUUAUCCUGUAUUCAUUUCAAUUCAUUGAAUUUGCACUAACCUUUUGAUUUUAUGCAGUGGACAAGCCAAGCCCAUCAAAAGGGUCAAGAAGAACAAGUUGGCUGAAGACAUAGUCAUGACCGAGCCAGUACUUGGAAUAGCCGCACCUGAAUCGUCAACUCAUGAGUUGCCACCUGAACCAGCUCAAGAUAUACCAACUCCAAUUGCUGACUCGCCUGCUGAGCAAGCCGUUGAUGGCUCAGAAAAUCCGGAAGCUCCUAGCCCGGUCAGGAUGGAUGAUCCUCAAAAUAAUAAUGUCAAGAUCACCAGAACCGGCUUUGUUGAGCCAGGAAGGCCAACCGUGCUAGCCAAGUGCUCCUCCAACGAAGAGCUUCUUGAACACCAUAGGGUCAAACUUGAUGUCACUGACUAUACUCACCUGAGUAUUGGAGAGGUCUUUUCCGACUAUAUGAGUCAAGUGCACAGCAGCCGUGACAUUGAAAUUAACAUGGUGAAGCAUAUGCACCAGAAAUUUGAGGUACAACCCUUUCUCUGUACUUACUUAUCUUUACUAUGCCAGCCCCCAAGUCUAUUGCUUAUGAUGAAUACGUUGUAGACUUUAGAAACAAAUUUAGUGACAUUAGUAACAUAUAUGGACAAGAUAUGUAAGAAAUCCGGCUUACUCCGUAGUCCCCAAGGGGCGGCUUAACCAGUAUGGUUGAACCGGUCCUUCAUAUGGUUGUAUUGAAUAAAACAUUUGAAACUUUGAAACAGCAAUAUGCAUUAGCCCCCAAGUGCCAAGUACUCUUGCUUGCAAAGUGCUUGGGACUUACUAUCAUGAACCGCCACGUUAAGUAAAAUUCUUCGGUAGACAUUAGCCCCCAAGUGCCAAGUGUUGACGCUUGCAAAAGGCUUAGGACUUAAUAUUGCAUCAUGUUUGUCAUGAUUCUUGACCCGGUAUUUGUAUAGGCCGCCACGAGUCAACUUGAAUCAGAAGUGUCUGAUUUGAAGAACUGCCUUGAGGCCCAAGAGACGGAAACCCAAAGAGCUGACUCCAUGUUUAAAUUCAGCGUUUCUGGACAAGAAAAGCUGAAGAAAGAAUUUGAAAUGGAGAAAAAGGCCUGGGCUGACGAAAAAAAUGCGUUGAUUAAUCGAGCUGAGAAGGCAGAGGCGGCUCUUGAAGAAGCAACCGGUGAAUAUCCGGGUUAAAACGCCAUGUCUCUCAGAUGGUCUCAGCGAUCUUUGGUAAGUCGCCCUGCAAGUAUUAAAUUCUUGAACCUUUCAAUUGAUCAUACAAAUUGGAACCGACUCACCUGACAAUGUUUAUGCAGGCCCCAGGAGUUCAAAUCUGAACCAAGAUAUGUUGAUCAAGCUGAAGGCAGUUUAUACGCUGGUGGAACAAUUGUACACCGGAUCUCAGCGUGUCUUAGCCAUAGUGGCUUUCUCAAAUGAAGUGCCUACCCUCCUGGUGGAUCUACUAAAGAAGCUUUCUAUGCUACCCCAACGGUUCCAGGAACUAAGGCGGUCAGCUACGAGAGCCGGAGCGGUGAAUGCUUUAAGCCAGGCCAAAGCUUGGCUACCAGAGUUAGACCCGGCCGACAUCGCUAUUGGUUAUCCAAGCCUGAAGGAGGAUGGUACUUCCUUUGAACAGGAAGACUUUGCCGCUUGUGUGAAGGAGGUACGCCCCGUGGACACCCUGAUAGCUGACGAAGUGGAUCUCACCAAGUACCAGGCGGGCUAUGAUGCAGAGAACCGGAGAAUUCCAACACCUCACUAUAAAGUGACCAAUCUGAUCCCCCCACUCCAUAAGCAUACCUAUGCCCCUGAAGUUGACCCGGCCAGACUAGUUGAUGAUGAGGCUGAAUUUUAAGCUUUGAACAACAUUGACUGGUCAUCAUCAACCUUCUAGGAAAGGGAACAGGGCGAAGAAGCGGAGAAGGCUAACCCGGACGCUUCAGGCCAACAUGAGAGUUAACCUGCCGUGGCGGCUCAUUCCUGUGGUGUGCUGAAAAACAACAUGAAUCAUUUGGACUCGGGGAGUCAUGUAAUAGAAUAGAAAUAACUUUGAUUUGGCCGUGCCAUAAUGUUCAUUUUUGGUGCUUAGUACUAUUAAGCCGCCAUGUUAUAUUCACCCGUGUUAUAAUUUUCAUCUGUUUUCCUUAUGCUUUGACCAAGUCUUCUAACUGUCCUGUACAUAGAAAUAGAUCACAAGAUCCCUUGGCGGCUUAACCGUAAGGCGGGUCAUAAUAACUUGAUAUUUUUAAGAUAGAAAAAGAAUCACAGAUAAGCCUGUUGUAACAUAUAAUGUUAAAACACAACUAUAAUCUUAUACCUGUGACCUUUUUGAAUUUGCACUGCCGGCUUAUAUGAUCCGGGCAAUAAGGGUGAUAACCCAAUCUUCAGAAACCAAUAUUUCCAAAGAUAUAAUGAUUCUCAUAUAUUGGCGACUUAUCAGCCAAUAUCAAGCCGGGUUAAAAUUAACCACACUUGUACUUUUUAAACCUGAAAAAAGUCUCAAGUCAACUAAAGGCUGCUGUCAAAGAAAACUUAAACCAAAUAGAGUAUAGAAAAGUUAAGGAUUUUGAUUUGAAUACGAUCAAUAAACCGUUCCAAAGCGGUUAAGCUAGGAUUCGAAUAUAAUCAUGUAGCCCCCAGUGGCUUUGGCAUUGCGCCGAUCAAGAGGGUACCGAUAGCUAUGUUCUCUUUGGUUCGAAUACGACCUAUGUUUGAAUAGGAAUCCCCCUAAUGACCUUGAGAGUUUUUAACGACUCUGAUUCGAAUACGAUCAAAGUCAGUUCCCAAAAGGGGUUGAGCUAUGAUUCGAAUACGAUCAAGAAGCCCCCUAGUGAGCUCGGCAGUGUGCCACUCAAAAGGGUACCAGCAGCUAUGUUCUCUUCGGUUCGAAUAUGACCUAUGUUUGAACAGGAAGCCCCCUAUUGAUCAUAAGGUUUAACAACUAGAUUCGAAUACGAUCAUAAGCCGGAUCAAACGGGUCAUGCUAGAUUCGAAUACGACCAGCCCCCAAGUGAUCAUGUGAGAUGACAAUGAUAAUAACAAUGACAUAUUACCUUUGAGGAUGAAAAAAGGACAGAGGUCCUACUUUAUUAUUUAUCAUAAUAUAUACAUCGUCUAAAUAUGUACACUAUGAGAGUCGGUGGCUAAAGUGUAGUAAGGCCGAAGAUGAGCGAUAUUCCACGGUCAGCGGGUCUCCUCCUCCGACUUAUGUGAGUCUUUGUGCUCUCGAACAUCGAUAAGGUAGUAUGACCUGUUGUUCAAGUUCUUGCUGACCACAAAGGGCCCUUCCCAAGGUGGGGAUAACUUGUGUGUGUCAGUUUGAUCCUGGAUGAGCCGGAGCACCAAAUCACCUUCCUGAAAGGUUUUGGAUUUAACCCGGCAGCUGUGAUAGCGGCGCAGGCCCUGUUGGUAAAUCACCGAGCGAGCUGCUGCCAAGUCACGCUUUUCAUCUAACAGGUCAAGGGCAUCCUGACGCGCUUGUUCAUUGUCCGCCUCAACAUAAGCCACCACACGGGGCGAGUCAUGACAGAUGUCACUAGCGAGAACCGCCUCAGCUCCGUAAACCAUGAAGAAAGGCGUAUAACCCGUAGACCUGUUGGGAGUAGUAUUGAUGCUCCAUAUCACAUAGGGUAACUCCUCAACCCAACAACCCGGCGUCCGCUGCAAGAGGACCAAAAGCCAGGGCUUAAUGCCUUUCAAGAUCUCCUGAUUGGCUCUCUCUCAGCUUGACCAUUGGAUUGGGGUGAGCCACUGAUGAAACAUCAAGCCGAAUAUGCUCACGUUGACAAAAUUCUUCCACGGCGCCUUUAGACAGAUUAGUGCCAUUGUCAGUUAUAAUGUUGUGUGGAAAACCAAAGCGAAAUAUCACCUUCUUCAUGAACUGAACCGUCGUAGCUGCAUCAGACUUACUAACUGGCUCUGCCUCAACCCACUUUGUAAAUUUAUCAACUGCCACCAAAAGGUGGGUCUUUUUAUCUUUGGACCUUUUGAAAGGCCCAACCAUGUCAAGCCCCCAGACUGCAAACGGACAAGUAAUUGGAAUCAUCCUCAACUCUUGAGCCGGCACGUGAGCACGUCUUGAGAACUUCUGACAACCGUCGCAUUUACUAACCAGGUCCUCUGCAUCAGCAUGAGCCGUCAGCCAAUAAAAUCCAUGACGGAAAGCCUUGGCCACAAGGGAUUUUGACCUGGCAUGAUGUCCAGAAUCCCCUUCAUGAAUCUCACGUAGAAUUUCUUGGCCUUCUUCAGGAGAGACACAACACUGAAACGCCCCAGUGACACUGCGAUGAUGCAACUGGCCAUUGGCAAUUGUCAUUGACUUAGAUCACCGGGUUAUCUGCCUAGCCAAGGUUUCAUCCUCAGGCAACUCGCCCCGGGUCAUGUAAGCUAGAUAUGGCACUGUCCAAUCUGGGAUGACGUGAAGAGCCGCCACCAAUUGUGCUUCUGGGUCAGAAACAACCAAGUAUUCCUCUGUAGGUAACUUCACAAAAGGGUUAUGCAGAAUAUCCAAGAAAGUAUUAGGCGGCACUGGCUUACGCUGAGAGCCCAGCCGGCUCAAGGCAUCAGCCGCCUCGUUCUUUCUGCGUUCAAUGUGUUCCACUUGGUAACCCUUGAAAUGUCCAGCAAUGGCAUCAACUUCACGGCAAUAAGCCGCCAUGAGAGGAUCCAUGGAAUCCCACUUCACCGAUACUUGUUGAGCCACCAAAUCUGAGUCGCCAAAACACCUUACCCGUCUUAAGCUCAUCUCCUUAGCCAUCCGAAGACCAUGGAGUAAGGCCUCAUACUCAGCUGCAUUGUUAGUACAGGGAAACAUCAACCGUAGCACAUAACAAAAUUUGUCACCUCGAGGGGAAGCUAAAACAACUCUAGCCCCCGAGCCCUCCAAUUGCCUGGACUCAUCAAAGUGAAUAGUCCAAUACGUGUUGUGUCGCUUCUGUUCAGGCAUCUGUAGUUCUAUCCAAUCGUUGAUGAAAUCCACCAGUGCUUGAGACUUGAGAGCCAUGUGUGGUACAUACUUUAAACCAUGAGGCCCAAGUUCAAUGGCCCACUUGGCGACUCGUCCCGUGGCCUCUCUAUUUUGGAUGAUAUCUCCUAAAGGAGCAGAACUGACCACAGUGAUGGGGUGACCCUGGAAAUAUUUCUUAAGCUUCCGGCUUGCCAUGAAGACCUAAUACGUCUCCGUCGUAUCUAUAAUUUUUGAUUGUUUCAUGCCAAUAUUAUACAACUUUCAUAUACUUUUGGCAACUUUUUAUACUAUUUUUUGGGACUAACAUAUUGAUCCAGUGCCCAGUGCCAGUUCCUAUCUGUUGCAUGUUUUAUGUUUCGCAGAAACCCCAUAUCAAACGGAGUCCAAACGGGAUAAAAACGGACGGAGAAUUAUUUUGGAAUAUUUGUGAUUUUGGGGAAGUAAAAUCAAUGCGAGACAGUGCCCGAGGUGGCCACGAGAGAGGGGCCCACGCCCACUCCAGGUGGGCGUGCCCCCACCCUCCUGUGCCCCUCGUAAGGCAGUUGAUGCGCUUCUUUGGCCGCAAGAAAGAUAAUUUUUGGAAAAAGAUCUGAGCGAAGGUUUCAUUCCAAUCGAAGCUACGGAUCUCCAAAUAUAAAAGAAACGGUGCCAGGGCAGAAUCCGAGAACGCAGAAACAGAGAGAGACAGAGAGACAGAUCCAAUCUCGGAGGGGCUCUCGCCCCUCCCAUGCCAUGGGAGCCAACGACCAGAGGGGAAACCCUUCUCCCAUGUAGGGAUGAGGUCAAGGAAGAAGAAGAAGAAGAAGGGGUUCUCUCUCUCCCCCUUGCUUCUGGUGGCGCCGGAACGCUGCCGGGGGCCAUCAUCAUCACCGCGAUCUUCACCAACACCUCUGCCAUCUUCACCAACAACUCCAUGACCUUCCCCCAUCUAUAUUCAGCGGUUCACUCUCCCGCAACCCGUUGUACCCUCUACUUGAACAUGGUGCUUUAUGCUUCAUAUUAUUAUCCAAUGAUGUGUUGCCAUCCUCUGAUGUCUAAGUAGAUUUUCAUUGUCCUACCGGAGAUUGAUGAAUUGCUAUGAUUGGUUUGAGUUGCAUGUUUUAUUAUUGGUGUUGUCCUAUUGUGCCCUCCGUGUCGCGCAAGCAUGAGGGAUUCCCGAUGUAGGGUUUGCAACAUGUUCAUGAUUUGCUUAUGGUGGUGGCGUGAGUGACAGAAGCACAAACCUAAGUAAGUAGGUUGUUUGCAUAUGGGAUAAAGGGGACUUGAUACUUUAAUGCUAUGGUUGGGUUUUACCUUAAUGAUCUUUAGUAGUUGUGGAUGCUUGCUAGAGUUCCAAUCAUAAGUGCAUAUGAUCAAAGAAGAGAAAGUAUGUUAGCUUAUGCCUCUCCCUCAAAUAGAAUUGCAAUAGUGAUUACAAGUCUAGUAACAUAGUCAAUUGCUUAGGGACAAUUUCACAACUCCUACCACCACUUUUCCACACUCGUUAUAUUUACUUUAUUGUUUCUUUAUCUAAACAGCCCCUACUUUUUAUUUAUGUGUUCUUUAUUAUCUUGCAAACCUAUGCUAUCACACCUACAAAGUACUUCUAGUUUCAUACUUGUUCUAGGUAAAGCAAACACUAAGCGUGCGUAUAGUCGUAUCAGUGGCAGAUAGGGCUUGAGAGAAUAUUUGUUCUACCUUUAGCUCCUCAUUGGGUUCGACACUCUUACUUAUCGAAAGAGGCUACAACUAUCACAUAUACUUGCGGGUUAUCAAGACCUUUUUCUGGCACCGUUGCCGAGGAGUCACGGCGUGGGGUGAAUUUUCUCGUGUGUGCUUGUUUGCUUUCUCACUAAGUAAUUUUUAUUUGCUGUUCUAAGUUGUUCUCUAUCUUUAGUUAUGGAUAUGGAACACUAAAUACCAAAACAAUUAGGUGUACUGCUACUCAUGGAGAUGGGGAACCUCCUAAAGCCCUCGAUGCUCGUUAUGUGACAGAAAUUAUGUACUAUUUUGAUAAUCCUGAGAAAACCCCAUUCAACUUUGUUAUGGGAGACACGUUGGAUUGCUAUGUCUUGAGCUUGUGUUGGUUUUCCUUGAAGAGGAAAGGGUGAUGCAGCAAUAGUAGCGUAAGUAUUUCCCUCAGUUUUUGAGAACCAAGGUAUCAAUCCAGUAGGAGGCUCCUCAAAAGUCCCACACACCUACACAAACAAACAAAGAACUCGCAACCAACGCAAUAAAGGGGUUGUCAAUCCCUUCACAGCCACUUGCGAAAGUGAGAUCUCAUAGAGAUAGUAUGAUAAGAUAAAUAUAUUUUUGGUAUUUUAUAAUAUAGAUGCGAAAAGUAAAGAUGCAAAUAAAAGUAGAUUGAAAGCUUAUAUGAUAAAAGAUAGACCCGGGGGCCAUAGGUUCCACUAGUGGCUUCUCUUAAGAUAGCAUAAGUAUUACGGUGGGUGAACAAAUUACUAUCGAGCAAUUGAUAGAAAAGCGAAUAUUUAUGAGAUUAUCUAGGCAUGAUCAUGUAUAUAGGCAUCACGUCCACAACAAGUAGACCGACAUCUGCCUGCAUCUACUACUGUUACUCCACACAUUGACCGCUAUCCAGCAUGCAUCUAGCGUAUUAAGUUCAUAAGAACAGAGUAAUGCAUUAAGAAAGAUGACAUGAUGUAGAGGGAUAAACUCAAGCAUUAUGAUAUAAACCCCAUCUUUUUAUCCUCGAUGGCAACAAUACAAUAGGUGCCUUGCUGCCCUUGCUGUCACUGGGAAAUGACACCGCAAGAUUGAACACAAAGCUAAGCACUUCUCCCAUGGAAAUAAAGAUCAAUCUACUAGGCCAAACCAAACUAAUAAUUCGAAGAGACUUGCAAAGAUAACUCAAUCAUACAUAAAAGAAUUCAGAGAAGAUUCAAGUAUUUCUCAUAGAUAAACUUGAUCAUAAACCCACAAUUCAUCGGAUCUCGACAAACACACCGCAAAAAGAGUUACAUCAAAUAGAUAUCCACAAGAGAGGGGGAGAACAUGGUAUUGAGAUCCAAAAAGAGAGAAGAAGCCAUCUAGCUAAUAACUAUGGACCCGAAGGUCUGUGGUAAACUACUCACAACUCAUUGGAGGGGCUAUGGUGUUGAUGUAGAAGCCCUCCAUGGUCGAUUCCCCCUCCGGCGGAGCGCCGGCGAAGGCUCCAAGAUGGGAUCUCGCGGAUACAGAACGUUACGGCGGUGAAAAUUGUUUUUCAUUGGCUCCCUGGAUGUUUUCGGGGUACAUGGGUAUAUAUAGGAGGAAGAAGUACGUCGGUGGCCGCUCAAGGGGCCCAUGAGACAGGGGGCGCGCCCAGAGGGGGUGGGCGUGCCCUCCUAUCUCCUGGCCGCCUCGAUCGCUUCUUGGCUUGCACUCCAAGUCCUCUGGAUCACGUUCGUUCCAAAAAUCACGCUCCCGAAGGUUUCAUUCCGUUUGGACUCCGUUUGAUAUUCCUUUUCUUUGAAAUACUGAAAUAGGCAAAAAAAAACAGCAAUACGGGUUGGGCCUCCGGUUAGUAGGUUAGUCCCAAAAAUGAUAUAAAUAUGUAAAAUAAAGCCCAUAAACAUCCAAAAGGGGUAAUAUAAUAGCAUGGAACAACCAAAAAUUAUAGAUACAUUGGAGCCGUAUCAAGCAUCCCCAAGCUUAAUUCCUGCUUGUCCUCGAGUAGGUAAAUGAUAAAAACAGAAUUUUUGAUGUGGAAUGCUACCUAGCACAAUUCUCAUUGUAAUUUUCUUUAUUGUGGCAUGAAUGUUCAGAUCCAAAUGAUUCAAAAUAAAAGUUCGUAUUGAUAAAAGAAAUAGUAACACUUCAAGCAUACUAAUCAAAGCAAUCAUGUCUUCUCAAAAUAACAUGGCUAAAGAAAGUUCAUCCCUACAAAAUCAUAUAGUUAGGCAAUGCUUCAUUUUCGUCACACAAAAAUGUUCCCAAAUUCUACACCCUCGAUGACAAGCCAAGCAAUUGUUUUGUACUUAAAUAAUCUCAAACCUUUUCAACUUUCACGCAAUACAUGAGCGUGAGCCAUGGAUAUAGCACUAUGGGUGGAAUAGAAUAUGAUGAUGGGGAUUGUGUGGAGAAGACAAAAAAGGGAGAAAGUCUCACAUUGAAGAGGAUAAUCAACGGGCUAUGGAGAUGCCCAUCAAUUGAUGUCAACAUGAGGAGUAGGGAUUGCCAUGCAACGGAUGCACUAGAGCUAUAAAUGAAUCAAAGCUCAACAAAAGAAAACUAGUGGGUGUGCAUCCAACUUGCUUGUGCACGAAGACCUAGGGCAUUUGAGGAAGCCCAUCGUAGGAAUAUACAAGCCAAGUUCUAUAAUGAAAAAUUCCCACUAGUAUAUGAAAGUGACAACAUACGAGACUCUCUAUAUGAAGAACAUGGUGCUACUUUGAAGCACAAUAUAUGAAACUCACUAUAUGAAAAACAUGGUGCUACUUUGAAGCACAAGUGUGGAAAAGAGAUAGUAACAUUGCCCCUUUUUAUUUUUUAUUUUUAUUUUUUUCCUUUGGCCUUUCUUUUUUUUCUUUUGUCCUUUCUUUUUUUCUUUUUGGGGACAAUGCUCUAAUAAUUAUGAUCAUCACACUUUUAUUAAUUACAACAUAUGAAUUACAACUCGAAACUAGAACAAGAUAUGACUCUAUAUGAAUGCCUCCGGUGGUGUACUGGGAUGGUGCAAUGAAUCAAGAGUGAUAUGUAUGAAAAAUUAUGCAUGGUGGCUUUGCCACAAAUACGAUGUCAACUACAUGAUCAUGCAAUGGCAAUAUGACAAAAGUAAUGUAUGUCAUGAUGAUGAACGGAACAGUGGAAAGUUGCAUUGCAAUAUAUCUCGGAAUGGCUAUGGAAAUGCCAUAAUAGGUAGGUAUGGUGGCUGUUUUGAGGAAGAUAUAGGGAGGUUUAUGUGUGAUAGAGUGUAUCAUAUCACGGGGUUUGCAUGCACCGACGAAGUUUGCACCAACUCUCAAGGUGAGAAAGGGCAAUGCACAGUACCGAAGAGGCUAGCAAUGGUGGAAAGGUAAAAGUGCGUAUAAUCCAUGGACUCAACAUUAGUCAAAAGAACACAUAUACUUAUUGCGAAAAUUUAGAAGUCAUCAAAAACCAAGCACUACACGCAUGCUCCUAGAGGGAUAGAUUGGUAGAAAAAACCAUCACUCGUCCCCGACCGCCACUCAUAAGGAUGCACAAUCCAAGUACACUUCAUGUUUCAAAUUUGUUACACAACUUUAACCAUACGUGCAUACUACGGGACUUGCUAACUUCAACACAAGCAUUAUUUAAAUUGAUAAUCACCCAACUAGCAUGACUUUAAUAUCACUACCUCCAUGUCUCAAAACAAUUAUCAAGUAUCAAAUUGAUCAUAGCAUCCAAUUCACUUCCUAUGAUAGUUUUUAUUAUACCCAACUUGGAUGCCUAACAUUCUAGGACCAAUUUUAUAACCAUAGCAAAUACCAUGCUGUUCUAAAAGACUCUCAAAAUAAUAUAAGUGAAGCAUGAGAGACUAGCAAUUUCUACAAAAUUAAGCAACCGCCGUGCUCUAAAAGAUAUAAGUGAAGCACUAGAGCAAAAACUAUCUAGCUCAAAAGAUAUAAGUGAAGCACAUAGAGUAUUCUAAUAAAUUCUAAUCAAGUAGGCUUCUCCCAAAAGGUGUGUUCAGCAAGGAUGAUUGUGGUAAACUAAAAAUCAAAUACUAAUAUCAUACAUGACACUACAAGCAAAACACAUAUCAUGUGGCAAAUAAAAAUAUAGCUCCAAGUAAAGUUACCAAUGAACGAAGAUGAAAGAGGGGAUGCCUUCCCGGGGCAUCCCCAAGCACAGGAUUUUGGCUAUUCUUGAAUAUCUUGGGGUGCCAUGUGCAUCCCCAAGCUUAGGCUUUUGCCACUCCUUAUUCCAUAGUCCAUCGAAUCUUUACCCAAAACUUGAAAACUUCACAACACAAAACUCAACAGGAAAUCUCAUAAGCUCCGUUAGUGAAAGAAAACAAAACCACCACAUAAGGUACUGUAAUGAACUCACUCUUUAUUAAUAUUGGUGUUAAACCUACUGUAUUCCAACUUCUCUAUGGUUUAUAAACUAUUUUACUAGCCAUAGAUGCAUCAAAAUAAGCAAACAACACACGAAAGGCAGAAUCUGUCAAAAAUAGAACAGUCUGUAGCAAUCUAUAACUAACGCAAACUUCUGGAACUCUAAAAAUCUUACCAAAAUAGUAAGUCCUGGAAAAUUUGUCUAUUUAUCAUCAAAAAAAAUAAUCAACGCAAAAUCACGUUUCUGUGAUUUAACAAAACUAAUUUCGUGCAUGAAAAGUUUCUGUUUUUCAGCAGAAUCAAAUUAACUAUCAUCAUAGGUUAUCCUAUAGGUUCUGCUUGGCACAAACACUAAUUAAAACAUAGAAACACAUCUAAACAGAGGGUAGAUGCAAAAUUUAUUACUAAACAGAAACAAAAACAAAAAACACAAAUAAAAUUGGCUUGCCUCCCAACUGGCGCUAUCGUUUAACGCCCCUAGCUAGGCAUAAAAGCGAAGAUAGAUCUAAGUAGUGCUAUCUUUAAUUUUUAGUUUUUUAGCGGAGUCAUGAUCAAAUACGGGAGGUUCUUUAUGUUUCCCUUCAUACUCAGAAAUUUUUAGAUCUAAAGAAUCCAACCGCUUAUUGCAAAGAGUAAUCAACAUAUUCAUGCGGUGAAGAUUUCCGCUAACACUUUUAAGAGGCUCAAGAGGCUUUUGUAAUUUUUUUGUUACUUCGCAAAUCUUUCCAAACACUUGUGUUUCUUCUUGGGUAGGAUGUGGUCCUCCCUUUUUAGGUAGUGUUCCCAAUAUUCCCUCUAUAAUUUCAUGCACAAUACUAGGAUCAAUUUCAAUAAAAUUCCCCUUGGCAAUGUAGUCCGAGAGUUGUCUAUGCGUCAUGUUUAGCCCAACAUAAAAAUUGCGAAGAAGAAUUCUAAAAUUCACCUCUAGGGUGCAAUUGCGAUAAGAUUCCAUCAUCCUAUACCAAGCAUCUUUUAAGUUUUCUACUUGCCUUUGCUUGAAGUGAAGAACUUCAAACUCGGGAGACAUAGGAGCGGAUAAGGAACUAGUCAUAACGACAAGAUAAACGAUCUAACACACGAGCAAACAGAAAAAAGGCAAGCGAAAAAGAGAGGAGGAGAUUGGAAAAGAGAGGCCAAAUAAAACGGCAAGGGUGAAGUGGGGGAGAGGAAAACAAGAGGCAAAUGGCAAAUAAUGUAAAUGCGAGGGAGAUGAGUUUGUGAUGGGUACUUGGUAUGUCUUGACUUGAGCGAAGACCUCCCCGGCAACGGCGCCAGAAAUCCUUCUUGCUACGUCUUGAGCUUGCGUUGGUUUUCCUAGAAGAGGAAAGGGUCAUGCAGCAAUAGUAGCGUAAGUAUUUCCCUCAGUUUUUGAUAACCAAGGUAUCAAUCCAGUAGGAGGCUCCUCAAAAGUCCCACACACCUACACAAACAAACAAAGAACUCGCAACCAACGCAAUAAAGGGGUUGUCAAUCCCUUCACGGCUACUUGCGAAAGUGAGAUCUGAUAGAGAUAGUAUGAUAAGAUAAAUAUAUUUUUGCUAUUUUAUAAUAUAGAUGCAAAAAGUAAAGAUGCAAAUAAAAGUAGAUUGAAAUCUUAUAUAAUAAAAGAUAGACCCAGGGGCCAUAGGUUUCACUAGUGUCUUCUCUCAAGAUAGCAUAAGUAUUACGGUGGGUGAACAAAUUACUGUCGAGCAAUUGAAAGAAAAGCGAAUAAUUAUGAGAUUAUCUAGGCAUGAUCAUGUAUAUAGGCAUCACGUCCGCAACAAGUAGACUGACUCUUGCCUGCAUCUAGUACUAUUACUCCACACAUCGACCGCUAUCCAGCAUGCAUCUAGAGUAUUAAGUUCAUAAGAAAAGAGUAAUGCAUUAAGAAAGAUGGCAUGAUGUAGAGGGAUAAACUCAAGAAAUAUGAUAUAAACCCCAUCUUUUUAUCCUCAAUGCAACAAUACAAUACGUGCCUUGCUGUCCCUGCUGUCACUGGGAAAGGACACCGCAAGAUUGAACCCAAAGCUAAGCACUUCCCCCAUGGCAAGAAAGAUCAAUCUAGUAGGCCAAACCAAACUGAUAAUUCGAAGAGACUUGCAAAGAUAAGUCAAUCAUACAUAAAAGAAUUCAGAGAAGAUUCAAAUAUUUCUCAUAGAUAAACUUGAUCAUAAACCCACAAUUCAUCGGAUCUCGACAAACACACCGCAAAAAGAGUUAUAUCAAAUAGAUCUCCACAAGAGAGGGGAGAACAUGAUAUUGAGAUCCAAAAAGAGAGAAGAAGCCAUCCAGCUAAUAACUAUGGACCCGAAGGUCUGUGGUAAACUACUCACAACUCAUUAGAGGGGCUAUGGUGUUGAUGUAGAAGCCCUCCAUGGUUGAUUCCCCUCCGGUGGAGCGUCGGCAAAGGCUCCAAGAUGGGAUCUCACGGAUACAGAAGGUUACGGUGGUGGAAAUUGUUUUUCGUUGGCUCCCUGGAUGUUUUCGGGGUACAUGGGUAUAUAUAGGAGGAAGAAGUACGUCGGUGGCCGCUCGAGGGGCCCACGAGACAGGGGCCGUGCCCAGAGGGGGUGGGCGCGCCCUCCUAUCUCCUGGCCGCCUCGGUCGCUUCUUGGCUUGCACUCCAAGUCCUCUGGAUCACGUUCGUUCCAAAAAUCACGCUCCCGAAGGUUUCAUUCCGUUUGGACUCUAUUUGAUAUUCCUUUUCUUCGAAAUACUGAAAUAGGCAAAAAACAGCAAUACGGGCUGGGCCUCCGAUUAGUAGGAUAGUCCCAAAAAUGAUAUAAAUAUGUAAAAUAAAGCCCAUAAACAUCCAAAAGGGGUAAUAUAAUAGCAUGGAACAAUAAAAAAUUAUAGAUGCGUUGGAGACGUAUCAUGGAUCAACGUGAAUACUUUAGGGAUUAUCGCUUGACACAAAAAGGGAAAGUAUUAUGGGAUCAAAUUUCUAUGUUGCGUUGGUAUGCUCAUCAACUAUGCUUGAUAUAUGAUUAUACUUGUUGCUCUAGGAUGAAGGCUCCACACCUUCCCUUAUCAUGCAAUUUCAAUGAUAAUAAAACCUUAGCUUCUUAUGCUAAUGGUGUAUAUGAUUACUAUGAUGUGGAACAAAUAGAAGAAUUUGUUGCUUUUAUGGGUGCUUAUGAGAUUGAAUCUAUGUUUAAAGAGUUUGAUGAUUUUGAUGAUUCAGUUUAUAGACCUAAAUUGUUUGCUAUACUUAAAUAUUUUUAUAAGAAUUAUGAAUACAAUUACAAUAUUGAUGCAUUUAUUGAGAAAGUCUCUGCUCUCCAAGAAGAGACUAAUAUUUUGCAGGAGUCUAUGGAAGAAGAAAUUGAUGAAAGUGUGAGCUCAUUGGAUGAAAAAAAUGACGAGGAGAGCGAAGAACAAAAGGAGGAAGAGCGGAUUAGCUACCCGUGCCCAUCUUCUAAUGAGAGUAACUCUUCAACUCAUACAUUGUUUAAUUUCCCUUCGUGCUUACCGAAGGAUGAUUGCUAUGAUGAUUGUUAUGAUCCUGUUGAUUCUUUUGAAUUACCCCUUUUUGAUGAUGCUUGCUAUGCUCGUGGCCAAGAUGCCAAUAUGAAUUAUGCUUAUGGAGAUGAACUUGCUAUAGUUCCUUAUGUUAAAUAUGAAAUUGUUGCUAUUGCACCCACGCAUGAUAGUUCUAUUAUCUUUUUGAAUUCUCCCAACUACACUAUAUCGGAGAAGUUUGUCCUUACUAAGGAUUAUAUUGAUGGGUUGCCUUUUACCAUUGCACAUGAUGAUUUUGAUGAAUAUAAUAUGUGUGUGGUUGUUGCUCCUACUUGCAAUUAUUAUGAGAGAGGAACUACAUCUCCGCCUCUUUAUGUUUCCAACACGAUAGAAUUGCAAGAAACUGCUUAUACUAUGCAUUGGCCUUUACUUGGUGUGCAUGAAUUGUUCUUUAAUGACAUGCCGAUGCAUAGGAAGCGAGUUAGACUUCGUUGCUGCAUGAUAUAUGUUACUUUGUGCUCACUACUAAAUUAAAAAUCAAUGUUAAUUAAAAUUGGCUUUGAUAUACCUUGGGAUCCGGGUGGAUCCAUUACUUGAGCACUAUAUGCCUAGCUUAAUGGCUUUAAAGAAAGUGCUGCCAGGGAGAAACCCGGAAGUUUUAGAGAGUCAUCUAUUUCUGUUGAGUGCUUUUAUAUAGUCUAAAAACAAAAAAAAUAAAGAGGGGAACCUAAAAACUUUUCAAAAAGGAAAGUGAAAGUGAGAAAGACAAGCAUUAUUGAAGUGGGACCUAGCCUUGAACUUUGUUCAUGCUCACGGAAACUUUGUGAAUCUUGAUUACAGAAACUUUUCAUCAAAAAUAAUUACUCCCUUGUAUAAUUCCAUUGUAUUAUAAAAAUAAUGUGACAAGGUUUGACUUUAGGAUGUUUACAAUGCUUGUUGGUUUGUACGGUGCAGGACAGAAACUUUGGCUGUAGUGCGCGAUUUUACAUUUUUAACUGGAACGUCAAAUGGUUCUGAUUCUUUUUGCACUGUCUUGUUGUACAAAUUUUUUAUUUUUAAUAAUUUUGGUAAAAAAAAUUGGGUACCAGAAGUAUGGUGAAUGUUCAGAUUUCUACAGAUGUUCUGUUUUUGACAGAUUCUGUUUUUGAUGCAUUGUUUGCUUGUUUUGAUGAAACUGUCAAUUUAUAUCUGUGGAUUCAGCCAUGAAAAAGUUAUAUUACAGUAGACACAAUGAAAAAACAAAAUAUGAAUUGGUUUUCUAUAAUACUUAAAGUAGUGAUUUGCUUUAUUAUACUAACGGAUCUUACCGAGUUUUCUGUUGAAGUUUUGUGUGGAUGAAGUGUUUGAUCAAGGAGGUCUCGAUAUGAGGAAAAGAAAGAGAGGCAAGAGCUCAAGCUUGGGGAUGCCCAAGGCACCCCAAGUAAAUAUUCAAAGAGACUCAAGCGUCUAAACUUGGGGAUGCCCCGGAAGGCAUCCCCUCUUUCUUCAACAAGUAUCGGUAUGUUUUCGUAUUCAUUUCGUUCAUGCGAUAUGUGUAAGUCUUGGAGCAUCUUUUGCAUUAAGUUUUCAAUUUUUUUUAUGCACCAUUGUGGUAUGAGAUAGUCCUUGGUUGAUUUAUAGAAUGCUCAUUGCACUUCACUUAUAUCUUUUGAGUAUGGCUUUAUAGAAUGCUUCAUGUGCUUCACUUAUAUCAUUUGAAGUUUGGAUUGCCUGUUUCUCUUAACAUAGAAAACUGCCAUUUGUAGAAUGCUCUUUUGCUUCACUUAUAUUUGUUAGAGCGUGGGCAUAUAUUUUGUAGAAAGAAUUAAACUCUUUUUCUUCACUUAUAUCUAUUUAGAGAGAUGACAGGAAUUGGUCAUUCACAUGGUUAGUCAUAAAAUCCUACAUAAACUUGUGGAUGACUGAAUAUGAUAUGUUUGAUUCCUUGCAAUAGUUUUGCGAUAUAGAGAUGAUAAUAUGUGGGAGGUACUAGUAGAUGGUUGUGUUUAGUAAGGAUGUUGGUGUUAAGGUUUGUGAUUCCCGAAGCAUGCACGUAUGGUCUACUAACUAUGUAACCAAAUUGGCGCGCAUUGUAUUUUGAUUGUUUAUCUUUGCAUGAAGGUCGGGGGCGCACGAUGGUUAACUCCUACCAACCUCCCCCCUAGGAGCAUGCAUGUAGUACUUUGUUUCAAGGGAUUUUAAAUUCUUGCAAUAAGUAUGUGAGUUCUUUAUGACUAAUGUUGAGUCCAUGGAUUAUACGCACUUUUACCUUUCCAUCAUUGCUAGCCUCUUCGGUACCGUGCAUUGCCCUUUCUCACCUCGAGGGUUGGUGCAAACUUCGCCGGUGCAUCCAAACCCCGUGAUAUGAUACGCUCUAUCACACAUAAGCCUCCUUAUAUCUUCCUCAAAACAACCACCAUACCUACCUAUCAUGGCAUUUCCAUAGCCAUUCCGAGAUAUAUUGCCAUGCAACUUCCAUCAUCAUCAUAUACAUGACCUGAGCAUUUAUUGUCAUAUUGCUUUGCAUGAUAUUAACAUAGCUAGCAUGAUGUUUUCAUGGCUUGUCCGUUUUUUGAUGUCAUUGCUACGCUAGAUCAUUGCACAUCCCGGUACAUCGCCGGAGGCAUUCAUAUAGAGUCAUAUCUUUGUUCUAGUAUCGACUUGUAAUAUUGGAUUGUAAGUAAAUAAAAGUGUGAUGAUCAUCAUUAUAGAGCAUUGCCCCAUAAAAAAUAAAAAAAAUAAAAAAAGAGAGGCCAAAGAAGCCUAAAUAAAAAAGGGGGCCAAAGAAGCCCGCCCAAAAAAAAAGAAAAAAAAGAAAAAAAAAGAAAAGGGGCAAUGUUACUAUCCUUUUACCACACUUGUGCUUCAAAGUAGCACCAUGUUCUUCAUAUAGAGAGUCUCCUAUGUUAUCAUUUUCAUAUACUAGUGGGAAUUUUCAUUAUAGAACUUGGCUUGUAUAUUCCAAUGAUGGGCAUCCUCAAAUGCCCUAGGUCUUCAUGAGCAAGCAAGUUGGAUGCACACCCACAUAGUUUUCAGUUUGAGAUUACAUACACUUAUAGCUCUAGUGCAUCUAUUGCAUGGCGAUCCCUACUCCUCGCAUUGACAUUAAUAGAUGGGCAUCUCCAUAGCCCGUUGAUUAGCCGCGUCGAUGUGAGACUUUCUCCCUUUUUGUCUUCUCCACAUAACCUCCACUAUCAUAUUCUAUUCCAUCCAUAGUGCUAUAUCCAUGGCUCACGCUCAUGUAUUGCGUGAGAGUUGAAAAAGUUUGAGAAUACUAAUGUAUGAAACAAUUGGUUGGCUGACACCGGGAUAGGCAUGAGGGGUACCUUGUGUUAAGAAAAGGGAGCAUACAAGACUAUAUGAUUUUGUAGGGACAUUGUUCUGAAGCAUUGAUAUUUUGAAAGUCAUGAUUGUUUGUUGGGUUGCCCUAAGUAUUAUUGUUUUUAUGUCAAAUGAUAGACUAUUGCUUUGAAUCACCCGUGUCUUAAUAUUCAUGCCAUGAUUAGAUUUAUGAUCAAGAUUAUGCUAGGUAGCAUUCCACGUCAAAAAUUAUCUUUUUUUUUAUCAUUUACCUACUCGAGGACGAGCAGGAAUUAAGCUUGGGGAUGUUGAUACGUCUCCGUCGUAUCUAUAAUUUUUGAUUGUUCCAUGCCAAUAUUCUACAACUUUCAUAUACUUUUGGCAACUUUUUAUACUAUUUUUUGGGACUAACAUAUUGAUCCAGUGCCCAGUGCCAGUUCCUGUCUGUUGCAUGUUUUAUGUUUCGCAGAAACCCCAUAUCAAACGGAGUCCAAACGAGAUAAAAACGGACGGAGAAUUAUUUUGGAAUAUUUGUGAUUUUUGGGAAGAAAAAUCAAUGUGAGACGGUGCCCGAGGUGGCCACGAGACAGGGCCCCCACCCUCCUAGGCCCCUCGUAAGGCGGUUGAUGCCCUUCUUUGGCCGCAAGAAAGCUAAUUUUUGGAAAAAGAUCUGGGCGAAGGUUCCAAUCCAAUCGGAGCUACGGAUCUCCAGAUAUAAAAGAAACGGUGCCAGGGCAGAAUCCGAGAACGCAGAAACAGAGAGAGACAGAGAGACAGAUCCAAUCUCGGAGGGCUCUCGCCCCUCCCACGCCAUGGGAGCCAAGGACCAGAGGGGAAACCCUUCUUCCAUCUAGGGAGGAGGUCAAGGAAGAAUAAGACGAAGGGGGCUCUCUCCCCCCUUGCUUCUGGUGGCGCCGGAAUGCUGCACUAGUAGAAAAAGGGGCUAACCUGAGACACAUUAGUGCUGGUUUGAUUUUGAGCCGGCACUAAUGUGACCAUUACUGCCGGUUCCAACGACUAGGCGGGCGUACAUCAUUAGUACCGGUUUGUGGGCAACAAUUAGUACCGGUUCAUGCCACGAACCAGUACUAAUGAUGCUGUGUCAGGCUGUGGGCCCCACGAACACCUUUAGUACCGGUUCAUGGCAUGAACCGGUACUAGAGUUUCUUAUUAAGCUGAUUUUUAGUCCCACCUCGCUAGGAGAGAGGCAGUAGGAGCGGUUUAUAAGCCGUGAGUGCAGAGACGAUGAAGGAGAGGCGCAAUGCUCACCUGCACGUUGCUUAGCUUCAAGCCUUUCGGAAUAUAAUAGAUUGCACGGAGUUGUGUGCAGUGUAGUCUACCCUAUUCUGAAAGGCUUGAAGCUCACUAACGAGCAUUGCGCCUUUUUUUAUUUUUAAUAACUUAUUAGAACUCCGAACUUCUUGUGUUACGGCAAAAACUGGAUGCACUGCGCGUACAAACUAGACAAUCUCUUUCGAAGUAUCAGGGCCGGUUUCAGAGGAAAACUCAUCUGUUACACCGGCACUUCAUUUUUAAACUUAUUACAACUUCAGACUUUUUUGCGUUCAGUACGCACCAUUCUAAGCCACGUCAUCAAUUUUCAACCCUUUCUGACAUCAUUUGCUCCCCUAGCACGAACCGGUACUAAAGAGGUUGUGGCAGGGCUAUUUUUAGUCCCACCUCGCAUAGGAGUAUAGCAUGUGCGAAAGAGUAGAGAGGGUCACGACAAAAAAGAAAAACUAUAUAAAAAAUUACUCAAAAAUAAAUAGAAGAAAACAAAUAAAGCAGAANNNNNNNNNNNNNNNNNNNNNNNNNNNNNNNNNNNNNNNNNNNNNNNNNNNNNNNNNNNNNNNNNNNNNNNNNNNNNNNNNNNNNNNNNNNNNNNNNNNNNNNNNNNNNNNNNNNNNNNNNNNNNNNNNNNNNNNNNNNNNNNNNNNNNNNNNNNNNNNNNNNNNNNNNNNNNNNNNNNNNNNNNNNNNNNNNNNNNNNNNNNNNNNNNNNNNNNNNNNNNNNNNNNNNNNNNNNNNNNNNNNNNNNNNNNNNNNNNNNNNNNNNNNNNNNNNNNNNNNNNNNNNNNNNNNNNNNNNNNNNNNNNNNNNNNNNNNNNNNNNNNNNNNNNNNNNNNNNNNNNNNNNNNNNNNNNNNNNNNNNNNNNNNNNNNNNNNNNNNNNNNNNNNNNNNNNNNNNNNNNNNNNNNNNNNNNNNNNNNNNNNNNNNNNNNNNNNNNNNNNNNNNNNNNNNNNNNNNNNNNNNNNNNNNNNNNNNNNNNNNNNNNNNNNNNNNNNNNNNNNNNNNNNNNNNNNNNNNNNNNNNNNNNNNNNNNNNNNNNNNNNNNNNNNNNNNNNNNNNNNNNNNNNNNNNNNNNNNNNNNNNNNNNNNNNNNNNNNNNNNNNNNNNNNNNNNNNNNNNNNNNNNNNNNNNNNNNNNNNNNNNNNNNNNNNNNNNNNNNNNNNNNNNNNNNNNNNNNNNNNNNNNNNNNNNNNNNNNNNNNNNNNNNNNNNNNNNNNNNNNNNNNNNNNNNNNNNNNNNNNNNNNNNNNNNNNNNNNNNNNNNNNNNNNNNNNNNNNNNNNNNNNNNNNNNNNNNNNNNNNNNNNNNNNNNNNNNNNNNNNNNNNNNNNNNNNNNNNNNNNNNNNNNNNNNNNNNNNNNNNNNNNNNNNNNNNNNNNNNNNNNNNNNNNNNNNNNNNNNNNNNNNNNNNNNNNNNNNNNNNNNNNNNNNNNNNNNNNNNNNNNNNNNNNNNNNNNNNNNNNNNNNNNNNNNNNNNNNNNNNNNNNNNNNNNNNNNNNNNNNNNNNNNNNNNNNNNNNNNNNNNNNNNNNNNNNNNNNNNNNNNNNNNNNNNNNNNNNNNNNNNNNNNNNNNNNNNNNNNNNNNNNNNNNNNNNNNNNNNNNNNNNNNNNNNNNNNNNNNNNNNNNNNNNNNNNNNNNNNNNNNNNNNNNNNNNNNNNNNNNNNNNNNNNNNNNNNNNNNNNNNNNNNNNNNNNNNNNNNNNNNNNNNNNNNNNNNNNNNNNNNNNNNNNNNNNNNNNNNNNNNNNNNNNNNNNNNNNNNNNNNNNNNNNNNNNNNNNNNNNNNNNNNNNNNNNNNNNNNNNNNNNNNNNNNNNNNNNNNNNNNNNNNNN